rnacentral:lncRNA from 1 species
GCACAGGCAAACAAUGCUGCUCAACCAGCACCUCAACUUUACUGGAACUCCGUCCUGCCAAACACACAGAUGCCAAGAUCUAUCAGUGAACUUCUGCAUCCUGGUUUGUGUUGAGCUCUUUAGAAUCUUAGAUAUCUCUUCUACCUGCCAUUUUACUUAAAUAUGUUCGACCACAUAUUUAUCAGUUAACUACUGUCAUUACAUGAGUGACACAUAUUCACAAAUCGGCUGAUCACUUAUUUUCCAUUAUGACGUUGAUAUAUAAUUUGCAGACUCCACAAAUGAAGAAAAGAGCACAAAUGACGUUGGCAAACCUGAAACUUUCCCAUUGGGCAAUCAAAAUUACUCCAGUCAAAAAAAUUAUGGAACAGGCAAUAAACGUUACUGCAGUCAAAAAAGGUAUGGAAGAGGCAAGAAACGUUACUGCGAUCAAAAAAAGUAUGGAAGAGGUGCUUCUCCAUCUGACAAUCAACUACUCCAUUAUAAAGACUUAGCUAUUUUCUUCUUGGAGAAGGACAUGCGCCCUGGCACAACAAUGAAGUUCCAAUUCUCUAGAAAUUCAAACACGGCUACUUUCUUGCCACGAGAAAGCGCUCAAUCGAUCCCCUUCUCCUCUAACAAACUACCAGAAAUUUUCAACCAUUUUUCAGUGAAGCCAACAUCUGAGGAAGCCAAAACAAUUAAGCAAACAAUCGAAGAGUGUGAAGCUCCCGGCCUUAAGGGAGAGGAAAUAUAUUGCGCCACAUCUUUAGAAUCAAUGGUUGAUUUUAGCACUUCGAAGCUUGGAACAAGAAACGUUGAAGCAAUCUCGACGGAGGUAUUGGAAAAAGGAGCCACCAUGUCCAUGCACAACUAUACAACAAUGCCGGGACUGAAGAAGUUGGCCAGUGACAAAGUCGUUGUGUGUCAUAAGCAGAACUAUCCCUAUGCUGUGUUUUUCUGCCAUGCAAUAAAACAUACAGCAGCUUAUGUUCUCUUCCUGAAAGGCGAUGAUGGGGAGAAGGUUAAAGCAGUAACCAUCUGUCAUCUAGACACAUCAGAAUGGAACCCAGAGCAUAUGUCCUUCCAAAUCGUCAACGUUAAGCCCGGAACCAUUCCCAUCUGCCAUUUCAUUUCCACUGAUGCUAUUGCCUGGGUUCCGAACCACAAAUCUGCAUGAUCAUCACUUAGCACUGUACGUAUAAUUAUCUCCUUACUUAUUUCUGCCUCUUCAUCAUGUGGUGUAAGAUAUAUGAUGAGAUGAAGUUUUUGGGAUUAGUGGUUGGGUUGCCUGAAAAACACAGAUUACAGAAACUGCUUGAAAUUAACCCGAUCAUGUUUUCUCUUGUAACUAUAUAGACUUCAACUUGUACUCAUAAUAAAGCAUGCUAUAUUUAUGAAGAGAUAUUAAUCUAUAUAUAUUUUUUAUAUAUGCUUUGGCUUUGUGGUUCUACCCAAUGUUUGAGUGUUGAAUUGUUACGUUGGAAUAGGCUGCUAAUGCAUGUAGUUAGAGAAGCCUUCAUUUAUAUCAAAGUCCUCAAACUAUCAAGAACUAAUGUAUCCAGAAACAUAUACCAAGACGCAAAACAACAUAUUUUCCAUGCUCUGUCUGUAACACCAAAGCAAACUUCCUUGAUCACAAAAGGAUCAAAUUCCAGUACUAAUCUAAUCCAUCAUGUAAAGCAUACAAGUGCCUCCCUAAAUACUAUACUCUUUUUGUUAUUUCCUACUAUACUAUUUAAGAUUUAAAAUUCAGGUCAACCCAUAGAUUUCUCGCCUUUUUCUUCUUCAUCUCGUCGGGCUUGUCUUCUUCUUGAGGAUUGUAUAGGCCAAGGAAAUGCUUUGAGUUAGUUUUUGCGCUUUUGCGUUUUGGGCCUUGGAAGUUGGGACCCAAACCAACUUCACAAAAAGAAAACGCUCAGACUAUAAUGAGUGGAAAGUUAUAAGGGGUAAGUUAUAAGGAGUUCACUUUAUAGCCAUCAGAUCAAUCUAAGGGCUGGGGAGAAUUGAGAUAAAGUUUUAAAAUCGGGUAGGUGAGGAACCCAAACCCGAAUUGAAUAUCCAGCACGUCCGAAAAAGAAGAAGAAGAGGCAAGCACGUCCGAAAAAGAAGAAGAAGAGGCAAGGUCGAAGUUUGAACAGAAAAAACUCAUCUCUUUAAAACCCAUAGCUCUGAGAAACGGUUGAAGGCAACGGUUAACGACGGUUGUUGAAGCCACUCCGUUCUCCAGACCCUGAAAAAGUAUUUAUUUUGAGUAGAAGGGGCAAAUGUGUGGAUUCCGAAACAGUGAAGGGGCGAAGCAGUGGAAGGGGAAGGAGAGAAGCCGUAUUCGUUGGAAGUGGUAGGUUCCAUUUGUGGAGCAAAGCAACACAAAGACCCCGCACAGACACCUUGCGAUUGUUCAAUAACCAGCAUUUGGUGAGUAAUUUAUGGAAUUUGAGUUUAGGGUUAGAGUAAUGGUUUUCCCCAAUUUGUACCAUCAAUUUUGUUGGAUUUGGCAUCUCUUCUUUGUGCUUCAGUUGCAUGUUAAUUUUUGCUUGGGUAUAUGUUAAAAAAAGAAUGAAAAUCAAGUCAAUAACAAGUGAAUAACAUGUCAAUAAUGAUAUGAAUAAGAUAAUGGUGUUGAAUUGGAGGAGGCCCUCAAAACAUUCCACAUUUGAAGCAGUGCAUAGUGCAGAUUAUCUCUCUGGCGCUAGAAUAUAUAUAUAUUUUGAAAUAAAUAUGAUUUCCUUUGUUACUAAAUUUGCCUGAGAAACAUGAGAACAGAUAAUAAUAAACUCAUGAAUAGAAGUGCAAAGCAUUUGAUGAGUAAUUUAUGGAAUUUGAGUUUAGGCCCAGGAAAUUCCUUGACCCCAAAAAAAAAAAAAAAGUUGAUUUAAAAUUCAGGUCAACCCAUAGAUUUCUCGCCUUUUUCUUCUUCAUCUCGUCGGGCUUGUCUUCUUCUUGAGGAUUGUAUAGGCCCAGGAAAUGCUUUGAGUUAAUUUUUGCAUUUUUGCGUUUUGGGCCUUGGAAGUUGGGACCCAACCCAACUUCACAAAAAGAAAACAGAUUUGCCAAAAAUCAAAUUUCAAGUCUCUCCUCCGAUCGAAAUUUGGAUUUGAUGAACUAAAGUGGUUUUACUUUCUCCAUCAGUGUUUGAUAACUUAAUUUGUUAUUUACUUUUUUUUUAAAAAACUUUGGCUUAUAUAUAUUAGUUUUCUUUUUUCCUUCAUAUUCACCACCUUUAUGUUGCAUAAGUAUUUCAGUCUUAAUGGGUUUCCAUCUACCACUCAUCUUUGCUCUUCUCAGUGUAAGCCUUUUUUUUUUUUUAAAGCACAAGAUUAGAGGGGAGGGGGAUUUCUCAAUGUAAGCUUUGCAGUUUCAUAAUUAAUAUUUCCAAUAUCUCACUGUUAGUAAAAUACAGAAAAAGUACUAAUAACAUAUGCACAUGUUACUAAUUUAUUGAGAUAAAACACCAUUUUGCCCCUAGAAUAUUUUAUUAGGUUUAAAGUUGACUUUUUGACCAGGAAGGAAUUUGGGUAUUUAGACUAUAUCGUUGCGUAGAGCAUGGCGAGAUGAGUCCGUAGACACAUGAUUGGCUCGAAUCAGAGUUAUAAUGAGAGAGAUACGAUCAAAAUACCCUCAGUGGUAUAACCGUAAUUUUGGCUUAAAGGGUUUGAUAAAAUAUAAUUUUUCUUUCUUUCUUUCUCUCUCUCUCUCUCUCUCUCUCUCUCUCCUCUCUCUCACGACGGCAGUGAUAGCCGGCCACUUUUUGGCCAGCCAUGCUCUCGUCCGGCCACUAAAGUUGACGGGGCCGGUACCAAAAUGACCGGGCCACCAUCCUUUUCCAACCCCAGCCAGGCCCCACUGCCAGCAGUCGUGAUUUUGCUGAAAAAUGGAGAAGAAGCGGCCGAUUUCGUUCGAACUUCUCCGACUUCGUUCUCUCUCCUCCGGCCACCGAUUUCGAUGAAUGAGGUAUGGUUUCUCACCUACUUUUUAUGCUCUAGCUGCCUGUUGGGUAGGAUUCGAUCAAUUCCUUGCGUAGGUAGCUUGAUUUUCGAAUUGGAUUUCGGCCGGUUUUGGGAUCUCGAUUCCGGCCACUUCCGGUCAGUUUUUGGGGUACAUCCCAAAACAAAAGUGGUUCUAAAUAGGGUGUUAUACCUAGGGUAGGAACCUUGAACCGUAAUUUUGAGAAUUUUCGGUGAUGCCUAAUCGCUUUGGACACCUACGCUAUGCCUGCGUGUGGGCACUAUAGAAAAAGGGCAUUGUGUCCCGAUGCAAUCCCCUUGUUGUCUUGAGCGCGUAGGUGUGCUCGGAUUUCAAUUUGGAUACCGUUUGAAUCUCGAACGAAUAUCGCAUAUUGUGCGUUAUUCGGGGUCGAUAGGUUUGAACUGUUGGAUAGUCUUAGAUUUAUAAUAUGUUAAUCUAGACAUUCUUAGGAUCGAAUGGGAUUAAACGGAUCGUAAAACGGAGUCCCGGAUACUCCAAAAAUGCCAACCCUAGGGCUAGGUUCCUAGUAACCGUCCGAUCGUGCGAUCGUGAGCGAUCCGACCGUUUGAUCCGAACCAAACUUGCAGGACGUGUAUCCUAAACCUUGUAGAACCCAUAGGAACUUUCGGAUUAGAAUUUGGAGGUCGUGGGCCCCUUGGGCCGUUUGACUAAGUUUGGGUAGUUUGACCCUUGGCUGAUCGUGAGUCUUCAGAGGUCUUGAGCGUUGUUGAGCUAUGUUGACUAGGUUUAGACUUUUAGAGUGUUUAUUAUUAUCAUAGGAAACUAUUAGAUAUUAUUUUAAUAAUUGAAAUUAUCAAAUUUAUGUUUAUGUGCAUGAUUGUUGGUCUAAAAAUAACAUUGUUUUCUUGAUAAAAUUACGUUGCAGUCUACUAUAGACUGGUAUCACUAAAUGGAGAUUACCUCUAUUAUUAGUUUAGAUAAUUAAGAGUAUGUCAGUUUGAAGUGCUAUAUGCACUACCCUAAGUACCACCCUGUGAUUGUUAGGUCCCAUGUGGUGUAGAUUAUACAGCGUCAGGACAGACCCCAUACGUGGCUUUGGAUGUUCUGGCGCAUGGGGGAGAUUAUGUAAUGGUUAGGUCAUACGUGGCGUAGGUUAUUCAGCGUGUUGACAGACCCUAUACGUGGCGUUGGAUGUUCCAGUAUGGAAAGAUUUUGUGAUUGUUAGGUCCCACGUGGCGUAGAUUAUCCGGCGUGAGGACAAACCCCAUUCGUGGCUUUGGAUGUUCCUGCGUAUGGGGGAGAUUAUGUGAUGGUUAGGUCACACGUGGCGUAGGUUAUUCGGCGUGUUGGCUAACCCCAUAAGUGCCGUUGGAUGUAACGACCGGUCCUAAAUAAAUUAGUGAAUAUUAAUUUAUUCAGAGAAAAUACCAUUUUGCCCAUAGAGUAUUUUAUUAGGUUCAAAGUUGACUUUUUGAUCAGAAAGGAAUUUGAGAAUUUCGAUUAUACCGUUGCAUAGAGCACGGCGAGAUGAGUCCGUAGACACGUGGUAUGCUCGAAUCGAAGUUGUAACGAGAGAGAUACGAUCAAAAUACCCUCAGUGGCAUAACCGUAAUUUUGGCAAAAAGGGUCGAUAAAAUCAUAUAUAUAUAUUUUCUCUCUCUCUCUCUCUCUCUCUCUCUCUCUCUCUGCGAUAUUGUCCCUCUCUCUCUUUGAUUCACUGCCAUCUGCCCACGGCAGGACUUGAGACUGGUCACGUUUGAACCGGCUCGAUGUCCCGAUCACGUCGCACCCAAAAUGCAAAUGGAAACCUUGAAUUCCAGCCACGGCUUCGACUGGUUUGAACUGGGUUUUUCCCGGCGUUGCGCCACCGCCUCCGCCGCCCAAUUCCGGUGAAACAGGUAUAAUUCCUCACCUAUUUUUCGAGAUCCAGCUGUUGUUGUGUAGGAAUUAGACGAUUUUCAUGUUUAGGAACUCGAUUUAGAAUUUAGGUUUUGGUCGAAUUUUCAAAGUGAAAUUUCGGCCACUUCCGCUGGUUUUUCGGGGUAUGUCUAAGAACAAAAGUGGUUCCAAAUAGGGUGUUAUACCUAGGGUAGGAACCUUGAGCUGUGAUUUUGAGAAUUUCCGGCGAUGCGUAUUCGCUUUGGACACCCACGCGCCGACAGCGCGUGGGCACUGUAGAAAAGGGGCAUUGUGUCUCAAUGCGAUCUGCUUGUUGUCUUGAGCUCGUAGGUAUGCUCGAAUUUCAAUUUGGAUACUGUUUGAGUCUCGAACGGAUAUCGCAUAGUGUACGUUAUCCGGGUUUGAUAGGUUUGAACCAUUGGAUAGUUUUGAAUUUGAUAUAUGUUAAUCUAGGCAUUUCUAGGAUCAUGUAGGAAUUCAGGGAUCAUGAAUCAGAGCCCCGGAUGUUCCGAUUUAAUAACUUAAAGUUUAUGUUUAUAAUAACUAUCAGAUCGUGCGAUCGUGAGCGAUCCGACUGUCUGAUCUGGACCAAACUUGCAGCACGUAUAUCCUAAACCUUGUGGAACAUAAAAAAAUUUCGGAUUAGAAUUUGGAGGUCGUGGGCCCCGUGGGCCCAUUUAACCAAUUAUGGGUAGUUUGAUCCUUGGUUGACCGUGAGUCUUCCGAGAUAGUUUUACCUUCCUAGGAGGAUUAUAAUGACCCUAGUGAUAGGUCUUGACCGUUGUUCAGCUAUGUUGACUAGGUUGAGACUUCUAGAGUGUUUAUUAUAUUAUUGUAGGAAACUCUUAGAUAUUAUUUUAAUAAUUGAAAUUAUGAAAUUUAUGUUUAUGUGCAUGAUCGUUGGUCUAAAAAUAAUAUUAUUUUCCUGAUAAAAUUACGUUGCAGUCUACUAUAGACUAGUAUCACUAAAGUGGGAAUACCUCUAUUAUUAGUUGAGAUAAUUGGGAGUAUGUCAGUUUGAAAUGUUAUACCCUAAGUACUACUCUAUGAUUGUCAGGUCACCCGUGGCGUAGGAUUUUCCGGUGAGAUGACAGACCCCAUACGUGGCGUUGGAAUUUCCAACGUAUGGAGAGAUUAUAUGAUUGUUAGGUUUCACGUGGCGUAGGAUUUUUCAGCGGGAUGACAAACCCCAUACGUGGCAUUGGAAGUUUCAGCGUAUGGGGAGAUGAUAUGAUUGUUAAGUCACACGUGGCGUAGGUUAUUUGGAGUGCUGACAGACCCCAUACGUGGCGUUGAAAUUUCUGGCGUAUGGAGAGAUGAUAUGAUUGUUAGGUCACUUUGGAUGUUCUAGCGUAUUGGGAGAUUAUGUGAUUACCAGUGAGAUGAAUAAAGGAUUGUUAUGUUAUAUUGGGAAAAACAUGUUUGUAGAAAGAAUUACGUGUGGCUUGAUCCCUCAGUAAGGGUACGUAGGCAGCCUAGGGUAGUGCCUUGGUGCAGUCGCUGACUAAACAUUAUAAUGUUGUUUUUAGGUUUGAUUAUAUGGUAUUAUGGGGCAAGGCCCCUAGGACUAUUGGUGAUAAUUCAUAGAUGGUAGUGGAUGCAUGCUAGAAAUUUGUAGGAAGUUAUUUCAUGUGGAUUGCAGUGGUACUCGUAAAAUUUAUUUGAGUUCCUUAAUUGCAUUGUUAAUAUAUUAAUUUACUUAAGAGUACUGCUAGUAGUUCUGCCUUGAUUUAUUUGAAGGCUGGAGGCCUUGUCUGGAAACUGUGUGCAAUUAGAUUGUGUGUGCUGGCAGUUGACUUUUUAAAUUGUGAAUUUUGUGCAGGUUGAAAUUUGGGAAAUGUUCAAUUUACAGGGGAGACUCUGCUGAAAUUUCGGUAGAAAGUCUUGUGCCCUUAUUCCUUUUUGGGGAAAAGGAUAUAGUUUUAGAAGUGGCGAUGUCGGGAAUUUCCACAGGAUUCGUCUCGGGUUUCGGGAAAUUCGGGGCGGGUCUGAAAAAGUUGUUUCAGUUUUGGCAAGUAUCGGAAAAGACCAAAAUUUUCCGACUUUAUUAUUACUAGAAACAAGGUCGAAGUAUUUACCAAUCAUGUGGCCUUCCAAGUGCUCUAGGUUAAGCCAGGAACCGUUCCUAUCUGCCGUUUCCUUCCCAACUAUGAUCAUGUUGUCUGGGUUCCAACCCACAAAUCUACAUUGGGCUACGUAUUUGAAUUUGUACUAAAGCGUGAUCUAUAGUAUGCAUAUAUUGGAUAAGUUUGAGAUCAGUGGCUUGGGUGUCCGCUGAGCUUGAACAAGUUUGGGUGUGCUGAGUGUUUCCAUGGGUGUGUUGAUGAUCAUGGUUAUUAGAUUUGUGAUAGUUUGGGCUCAAUUUCAACAGAACUCAUCUCAAGCCUAGAUAGUUGAUUCUUAAGUUUAUCAGGAAAAAAAAUUAAAAAUUAAAAAAUCUAAAGUUAAGCCCAAGGCGCCGAACUUGGACUUCUCACCAAACUGUGCAUAAAUUGAAAUAUUUAAUAGAAGCCCAAGAUUUUUGAAGCACAUAAUAUCUACAAAAAUCUACAAAGUGUAAUACUUUACAAACUUCUUAUGUGUACCAAUUUCUGCUCAAAUUAAUUUCUCUGUGGUGCUGAGAUUCAUCAUAAUUUUAGUAGAAAUUGGAAGUUUUCAUCAUUUUUGCUUUAAGUCUCUCCUCCACUCACUAAUAAAGAUUACUCAAGUGAGUUUACAAAACAUUUUUUUUCUACUCUCUCCUGAAGACUACACAUCUUCUCAAAAGAUUAGAUCACUUCACAUCUUGUAUAUGUGAAAACUAAUGCAAAAAGUUGAAACUUUAUCAUAAAACCUCGACAAAAAUUAGCUCUACUUAGAACAUUAAAUUUGGAUUCGUUGAUUUAAAUGGCAAUUUGACACUUCAUAGAAAUUUUUACAUACAUGUGUUAGUGUUUGAUCACUUCACUUAUUACUUACUAUAUUUAUUCCAUGAUUCUCCCUCAAGUUAUGUAAAUAUUAUUAUCAAACAUUUCAAUUCAUUUGUGAUAUUUCUUGUCCAUCUUUCAAUGUACCCUGAAAUCCAUUAGCCACAUAUGAUGACCAAAAUCCACACUCUGUUGUUUGCAAACGUUCAAUAUACGACUUGCAUCCACAGUCCUGACCCAAAUGAAAUGCGGAAACUGUCAAGCUAACUGUAGGGAGGACUAUAUUUGAUUUUACCUUAAAGACUGAUCCGAAACCACCUUCUCCAAGUUUAUUGUUGUUUGAAUAGUUUUUGGUUGCACAAACAACAGCGGCCAAGUCAAAUAAUGGCAAUUCCAGAUCUUCCUUUUGGCCGGGCUUCAGUUCUCCUGUGAAGUACGUAGUGAAGUAAAUAAUGUAGCAUGGAACCUUAGCUUAGAAACCAGAGAGGCAACAGCAAAAAUUUUCUAUAGAACUGAACCUACCUAUCUUAGAAAAUGAAGGGGCAGAAGAGUAGAAAAUCAAAUAGCUUACCAUAUUUUUGUUGCUGGUUCUUCCUCACAUAUAAUAGCAGGGUAAGGCCCAGGGUCAGCAGUCCAGUAGACAACACAGUACUGGUUACUAUGAUCUUUGUAUUGUGUCCUUGAUCUAGGAAUGAAGUAUUUGAAAGCAGAAGAUUGAGGAGUCAGAAAUUCAUAAAGAAAAAAUCUCUACUUUUUAUCAUCCAACGAACAAUUAAUGCUAGUUUCUGAGACAGUUCUAAAGAAAUAUUUUUCUAACAAUGUCAAAAGUUUUCUGGCUCUAUCUUGUUUCUAAUCAUGUCACUGUUGGAAGAUUUCUUUCUUCUUUUUUCCUUGGUGGCUUUUAUUUUUCUUUCAAACUUUGUUUUAAACAGCAAGAUGAUUCCAUACCUAGUUCUGACGAAGCCAUUCUUAUGUAAAUAUCUUGCCCAUUUAUAUUGGAAUAUCUUAUAUCAACCAGAUCGCUGAACCACAGCAAGGACCCCCUUCCUCCAUCUCGGAUAUCCAAAUUUGAAAAAGCGGCGCAGGAGCAGUUGUUCAUGCACAUCAUCUCACAUUCCUUGAGGUUCAUAAUUGUGUUAUACUAGGAUUGUUCUGUACUUUAUUUCACCCCAGUGUACUUCUUAAAGAUGUCUCCACUGCAAUUCAGUUGGCUCUUUCUCACAGAUCUAUAUGACCAAUCCACCAAGUCCCAGUCUUGUUGAAAGUCGGUAUAAAUCCUUUCAAGCAGCUACGUACUGGGGACUUGUCAAUACAACAUGCACCAUUCGGACCACAUAUUCCAUAUUUGUCGCAGAUAUCAGUCGUUGCUCUUAGAUAAACAACCCAACCUUGGUUUCCAUCACUCCCGAUGUAGCUCAGCCCAAAUCCAUCUUGAGUUAACGCCAGCCUGAAAAGAGUUGAGCUGUUGAGAAGCUUAUAACCAUAAUAUACUUCAUCAUCAUUAUCCAACACAAAAUCAUAUGUUGGAUUUAAAUUAUGCAUCCCACUAAAUUGGAUUCCAUUCCAUGGUGCAGUCCGAUAUUUUAUAACAGAACCCUCCCUCAGAAUUAAUUCAUGGUACCCAUAAGGACCAAGUUGAUAUGGGUAAUGUCCUUGAGAAGGAUCCUGGGGGCUUUUCCAGGGUGUAAGAUGCCAAUUAAAACCUGUGAUUUUGUUCCUAACAAGCUUCAUACCUGGUAUUAAUGUAUCUCCUGGGUAAUCAAAACUCUGCCAUAAAAUAUUAUCAGAGUCAUUACGACCAUUGCCAUCUAUCACAACAAGAUUUCCGGAAUCCAAAAUCUGUGCCACUGGAUUCUAUGAAGAACUUGAUGUGUUGGAAGACCUGUAGUGUUCUUUGUUGAAUAUUUGGAUUGCAAAGGGAGCAAGAAAUGUACUGAGAGAGAAAGAGAGAGAGAGAGAGAGAGAGAGAGAGAGAGAGAGAGCAGUGAGCCUUAGAUUGUUCUAACAGUUUUCUUACUCUGCAUGAACAUAGCAGCAGAGCUUAUAUUCCUUCAUGACUGUUACAUGUUCUCUCUUACAUCAGUAGAUUCAAAUCUAACGGUUUGUAAUAGUAAGCCAAUGUGAGUAUGACACAUGGCAAUACACAGCUGUCCUAACAGCUGGGAAUUCAAAACAGACUCUAGCAUUGCACCUGGCAUAUAAGCACAAGGCACUCAGCUAACACAAAGAUUAAAAACAGAUUGAAUAUAAACUGACAUAGAACUUACUAACUAAUCUGAAAUUAGCUAGACAGUUUACAUUUUAACACUCCCUUCUAAAGUGCUAGCUGAUUUCACUCCAAGCAUUCUCCUCAAAUAGUCAAACCUGUCUUUGGGAAGAGCUUUGGUGAAGAUAUCAGCAAUCUGCUCUUCUCCUUUGCAGUAGAGCAGUUCAAUCACUUCUUCUUGUAUUGCAUCUCUAAUAAAAUGAAACUUCCUUUUAAUAUGCUUGCUCCGUUGAUGAAAAACAGGAUUUUUAGCCAUUGCUAUGGCUGAAGUGUUGUCACAAAACACAGUUGUUGCAGUGGUCUGUUCUUCCCCAAAAUCUUCAAGAACAAACCUGAGCCAAAUGGCUUGUGAUGUAGCUUCUGCUGCACUCACAUACUCUGCCUCUGCAGUAGAGAGAGCCACACUGUGUUGUUUGACUGAUGCCCAUGAAAAAGCACCACUUCCAAAUGAAAAUGCAUAUCCAGAAGUGCUUUUCAUAUCUUCCUCAGAUCCACUCCAGUCACUGUCACAGUAACCAACUAAGAGUGCAGAUUUUCCUGUCACAUACUCAAUUCCAUAGUCAAUUGUGCCUUGUAUGUACCUUAGAACCCUUUUAGCUGCCCCAUAGUGCAUCUUAGAAGGGUUAUGCAUGAAUCUUGCAAGCAGGCAGGCAGAGAACAUGAUAUCUGGCCUGGUUGCAGUAAGGUACAGCAGGCUGCCUACAAUUUUUCUGAACAAACUUUCAUCUGCAGCAUCACUUCCAUCCUCUCUUUUCAAUUUAUCAGUAGCCACUAAUGGAGUGCUUACUGACUUGCAGUCUUUGAGUCCAAACUUAUCCAAGAGAGUGAGAGCAUACUUCUUUUGAUGAAUGAAGAUGCUCCCUUCAGUUUGUGUUACUCCCAUACCAAGAAAAUGGUGGAGUAAACCCAAAUCAGACAUCUCAUACUUGCACAUCAUUUCAGCUUUGAAUUCUUUCAUCAUUUCAUCUCUACUUCCUGUGUACACUACGUCAUCUACAUAGAUUGACACUAUUAGUGUUCCCACCUUCCUUUGUUCUCACAUAGAGAGUGGCUUCACUUGGACUUCUGUGAAAACCACACUGAUUCGAGUAGGUGUCAAUUUCACUAUACCAGGCCCUUGGAGCCUGCUUCAACCCAUAGAGGGCUUUUCUUAACCUAUACACCUUAUCCUCAUCAUCUUUAACCACAAAACCAUCCGGUUGAUCAAUAUAAACUUCUUCUUCAAGGACACCAUUUAGGAAGGCUGACUUGACAUCCAAUUGCCAUAGUUUCCAGCCUUUCUGAGCAGCAAGAGCUAUGAGAGUUCUAAUGGUGUCUAACCUUGCUACAGGAGCAAAGGUUUCAUUGAAAUCAAUCCCUGGUUUUUGUGUGUAUCCCUUGGCAACAAGUCUUGCUUUAUGUUUUUGAAUGGAGCCAUCAAGAUUAAGCUUAAUUUUGAAUAUCCACUUCACUCCCACAAUUGGUUUACUACUUGGCCUGUCAACCAAUUCCCAACUGGAGUUUUUCUCUAUCAUAAGUAUCUCCUCAGUCAUAGCCUUCCCCCAAGCUUCAUCUUUGACUGCUUCUUCAAAAUUUUCAGGUUCAAUGAUGCUCAUCUUGCAUUGAGCAUACACUUCACUCAAACUCUUCCAUUUCUUUGGGGUGUUAUCAUAAGUUUCUAAUGGAGCAGAGUCUUGAGUAGCAUGCACAUCAUUACUUGUUUGUGUUUCCAUAGGAGACUGUACAAUCUGUUGCUGUAACAGAUUUGGUUAUGAAUCCAAAUCUGAUACAAUUGAACUUACUCCAUCACCCCAAGACAUAGGGAUUUGCAAUGCCUCAUUGGUUUCCCAAUUCCACAUUGCUUCUUCAUCAAAAAUAACACUCCUAGACAGCUCAAUCUUUUGAGUUCUCAAGUUGAGCACUCUAUACCCCUUUUCACAUACACCAUAUCUUACAAAUACUCCCUUCUCACCUGUGUCUUCCAGCUUGUGCCUUUUCUGUGUGGGGAUGUGAAUAUAGCAUAGAGAACCAAAUAUUCUCAAAUGCUUGACACCUGGUUUUCUUCCACCGAACUUUUCAAAUGGAGUGGAAUUGUCCAGUGCACUUGUAGGACAUCUGUUCUGCAAAUAUACAGCUGUAUUGACAGCUUCUGCCCAAAACUUCAAAGGGAUUUUCUUCUCAUACAUCAUGGCUCUUGCCAUUUCCAUCACAGUACGAUUCUUUCUCUCUGUAACUCCAUUCUGUUGUGGAGAGUAGCCUACUGNNNNNNNNNNNNNNNNNNNNNNNNNNNNNNNNNNNNNNNNNNNNNNNNNNNNNNNNNNNNNNNNNNNNNNNNNNNNNNNNNNNNNNNNNNNNNNNNNNNNNNNNNNNNNNNNNNNNNNNNNNNNNNNNNNNNNNNNNNNNNNNNNNNNNNNNNNNNNNNNNNNNNNNNNNNNNNNNNNNNNNNNNNNGGUGUGGUCAUCAAUGAAGGUGAGGAAAUAUCUGUUCCCUCCAAGAGUGAUGGUCUGCAUUGGACCACAAAUGUCUGAGUGAAUCAGUUCUAGAGGUUGAGUGGCUCUCCAAGCUCCUUCCUUAUCAAAAGAGCUUCUGUGAUUCUUGCUUUCAGCACAACCUGAGCAGACCUUCUCAUGUUCUUGUAAAUUAGGCAUUCCCUGAACCAUAUCUCUCUCUUGUAACAACUUCAAACUAAUAUAGUUUAGGUGCCCAAAUCUUCUGUGCCACAGCCAGGAUGUUUCUCCAACUGUUGCUCUGUUUGCCAUAGGAGGAUUAACAUAGUCAAGAUUUAAAGGAAAACAUUUGUUUCCCUUCAUUGGCACUCUUGCAAUGCAAUCUUCCAACUGCCUAUCUCCAUAGAUAUCAACUGCAUUAUCACCAAAUACAAGCCAAUGCCCAUGUUCUAUCAUUUGACCUACACUUAGCAAAUUUUCAUCUAAACUUGGUACAAUCAUGAUUUCUUUGAUAUAUCUAGUCACACCCUUCAUUUCUAUAGCCAAAGUCCCUUUGCCUAUUAACUGCACUAGAUCACCAGUCCCCAUUUUGACUUUACUCUUCAUACUUUUAUCAACAUUUACAAGUAAUGACUCAUGGGAAGUCAUGUGAUUGCUGCAUGCACUAUCAACAUACCACAUAUUCACAUUCUUUCCAAUUGUUGCAGCAUGACAUGCAUAGAACAUAAUGGCAGGUUCAGUUACCUGAUUUGCAAUGUUAGCAAGUUUCCCUGCCUUGUUUGCUUGGUCACAGUCCUUAACAAAAUGACCAAAUCGAUUGCAGCCAUGACACUUUGGUUUUCCUUUAAACCAACACUCACCAUAGUGUAACUUCUCACAAUGUUUGCAUUUUCCAGAUUUGUCUCCUUGACUUGGUUUUCCCCCUUGAUUGGCACUGUUUUGGGGUUUAGAAUCCCAUUUCUUAUCCUUGGACUUCCAAUUCUUCUUUGAUUUAUUAGAGCCAGAACUAGAACUUGAUUGAGAUCCUUUUGAGUUUAUGCUCAUGCUGCUGAAAGCUUUCUCAGUGGUGCUUUCUGCAUGUCUGUCAAGGCGCUGAGCAAAACCUCUUAAUGCUGCAAUUACCUCCUGCACUUCAAUGGUUUCAAUGUCUCUAGUUUGCUCAAUCACAUAGCAGACUGGAUCAAAUUCCUUGGUUAAGCUUAUUAGCAGUUUUUGAACUAUCCUCCCUUUGGUCAGAUCUUCCCCAUAUCCCUUCAUCUGAUUUACAAGCUCAAGUAACCGAGUGAUGUAUCCAGACAAGAUCUCAUCAUCCUUCAUCCUGGUGUACUCAAAAUCUCGACGCAGACCCUGCAACAUGAUGGAUCUGACUUGCUUAUCACCAUGAAACUCCUGAUGCAAGAUAUCCCAAACACCUUUUGAGGUUUCUUCAUUUGAGAUUCUGGGAAAGAUGUCAUCUGAAACAGCACCUUGGAUAAUACCAAGAGCCUUAGCAUCUUUCAUCAACAAGGACACCAUCUCUGAAUCUGAUGACCCUUCUUUAUCAGCUUUUGAAUCUGGAACUUGAAGGCCUUUCUCAACCAAAUUCCAGAUUCCAUGAGAUUUGAAAAUUGUUCUCAUUCGAAUCUUCCAAAACUCAUAGUUCUCCCCAUUGAAUAUUGGAGCUCUAAGAUCACUCCCUCCUGACCCAGCCAUCUGAGACCAGACUCAAUGAGUUGAGAGUAGGAAAUUUCCCGUUGGAUUUCCAGACUCAGCUCCCACAGCUUCAACGCCCUCUAUCCAGAUCCAACCUGCGCACCUGAUACCAUGUUGAAUAUUUGGAUUGCAAAGGGAGCAAGAAAUGUACUGAGAGAGAGAGAGAGAGAGAGAGAGAGAGAGAGAGAGCAGUGAGCCUUAGAUUGUUCUAACAGUUUUCUUACUCUGCAUGAACAUAGCAGCAGAGCUUAUAUUCCUUCAUGACUGUUACAUGUUCUCUCUUACAUCAGUAGAUUCAAAUCUAACGGUUUGUAAUAGUAAGCCAAUGUGAGUAUGACACAUGGCAAUACACAGCUGUCCUAACAGCUGGGAAUUCAAAACAGACUCUAGCAUUGCACCUGGCAUAUAAGCACAAGGCACUCAGCUAACACAAAGAUUAAAAACAGAUUGAAUAUAAACUGACAUAGAACUUACUAACUAAUCUGAAAUUAGCUAGACAGUUCACAUUUUAACAUUCUUAUGGUCGGCAGGGACAAGAAUUCCAGGGCUGCUCAACUUGAAUACACCUGAUGAACCAGUGAGGGGUGUGUUUCUUUUAGUCUGCACUAUAUAUGCAGGGUCUGACUCUAAUUAGAAGAUAAUUGUAUUAAUUUGGUAAAGCUUUGUCUGUAACUGUCUCGCACCUUAAAAAAAUUUCACAAUUAGCAGCAUUGGCAAUACUUGAUUAGAAAGCAGAAACCCUACAGUAUAUAGUUAAGUUGAGUAGCUGGGAAGACAAUUAGUAAGCUUUCAAUACUAAAGUUGAAUAUUGGGGAGACAAAUUACUAGAGCUUCAAGUUCAGAUAAAUAGGAUGAAUUUCUCUUAAGGGAUCCCCUUUCACUGUAGCUUGGAGUAGAAUUCAUUUUGACACAAUAUCAAUUAUCAAUGUAAACACGUUACUGAUGCACUAUUGACAAUAUCGAUGCACGUCAUAUCAUAUUUGUGGGAGUAAAUUUCCUCACGAGAAUAUUUGGUUCAAAAGAUUCCCCUUUUUUUUUUUUUUGCCGCCUCUUUCUCCUUGCAAAAUAGAACAAAUAAGAGGACCACACCCGGGGGGUGUUGGCCAAAGGCCCUCCGAUGCUAAAUUAGUUCAAGUAUUUGUAAGAAAAAUACUAGCUAACUAGGGUACAGAGGUGUAUUUAAGGUGUAAACCGGGCAGCCGAAGUCUUAUGUAAAAGAGAGAGAGAAAGGAGGUGGCUAGCGUUUGAGAGGAAUUUUCUGCAGAGUUUUUAGUAGAGAUUUCAGACGUACCUCAACCAUUGUGUGUGGCCAUCUUUUUAUAGUGGUCUUGGAGGCUAGGGUUUCAGAGGAAUAAUUCCGUAGAUGGAAAGGAAUUAUUCCUCCCCUAUUUGGAAUUGAUUUGAUUAAUUAGGGAUUUGAUUUAUUAGGGUAAAUCAAAUCCCUAAUUGUGGUAGGUAUCAAAUCAAAUCCUUUUUUAAUUAGGUAACUCCUCAUUUAAUUGGGAAUUGUGGUAGGAAUCAAAUCAAUUCUCAACCUAAUUAGGUAACGUUCAAUUUAAUUGGGUAAUUCCCAAUUAAAUUGAGUAACUCCCAAUUAGGUUGAUUAAUUCCCAAUUAGAUCAAAUAAUCCCCUAAUUGAAGGAAUUAUUUGACCUAGGGUCUGAUUUAAUUCGAUUCCCACAAAUGCCCCCCAGCUUCUGCAUGGUGCAUGGUGGCACGUAGGAGAUGUAAAUUAUCUGUUGGGCUGUCCAGCUGUAACUGGGCUUCCUUCGUGGACCUGGGCUCCCGAGUAGAGGAGGUGUUUGACUUGCCAAUUUUAUGAACACCCAAUUGGAAAGGGUUUGAGAUUCCUUGUAGGUCAAGGAAUUUUGCUCCUUAUAAAUGUAGGGCUCCUCCAAAUUAUUCUCGACAUCAGAAAUCUACUCCUCCAAAUUUGUUAGUGAGAGAGAGAAGACUUUGGAGAAUUUUUCAGCGUGCUUGAGACUUCAUCUUUGCAGCCCAUCCAAGGUAAUUUGAUAGGAAGAAUUUUAUUUUGAGUUGCUAUGACUUUUGGCAGCAAGCUGUGAGACUAAGGGCAUGUCUUGAGGUGCGCGCUAGGGCUUUAGGCAUGGCAAGAGACUCGGAAAGGCUAGCAGGUUCGUUUCCACCUACGCUGGGCUCAAGGAGAAGGCAACAGGGCUUCAGGCCUUGUGGAUGAAGUGGGCUUUCGCUGGGAGCAAGAGGCCUGGAGCUGAGGCAAGGAGACAAUGGGCCUGGUACGAGGUGUGGGCUGAGCAUGCCAGCUUUGGAGCAAGGGGGCCAGGACGACUGCUGGGCAGGAGGUGCGCUGGGCUGCAUGCGCGAGCUGCGCCGAGUGCUGGCUGGAGGAGCGAGCUGGGCUGCGCGCUAGGCCAUUCAUGCUGGGCUACUUCCGUUUUUUUUUUGUUUUUUUUUAAAUUUUAUUUGCUGUUGCUGCUUUUUUUUUUGUUUUUUUGUUUUUUUUUUGUUUGGUAUUCUAACUCGUAAUUUUUUUUUUCUUCUUACAGCUACUUGUUGAUCAACCAUGUCUUCCGGAGAUGGUAGCAAGGCUCCAAGCUCUUAGGUCCUUUUGUAUUUAUGGGGAGGCUCCAUAGUGCAUGGCAAGAAGUUUGUGGUCAACUUGCAUCGCGUCACGACUUAUGCUCAGUUCCAGAAGUGGCGGGCCACUUAUGCGUCUGCCAUUCCAGAUGACGUGCUGGUCAAGCUAUUGAAAUCUCAAACUGAUAACGAGCCUUUGGUGGACGUGAGUGAUCAUGAUGCUAGGAUCAUUACCUUCCGUCCUUUUUACUUCUCUUUAGGCUUCAAAUUCCCGUUGUCAAAGCUCUUCAAGAAGGUGUUCUGUGCCAUGGGGUGUGCUCCGAGCCACUGUACUCAUGUGCUUCAAGAAUUUGAGUCGUUUCUUCAUGUUGGAGCUGACGAUGCGAGAGUUCUUUUAUUUUUUUCGAAGUGAGGCACUUUGAGCGGUACGCCCAAGUUCGUAUCUACAAGGCCAAGCUGUUCCACGGUCUCAGUCAAGGAGAUCACGCUUGACAUGAAGAUGUGUUGGAGGUCAGCAGACGGUGGGAGGGUGACGUCGGUGACGGCCCACCUGUUCCCAUCACCUAUUGUGAUGGUAUGUCUCUUUACGAUUUUUGAUAUGCUCCUUUUAUUUGAAUUUCUUGAAGUGUGGCAGACUAACUUCUAUCUUCUGCUCGUAGUGAGUGACAUUAGCAAGCAAUUGGAGCUCCGACCAGACAUGGCUAAGGUCCGUCGUGCUUUGAACAUCCCUCUAAGGUUUCACGAGUGGCGCUGGCUGUUGAGUGAGUACCGGGAGGAAGACGGUGGUUUUCUCCUUGCCGAGGAUGUCGAAAGGUGGAAGCAGAACGAUCCUGACCCUGAUGAUCUGCUUGGCAGACAGGAAGAAUGUUCUGCUUAAUCGCUCUUAAAGAGAAAGGCUGCUGCCAAAUCUUUGAGAUGUGAAGCUACUUCUUCGCAUGCAAAGGAUGGGUCUCCAUCGAGGAAGAAACCAAGGCUCCCUUCUGCUGAGAAGACUCAAGUGGGGUCUGCUCCCUCAUCAUCUGCCAGGGUUAAGCAUCUCGUGGGUGCAGAUAGCAAGAAGGUUGGUGGUAUGCAUGGUACUCGGGGUGUUCUGCCCAAGCUUCCUGCUGACACGCUCGAAAACCAUGAUAUACUUCGUGAAGUGGCUCGUGCCCAACCUAGUUCUGCCAAGCGUCAAAGAGAUGUAGACAUUCCUCCUAGAAGUUCGAGUUGUCUGCAUCGGUCAAAAGAUGGAGACCGAAGCGGGAGGUCUGCUUAUGAUCCAGCAUUAUUGACUCAUUUGGAGAUGAGGUUGGCGAAGGCUAAGAAGGUGAAAGAGUCAUCUGCCCGGGUUAAGGGUUCUUCCUCGGCGUUGGUAGUUGGUCCCAAGAUGAACAAGUCUAGCUCUGUAGGGGAUGCAUGCGUAUCUGAUCUGCUCAAGAUGAACUUCCUAUCAAACCCGUCCUCUUGUGUUGAGUUGGUUGAUCACAUCCCUCAAGCGGGCGAUCUAGGCACUUUCUCGUGCCUUUCCUUAGAAAAAUGAAGGAAAAUGACAUUCCAUCUGAUUCAAAAAGGACUGGUUUUUGCUACUGAGACUAUUUGGAACUCAUCUGCUAUUGCCCCUCUUCUGUCCAACUCAGCGAGUUGGAGAAGAAGAAUGCUGAUUGGCUAGACAGCUUUCCGCCGAGCAGGCCCGUUACGAGAAGAAGAUGUCUGAUUUGAGGGCGAUGAUAUCUGAGCUGAAAAGCUCCCUUACCGAGAAGGAUUUCGAGCUCAACUCUUCUGCUGCUGAUUUGGCUAGUCGAAAAGAUACCUUCUUUCGUCUUGAGCAUAAGAAUGCUGACAUCUUCCUUAGCUAUAACAAACUCCUGGCUAGAUUUCAUGCCUACCAUAAGUCUGCUAAAGAAUCCAAGACAGAUGGAGCUGCUGAAGGCGUAGCCGGUCAGGUGGAUGCCGAAGAGGCUGCAGCUUAAAAGUCUUCUGCUGGCGUCUCAGAGUAGAUGAAGACUCUUUUUUGUUUCUUUUCAGCUUUUGUAGUUUGCUUUAUUGUUUAGAAUAACUGGUCUUAUUUGACCAUCUUCUUUUUGUUGAACUUGGCUGGUUGGUCUGUUUGUUAGGGAAAUUUCAGUUACAUUUUCCAACUUCAAUUUGCAUAUUUGACUUGUGAACUGCUUAAGUAACCAGCCUGUGUUUUGAUUGCACAUCCCCCUUUAGAGAUUUGUGAGUACCAGGGUCCCCCUUGGAGGACUCCGGCCAUGCACAGUAUAUCUCGUAGGAUGGUUCCCCUUAGGAAGUUGGCGAGUACCAGGGUCCUCUUUGAGAGACUCCGGGUGUGUUCUGCACAUCCCGUAUGAUGCCUUAAUCGUCGCCUUGCUUCUCCCGUAGGACGCUGCUUAUAGGCAACUAUAUGACUAUCCUGCCUUUCUUAGGAAACGGAUAGGAACCUGGAUAUUUCCCGCAUGAAGCAUGGAGACCUCCUUUUAAGAAAUUUUUGGUGCACCAUGCUUCUCCCUUAGGACGCUUUUUUCGCAGGCUGGGUCUCCAAAUGGACGCUUUUAGUCGUUGCCCUGCGUCUCCCUUAGGACGCUCCUUAUGGGCAACUGUGUGACUAUCCUGCCUCCCUUAGGAAAUGGAUAAGACUUGAAUAUUUCCCGCAGUAAGCAUGGCGACCCCCUUUUAAGAAACUCCUGGCGUACCCUGCAUCUCCCUUAGGAUGCUUUUUAAGAGGGCUGCUUCUCCAAACGGACGCUUUUAGUCGUUGCCUAUGUCUCCCCUAGGAUGCUCCUUAUGGGCAACUGUGUGACUAUCCUGCCUCCCUUAGGAAACAGAUAGGAAACUAGAUAUCUCCCUUAGGAAAUUCCUAGCGCACCUUGCGUCUCCCGAAGGACGCUUUUUUAGCUGGCUACGUCCCGAAACGGACACUUUUAGUCGUCGCCCUGCGUCUCCCUUAGAAUGCGCCUUAUAGGCAACUGUGUGACUAUCCUGCCUCCCUUAGGAAACGGAUAGGAACCUGGAUAUCUCUCUUAGGAAAUUCCUGGGGCACCUUGCGUCUCCCGAAGGACGCUGCUUAUGGGAAAAUAUUGUGUUUCGUGGGCAGAUGAGACAUUUUGGAAUGAGAAACUGAACUUAUAUUGAUAUUCAUAAGAUUACAGUCCUUUAUUUGAAAAUGGAAAUAACUUGGUUCAAAAACUUAGAACUUCUAGCAGCUACGAGGAAGCACUAUGGAUAAUACUUUCGGAGAUGGUGAGCAUUCCAUUGUCGUGGUAUUUCCUUCCUAUCCAUGGUGUCCAGUGUGUUGCUUCCUCUGCCCCGGACCUGCUGAUCACAUAAACGCCCUCCCAGUUAGGAUUCACUUUUUUUGACCCGUGUCUUGGUGCAGUAAUGAAAGCCUUAGCACGAGGUCGCCUGGUUGAAACUGUUUGACCUUAGCUCUUUUGUCGUAGUAAGACUUCAACUGCUAGUGAUAGGAGGCGACCCGAAUAAUGGUCUUCUCACGCCUGCCCUCAAGUAAGUUGAGGUUGAGCCUCAUCUGCUCGGAGUUCUGAUCAACACUGCCUACCUUAAGACUUAUAGAGAGGACAGUGAUGUGAGGUGGUAUGAUCACUUCUGUUCCAUAGGCGAGAGAGAAUGGGGUUUCACCAGUCGAUCUUCGCUUGGUGGUGUGAUAAACCCAUGGUACUCUGGGGAGUUCAUCCACUCAUUUCCCUUCAGCGCCUUCCAGCCUUUUCUUUAAGCAGUCCAAUAUGACUUUGUUGGAUGCCUUGGCUUGUCCAUUUCCUUGUGGAUACCUCGGGGUGGACAAGUGUUGUUUGAUCUUGUAUUUCACAAAAAAAGCGGUGAUCUGCUUGCCAAUGAACUGUGAGCCAUUGUCGGUAACCAACGACUGUGGGCAGCCAAACCGGCAUAUGAUGUUUCUCCAGAUGAAUCACUCCACAUCGGCUUCUUUAGUAAAUGAUAGAGCUUCGGCCUCGAUUCAUUUAGUAAAGUAGUCGGUGGGGACGAUCAUCAUUUCUUUCUUGGCGGGCGCUAGUGGCAAGGGAUCCACUAGGUCGAUGGCCCAUUGCAUGAACAGCCAUGGACUGUUUUGCGGAUGAUAGACUUCGGCAGGCAAGUUAGGGAUCGGCUUGUAUUGCUGACAGCGUCACAUUUCUUGGCACAUUCAGCACAGUCGUGACGUAUGGUAGGCCAGAAGUAGCCUAUGUUUAGAACUUUCUGGGCGAGUGACCUGCCCCAGAAUGGUUGCCAUACUCGUCGUCGUGAAUUUUACAGAUAAUCUCAAGUGUUUGAUGGUACUUUAUGCAGGUGAGAUGAAGGCCGGAGUAUGAUCUGUGGAUGAGCUUGUUGCCGUGCAUGUAGUAUCUCUCGGCCUUUUGCUGGACUUUUCUAGCUUCGGACUUGUCCGUUGGCAGGUUUCCAUUCGUGAAAUAGUCGAUGAUGAGGUCUUGCUAGCUGGGGUCCUCGUCAAUCUGCAUGGUAUUAAUCGGCUCUAUUUCUUCAAUGCUUGGUCGGUCAAGGUGUUCGACCUAGAUGGAGUGUUUGAACUGGGUAUCCAGCGUUGAACCUUGGCUUGCCAGUGCGUCUGCAUGCGCGUUCUUUGCCCGGGACACUUGUUGGAUAGUGAAGGUAGGAAAUGCCUUCAACAGCUCUUGGACUCUAUCAAGGUAUAAGAUCAUCCUUGGGUGCUUUGCCAUAUAUUCACCUGAGGCUUGAUUCGUGAUCAACUGUGAGUUUGAGUAGAUGGCUAGCUUUUUGAUUGCGAGCUCCUUUGCCAAGCGUAAGUCGGCGAGUAAUGCCUCGUAUUCUACCUCGUUGUUCGAGACCGAGAAGCCAAGCGUAAUAGCUUGCUCUAACAGGGUUCUAUCCAGGGUGGUGAUAACGACCCCUGCUCCAGCUCCUUUUUGGUUCGACGCUCCGUCUACACGCAACUGCCACAUGUCUCUGGGAUGGCUUGGUUCUGCGGAGGUCCUGUCUGCUUUUGAACUUCCCUCCUUUUGGUUGACUAACUUCUCUUUUUUGGCUGAUGGGGUGAAUUCUGCGACGAAGUAUGCUAAAGCCUGGGCUUUUAUUGCAGUUUUUGGCCCGUAGAGGAGGUCAUAUUGGCUUAGCUCUAUAGCCCACUUCAUGAGUCGCUGAGAAGCAUCAGGGCUGUGGAGGAUUGAUCUCAAAAGAAAGUCAGUCAUGACUAUGACUCGAUGAGCUUAGUAGUAGGGUCGCAGCUUUCUCGCAGAAACUACAAGAGCCAAAAUAAGUUUCUCCAAUUUCGGGUAACGAGUCUCUGCAUCGAGGAGAGCUUUUGACGUGUAGAAUACCGGAUAUUGGGCCCCUAUCUCUUCUCGGAUGAGAGCUGAACUGACAGCUGAGUUGGACUUACCUCACUAGGGACUGGAUUUGAGAGCAUGGAAGGUGAGGUGAGGUAAGUCUUCAGAUUAUGGAAAGCUACUUUGCAGUCCUCAUCCCAUUUCUCUCUUUGUCCUUUCUUCAAAGCUUUGAAGAGUGGUCUGCACUUGUCGGUUGAUCUCGAGAGGAAUCGGUUGAGAACCGCUGCUUUGUCCGUCAGACUUUAUAUCUCUUUCACCGUGGAAGGCGACUUCAUCUCUAGAAUGGCUUUGAUUUGACGUGGAUGUGCCUCGACACCUCGUUGCGUGGCUAGGUAUCCCAAGAAUCGGCCGGAGGAUACACCAAACAGGCAUUUACUUGGAUUCAACUUCAUGCGAUACUGGCGGAGCAAGCUGAAUGAUUGGGUAAGACUUCCGAUGUGAUCUGCACGUUUUGGGGCUUUGACCAGCAUGUCAUCCACGUAGACCUUCAUAGUUUUGCCGAUCUGCUUAUUGAAGAUUUUAUUCCCGAGCCUUUGAUAGGUUGCUUUGGCGUUCUUCAGCCCAAAGGGCAUGACCUUAUAGCAGCAGGUCCCUCUCUCGAUGAUGAAAAAAGUUUUUGCCUUGUCAUCCUCGUGCAUCAGGAUUUGUUUAUAGCUGGACUAGGCGUCCAUGAAGCUAAGCAGUUGAUUGCCAGAAGUGGAAUCCACGAGUUGGUCGAUUCUCGGCAAUGAGAAGUUGUCUUUAGGGCAUGCUUUGUUGAGGUCUGUGUAAUCGACACAAACUCUCCAUUUGCCAUUUUCUUGUUUUGCCACCAAAACAACGUUGGCAAGCCACUCUGAGUAGGAGGCCUCUUCGAUGAAGCCGACAGCUAGGAGUUUGUCAAUCUCGGCCUCGAUGAUAGCAAGUCGCUGGGGUGCGAAGUUGCGUCUCUUCUGCGCCACUGGCUUGCAGGCAGGGUUGAAGUGGAGUCAGUGACAGAUGAUGUUCUUGUCGAUGCCAGACUUGUCUGACGGCAACCAUGCGAACAUGUCUCUGUUGCUCUGGAGGAAGGUGGUAAGCUCCACAUUCUCUUCUGGCCUUAGGCGCGAACCGAUCCACUCUUUCCUAUCUGGUUGGUCAGGAUCCAAGGGUAUUAACUCGACGUCCUCCUUGGGUUUCCAUCCUUCUUCAGGAAAGACCUAUGGACGGAUUUCCUCGACUUGGUCCUGACGCUUUAAUUGCUAUAAGAUAGCAAGAUCCAGUUGCUCAACCUCCUCCAGAUCUGCCUGGCUCACAGGGAGAAACUGCGCUUGUUUACCUUUCUUUAGCCCUUGGGCGGAGCAUUUCCUCGCCAUUGCCUAAUCGUUGUUGAUUUGGCCGACACCGCCCCCAAGGAUUGGGUACCGAAUUUUCUAAUGUGUGGCGGAGGUGAUUGCAUUAAUUUUGCCAAUCGAUGGUCUGCCCAGAAUGCCGUUGUAGGGUAAGACCUUAUUAAUGACCAUGAAGGUUAUGAGCUGAUUAUAAGUGGGGAGUAGACGUCGAGGUCUAUCAUGCCCACGGUAACCGUUGUUGCACCAUUAAAAUCGCUCAGCAACCUAGCUAAUUUGUAAAUCUUUGUCUCCAAUCCCAUCUGUUGAAUGACCUCCAGUUGCAGGAUAUUGGCUGCGCUGCCCUCGUCUGUGUGGAUUCAGUCUACCAUGACCUGAGCAAUUUGAAUGCUGAUGACAAGGGCUUCGUUAUGUGGCAUGUAGAGGCCGAUCAGAUCUUUCUUUUGGAAGCCGAUUACAGGAUCGUCUUCUGCUGGUGGAAGGUCGGUCGAGAUUUGGGAGAUCACAGUGGUCUGUUUGAUCUUCCUCUUUUUUUCCUUUCUGGUCAGCCCAGACUCCUCGGAGUCAGCUAGGAUUGUGUUAAUUCUUAUGACCUUCUGAGGCGGCUCCUUGGCGAUGUCACGAUCUUCUAUCCGCUGGAUGACCUUCUUUGCAAUGAAUUCUGUGCAGUGACCUUCUCUCACGAGUUCUUCAAGAUGUGCUUUCCAAGCGAAGCAGUUGUUCAUAGUGUGUCCGUGCAUUUCAUGGACGGCACAGUAUUUGCUAGUAUUCCUUUUGUCCGGAUCUUCUUUCAAGGGUGGUGGUCUUCUUACCCAAGGUUGUUCUUCACUUGGGCUAAGAUUUGAUGUAUGGAGAUGGUGAACUUGGUGUAGUUCUCUCCUGCCGUAGCAUCCCCUUAUGGGUGCGACCUGCGCUUGUCCUUGUCCCUGUUGCUAAAUCCGUCGCUUCUUUGGCCUGCCCCCUUAGUCGGCUGAUCUUCCUGCUUAGUAGAGUUCUUUGCGGCGAUUCGAUCGUCAUCCCAAAGCGCAUAGCUUUCCGCGGUCUCGUAGACCUCUGCCAAAGUUUGGCUGGGAGUGAUGGUCAGCUCGUGGUACAAGUCGUGCUCAGUCGAAAGGUCUUUCUUGAAAGCAGAGGACGCAAUUUGGUCAUCACAUCCUACAAUGUUGGCCUUUUCUACUUUGAAUCUCUUGAUGUAAUCUCUAAAGGAUUCGUCGAACUUCUUGCGCAGGUUAUACAGGUGGUCAGGGUUCUUCUUGAUUGUUCGGUAAGAGGUGUAUUCUUUGGUGAAUAAGUAAGUCAGCUCCUUGAAGCUGCUGAUCGACCUGGAUGGCAGAGUAUGGAACGAGUCUUGGGCUUCCUCACAAGGUCAUUGCAAACACCUUGCACAUCAGCGCGUCGUCAACCUUGUGGAGGAUCAUGACACUUUUGAAGUGUUUUAGAUGGCUCUCAGGAUCGGAAUCCCCCUUGAAGUGUGUGAAUGUGGGCGUUGAGAAUCGCUUCAGGAGAGCAGCCUGCUCGAUUUUGGCAGUGAAAGGUGUAGAGUAUGCCUGGUCUACCUCAUUUCGUACAUCUUCGAAAUUUCCACCGGUCUUCAAGUCUCGAAGUUGGUCAUUCACAAGCUUCUCUACGUCUUCCGCACACAUUGCUUGUCGGCCACAUUGGCGACCUUCACGAAUUGUUCGAUGCUGACUGACUUCCUCGUUGAUUUCCGAGGAUCGACCUUCUUGUCUGCAUUGCCUAGGUGGAGUGUUGGUGGAUUGCGCCUACGAAAGAUUCUCUGUGGCUUGUCAAUGAGAAUCGGUUCUUCGAGAGUGAGUAACGAAGUGCCUUUCCUCAUGGUCCUUAUUGUGAGGGUUAUCCAGCUGACCUCCCUGGGGCCUAGCCUUUCCUGAAUGCUUCUCUGCGAGUAGACAGUUGAAUGCUUUUCUUCACGAUCCUCGUUGUGAUGGUUGUUUGGCUGACCUCCUUAGGGUCUUAGCCUUUGAUGUACAUUUCCCUGCCUGCCCAAGUAGGUGCGGACGUCGAGUCGUGGGCCCAGCCUUUCGUGCACGUCGUUCCUUAAACUCAAUCUGCUCUGAGUGUGGCUUGCAGAUGCUUGCGACAUGUCGGCAGGUCGAUCACGUUGUUGUCCCUCGACUUGUCUGCCCACUCUUGCUUGACCUGCUUGGUACUCGUUGAGCUGUCUACCGGCCCGUUCAUCCUUCCUUCUUUCCUCGCCUGGUUGUCCAAGGCCAAGGUUUUGAGCAAAGCUUAUUUGGUUGAGGAGCUGCCUCAUUAGAUUGUUUUGGUCGUCCAUUCUUUAAGCUAGCUGGUCAACUCUCAGAUUAAGGUCUGCUUGAUUUCAUGGAUCAGGAGGAGAGAAGUGUGUGGAGCUCAACUGCACAUAGGCUAGGGUUUCAUUAGAGGUGUAUGCGGGAGCGUGUGUCGAGCGUGGAGGCAAUAGAGGGAAUGCUUGGAGUUGCUCCAAGACCGGCCCUAGGUCGGCGGUGGUAACGAGUCCACCUUGAUGGGAAGUUCCACCAUGUUUGGCGGCAGUGACCGAUGCAGUGGUGAGAGGUGGUGGUGCCACCAUGUCGAUCGCGGGAUCGUUGGUGGAGUGGCUUUGGGCCGUCGCAAAUCUAGCCAUCAUGGCGGCUUUGCCUCUCGUGUUCAUGCUUCCAACCAUGGUUGUUUGGAAGGCUUAGGUGGAUUGGAAAAUUAGAGGAACGGAUUCCUUGAGCACGCAUUGAGUAUAACUCGUGCUCUCAAUGAAAGCACCAAUUUGUGGGAGCAAAUUUCCCCACGAGAAUAUUCGGUUCGAAAGAUUCCCCUUUCUUAUUCGCCGCCUCUUUCUCCUCGCAAAAUAGAACAAAUAAGAGGACCACACCCGAGGGGUGUUGGCCAAAGGCCCUCCGAUGCCUAAAUUAGUUCAAGUAUUUGUAAGAAAAACACUAGCUAACUAGGGUAUGGAGAUGUGUUUAAGGUGUAAACCGGGCGGCCGGAACCUUAUGUAAAAGAGAGAGAGAAAUGAGGUGGCUAGGGUUUGAGAGGAAUUUUCUGCAGAGUUUUUAGUAGAGAUUUCAGACGUACCUCAACCAUUGUGUGUGGCCAUCUUUUUAUAGUGGUCUUGGAGGCUAGAGUUUCAGAGAAAUAAUUUCGUAGAUGGAAAGGAAUUAUUCCUCCCCUAUUUAGAAUUGAUUUGAUUAAUUACGGAUUUGAUUUAUUAGGGUAAAUCAAAUCCCUAAUUGUGGUAAGUAUCAAAUCAAAUCCUUUUUUAAUUAGGUAACUGCUCAUUUAAUUGACAAUUGUGGUAGGAAUCAAAUCAAUUCUCAACCUAAUUGGUAACGUUCAAUUUAAUUGGGUAAUUCCCAAUUAAAUUGAGUAACUCCCAAUUAGGUUGAUUAAUUCACACUUAGAUCAAAUAAUCCCCAAAUGGAAAGAAUUAUUUGACCUAAGGUAUGAUUUAAUUCGAUUCCCACAAUAUUUAGAUGCAUAAUUGAAUGCGAAUAAACAUCACUCUCUCCAGUGUGAAAUGGCGAAAAUUCUCUUCAAUCAAAAGUGGGCUUACUUCAAAUUUAGUUGAAGAAUGAUGGUGUGUCUUGCCUGACAAUUGACAAUUAGGUUUAGGAGCGUUCCUCUAGUAGAAAAAUCUAAAUCAUUUGUGGUCAUCCACUCACUUGGUUAGUCUUCCAGAAUCAAAUACCAAAUCAACCCAAAGGAAGCUGCAAUUUUCUGAAUUGUAUACUUGUUUUAAUUCUUCCUAUCUUUUUCUCUCUUUCAUUUUUUUUGUCUCCCUCAAGUUAAUACUUAAGUGAGUUGCCAAAUGGGGGUAAAAAAGAGAGUAGAAGAGAUGAACCCCACAUUUGACUUUAAUAGACAAAUGCCCAAGAGAAGUACCAGUAAGAGCAUCUCCAAUUGGGAGGUGCUAUCCUAUAAUUUGACACACAUUUCUUUUUUCUUUUUUUUCAAUUCUAACAACAUGUCAUCUAUAUCGCAAUAGGCCGUUGUAGUUAAAUUUUCAAAUAACCAAGUUGCUCUCUAUUUUCCAAAGAAGACUAGAAAACAACUUACCAUCUAUCUGGUGCUGCUUCUUCCAAACAUUAGAAAAAACAGAGCUACACCCAGGAGGAGCCCAGGAGAUGACACAAUACUGCCUACUAUGAUUCUUACUUUCUUCACAUUCAAUGAGACUAUAAAAUAUAACCCAAGUGGUCUAACCCCCCAGGGCGGAAAUUGGGUUUAGCAAGUUUAGCACUGAUUGUUGUAUAGUCUUAAACAGUCCUGAUCUCUUGGACCCCUGUAGUCCAAGAGAUUUAUGGUCACCCACCGUUGGAUGUAAAUUCAACGGUUGACUUGAAUCGGGUAAUAAUAAUUUAUGUCAUAUUGCAUUUAUAUAUAUCAUUUUGAACCAUUGGAUUAAUAUCCAACGGUGGGUGACCACAAUCUCUUGGACUCCUGUGGUCCAAGAGAUCGGGACUGUAGUCUUAAAAUAAGUAGUUUAGCGAGUGCAAACUUCGACUUAAAAAAACUCUCAUGUAUAGCCGCGCGGCUAUACUAUUUACAUAUAAAUAUAUAAAAAAGCACCCCCUAGUCACGUGUCACAAAUAGUAUAGUCGAAAACAGUAGAGCCGCGCGGCUAUACUGUUUUUAAAAUAAAAAAAACCAUAUUCGAUUCUCCUUAUAUUUAAAAGGGGUAUAGCCGCAUGGCGAUACUAAUUUUUUUUUUUCAAAAAAAGGGACCCCAGUACUCCUUUUAUAUAUUAUAAUAUAUUGUCUAAUAUUUGGAAUAUUUACUCUAAAAUAAACAAUAUAUUAGGUUCUUUUUGUCUACAAAUUGACCAUUAAACUUCUUAAUCACUCUUAUACUUUCAAUUAAAUCUACUAGGCUAGGUUAUGAUAUUUUCACUAAAAAACUCCUCCUUUUUUUCUUCUCUUUCUCUUCCUGUUUUGUUUAACUUAAGCUUAAGUUUUGUAAUUUUUUUUCCCGCCCUUUUUACAUGUUUGAGUAGGGUACUUUAAUAUUGGGAUUUAUGAACUUUUUUUGUAUUUCUUCUUUAUAUUGGAAUAUAAAUUAUUAACUUUUGAGUCUUUAAUAGUGUAGAUGAUGAGAUUAUUAUUCAACCAUUUUAUAAUAUGAAAUGAAGGACAAUCAUGAUUGUGAUGAAUGGAUUAUUAAUCAAUAUGAAAUGAUAUUAUGAAGUGGGCUAAAUCGAGUAGUUAGUAUCGUAUUGUUGAGACCCAAAAAAUCCAAGGCUAGGCCCAAAUAUAUUAUGAAGUGGGCUAAAUCGAGUAGUUAGUAUCGUAUUGUUGAGACCCAAAAAAUUCAAGGCUAGGCCCAAAUAUAUUUCCGGUCCAAUGCGAUACCUUACCGAGAAGAAACCUUAUUUGGGCACGCGAAAGUUCGUCAUAUGCUCUUGCACACAUGCCAUGCCAAGCAAAUAAGCAACAUGCCACGCUACAAGCUUAAGUGGGCCCAAGCCACGUGAAUGCCUAGGGCCUGCUGAGUGGGUUGUGGUAUGGAUGGUUAUGAGUAUUCACGAGGCCCAUUGAUGGUCUAAGGAGUGGAAGUUUUGGGCUACUUGGGAGCACCAAAACUCAAGCCCAUUCAUUGAGCCCAAACAUAUGGGUAAGCAUGAGAUAAAACCUAGUAGCCCAUCACCUUAAGAAAUCCUAAUAGCCCAUAACAUGUGAGAAAAUCCCACAUCAACCAAAGCUUCCAGCAGUCUGACGAAAUCAAAGGGAACUCACAAGCCGUUGGAAACAAAACAACCCAACACUGUAACACCCCGACCCCAAAUUUCCCCAAAUUUAACCCUUAUUUAAUUAUUUAAGGGUAUUUUAGUCAUAUUUUUAACCGGAGAGAGUUUGGGGCAAUGACUAGUAUUUUUGGAUAGGUCGUACUGAGACGAGUUUAUGGACACGCAGUGAGCUCGAAUCGGAGUUGUAACGAGAGAGAUAUGGUCAAAAGAAGCCCAGUGGCACAAUCGUAAAUAUUUUGAAAUGAGAUUUUUUAUAAAAAUCUGGUUUUCUCUCUCUCUCUCUCUCUCUCUCUCUCUCUCUCUCUCUCUCUCUCUCUCUCGCUAGCGACCUCUCUCUCUCUCCCCCGUCGGUCUCUCCCCUCUUUCUCCUCGUAACUCCGGCCACCGGCCCCGGCUGUGGACGGGGCCGGUACCAAAAUGACCGAGGCGUCGUCCUCUUCCUACCCCAGCCACCUCCCACCGCCAGCCGUCGCGGAUUCGCCGGAAUCUGGAGAUGAAGCGGCCUACGUCGUCCAAAUUUCAAAGCUGCCGAUCUCCCUCCUCCGGCCACCAAUUCCGUCGACCCAGGUAUGGAUUUUGAACUUCUCGAGCUGCUCUAGCUGAUGGUUGGGUAGGAUUAGAUCGAUUCUUAGCUUAGACAACUCGAUUUUCAAAUUGAAAAUCGGCCGAACUUCGGCUGCCGUGAUCGGCCAUUUCCGGCCACUUUUUGGGGUAGGUCCAAGAACAAAAGUGGCUCCAAAUAGGGUGUUAUACCUAGGGUAGGAGUUUGGAGCCGUGGUUUUGAGAUUUUCCGGCGAAGCGUUAUCGCUUUGGGCACCCACGCGCUGCCGGUGCGUGCGGCGGCGCGUGGGCACUGUAGAAAAAGUAGCACUGUGUUCCGAUGAGAUCCUUAGGUUGUCACGAGUGCGUAGGAUUUUGCGGAUCUCAAUUCGGACGUCGUUUGACUAUCGAACGGAUAUUCGCAUAUUGCGCGUUAUUCGGGUUCGAUAGGUUGGGACCGUUGGAUGGACCCAAAUUUAAUAUAUGUUAAUCUAAUUAAUUCUAGGAUCGUGUAGGAAUUCACGGAUUGUGAAUCGGAGCCCCGGAUGUUCCGAAUAAUAAUUUUAAAGUUUGUAUUUUAUAUUAAUUGUCAGAUCGUGCGAUCGUGAGCAAUCUGACCGUUCGAUCUGAACCAAACUUGCAGGACAAGUGUCCUAUACCUUGUAGAACCCAUAGGGACCUUCGGAUCGGAAAUUGGAGGUCGUGGGUUCCGCAAGUCGGUUUGACCAGGGUUAGAGAAGUUUGACCCUUGGUUGACCGUGAGUCUCCCGGAGUAAUCUCACCUUUCUAGGGGAGAUUAUCGGGUACUAGAUGAUUGUGGACACAAUAUUAGAAUUAAUUUAUAUAAUUAUAAUUAUAUAUGGUUGUACAAGGGUACAACAGAGUCUAGAAUGUCAGUUUGGAGUGCUAUACGCACUACUUUAGGUACCUCCCCGGAUGUUGGGAUUUACUACAAGUACCACCAAGUGAAAUUGAGGUCCCGCGUGGCGUAGGUUAUCCAGCGUUGGGAUAGGUCUCAUACGUGGGGUUGGUUGUACCGGCGUAUGGGGAGAUUUGUGAUAUUAUGUUCAGGUCUCACGUGGCGUAGGUUAUCCGGCGUUGAGACAGGCCCCAUACGUGGUGUUGGUUGUACCAGCGUAUGGGGAGCUAUGUGAUAUUGUGUUGAGGUCGCACGUGGCGUAGGUUAUCGGGCGUGUCGACAGACCCCAUACGUGGCGUUGGUUGUACCGGCGUAUGGGGAGAUUUGUGAUAUGAAAUUGAGGUCCCACGUGGCGUAGGUUAUCCGGCGUUGGGACAGGCCCCAUACGUGGCGUUGGUUGUACCGGCGUAUGGGGAAAUAUGUGAUAUGAUGGCAUGGUCGCACGUGGCAUAGGUUAUUCGGCUUGUUGACAGGCCCCAUACGUGGCGUUGGUUGUACCGGCGUAUGGGGAGAUUAUUUGAAAUGCAGAGAAACGAAAUAUGGUAUCGCCCAAAUGUGGAAUUGGGUUUUAGGGAAGAACUACGUGUGGCUUGAUCCCUCAAGGAGGGUACGUAGGCAGCCUAAGGUUAAUAGGUGCAGCCGCAGACUAAAUGUUAGUCAUAAUUGAUAUUUGAAUUGUUUGGUAGUUGGUUAAGAAUUAUUGGAAGGCCGAAGGCCAUUUGUGUGAAUUGCAUGAAAUUAUAUUGUGCAUGCUGCCAGUUGGGAAUAUUAAAUGCGUUUUUAUGCAGGUAUAAAUUUUAGGAAAUGUCCAAUUUAUAGGGGAGACUCUGCCGAAUUUUCGGCAGGAAGUCUCAGUUUUUAGUAUCUGGGCCUGGCAUCGGGAGGAUGUCGGGAAUUCCAAAGGGUCGUCUCGAGUUCUGAAAAAUUCGGUGCGGGUCCUUUCAAACACCUUAUAAAAUAUCCAACGCCGUGCAUCUCUGUUAAAACCAGAUCACAGCCAAACCACCAAAACCAUGCAAACCCAUAUGCUGAUCACCAUUUUUACUAGCACCCUUACCCAUUCUUUCCUCUUCAAGCUUUGGUGAGAAAACAAGAAACAAAAGUGGGCGGAUCUUCACCCACAUGGAGAAAUCCAGCUGCCUGAGGGCCCUGGAACUCCAAAAAACUUCUUACCUACAUGCUCAGGCUAGGGAAGUUUCACCAAAUAAGCAAGAAUGGAAGAAAGUGAAGGAAAAGGGGAAAGGGUGGCUUGACGAAAUUAAGGUUUUCAGCACUUAUAAAAGGAAACACUUUCUAUCCAGCAAAAACAACUCACCCUGGUUGCUGCAAGCCUCCUAGCAACCAUGAGAAUUCAUUGAAGGCAAGCAUCCCCUUUGGAACCCUUCAAUUUCAUGCUUUGUUCUUCCAUCUUCCUCCUUUCUCUCUCUCUCAAAACCCACAUCCAGAGAGAGCAAGCAUCAUCUCUCAUCUUUGGAACCCUUCGAUUUGAAGCCUUGUUCUUCCAUUGCUUCCCAUUUUCUCUUCUGUCAAAUCACCUAGGAGCUUGACGAAACUUUCGUCAAGCUGCUGGAAAUAUGGUAAAGCCACCCAUGCUUCCAUCUUCUUCCUCUCUUUCCAUAAACACACAUCCAAAGAGCAAGCUUCAUCUCUCAUCCUCUAAACCUCUGCAAUUUCAAGCCUCAUUCCUCUAUCUUCUCCCAUUUUCAGCGGUAGUGAGAAUGAUUUCUGCGUGUGCAUGGGAAGGAUUGUAACUCAGAUGAGGAGGAGAUGGUUUGGAGUGGGGUGAGGCAGUUGGAUAGAGCUCUUGGCCUUUUCAAGUUUGGAUGGGAAAGAGCAGGGAUGAAAGAAGCUUUACAACUGCAAGGGCAUAUAUGGUGCGUAGGGGCUGAAGGCAGAACACUUACAUAUAGAGGAAACACAUUUUUUGUCCAUGGGAUUCAUGUUUGACAAACACUUGUCUUAGACUAUGAGUUCAAAUUUCAAAACCUUUUUUUUUUCUUUCUGAAAUCAGGACCAGUGUGGAGAACUAGCAAGGAUUGGAGAAACAGAUUUUUGGGCGUCACUUGACCACAGAUUGUUGAUUGCUCAAAUGUGUAGAAUUGGCCAUCUUAAAUGUCAAAAUGAUUUAUCAAUUGGGGUUUUUUUAGAAACGUUUAUGUUUGUCAAUAGAGACAGAAGUCAGAGAACAUAAACCUUUCUCAGCAAAUUGAAAUUCUCAGUGCAUGCUCUGUUCUUCCAUGGCUUUCAAACCUUCUCUGCCACGGUGAAAUGGAUCGAUAGAGAUAGUUUAGGCCGUUCCAUUUGUUUGAUGAAGCAUUCGUUCUAGGGAUUCUGUAUAUUCAUAACAAAAUCACUAGAAUGAUUCUUAGAAAUUCAUCACUGCUAAAGGCAAUGGGUUCAGCAUAAUAACUUCUUAGUCUUGCUUCUUGGUCCUUUAUUUUCUUUGCAUAAUACUCCAAGUUUACCUGGGUUCUACAGAGAAAAUCUCGUAGAUACCUCUUUUUGUGGUCUUCCAUGGCAUUUAAGUGCUGCUUUCCAUGGUGAAGUGGGCCUAUAGAGACUACCUGAGGUGUGUAGGCUUUGUCAUUUCCACGCCGUAAUCGCUCAGGAACUCUGUAGAUACACCUUCAAGGGGGACAAGGGAGACAAACUAUCCAAUUCCUUGCGCCUUACAAAUAGAUCGCAUGGGUUUUCUAUUUCAUCUGCAGCUUCAUCAAUUCCUUCCAUUUUUCUCCUGAUCAUCAUGCGCGGUGAUUCAAAUAUUUCAUAAUGAACAUUGAAAUGAGAUGCUACAAGCAAACUUAUGAAAAGAAACAGAAAUACCAAAAAGACAAAUCAAUGUAGAUGGUUUAGAAAAUCUAAACAUUGCAAUUAUACUCCUUUGCCCAACUUCUAGGAGCAAACGUACACAAAGACCUUAUUGCUUCCAACUUUUCCAACAGAAUUUCAUAUGAAUUGCUCCAAGUGAAAUCCGUAUGAAAAAUCGGUAGUUGGAUUUUCAUCCUGCUUUAAUAUGAUUAUUUAACUUCUAACAAAAAAACUCUUAUUACUUGAGCAAGUAAAAUACUAUUCCAGGUUUCUCCUAGUUCUAUAUGCGCUUAUAAUUGGUAUACUCUAUAAAUACCAUAAUCUGAAUUUCUCUGUUUUGAUUACUUUAAUUUAUUACUUAUGUUUUAAUUAUUGUUUACUUAGUGAAUUAUUAGUAUUUAAGAGAAGGCCUUCCAUCGAUUAGGCACCACGUGUCUAUAAUAAGUAAAGCCGUCCGGCUAUACUUAAAAAAAAAAAAAAUUGUAGUAUAGCCGACCGGUAUAGCCGCGCGGCUAUACUAUUUAAUACAUUAUAUUUAAACGGUAUAGCCGCGCGGCUAUACUAUUUAAUAAAAUAAAAAACAAAAGAAAAAGAAAAAUUACCCUCCUAUUUCAUUAGUUUGUACUUUAUAGAUACUAGCCCCUUGACACAUGCUCACGCAUGUGCCAAUUGGUUUUCUUUUUCUUUUUUAUUUUUAUUUUUAGAAUUAAGAAAAAAUAACAGGAUAGUUAUGUUCCAUAAAAGUAGGACCUAUUAUCUUAUUUUGUUUUUAAUUUUAAUUUUUUUAAUAUUAAAAAAAUAUGAAUUUACGAUAUUAUCCUCAUUUAAUUAAUAAUUUCAAUUCUUAAUGUUUGAAUUAACAAAGGGCAUUUUCUGGUAUUUUGAAUGUUUCACCAUUCUCUGCCUUUUGCUUUAUAUAUAUAGAUUAAUUUGCCAGUUUCAAGAUAUCCAAAGUACAUAUUAGACUUUCACUAUAUAAAUUUCAAUAUAUAUUUUUUAUAACAUGUGUUGUUCUUAUUCAAUAAUAUGUGAGAAUUAUUUGUAUAAUACGUGAAUUUUGUGUGUCUUACUGAAUUUUUUUAAAUACGUGUAUUAAACGUUACAAAUACGUACAUAUAUGUACAACACGACUAUUGUAAGUUUGCUAUAUAAAAAAAAGUGAGAUGUAUCUAGAACACGAAUGUAUUAUCGAAAAAUAUAUAUGUAUGUAUAUAUAUAUAUAUAUAUGUAAAAGCCUAUAGCCUCUCACCUAUACUAUUUAUUAAAGACAAUUUAAAAAUUACAACAACAAAAAAACCAGUACAGCCACAAAGCUAUACUAUUUUAAAAAAAAAAAAUAGAAAAAAUAUCAAGUACUACACAGGGCAAAGGCCCAGUGUAAAAUAGUAUAGCCGUACGGCUAUACGUUUUUAAGAAGAAUUUAAAAAACUAAGUAUAGCUCACCGACUAUACUAUUUUUUAAUAUAAAAAAACAACCCCAUCCAUUAGGCGCCACGUGUCAACAGAAGUUUAUUUUUAAAAAAAAAAAUUAAAAGACAAGGAGUAUAGCCGGGUGGUUGUACUAUUUUUUUAUUUUAAAAAGAAGACAGUCCAUCGAUUAGGCGCCACGUGUCCAUAAUAAGUACAGCCGCUCGGCUAUAUGUUGGAUAUUUUGAAACUAGCAAAUUAAUAUCAAUAGCCGGUCGUAACCUAUGCUGUCCACGUCACUCAUGUUUUACCAGAGUUAAAGCAUCCACAAUGAGCUCCCCAAACCAUCUCUUUAGACAAAUUUUAGGGAGAAAUUGGAAAAGUACAACUCCAACCAUGCUCCCUAUCCACCAACUAAAAUAGGGAGACCUCUAGGAGCUCCUAAAUCUGAGGAGAGGGAAAGGACUCUUAGUGACUCCCUAUAAUUUAAUGUUGCUUUGUUUUAUGCAUAUUUUAAACUUUUAAUUAAAUCAAAUUAUUAUUUUAUAUUAUUUUGUAUACAGAUGGACCAAUUAUAUUAAAUUAAAAAAUAAUUAAAGUAUUUGUGACUCUCUAAACUAAGGAGUAUGAUUAGAGUUCAAAUUUUAUAAAAAGCUCUUAAAAUAGCUUUUGUGUGUUUUUAGCUAAAUUUUAACUAAAAAAUUUGAAGAUUCUUUAUUUGGGUUUCUUUCAAGACGAAAACCAUAUCCACAACAGACAUCUUUGGCUGUUCAUCACAAUUGAGAGACAAUGAAGAAGACAUAAGGGAGAGGCUGCCAAAUACUUAUCACCUUAGCCACCACCAACACCACAAGACCAAUAUGUGUAGGCCAGGAGGCUUUCCAAUUUUAAUAUAUAUAUAUAUAUAUAUUAAAAAAUAAAAUAAAAAUCAAUCUAUUAUCAUAUAUAUUAUAAAAUAAAGAUUAUUGCUCCAUCCUCCAUGCACUUGCGUGCCCUCUUACAAAGUAUGAAGUAGAUUUUGUUAGCUGGAUUUAUAAGAUCUUUUGUUUUUUGGAAAUUUUCUGAAAUAAGGAAAAUCAAGUAAAAUUAAUAAAGCAUAAAUUGGAAAGGGAAAAUAUCUAGAGGAUGCAUUGUAGGAUUGCUCAAGCCAAUAAUUGUACCCUCUAAAUAUAUAGGGACAUAUUUUUUUUGUUUUCAUGACAUGUCGUCCUAAAAUUAUUGUUCUUAGCGGGCUCUCCACCCCCUCUCGAUUGAAAACCUAUUGUGUAAAUCUUCAAUCCUGAAUUAGAAAAGUACAACUCCAACCAUGCUCCCUAUCCAUCUCCUAAAAUAGGGAUACCUCUAGGAGCUCCUAAAUCUGAGGCGAGAGAAAGGACUCUUAGUGUCUCUUUAUAAUUUAAUGUUGCUUUGUUUUAUGCAUAUUUAAACUUUUAAUUAAAUCAAAUUAUUUUUUUAUAUUAUUUUGUAUACAAAUGGACCAAUUAUAUUGAAUUAAAAAUAAAUUAAAGUAUUUAUGACUCUCUAAACUAGGGAGUAUGAUUGGAGUUCAAAUUUUAUAAAGAGCUCCUAAAAUAGCUUGUGUGUGUAGGGGUCUUUUUCUUCUGGCAACUACAGAUGGGUUGGGCUACCGUAAGGAGCAAACUGAAGAAAAUAUCCCCUGUGUCUGAGUUCAAAGAUUCGGCCCCAAAAUAUUUCGAAAAGGCAGUAAAGCCUUAGGAAACACCUUAGUUACCUUCACCAACGAAAAUGACGGCUGCUUACAGGUAGAUUCUUAGUGCUUACAGAUGAAUUCUUAGCUUAGCAUGAGGAGAUCGUGGCAUGGAAGCAAAGUUAGCAUGAGUUUAGCACUAAAGAGAAAAUUAUGUGUUCUUGGGAGGAAGAAGGGGUGUCCAGGUAAAUGGGAAAAGGUUUUGCAAGUAGAUUUGGCUAAGAGAGAAGGGAGAGAGAGAAGAGGGUGGCUAGAGUGCUUCUUCCGGCAGCUUGACAGUGACUCUGUCAAAUGUUAGAGCAAUCUGCCAUAAGAGGGAAAAUGGGGAAGAAGGAUGAACAGUGCACAAAAUUGCUAGGUUUUUGCAAGUAAGAGAGGAAGCUUGCUCUCUGGAUGUGGAUGAUCCGUUGGGUAGAAGAGGCCCCAUUUUAUAGCCGCUGGAAACUAUCAUUUCUCAAGAAACCCUAAUAGUUUCUACCCAAUUUGGUCAAGCUUUUCCCUUCCUUUCUCAUCUCCUCCCUUGACUUUUCCUAUCUUGGUGAAAUUUCCUCUGUCUAUUUGCACAAAAUCAGGAGCUCAAGGCCUCCCUUUCCCGCAACUGUUCAAUGGGAGACUCCAUUCUUAGCUAUUUUUCUUCUUCUUUCCUUCCUCCUUCCCUGACCAAAUCUGAUGAAGGAAAGCAAAUAGGUGCACACAUUGGUUUGAAGGGUGCUUCUCCUUCUAGCAGCUUACAUGCCAAUAUCCCUUGGGUCCUUGCAUGUUUUUUGCUUUGAAACUUGUUUCUUCCUUCCCGUCAACUCACGUGGUCUUCCAUGCUUCUUCAUGGCUUUAUCUUUCAGCCAAAAGAUGGAGUUUUUACUGCUUGCUACUUUUAAUUGUAUGGGUCUUCUAGGAUAGGAAGUCAACCUACCAAACAAAUGGGCCACCUUUAUCAAAUAUUGGGCUGUUGGGGUUAGUUUUAGUGGGCCAUUUUGACUGGGCUUUUUGGUUGGGUUAUUUAAGUUAUUUUCCCUUUUGUGCUCACCCAUGUAUUUAGGCCUAAGAAAUGGGCUUGGGCUCCGAGUCUCCCAAGCAACCCGGAACCUCCAUUUCUUGGCCCAUUAAUGGGCCUCAUGACAACCUAUUACCAUCCAUACCACAACCCACUCAAGCAAGCCCCGGGCAUUUGAAUGGCUUUGGCCCACUUUAGGCUUGUAGUGUGAUUGGGUGUGGCAUAACGAUUUCUCGCUUGGCAUGGCAUGUUGCUUGGCAUGUUUUUUCAUUACGAUGCUUGAUGGAUUUGUAGAGCUACCUAUUUUUAUGAUCUUAAUCUUGAUUCCUAGCAUGACAAAUUUAUUUAUUUGGCAUGGCAUGCGGAGCGUGACUUGUGCGUGGCGAGUUUUGUAUGCUCCAACUUGGGCCUUUCCUAAAUAAUGUAUCAUUUUGGGUUAUGAAUUCUUUCGGGCCCAACCGUGAAUUUUUUGGGUUUCAACAGUGUGUUUUUAGCUAAAUUUUAACUAAAAAAUAGGGAGCAUGAUUGUAGAUCAUCUUAUAUACCUUAAUUUGAAGAUUCUUUAUUUGGGUUUCUUUCAAGAUGAAAACCAUAUCCACAACUGGCAGACAUCUUUGGCUGUUCAUCACAAUUGAGAGACAAUGAAGAAGACAUAAGGGAGAGGCCGCCAAAUACUUAUCACCUCAGCCACCACCAACACCACAAGACCAAUAUGUGUAGGCCAGGGGGCUUUCCAAUUUUAAUAUAUAUAUAUGGAGUGAAAAAAAUAAAAUAAAGAUUAUUGCUCAUCCUCCAUGCACUUGCAUGCCCUCUUACAAAGUGUGAAGAAGAUUUUGUGUGCUUCAAGUCAUUGACUAGAGCUGAAACAUGGUUAGCUGGAUUUAUAAGAUCUUUUGUUUUCUGGGAAUUUUCAGAACCAAGGAAAAUCAAGUAAAAUUAAUAAAGCAAAAUGGAAAGGGAAAAGAUCUAGAGGAUGCAUUGUAGGAUUGCUCAUGCCAAUAAUUGUACCCUCUAAAUAUAUAGGGACAUAUUUUUUUUGUUUUCAUGACAUGUUGUCCUAAAAUAUUUGUUCCUAGCGGGCUCUCCACCCCCUCUCGAUUGAAAACCUAUUGUGUAAAUCUUCAAUCCUGAACGAUGCUCCUAAAACUCAAGUGUCCCAGGCCAAUUAUUGCUCUCAUACCACUUGUUGCAAUACACAUCCACUCAUUCUCAGGGAAAGAAACCCAUCGAUAUUAUCUCAAAUUUAACCACUUUAGUCUAUUAUGAUUAACUAUGUAUUUUAUGGAUCAAUGCAGUUGUGAGGUUUUAUACCCAAUUAGAUCGACCAAUACAGAGAUCACAUGUGGACUGAAAAGCGCCAUCGGUAGGGGAGUGUUUGGCACCCUUUACUGCCGAGUGCAACACAAGACCCCUUACCAGGAACUUAUCUACUAGGACACGUGAAGCCACCACAAGUAAUAUCAACAGUCCCACAUCGAAGUUUAACAUAACAUGUACACUCCCCAGGACUGAUAAAAGUGGGCACAAGUCCCAAAAAUGGGGGAACUUGGACUUUCAGCAAUUCAUCCAUUAUUAUGUCCAAAUUACUAUACACUCCGUACUUAUUCUUACUUAAGCAUUGGAGAGCCUUCGGCCGGUACCACACCAGUGCCUAAGGGCUUACCGAGCGUUCUCUAUCUUGCAUAUUGAUCGCUCUACUGAAGCCCAUAAAGAGUUAAAGGUCAAGACAUCACUAAGUUGAGCCCAAAAGUGCUGAACCACAUCAAAAAUAUGUAUAGAUUGAAAAAAUAAAAUAAAAAUCAAUCUAUUAUCAUAUAUAUUAUAAAAUAAAUAUUGGAUAAAUUACUCAAAUGGUCCUCAAACUUAUACUCGAUUUACAUUUUGGUCUCUCAAUUAAAUUAUUUGUUCAAAUGGUCCAUCAACUCUAUAUUAUUUCUGCAAAAUCUACAAAGUGGUGGGAGGCAGACCAACAAAAAAAAUUAGCGAAGGCUUAUAACUCUGGUAAAACAAGAGUUACUUGGAUAGAAUAAUGUUACGUCGUACUGAAGAUUUUUGGGUUUCUUUAAUUGGUUAAGUGAAGAUUCUUUAUUUGGGUUUCUUUCAAGAUGAAAGCCAUAUCCACAACCACAACCACAACUGGCAGACAAUCUUUGGCUGUUCAUCACAAUUGGGCGACAAUGAAGAAGACAGAAAUUGGAGUACUGUAUGUUAUCACCCACACCACAAGACCAAUAUAAGGAGGAUGGGGAGGCUGCGGAAUACUUAUCACCUUAGCCACCACCUACACCACAAGACCAAUAUGUUGUAGGCCAGGAGGCUUUCCAAUUUUAAAUUAGAUAAAUCGGAAACUGUUUCGAUAUCCAAUUGUAUUCUAUAAAAUCAAUGAACACGGUGCUUCAAGAAAGUAAUAAAAUUUCAAUAAUUCAAUUGAGUGGUCAAAUUCAAGUGAUUUUUUGUAGUGAUGAUCUUUGAAUGAGUAUCUAUAAAAGAGACGGUUUGGAUUAGUGAAAUACAAUAUGGAGUGGGCCCUACCAGCAAUCCACGACAAAAUGUCUGCAAGCUUUCGUAAUAUAAGGAGGAUGGGGAGGCUGCGCAAUACUUAUCACCUUAGCCACCACCUACACCACAAGACCAAUAUGUUGUAGGCCAGGAGGCUUUCCAAUUUUAAUAUAUAUAUAUAUAUAUAUAUAUAUAUAUAUAUAGGGAUGUGAUUUCUCUACUCCCCUUUUCUCUACUUAUACUCCCUUUUGCUUUUAAAUACUUUUUAAUCAAUUUUUUUUCCGCUUUCCUAUUAAUAUUCUACCAUUUCCCUACAUUAAUUUCUUUUUACUUCACUUUUAUAUUAGUUCUUUUUCUUUAUACUUAAUUUUUCAACUUGCACUCCAUUUUCAUUAUUUUUUUCCUAAUCGAGUAAGAAAUUAAGUUUUUUUUCCCCAUUUAAUACUGAAAAUGGAGUGUAAGUUAGAAAAUUAGGUAUAAAGAAAAAGAAAUAAUAUAAAAGUAAAGUAAAAAAGAAAUUAAUGUAGGGUAAAGGUAGAAUAGAAAAGAGAAUGAACAAAAUUGAUAAAUAAAUAAAAAAGGUUUAAAAAGCAAAAAGGAGUGUAAAUGGAGAAAAGGGGAAUGAGGAAAUCAGCUCCAUAUAUAUAUAGAUUGAAAAAAUUAAAAUUAAAAUCAAUCUAUUAUCAUAUAUAUUAUAAAAUAAAGAUUAUUGCUCCAAGGAAAUGACAUCUUUUGUUUUCUGGGAAUUUUCUGAACCAAGGAAAAUCAAAUAAAAUUAAUAAAGCAUAAAUUGGAAAGGGAAAAGAUCUAAAGGAUGCAUUGUAGGAUUGCUGAUGCCAAUAAUUGUACCCUCAAAUUAUACAUGGACAUAGGGGUGGGCAUUCAAAUAGGCAAACUAGAAAUCCGAGCUGAACCGCACCUAGGAAAACCGGAAAAAAAACCGAGUUGACCAAAAAGUCAACAACUGGUCAAAAAUCGAACCGGACCGAUUUGGACUGGUUUUGGAUUCAGUUUAUAUGCAAUGCUACAUUUUUAGUCUCAUAACUAAUAUUUAUCCAAGUUCAAUUUCAAAACAUCUUUCUUUUUUAGCUUUAAUAUUUAUUUUUAUAUGAAAUUAAAUAAUUUAUUAAUUUUCAAGUAAAUAAAAUAAAAUUUCAGUUGAAAUUUAUAUUAAAAAAAUAAUUUUAAUAAUCCAGUUCAAAACCAAACCGGACCAUCCAGCUGUGAGGUACAUUUCUCCCACAUGCCACAAUUGUAUAUUCACAAUUACGUCUGAUACAUCACAUCAUGCCACUUGCCUCAAAUGAAUUUAAGUGAGUGUGGCAGUGGAAAGUAAUUAAGCUCUAUAUUGGUGGGUGGACUGUUACUUCUGGGUUCCCCUCAUCAUUCGUCUAUAAAAUGGUGAAGGCAGUUGCUAUUGUUACCAUAAGAGCCAGCUCCGACUUCCUUUAAUUUCUUGCUUCAUAUCCACUAGCUACAUCUGUUACCAAGUUAAUUUCAGUCCUAAUGGGGUUUCAUCUCCCACUCAUCUUUGCUCUUCUCAGUGUAAGCUCUGCAAUUUGAUUAACUUUUCCAUUCUCUCUCAUUGUACUCUAUAUAAACGAAAGUUUUGUGUUCCUAUAAUUCUCUCCGAUUUUAUUUAGUACGUACUUAAGUGUCGUCCACUAAUUAAUUACACUUUGUGAUUUGAUUUUAAUUUGAGUUCGAAUUAAUGUUGCAGCUAGCAGCAGUGGCACUGGCAAACCAUGCUGCUCAACCAGCACCUCAACUUUACUGGAACUCCGUCCUGCCAAACACACAGAUGCCAAGAUCUAUCAGUGAACUUCUGCAUCCUGGUUUGUGUUGAGCUCUUUAGAAUCUUAGAUAUCUCUUCUACCUGCCAUUUUACUAAAAUAUGUUCCACCACAUAUUUAUCAGUUAACCACUGUUAUUACAUGAGUGACACAUAUUCACAAAUCGGCUGAUCACUUAUUUUCCAUUAUGACGUUGAUAUAUAAUUUGCAGACUCCACAAAUGAAGAAAAGAGCACAAAUGACGUUGGCAAACCUGAAACUUUCCCAUUGGGCAAUAAACAUUACUCCAGUCAAAAACAUUAUGGAAGAGGCAAACCUGAAACUUUCCCAUUGGGCAAUAAACAUUACUCCAGUCAAAGACAUUAUGGAAGAGGCAAACCUGAAACUUUCCCAUUGGGCAAUAAACAUUACUCCAGUCAAAGACAUUAUGGAAGAGGCAAACCUGAAACUUUCCCAUUGGGCAAUAAACAUUACUCCAGUCAAAAACAUUAUGGAAGAGGCAAACCUGAAACUUUCCCAUUGGGCAAUCAGCAUUACUCCAGUCAAAAAAAGUAUGGAAGAGGUGCUUCUCCAUCCGACAAUCAACCACCAAUUCCAUAGAAAUUCAAACACGGCUACUUUCUUGCCACGAGAAAGCGCUCAAUCGAUCCCCUUCUCCUCUAACAAACUACCAGAAAUUUUCAACCAUUUUUCAGUGAAGCCAACAUCUGAGGAAGCCAAAACAAUUAAGCAAACAAUCGAAGAGUGUGAAGCUCCAGACCUUAAGGGAGAGGAAAUAUAUUGCGCCACAUCUUUAGAAUCAAUGGUUGAUUUUAGCACUUCGAAGCUUGGAACAAGAAACGUUGAAGCAAUCUCGACGGAGGUAUUGGAAAAAGGAGCCACCAUGUCCAUCCAAAACUAUACAACAAUGCCGGGACUGAAGAAGUUGGCAGGUGACAAAGUCGUUGUGUGUCAUAAGCAGAACUAUCCCUAUGCUGUGUUUUUCUGCCAUGCAAUAAAACAUACAGCAGCUUAUGCUCUCUCCCUGAAAGGCGAUGAUGGGGAGAAGGUUAAAGCAGUAACCAUCUGCCAUCUAGACACAUCAGAAUGGGACCCAGAGCAUAUGUCCUUCAAAAUCGUCAACGUUAAGCCCGGAACCAUUCCCAUCUGCCAUUUCAUUUCCACUGAUGCUAUUGCCUGGGUUCCGAACCACAAAUCUGCAUGAUCAUCACUUAGCACUAGUACUGUGCGUAUAAUAUGCCUGUAUAAUUAUCUCCCUACUUAUUUCUGCCUGUUCAUCAUGUGGUGUAAGAUAUAUGUUGAGAUGAAGUUUUUGGGAUUAGUGGUCGAAAUUAACCCGAUCAUGUUUUCUCUUGUAACUAUAUAGACUUCAACUUGUACUCAUAAUAAAGCAUGCUAUAUUUAUGAAGAGAUAUUAAUCUUCAGGCAAAUAGAUAUUAUGAAAACAUAUAUAGCAAUUUAUCCAGAAGAAAUAUUAUGAAAUGAAAAGAAUAAAAAGUAAAAAAACAGAAGGAAAGGAAUUCGCACCUGCUAUGUAUGAAAGGACCAAGAUUGUUUUCCCUUUGGUUAAUGACUAGAAAAGCUCACUUGCAGAUUGCUUUCUCUGACCGUAGAUGCAACAGAAAUUUUCUCUUAAUAAUAGCACAAUGAUCGGGUAAUUGUAAGAACAAGUUGAUUUAAAAUUCCUUGACCCAAAAAAAAAAAAAAAAUCAUUUCAAAUUCAGGUCAACCCAUAGAUUUCUUGCCUUUUUCUUCUUCAUCACGUUGGGCUUGUCUUCUUCUUGAGGAUUGUAUAGGCCCAGGAAAUGCUUUGAGGUAGUUUUUGGCCUUGGAAGUUGGGACCCAACCCAACUUCACAAAAAGAAAACAGAUUUGCCAAAAAUCAAAUUUCAAGUCUCUCCUCAGAUCACUAAUACAGAUCAAAUUUUGGAUUUGAUGAACUAAAGUGGUUUUACUUUCUCUGUCAGUGUUUGAUGACUUAAUUUGUUAUUUACUUCUUUUUUUUUUUUUACUUGAUCUUUGUAGGGGUUUUUUUCUUCCGGUAACUUAAACGGGCUGGGCUGCCGUAAAGGGUAGAUUGAUGAAAUUGUCUCCUUUGUCUGAGUUCGAAAAUCAAGCCCCAAAAGCGCUUCGAAAGGGCAGUAGAGCCUUAGGAAGCGUUCUAGUCAUCUUCACCAACUAAAACAACAGCAACUUACAGAUGAUUUCUUAAGGCUUACAGAUAAAUUUUCUAGCUUGGCAUGAGAGGCUUGUGACAUGGAAGCAAAAUCAGCAUGAGUUUAGCACCAAAGAGGAAAAUAUGGCUUCCUAGGGAGAAAUGGGAGUGUUUAAGGUGAGGAAGAAGAGGUUUGCAGGCUGAUUUGGCUGAGGAGAGAGAAAGAAAGAACAAUGUUCUUCCAGUAGCUUGACAAAGCUUCUGACAGAUGUGAAAGUCGUCUGCCAUAAGAGGAAAAUGAAGAAGAAUGGUGAAUAGUGCAUGAAAUUGCUGGGUUUUUGCAGGUAAGAGAGAAAGCUUGCUCUCUGAAUUUGAGUUGGUUUUUGGUUGGGUAGAAGAGGCCCCCUUUUAUAGCUGCGGGAAACCAUCUUUUUUCAAGAAACCCUAAUGGUUUCUAUCCAUUUUGGCCAAGCUUUUCCCUUCAUUUCUCUUCUCCUCCCUUGACUUUUCCUAUCUUGGUGAAAUUUCCUCUGCCUAUUUGCACAAAAUUAGAGAUUUUGAGGAGCUCAAGACCCCUUUCCCGCAGCUGCCUCAGUGGAGAAUCCCCAUUUUCAGUCAUCUUUCUUCCUUCUUUUCUCCCAUCUUCCAAGGUUAGGUCUGAUGAGGGAAAGAAAUGGGUAUGCACACUGGUUUGAAGGGUAUUUUUGCUUGAAACUUGUUCUCUCCCAUGUGCUGGAGCUUCCCAGCAACUUACACACAUGGAUAUUUUGGCUUUCAUCGUGGCUUUUGUUUUCAGCUAGGUGCUGGAGAUUUCGCAGAUAUUUUCAUGAGUUGCUUGGGCCUUCUAGGACAAUAGGUUGGUUUAUCAAGUGAAUGGGCUAACUUCAUCAAUUGUUGGGCUAUUUUGGUUGAGUUAAUGGACUAUUUUGGUUGAAGUAAUGGGCUAUUUUGGUUGAAUUAAUGGGCUAUUUUUCUCUCUUUGUGCUCACCCACAUAUUUGGGCCUAAGAAAUGGGCUUGAGUUCCGGGGCUCCCAAGCAACCCCGGGACUUCCAUUUCUCGGCCCAUCAAUGGGCCUCAUAUCAACUUAUUACCAUCCAUAUCACAACCCACUCAAGCAAGCCCUGGGCAUCUUGCGUGGCUUGGGCCCACUUAAGCUUGUAGCGUGACGUGUUGCUUAUUUGCUUGGCAUGGCAUGUGUGCAAGCGCAUAUGACGAACUUUAGCGUGCCCAAAUUGGGUUUAUUCUCGGUAAGGUAUCGCAUUGGGCCGAGAAUUUAAUUGGGCAGAACUGUGGAUUUUUGGGCCUCAACAAUCUUAUAUAUAUUGGUUUUCUUUUUUUCCUUAAUAUUCACCACCUUUCUGUUGCAUAAGUAUUUCAGUCUUAACGGGUUUCCAUCUACCACUCAUCUUUGCUCUUUUAAGUGUAAGCUUUUUUUUUUUUUUUUUAAGCACAAGAUUAGAGGGGAGGGGGAUUUCUCAAUGUAAGCUUUGCAGUUUCAUAAUUAAUAUUUCCAAUAUCUCACUGUUAGUAAAAUAUGGAACAGGAAAAGUAUGAAUAAAAUACACACAUGUUUUAUUUAGCAAAAUUUUGACAAGAUACAACUGAAAAGUUUGGCCACUAUAUAAUAUUUUGAUAUAAUUUCUACACUUCUUCUCAAAAGAUUAGAUCACUUCACAUCUUGUGUAUGUGAAAACUAAUGUAAAAAGUUGAAACUUUAUCGUAAAACCUCGACAAAAAUGAGCUCUACUAGAAAAUGUUCAAUUUGGAUUCGUUGAUUUAAAUGGCAAUUUGACACUUGAUAGAAAUUUUUACAUACAUGUGUUAGUGUUUGAUCACUUCACAUGUUACUUACUAUAUUUAUUCCACUCAAGUUAGGUAAAUAUUAUUAUCAAACAUUUCAAUUAAUUUGUGAUUUUUUUAUUAUUUAAUCAAUUAUGAAUUAAUGGAUUCUUCUUGUUGUUUUGAAGACCAAUAAAAAAAAAAGGGUAAGGAUGGCUUAUAACUCUGAUAAAACAACAGUGACGUGGACAGCAGAUGUUACACCGUACUGAAGAUUUUUGAAGAUUCUUUAUUUGGGUUUCUUUCAAGAUGAAAACCAUAUUAUCCACAACCACAAUGAAGAAGACAGAAAAUGGAGUAAUUCAGAUGUUACCAGCCAUCCACGACAAACUGAAGUCUGCAAAGCAUUCGUAAUCUAAAGGGAGACUUUGGAAAAGCCCAAAGGAGAGAGAAAAUUUUUAAAAGAAGCAAAAAUGGACAAAAUUGCCCUUAUUUAUUUUUUGAUUUCCUAAGAAAUCCUUUACAUUUGCAUGUCUUUGGUUUGAAAGUUGAGAGGUUAUUCUGUCUUUUUUCAAAAAGCUUUGGCUUUUUCCAAAAGUGAAAGUUUUUUUAUGGGUAAAACCUAAAUUUACUUAAUCCCUAAAAAGGAUGGGGAGGCUGCGCAAUACUUAGCCACGUGUAGGCCAGGAGGCUUUCCAAUUUUAAUAUAUAUAUAAAUUGAAAAAAUAAAAUAAAAAUCAAUCUAUUAUCCUAUAUAAAAUAAAGAUUAUUGCUUCCAUGGGCAGUGCUAUGCACAGGACAGUGCCUGCCCAGCACAAAUUUUUUUUAAAUAAAAAAAAAAAAUCUACAUAUGUUAUAAGCUCAUCCAAAAAAAUAAAAUAAAAUAAAAGUAAAUUCUACAUAUAUGUUGCCCAUCUAGGUGGUUCCAUAUCUUCUCUCUCCUUCUCUUUUGGCUAUUAGACUUCUUGUUUCUCUCUCUCUCUUUGCUACCUCACAUCAGCAAGUUUCUCCCUCUCUUUUUUUGGGGUCAAAUUCUUCCUCUAUUGACAAAAUCUUCUAUUAUCUUGGGUGGGCAACUUGGCAACAACAUCUUCUCUUCUCCUUUUGUCAACAACAAGUAUUAUUCUCAUUCUCUCAUUUGCUAUAUAUCUUUAAUUAUAGUUUUAAUUUAAAAUUGAGUAUUCUAGGGUUUAAUUAGGGAUGAAUUAUAAUUUUAGAAUUUUGUUGAAAUUAAUUAAGGCUUCGAUUAGGGGUGAAUUAUUCUACUGCUUUGGUUUGGAAUUUUGUUAAAAUUGAGUAUUAUAGGGUUUAAUUAUGGAUGAAUUAUAAUUUUUGAUUUUGGUAUUAUUGAGAUGUUAUUAUGAGAAUUUGUUUCAUUUUUUUAUUGGUAUAUUUGAUUAAAAUUCUUUCUACAUAUUAUUCAUAGGCUAUCUUUUAUUAUGUCGGAUCACAAUCGGAAUCCCAAGAGAACAAAGAAUUUGAAUAGUGUUGUUUUGUAUUGCAUUGCAUUUACUUUUGGUUUUAGUUUUGCUUUUAGUGUAAAUUACUCAAAUGGUCCUCAAAUUUGUACCCGAUUUACAUUUUGGUCCAUAAACUAAAUUAUUCAUUCAAAUGGUGCACCAACUCUUUAUUAAUCAGUGCUUUGGUCCUACCGUUAUGUUUUCUAUUAAAUUUAGUCAUGUGAGCAGCACAUGCUACAUUUGUAGGGGUAAAUAAGACUUUUGACCACUUUAUCACCUAUGUAUCACCACUUUAUAACCUAUUUGGAGAACAUAGGUCAGUUAUGGACGGUUUUACAAUUAUAUUUGACGGCAACAUUAACAUAAUGUAACAGUGGGAUCAAUGGAGCGAUUAAUAUAGAGUUGAUGGACCGUUUGAACGAAUAAUUUAAUUGAGGGACCAAAACGUAAAUUGAGUAUAAGUUUGAGGACCAUUUGAGUAAUGUACCCUUCGCUUUUAUAUUUGUUGAACUUUUAUUUAUGGAUAGAUAUGCAUUUGAGGGUAAGACCCAUUAUGUUCCCCCUGACUUGGUGUAUCUUUUUAUGUUUAUUAAUGAAAUUCACUCGAACUGUUGAGUUUAGUAUGUAAGUUUUGCCUAACCGGCUUUUGAAUCCUAGAACCGCCACUGUUGCUCCAUCCUCCAUGCACUUGCAUGUGCUCUUACAAAGUGUGAAGUAGAUUUUGUGUGCUCCAAGUCAUUGACUAGAGCUGAAACAUGGUUAGCUAGAUUUAUAAGGACCCAUCUCUCUAUUUCCUAGACAUAUACCCAUCUCUCUAUAAAUCUAUAUGUAAAACUCAAUUUCAAACUUAAAUGACCAGUAAGAUAUAAGAGGUCAUAGUAUUCCUAUGUUUUUACAUCGUUGCCACCAGACUUCUUAUUUUAUUUAUAAUUUAUUUCAAGCAUUUCAUUAACUGCCAUAAUUGUAAUUAAUACUCCAUAUUAAUAGCAUAUCAAUCACCCCAUUUCUUUUGAUUGCCAUUCCCUCUAACAUAUCGCCCCUUAAAAUUGAAAACCAAAAAAAAAAAAAAUGUAAAUUACAUAUCCAAUAAUGUACCUAUGAAAAAUAUAAAUAUAAAUAUAUACGUAUAAAAAUAUAGGUUUAUUAUUUACCAAAUAAAAAAUAUAAAAAAACUAGGUCAGUUGCUUUGUAAUUGAAAUUUCUAUACAUUUUCCACAAAUUAAAAAUAGGUACACAAUAAUUUAUAGAAAAUAUAGGUGCAUUAUUUAUCCAUAGGUAAAAAUACCUAUAAAUGCACAUAGGUAAAUUAUUUACCCAUAUAUUAUUUUUUUGCUAAGGAUUUACCUUAGUUUUUAGUAGAUUAAUUUACCUACCUAGAGGCAUAGGUAGCUUAAAAAAAUUGUAGCACCUUAGUUGGUUGCAUACUAAUUUACCUACCUAGAGGCAUAGGUUGCUAAGAAAAAAUGUAGGUAAAUUCAUGUACCUAAACACAUAGGGGUCAAAUAGAGAAUAACAUGUUAUUUCCCUUCGAACAAAUUAAUUUCAAACCAUAACAAUAAUUGAAUUCGGAAAUUGGUAUAAAUAAAAGGAAAUAAAUAAGCUAUCAAUUUGAAAAUUAAAAUAAGAAAUGAUCAAGUAGUCAUAUUUGAAAAAAAAGAAAAGAAUAUAUUCUUGGUUUUUAUAGGAACAACGUGUAUAUUCAAACCAAAUGGCAGUAACUACACCAAGCUUUAAUUACUUUUUUUUAAGGCCAAAAGUCACUUUUGGUCUCUGUAGUUUGACACUUCUAUUACUUUUGACGCUGUAGUUUCAAUUCCGUCAAUUUUGCCAUUGUAGUUUCAUAUUUGUAGCAAUUCAAGGACAUGUUAAUAUUAAUGUCAAUUUGUUUAAUGAUGCAAGGGGUAAUUUCGUCAUCCCAAAAUCCUUGAGCAUAAAAGCUUGUCUGAAAUUCUCCCCAUUUCAUAUUAGGGCUCGAAAUUCAACCACUAAUCCCAAUUUUUGAAGAACCCUAUACCCAAAUGACCAAUUUCAAGCCCUAAUAACAAAUUAGGGAAGUUUUAGAUGAGCUUUUAUGCUCAAGGAUUUUGAGUUGAAGAAAUUGCCCCUUGCACUGUCAAAGAAAUUGAUAGGAAUACUGACUUGUCCUUGAAUUGCUACAAAUACAAAAAUACAGGGUCAAAAUUAACAGAAUUUAAACUAUAUGGUCAAAAGUGGUUAAAGUGCCAAACUACAAGGACCAAAAGUGACUUUUAGCCUUUUUGUUUAAAUAAGGAAAAAACUUACCUAUUAAAUCCUUGGAAUCUAUACAAAAUUGAAACACAGUUAAUCAGCAUUGAAUUGCAGCUAAUUUCUUAAACAAGGGUAUUAUAGGAAUUUAAAAAGUAUAACAUUUAAUCCAUUGAGCUUGAUUAGGAAUCUUGAUGAGUUGGAUCCUAGUUAUAUAGUUUCUCUUAUAAAAAUCGGGUUUUAUUUAUAGACAAAUAAAACAAUGGGUUGUAGGUAAGAAAAUAUUAAUUUGAAGGGAAAGUGUCACAUCCUGGGAUCGGCUCCGCCGUAGCACGAUAUUGUCCGCUUUGGGCCCCCCUCUCUGCCCGCACGGUUUUGUUUCUGGGAGCUCACGAGCAACUUCCCAGUGGGUCACCCAUCCUGGGAUUGCUCUGGCCCCCAACUCGCUUAACUUCGGAAUUCCUAUGACUCCGAAGCCAGUGAGCUCCCAAAAGGCCUCGUGCUAGAUGGAUGCGGGUGUGUACAUAUAAGACACAUCACCCCCUCUCCGUUGGUUGAUGUGGGAUCUUACAGAAAGAGUCAAAUUUACUAAAUUAAUAAAGCAUAAAUUGGAAAGGGAAAAGAUCUAGAGGAUGCAUUGUAGGAUUGCUCAUGCCAAUAAUUGCACCCUCUCGAUAUUGAAAAACCUAUUGUGUAUUAUUAUCUUCAAUCAUGAAUGAUGCACCUAAAACCCAAGUGUCCCAAGCCAACCAUUGCGCUCAUACCACUUGUUGCAGUACACAUUCACCCGUUUUUAAAGAAAGAAAUUCUACCAAUCGAUAUUGUCUCAAAUUUAAUCACAUAGGUCUAUUAUGGUUAACCAUAUGUACUUUUAUCGGCCAUAUAGAGGUACCUUUUUCCAACGUGCAACAAUUGUAUUUGAUUCACAAUUAUGUCUGAUAUACAUCACAUCAUGCCACUUGCCUCAAAUGAAUUUAAUUGAGUGAGGCAAUGGGAAGUAAUUAAGCUCUAUAUUGGUGGGUGGAGUGUUACUUCUGGAACCCUCAUCAUUCGUCCAUACAAGGGAACAAUUCCCUUCCUUCUAUAAAAUGGUGAAGCCAGUUGCUAUUGUUUGUUAGAGUUUUAGGAUCUGAGUGUUAGAUUUUGUGAGAAGAGAGAAGAGAAUUUAGUGAAAACUUCCAAUACUGCUCUGCUAUACGUGUAGCAGAGAGAACAUUCUGUUUUGUUAUAUAUUUUCAGUACAACAACACACACUUGGUGUGAGAAGAAAAAUGACUGUUAUGCACAGUACCAGCUGGAUGCUUUCCAUCAAAGUAAUCUCAGCCAUUCACUAUCUAACCAAUCAAGCUAUGACACCUGGACUAAGUAUAAAGAAAUACAACUAAGCAGAAAACAAGACUCUUAAUCCUGAAAUCAACUUAAGCACUUAUAAUUCAACACUCCCCUUUAAGUCUUGAGGUGAUUUCACUCCAAGCAUGCCUCUGAGAUAAUUGAAUCUGUCUUUGGCCAGAGGUUUGGUAAAAAUGUCAGCCAAUUGUUCAUUUGUAGGACAAUAUUCCAGAUUGAUUACCCCUUCUUGCAAUGCAUCCUUGAUGAAGUGAUACCUCCUGUCAAUAUGCUUUGUCUUCUGGUGGAAUACAGGGUUUUUAGUGAUUGCAAUUGCUGAGAUAUUAUCACAAUGCAAUGGAGUAGCUUCAGUUUGAAGCUCUCUAAAGUCUUCUAGCACAAAACGGAGCCAAAUAGCUUGAGUAGUAGCCUCAGCUGCACUGAUGUACUCAGCUUCUGCAGUAGACAGUGCAACACAGUUCUGUUUCACUGAGGCCCAAGAAAAUACUCCACUUCCAAAACUAAACGCAUACCCUGAUGUGCUCUUGCAAUCACCAACUGAUCCUCCCCAAUCACUGUCACAGUAACCAACUAGAAUUGAUCUUUUGCCUUUCACAUAUUCAAGACCAUAGUCCAGAGUUCCUUUGAUGUAUCUCAAAACCCUUUUAGCUGUUCCAUAGUGUCUAUUUGUAGGACAGUGCAUGAAUCUAGCUAGCAAGCUUGAGGCAUACAUGAUGUCUGGUCUUGUAGCAGUUAAGUACAGCAAGCUACCAACAAUGCUUCUGUAUUGUUCUUCAUUUGCAGCUCAACUCCCAUCAUCCUUAGCUAGUUUCUCAGUGGCAACAAGGGGUGUUGUCACAGGUUUGCACUCAGUCAAACCAAACUUGCUCAACAAGGUGCUAGCAUAUUUCUUUUGAUGUAGAAAUAUACUAGACUCAGUCUGAAUAACUCCCAUGCCAAGAAAGUGAUGAAGUAAGCCCAAAUCAGUCAUCUCAUACUUAGCCAUCAUGUCUUCUUUGAAUUCAGCCAACAAUGCUUGACUGCUCCCUGUAUACACAAUAUCGUCUACAUAGAUAGACACAAUUAGAAUCUCCUUAUCUCCCCUUACUUUGGUAUAUAAGGUUGUUUCACUUAAGCUUUUCACAAAACCACAUUGAGUGAAGUAGCUGUCUAUCUCUCCAUACCAAGCCCUUGGGGCUUGCUUCAGACCAUAAAGGGCUUUAUGCAAACGAUAAACCUUGUCUUCUUUACCUUUAAUUACAAAACCUUCAGGCUGACUGACAUAAACUUCCUCUUGCAGCACACCAUUAAGGAAAGCAGACUUCACAUCAAGCUGGAACAAUUUCCAAUCCUUUUGAGCAGCUAGAGCAAUAAGUGUUCUAAUGGUGUCCAAUCUGGCUAUAGGUGCAUAAGUCUCAUUAUAAUCCAGUCCAGGCUUCUGAGCAUACCCCUUAGCCACUAAUCUUGCUUUAUUCUUUUGCACUGAGCCAUCCAAAUUCAGCUUUGUCUUGUACACCCACUUAACUCCAAUCACUGGUUUUUCAGUUAGUCUAUCUACCAAUUCCCAUGUUUCAUUCUUUUCAAUCAUCUGCAGUUCAUCUUCCAUAGCCUUAAGCCAAGAUUCAUCCUGAGCAACAUCAGCAUAUUUUUCUGGUUCCAUGAUACACAAGUUACACUGAGCUAGAACAUCAUCUAGCCUUCUCCAUUUUAGAGGGGUGUGAUCAUAAGCUUGAGUUCUCCUUUCUUCACUGCUUAUAUCACCUGGAGUUGAUGAAAUGCUCUCUUGCAUAUCCAAAGUUUGAGGUGUACCAGUAGAAUUCUCAUUAGAACUGUCAGAUUUCAAGUCCAAAUCAACUUGGUUUUCAAUUGAGUAUGUUGUCAUAACUGAACCAUUUUUGUUUGUCCAAUGCCAAGCAUUUUCUUCAUCAAAUGUCACAUCCCUUGAUAGUAAAAGCUUGUUAGAAACAGGAUCAAAAACUCUAUAUCCUUUUUCACAAGUUGCAUAUCCCACAAACACUCCCUUUGUACUCUUAGGAUCCCGCUUGUGUCUCAAUUCAGUUGGCACAUGAACAUAACACAGAGAACCAAACACUUUCAGAUGUGCAAUUCCAGGCUUCCUUCCACUAUAUGCUUCGAAUGGAGUAAUGUUGUUGAGAGCUUUGGUAGGACAUCUGUUCAGCAAAUAGAUAGCUGUAUGCACAGCUUCUGCCCAUAGGAAAUAAGGCAUUCCCUUCUCAUGUAACAUUGAUUUUGCCAUCUCAAUGACAGUUCUAUUCUUCCUCUCAACUACUCCAUUCUGCUGAGGAGUAUAGGCCAUUGUAAGCUGCCUUUGAAUGCCAUUAGCUUCACAAAACUCCAAAAAAUCAGUAGACAUAAACUCUCCACCCCUGUCACUUCUUAUGCACUGAACCUUGUGUCCAGUUUGUAAUUCAGUCAUGGACUUGAACUUCUUGAAACAAAAGAAGGCUUUUGACUUGUUUCUCAAGAAGUAUACCCAAAUCAUUCUUGUGAAAUCAUCUAUAAUCAGCAUGAAAUAUCUGUUCCUUGCAACAGACUCAUUUCUCAUGGGACCACAGAGAUCCACAUGUAUUAGCACUAGUACUUUGCUUGCUCUUUGAGCUUGAUCUUUUGGAAAAACAUUUCUGUGCUGUUUUCCAAAUUGGCACCCGUCACACACACCACUUUGUUCUUCCAAUUUUGGUAAACCAUGUACCAUUUCUUUAUCACUUAGCUGCUUCAAUCCUCCAAAAUGCAGAUGACCAAAUCUCUUGUGCCAAAUCCAUGUGGAUUGAAGAAAACUAGUCUUCAUUAGUAACUGUUUUUCAGCUAGAAAAGAGACAGGAUAGCAUCUGUUACUCUUCAUUUGCACCUUUAUGAUGAGAUAAUCCAUGGAUGGGCUAUCAAAUACCCUGCACAUCCCUUCUCCAAACACUAGACAGUACCCAUGUUCAUCCAUCUGCCCAACACUUAGCAGAUUUUCUUUCAAUCCUGGCAGAUACAUUACUUCUCUGAUGUAUUUCCUGCCCUUUGCUGUAUCAAUACUCAGUGAGCCAAUACCAGCUACACUCACUAAUGCACCAGUUGGCAUUUGUACUCUCCCAGCUACAUUAGUUCUCACAUCAACCAGCAAAUCUAAAUUUCCUGUCAUAUGAUUGCUGCAGCCACUGUCAAUGUACCAUUCAUUGGUUUUGAUCUCAGUGGUUGAGCAAUUGGCAUAAAACAGGUUUCCUGUAACCUCCAUUUGAUUUACACAAUUAGCCUUCUGCACAUUUUUGCUCACUGUACAGUCUCUAGCAAGAUGUCCAACUCUGUCACAGUUAUAGCAUUUUGGUUUUCCCUUAUACCUGCACUCACCAAAAUGAUGCUUUGAACACACCUUGCAUUGAGGCUUUGUGUUUUCCUGAUUUGAGAACUGUGUUGAAGUGUGGUUCUGUGCAGAAUAAUUAUUCUGCUGUGUCUUGUCUUUUGCCUCCCAUGACUUCCCUUUAGAGUUCCAGCUUCUCUGUGACUUAGAUGAACCAGACUGAGAAGCAUUUUUGUUCUGACCCUUUGAAUUCACAGUGAAUGAGGCAAAUGCCUUCUCAGCUGUAUCAACACUAUGCAUUUCAAGCCUUUGCUCCCGACUCUUCAAAAUGGCAGUUACUUCCUGCAAAUCCACAGUUUCUAGUGUCUUUGUGUUUUCAAUCACAAUGCAUAUAGGGUCAUACUUCUUACUUAGACUAAUUAACACCUUCUGAACCUACCUCUCAUUUGACAGAACUUCACCAAAUGUUUUCAUUUGGUUAAUCAAUUCAGUUAGUCUAGUAAGAUAUUCAGAUAAGGUUUCACUAUCACGCAUCCUACUGUAUUCAAACUCACGUCUAAGGUUUUGAAGCUUUACCGAUCUAACAUGCUCUCCACCAUGAUAUUCUGAGUACAGCAGAUUCCAAGCCAUCUUUGCAGAGUCAGCAUUGGCAAUUCUGGGAAAAAUCUGAUCAGAAACAGCAUUUUGAAUGAUACCCAAGGCCUUCGCAUCCUUCAUGAGAAUCGCAGCUGUUUUCUCAUCAACUUCUUCUUCUGAACCAUCCUCAGAUUCCUGCUUCGUCUUUGAAUCUGGGAUUAAAAACCCCUUCUCUACCAAACCCCAUAAACCAUAUGAUCUGAAUAUGGUUACCAUCUUAAUCCUCCAAAAUUCAUAGUUCUCACCUGAGAAAAUGGGGAUUCUAGCCUCUGAACUUCCAGAUCCAGCCAUUACGAAUUUCAGAUUCGCCUGGAAACAAGAUGUUUUCAGAUUUGACCCUUGAUCGAGCUCAAUCAGCUUCGUGAGCUUAGAAUGAGCUCACCUCGAUCGAUUUUCUUCACAGAACAACGCCCAGCUUCAGAUAAUCAAACUUGGCUCUGAGGCCAUGUUAGAGUUUUAGGAUCUGAGUGUUAGAUAUUGUGAGAAGAGAGAAGAGAAUUUAGUGAAAAUUUCCAAUACUGCUCUGCUAUACGUGUAGCAGAGAGAACAUUCUCUUUUGCUAUAUAUUUUCAGUACAACAACACACACUUGGUGUGAGAAGAAAAAUGACUGUUAUGCACAGUACCAGCUGGAUGCUUUCCAUCAAAGUAAUCUCAGCCAUUCACUAUCUAACCAAUCAAGCUAUGACACCUGGACUAAGUAUAAAGAAAUACAACUAAGCAGAAAACAAGACUCUUAAUCCUGAAAUCAACUUAAGCACUUAUAAUUCAACAUUGUUACCAUAAGAGCCAGCUCCGACUUUCUUUAAUUUCAGUCCUAACGGGGUUUCAUCUUCCACUCAUCUUUGCUCUUCUCAGUGUAAGCUCUGCAAUUUGAUUAACUUUCCCAUUAUCUCUCACUGUACUCUAUAUAAAGGAAUAAGUGUCGUCCACUAAUUAAUUACACUUUGUGAGAUUUGAUUUUAAUUAGAGUUCGAAUUGAUGUUGCAGCUAGCAGCGGUGGCACUGGCAAACCAUGCUGCUCAACCAGCACCUCAACUUUACUGGAACUCCGUCCUGCCAAACACACAAAUGCCAAGAGCUAUCAGUGAACUUCUGCAUCCUGGUUUGUGUUGAAUAAAUAUAGUAUGUUACUGGAGUACGUAUGGCAACAUAUUCACAAAUGUGUCACGUAUUUUCCAAUAUGACGUUGAUAUAUAAUUGCAGACUCCACAAACGAAGAAAAGAGCACAAAUGUCAUGAAUGCUGUUGGGAAUGGAAAGCCAAUUGACCACAAGGGCAACCUGAAAAUACUGUACUACCACAGCUUGCACGACGCCCAUUUUCUUACAAGAGUGAUGAUCGUCCCACUGACAAUCAACUCCAUUAUAAAAACGUAGCUAUUUUCUUCUUGGAGAAGGACAUGCGCCCUGGCACAACAAUGAGCUUCCAAUUCCCUAGAAAUUCAAACACGGCUACUUUCCUGCCACCAGAAAGAGCUCAAUCGAUCCCCUUCUCCUCUAACAAACUACCAGAAAUUUUCAACCAUUUUUCAGUGAAGCCAACAUCUGUGGAAGCCAAAACAAUUAAGCAAACAAUCGAAGAGUGUGAGGCUCCAGGCAUUAAGGGAGAGGAAAUAUAUUGCGCCACAUCUUUAGAAUCAAUGGUUGAUUUUAGCACUUCGAAUUUUCGAACAAGAAACGUUCAAGCAAUCUCGACAGAGGUAUUGGAAAAAGGUGCCACCAUGUCCAUGCACAAGCAUACAACAAUGCCGGGACUGAAGAAGUUGGCAGGUGACAAAGUCGUUGUGUGUCAUAAGCAGAACUAUCCCUAUGCUGUGUUUUACUGCCAUGUAAUAAAACCAACAGCAGCUUAUGUUCUCUCCCUGAAAGGCGAUGAUGGGGUGAAGAUUAAAGCAGUAGCCAUCUGCCAUCUAGACACAUCAGAAUGGAACCCAAAGCAUUUGGCCUUCCAAAUCCUCAAAGUUAAGCCCGGAACAAUUCCCAUCUGCCAUUUCCUUCCCACUGAUCAUAGUGUCUGGGUUCCGAACCACAAAUCUGCAUGAUCAUCACUUAGCACUGUACGUAUAAUAAGCUUGCACCCCUGUAUAAUUAUCUCCCUACUCUACUUAUUUCUGCCUCUUCAUGUGGUGUAAGAUAUAUGAUGAGAUGAAGUUUUUGGGAUUAGUGGUCGGGUUGCCUUAAAAACACAGAUUACAGAAACUGCUUGAACUUAACCCGAUCAUGUUUUCUCUUGUACUCGUAAAGCAUGCUGUUGUGGUUCUACUUAAUUUCGUUCUCCCCAAUGUUUGAGUGUUUAAUUGUUACGUUGGAUAAUGCUUGUAGUUAGAGAAGCCUUCAUUUAUAUCAAAGUCCUCAACUUGUAAAGAUAUCAAUGGUCCUAGUGCUGCCACGUGUAAGAAGAUUGAAGAAUAAAGCUGUUGAGAUAUUGUUAGACCUGUUAUGCAGUUUAGGAAAACUGUUAGUAUUGAUAAGAGAAGGUUAGAGAUGUUAGAGAGGUUAGAAAACACGUGAACAAGGCUUUAACUCAGCUGAUAUAAAGUCUGUAGUUGUGCUCAGUUGAACUUAAUGAGAAAUACAACAAGUCUCUUCUCUAUCUCUGAAAUUCUCUCUGCUCUCUCUGCUUUACUUCUUUUGUCUCUGCUCUACAUUUUUUUUCAAUCUUCCUAUCUUAACAAAACUAUCAAGAAUUAAUGCAUCCAGAAACAUAUAUACCAAGACGCAAAACAACAUAUUUUUCAUGCUCUGUCUGUAACACCAAAGCAAACUUCCUUUAUCACAAAAGGAUCAAAUUCCAGUACUAAUCUAAUCCAUCAUGUAAAGCAUACAAUCUACAAGUGCCUCCCUUAAUUUGUCCAUUGGAUAUAUAUGUCACUUUUUGGUAAUUUGGUAUAGCAGCACCACGUAGUCUUGAAAUAGUAGUGCGGCUAUACCAAAUAUACCAUUUGCCCCUGCAUUUAACAGAAAAGUAAACAAAAUUGACGGUAGAACUAUUUGUCCUAACGAAACUGCAGUUGAAAGACCAUGAGAACGAUUUUGAAAAUUGAGGGACUCAAAUGAAAAUUGGGUCUAAGUUCAAGAACCAAUAAAACGAUUAACCCAUAGAUUUUGGAUCCAGUACCACAUCCCAAAGAGAAAACCACAAGUUUGCAAGCAAGUUUGUCCAUAAUAACACUACGUACAGUAUGGGCAGUGCGCUAGACUCAUCUCACUUUCUCAACCUAUCCUAUAGUUGUCUAAAAGAGUUUCUAAUUUAAUGUACUGAGAUUUACGAAAGAAAUAUCAGAGAAACAAUUUUCAGGCAAUAAAAAAAUGUCUUGGCAAGAAAAUGUACAAUUUGUUACAUAACUUAUUAAAUAUGAACAGUUGAAAGAAAAAAGAAUCUGGAUGAGGGAUUUGCAAAUUCCUAUGGCCCAAUUACCUUUUUUUCUUUGUUGUUUUUUUUUUUUUUUUUUUGGUUCUUUUGAUCCAGUAGCAUAUUCCAAAGAAUGAAAACCACAGGCAUGCAAUGCAAGCUCUUUUCCCACGUUUUCCUCUGUUUUUCUCCUAUCAUGGAAGUGAUUAAAACACACCUCUAAGCUUGUUUUGCGUUUGGUAGCCGAGUGUAAAAGCUCAAUGCAAGAUAGUUUGAGGUAGAAUUUUCUCCUAUUUUAUUAGGACAAUGAUAAUUAAAAAAAAGUGUGAUUCAUUGAAUAUUUGCGGGGUUUUGUUCAGACCUGACAAAGUUCUAAGUCAACACAUCAAAUUCCUUUUUCCAACAUGCAACAAUUGUAUUUGAUUCCCAAUUUUUUCUGAUAUACAUCACAUCAUGCCACUUGCAUCAAAUGAAUUUAAUUGAGUGAGGCAAUGGGAAGUAAUUAAGCUCUGUAUUCGUGGGUGGAGUGUUACUUCUGGAACCCUAAUAAUUCGUCCCUACAGGACUCUAGAACUCUCAAACUUCUUACAAGGACUACUUAACUCUAUAGCUUAAUGCAUAUAGCAUAUAUAUGCAAACACAAUUAGAAAUUCUACAACAGAAGCAAGAUCAAUCUCACUAUGCCUUCUAAACAAACAAACAAAUAAAACAAGCAUAUUAAUUGCUUUAAUCACUCUACUAACAUCAACACAGCACACUUAGUUUACUAACAGAUGAUAUAGAAAGGAAAAAAAAGGACCAAUAGGGAGAAAAUGGUGAACUAAGGAGAGACUAAUACUUCUGGUCCUUAGAAGGCAUAACAGAAAUAAUAGAGCACACUGCUUGAAUGCAAGUCAGUAUUAGGAGCAAAACAGCUGCAAUGAAAGAAAUAGUUGCCCAAGGUGUAUUGAAAUAAUGUUGCCUCAAAUUUGCCUUCCAUUUGUUCCAAGGCUUUCUGCAGUAGCUAUUAAGGCGCUCAGAAAGAAUAGCAAAGUAGAAGCUUUCACGAUACACUGCAAUUCCUUUUCCGAGGUUGUUAAUCAGAGUGCACACCUCAUUGUAGUCACCAAGCAUAUUUUUGACAAUCCCAUCCUUCAGAAGGAACUCCACAUCCUUUUCGGUGUUCACAAACUCAUCCAUGAGUGAAACAUAAUCACUUAUGUAAUUCUUACGGCAAUGGCACUAUUCAAAGGCAAUGAGGUUACGGAGUGUGAGCUCUGUGUAAUCGUGUAUUUUUAGUUUUGGAAUUUCUAGAAUCCCAUCGUUGAAUUGUGUUAACGCAGCUUUCCUUUCCUAGCCUACACGGAAGUCAACUUCACAAUCUCCUCCUAGCAAUUAGUCUUUCCUGCUGUAAAUCAGAUUUCCUACUGUAAAUCGGAUUGUAUUCAUGUCUAUAUUAUUUCCUACUUUAAGUAGAUAUCUUGUACUAGUAUAAAUAGGGACUUUGUGUAAUCUGUUAAAUACAAGGAAAUAUAUACUCUGCAUGGUAUCAGCCUAACCUAGGGUUCUCUCUCUCUCCCUUAUUCGAUCCUCUUCUCCUUUAGGUCCACCUCAUGGCUUUGUCUGAAUCCACCAUCUCCCUCCCAAGCCCCAACUCUUCUAUUUUAUCAAGCUUAUUGACUCCAACUAUCUUCUUUGGCUCCGCCAACUCAAACCCUUUUUAGUCGGCCAUGACCUCUGGAAAUUUAUCGAUGGCAUUCAUAAACAACCUUCUGCCCACACCUCCACCUCUACCACCGCAACACCCACAACCACCACCACUCUUACCCAAAUCAAUCAUGCCCAUGCUCAGUGGUACCAACAAGACCAACUCAUUGUUAGCUACAUCACCAAUACACUCUCUGAGUCCAUUCUCUUUCUCACUGUUGGUUGCACCUCUGCCCGGGAUCUCUGGGAGUGUCUCCAACGCCACUUCUCUCAAUCCAGUAUGGCCAGUGAAUCUACUCUUCGUUUUAAACUCAUGGAUUUGCAAAAAGGCUCUGAACCCACUUAUGCUUACAUUCGUCAUGCUAAGUCCUUUGCCGAUUCACUGGCUGCCAUCAAUGAACCUGUCUCCCCAAAAGAACUUGUCACUACUGUGCUUUGGGGUUUAAGACCCUAUUGCAACAUCCUCGUCACAGCAAUUCUCAAUUUCCCUCUGCUUCCUAACUUUGCUAAUCUUCGUGCUCGUUUGUUAGCAUUUGACGCACAGACUCCUUGAAUCUCUCCUGAUCAAAACACAGCGCAAAUGGCCACCCAAUCCUCUCCUCACACCACCGGUCAUACUUCCUUCCCUUCUCACCGUGGUGGUGGCUCUUCCAACAACAGGCGUGGUGGCCUCGGUGGCUGGCGCAAUAGCGGCCGGGGUGGCUGGCGCAGCUUCUCAUCUUCCUGGAGCAACCCGUGGAAUGGCUUCCAGCAGCUCCAAUGACCUAAUCAACCAUGGCCUCCUUUUGCUCCAAGUUCUGGAUCUCAAAGCAACUGGCCUUCCUUUCAGCCUCCUUGGGCCUAAUCUGCCGCUUCUAUCAAACACUUUGCCCGGCCCAACUCAGCUCCUGGUGUCUUGGGACCCGCUUGGUGCACUACCUGCAAUACCAAUCACAUACUACUACAAUAUGUCCUCAUCGCUACAAUGGCCCAGAAUCCUUUCUUUGCUAGGGCUCAAUUCAUGUAGCCACCUGACUCUACUUGGUACCCUGACACAAGUACCACUCAUCAUAUGAUUGGUAGUCCUUCUAAUCUCCAAAAUCAAUCCUUCUAAUCUCCAAAAUCAACAGCCAUAUCAGGUUCAUAAUUCUGUAUUUCUUGGUAAUGGAGAUUCUCUCCCUAUCUCUCAUACUAGCUCUCUCUUUUGUCUUCCAUCUCUUCGUACUAAUCUUCUUUUUGUUGCCCAUUUUACUUGUGAUAAUUUAGUUUUCUUUGUCUUUACUCUUGACUUUUAUCAAAUCUAUGACUUAUGUACUGGUUCGUUACUCUUUCAGGGCCCUUCUAAAGAUGGUCUUUACCCACUUUCCAUCUCCUCUCACUCAUCCAUAGUCCCCCAUGCCCUUACCACCGUGCACUCUCCUGCUUGGCAUCAUUGCCUUGGCCAUCCAUUCCAUCGUGUGCUCUCUCAUUUAGCGCCAUCUCUAGGCUUUAAAGUUUCUCAUGCUUUCUGUAAGGAUUGUGCACUUAGCAAAUCCACCAAACUGUCAUUUCUUAGUAAUAAAACCUUUGCCCCAUCUCCCUUUUAUUUAAUUCACUCUGAUGUAUGGAUGUCCUCGGUCAUUUCUGUCACUGGUUAUCGCUAUUAUGUCUUGUUUACAGAUGACUUUUCUCGUUACUCCUGGAUCUAUCAUAUGCACCGUAAAAAUGAGGUCUUUUCUCACUUUCAAACCUUUCUUGCUAUGGUUAAAAAUCAAUUUCACACCACUGUACAAAUUCUUUAAAGUGACAAUGGCACUGAAUAUGUUAAUAAUGCUUUCUCUGAUCUUUGCAGUCAACUAGGCAUCCACCAACGUUUCACAUGUCCCCACACUCCCCAACAAAAUGGCCUAGCUGAACAUAAACACAGACACAUUGCCACCAUGAUCUGUCCCCGGUCAUUUAUUCAACCAUCUUGACCUUUUGCUUGAUCAUUUUCCACAAGCAACCGUCCACGUACCCCAAUAAUUUAAAAGGGCUGAUGAUCUUUAAUUUGGUGAAAGCUUCUAUCUACCUACCGUGCUAUAUAUGAGCUAUGCAAUCGUGACCGUGUUACAUGACGUCCCAAUGUCGUAGGGAUAAAAAAAUAAUAGUCAUGGUUUUCUUAUUAAUGUCAAUACAUUCAUAGCAAAGAGCUUGUAGCUCUAGUGGUUAAGAGCAAUUACCCAUGCACUUGAGAUAUUUUGUGUUUAAAUCCCCUCUUCCCCAAUAUUUCUUGUAUAAAAAUAAAAAUAACAAUAAUAAUGACAUUAAUGUUGUAUUCUAUAAAGUGUUGGACAUGUUUUAUACCCCUUUCUUGCAAAUUACAGUUUGCCACGUGUACAAAAAUAAUAGAUAAGUGUUGGACAUCAAGAGCACUUACAUAUAGGUUUAAUAGGUAAGUUUUGAAUAUUUCUGUAUUUAGCUUUAAAUAUUGAAAAUCAACCUAUUAGCAUAUUAAAGAUUUGUCCAUAUUCGACGUACAUUCUCUUAUUUUUCUCUCAUUGAAGUAAAUACAAAACUAAGCACAUAGUGGGAAAGUGCGUCACGAUUAGGGGUGGGUUUAGUCUAGGUUGGUUCAUUUUUGGGCUCAAUUUGAACACCGAACUGUAAGCUUCGGUUUGGCUAUUUUGGAAACCGAAACCAAACCAUAAUUGAUGAAAACCGACCACUUCGAUUACCUUCUGGUCUUCCAACCAGAAGAAAACUCAAAACUUUAACCAUACCAAGUGCAACAGAAUUACACCAGGCUGGAUUCAAGUUUAUGAUGGUUAAAGAUAAAAACUUAUUUGACAUACAAUUUGAGAAUGGAAUCCUCAAAAUUCCACACCUGCGAAUACGGGGUUUAACAGAAAUUUUCUUCCGCAAUCUUAUUGCCUAUGAGCAGUGUGAGCUUCAUGAUCAUUACAUCAACGACUAUGUCUUCAUCAUGGACCGCCUGGUCGACAGUGCCAGGGAUGUGGAAUUGCUUGUGAAGAGUGGAAUUCUUGAAUCUAUGCUACCGGACAGCGAGGCAGCAGGGGAAUUUAUUAAUUCUCUUGACUUGGGGCCUAUUUUAGGCAAGCUUGAAACAAGACUAUUUCAGUUCACCAUGGGCUGGCCUGUCUAUUAUUGUAGCCGCUAUACUAGUUGUGCUCACAUUUAUUCAAACAGUGUGCUCCGUAAUGGCGCUGUAGGUUCUUCAUUUCCUCAAUUUCAUGUUUAGUGGUUGCAGAUUUGUUGCUCAUGUACGUGUUUAUCUAAAGUUAAAUAAGAGUGAUUGACUGGAUUGACUGUUAGUCUGUUAGUUUGUUUUUCUGGGGUUUUUCCCCCCUGUUCGUCAAAAAAAAAAAUAAAAGAGUGAUGGCUUGUGCCUAUGAAAAUUACUUAGGAGUAUGCUCCACAGAGCCAAAAUAAAUAAACUAGGGAAGUGGAGGUUCUUCUGUUUGUAUAUAAAUGAGCAAUUCAAACUCUCAGUGCCAAGGGAGUUACCCUUGAUACAUUUGUUAAAAAUUAUAUAUUUGGUCUUACAUCAAACAAAUAAUUUGAAGGGCUUUUUUGACAACUGCUGACAGCGUUUGGCAGAAAAGUUUAGAAGCGCUUCUACGCUUCUAGAUCAUAAAAGUGCUUUACCAAAAAGCACUUAGAUUUCUUAUGAAAAUUUCAACAUUUUUAUAAUAAAAGCGCUUGCUAGAAGCACUUAUAAGCAGAAGUGCUUCAUAGAGAAGCAGUCCCAAACGAGCUUGAUUUUCAAAUGUGCUGCUUAAGAAGAAAUUUAAUACGUUUUGAAAACAAAAAAAAAUACGAAAUUUAAUACGUUUGUUUUACAAAUUGUAUUAAUUGUUAUCAAUAAUACUUGUGCACACCCACAACAUACUUCUUUCUUUCUUUAUUUUCCUUCAGUACAGUUCUGCCUUUCUUUAAUUAUUUUUAACGAAUGCAAAGAGUUUGUCACAAAAUCAAGGAUUGAAAAAAAAAGAGAGUAAAUUAUGUGCUAGAGAAACUUUCCUGCAGAAAUUGAAGAACAACUCUAGUUUCUCUCUUUCGCCUUGUACUCCCGCACUGAGGUUAGUAUUGUUAUAAUGUGCAGAUUAUACGGUCACUCUUGUAUAAUGGCGAGAAGGCUCUAAUUAUAUUUUUGAACCUCUUUGACAGGACCCGCCCCGAAUUUCCCGAAACCCAAGACGAAUUCUGUGGAAAUUCCCUACAUCACCCCGAUGUUGGGCCCACUUCUAAAACUAUAUCAUUUUUCCUAAAAAGGAAUAAGGGCACGAGACUUUCUACCGAAAUUUCGGCAGAGUCUCUCCUGUAAAUUGAACAUUUCCCAAAAUUUCAACCUGCAUAAAACACAUUUUAUAUUACCCAACUGGCAGCAUGCACAAAAUAAUAACAUGCAAUUCACAUAAACGGCCUCUGGCCCUCCGGUAAUUCAGAGCAAUGCAAACUAGCAACUCUAAACCUAAUAAAACAACAUAAGUAACAUUUAGCCAGCGGCUGCACCCAGGCACUACCCUAGGCUACCUACGUACCCUUACUAAGGGAUCAAGCCACACGUAGUUCUUUCAUACAAAAUUUCCAAAUCCAUCAACAUGCAAUCAAUUACAGAAUCCCAAACAAAAUCUUUCUCAAACAUCAUUAGUUCCCAACUCAGUAUAAUAAUCCUUAAUUCAUCUCUGUAAUAAUCACAAUAUCUCCCCAUACGCCGGAACUACCAACACCACGUAUGGAGCCUGCCUGUACGCCAGAUAACCAACGACACGUGGGACCUCAUCAUCAUAUCACAUAAUCUCCCCAUACGCCGAAACUACCAACACCACGUAUGGGGUCUGUCAACACGCCGGAUAACCUACGACGUGUGACCUCAACAUCAAAUCACAAUAUCUCCCCAUACACCGGAACUACCUACGCCACGUAUGGGGUCUGUCCACAUGCCGGAUAACCUACGACACGUGGGACCUCAUCAUCAUAUCACAUAAUAUAUUAACGAUCAAGAAAUAUCACUACGGUCAUUUAAUCCUCCUGGGAAGGUAAAACUAUCUCAGGAGACUCACGGUCAACCAAGGGUCAAACUACCUCAUACUUGGACAAACGAGCCCACGGAGCCCACAACCUCCGUUUUACUAUCCAAGAGUUCCUAUAGGUUCUACAAGGUUUAGGAUACACGGCUUGCAAGUUUGGUCAAGAUCAGACGGUCGGAUCGCUCACGAUAGGACGGUUACUGCAAACCUAGCCCUAGGGUUGGCAUUUUCGGAGUAUCCGAAACUCCGUUUUACGAUCUGUCGAAUCAUAGACGAUCCUAAGGAUUUGCAGACUAACUAUAAUAAAUUCAAGACCAUCCAACGGUCUAAACCUAUCGAACCCGGAUAACGCGCAAUAGGCAAUAUCCAAAUUGAAAUCCGAGCACACCUACGCACUCGUGAGGACUAGGAGAUUACAUCGGGACAUAGUGCCCUUUUUCUACAGUGCCCAUGAGCCGCCGCACGCACCAGCAACGCGUGGGUGCCCAAAGCGAUUAUGCAUCGCCAAAAAAUCUCAAAACCACGGCUCAAGACUCCUACCCUAGGUAUAACACCCUAUUUGGAACCACUUUUGUUCUUGGACCUACCCCAAAAACUGAUCAGAAGUGGCCGGAAUGGCUGAAAUGUAAUUCAAAAAUCAAGCUACCAACGCUCAAAAUCGAUGCAAUCCUACCCAACCAUCAACUAGAUUAUGAAGAAUGGAUAAAUUUCCAUACCUUGAUCGCCAACAAUGGCGGCCGGAGGAGAGAGAUCUGAUCCGGCGAAGUUCGAGUGAAAACGGCCAAAAAUCAUCUUUUUCAGGCGGCUGGAGGGCGACCGAUGUCAGGGAAGGGCAGGGUCGUGACGCUAAGGCUGAGCCUGUCCUUUUGGCACCGGUCCCUUCCGCAGCCGUGUCCGGUGGCUGGAGUUUCGAAGAGAGAGAGAGAGAGAGAGAGAGAGAGAGAGAGAGAAAUCUGAUUUUUAUCAAACCUUUUUGCCAAAAUUACGGUUAUGCCACUGAGGGUAUUUUGAUAGUAUCUCUCUCGUUACAACUUCGAUUCGAGCCCACCACGUGUGUACGGACUCAUCUAACUGUGUUGUACGCAACGGUAUAGUCGAAAUUCCCAAAUUAUUUCCUUGUCAAAAAGUCAACUUUAAACAUUAUAAAAUAUUUUAGGGAAAAAAUGGUAUUUUCUCUCAAUAAAUUAGUAACUAAUUUAUUUAGGACUGGGUCAUUAUACUCUUUUUCGCUUCAAUGGAUGGGAAAAAAUUUUAUGUAAUAUCCCACAUCGACCAACGAAGAGGGGGCGAUGUGUCUUAUAUGUACAUGCCCGCCUCCAUCUAGCAUAAGGCCUUUUGGAAGCUCACUGGCUUCAGAGUCAUGGGAACUCCGAAGUUAAGCGAGUUGGGGGCUAGAGCAAUCCCAGGAUGAGUAACCCACUGGGAAGUUGCUCGUGAGCUUCGAGAAACAAAACCGUGAGGGCAGAGAGAGGGGCCCAAAGCGGACAAUAAGGCCUCGUGCUAGAUGGAGGCGGGCAUGUACAUAUAAGGCACAUCACUCUCUCUCCGUUGGUCGAUGUGGAAUGUUAGAAUGGAAUUGUUACCUUUGGUGUGGAGGUGUUCUAUCAUUUGAGCAAGAAAUUCCCACAUAUUCUUCAACUAUUUUUCAAGCAUGCAUAUUCCUCCCUAUCAAUCUUUGGUUUCUUCCUUUACUGUGCAUAGUAAGGAUCCAGUCAGGGACGGACCGUCGCUAUGACUAUCCUGGGCUAUAGCCCAGGCAAAUUAUUUUUUUUUCUAGUCUAAAAUAGCAAUCCCACCGCUUGCUGUAGUACUUGUUCAGUUCGUCACAAACAUGAGCAUAAUAGAAGUUAUCAACAUCUAUAUAGGAACCCCAAUGAAAAGGCUGUUAACUAAUAAUGAAGUUAACCCGUCAAUUUUUCCGCAUAUCAGAUAUCUCUCAGAAUAUGCGAUUCCAUAUUCAAUAAGCCACUCCACAUGCCCUGAGGUUUUCAUCAAACCACCCAUUAAGGAAACAUACUGACUCAUGUAAUUAUCAUUACUCAUCGGGUAAUGCAAUUGUUCAAAGGCAAGGACAUUUCUCAUUAUUUAUGUAGCGAACCCCAAUGGAAAUGGUGGGAUCUUCAGAACCCCAUCGGUGCUACUGAAUUGUAUGUCAAAUAUGUUUUCACCUUGUCACGCCUCAAACUUGACUCCAGCGUGCUGUAAUUCUGUCAAGCUGGGUAUGGAUGAUGGGAGUUUGAUGCAGGAGCAUAGGGGUGGAUCAAGAUAGAUAUUUACUAUUUAAUUAGUUAUUUCAUGAUAUAUUGUUAUUUUCUUAUUUAGGUAGUUUUAUGAUAUCUUUUAUUAUUUAUGUGUGAUUUUAUAAUUAAUUAGUAUACUUUUGGACCAAGUAGCCUUGGUGCUCAAGUCUUGUAAAGCCUAUAAAUAAGGCUAAUGUAAUAGUUGUAGAAUAGAUGUCGAUGAUUAAUAAAAUCGUUUAUUUGUGGCAUGGAUUUGCUACGAUAUAUGUGAGUUUGCACUAGCCCUAGAUUUCAGUGCUCGUGUAUGUGGUUGGUGACCUGUGUCCGGAUCCCGAUCCCCAUCAAUUGGUAUCAGAGCUAUGGCUCAAGAUCUGCUAUAUCGGGGAGGUUUUUGGAUGGAGGGUCGUUUUAACAACUACAACGACAUGGAGGAAAUUAGGAGGAUGCUACGGCAACUUAUGGAACACAUUGCUCGCAUUGAAGCUCGAACCCAGAUAGGUAAGAGUUCUGACGGGGAGGGAUGUGUGAACCCUUAUCUGAACCGAGUAGCUCGCAUCGACACUCUAAGCCGUGAGAGUCUCGACGGGGAGUACGAGGGAGAUAGCCCUUUUCAUUAUUGUGCUCCGCUGUGUGAGUCAAGUGAAGAGGGGCACGGUUAUUCUCAUUGUGUCUUUGAAGGUAUAAAUGAAUUUAGUAAUUUUGGUGCAUCUUGUUAUUCAUCAAAGUUAUUAAAUUUGGAUUUACCUCCAUUAUUUGAUCCUUGCAAUUGUGAAAAUUGCAAUAAAAAUUGUUUGGGUGUUCAAAGCAAUUUUGAUAAGCAAUUUAUUGACCAGAACAGUGAAGAGAUGAGAAUUGAGAAAACUUUCGAAGAUAUUAUUGAUUUUAUGGGCAUUAAUAUUUUCACUUGGAAGGUUGCCAAAAAUCUGGUUGAUUUUGUCAAUCGGUUGAAGAUUCUAGAGAGAAACAUUUGCAUUGCUAGAGGGAGUAAGAAGUCAAGAAUAACGAAAUAUUCCAAAUAUCUUUUUAUUUGGAAAGGAAGGUUUCAAUUGGAUGCUAAAAGAUCCAAAAUUAAUAUGCAGCAAUUGAAGAUUCUACUCGGAUUUUCCUUAAUCAAAGGCUUGAAUUCGAGGACGAAUUCUUUCCAACUAUGGGAGUCUGAUGCAGGAGCAUAGGGGUGGAUCAAGAUAGAUAUUUACUAUUUAAUUUGUUAUUUCAUGAUAUAUUGUUAUUUUCUUAUUUAGGUAGUUUUAUGAUAUCUUUUAUUAUUUAUGUGUGAUUUUAUAAUUAAUUAGUUUACUUUUGGACCAAGUAGCCUUGGUGCUCAAGUCUUGUAAAGCCUAUAAAUAAGGCUAAUGUAAUAGUUGUAGAAUAGAUGUCGAUGAUUAAUAAAAUCGUUUAUUUGUGGCAUGGAUUUGCUACAAUAUAUGUGAGUUUGCACUAACCCUUGAUUUCGGUGCUCGUGUAUGUGGUUGGUGACCUGUGUCCGGAUCCCGAUCCCCAUCAGAGUUCCCCUCCAGCUUUUGAUUCCAACGGUUGAUAGAGUUUAAAUAUUUUCCUGAAAAGAUCAAUAAUAUGUGCCACUGAUCUAAAAGUCUCCAAAUUGUCUUCCAAUUUGUCAACAGGCAAUAGAUGUUCGAAGAAACUGAAAGAAAUACAAAUUAUUGAAAGCCCCUCAGUAAUGCUGUUAUUGUCAGCAUUAGCAGGGAGUGUAAUUUUCUGUGGGUCGAAAAGAUCCUCGAGAAUGAAGAAUGGCAACUGAUUUUCAAGCAACCACGUAUCUGUCCAUGCAUCUUGCAACAUACCUGGUUUGUCAAAUAUGCGGUCAUUUUCGUCCCAAAAUUUGAAGUAGUCCUUCAAUAAGGGCUCAAUAACGAAGGCGGCGCCCACUAGAAUGAUUGUUACAAAUUCAUCACUGCUAAACUUGAUGGGUUCUCCAUAACAACGUCUCAAUCUUGCUUCGUGGUCCUUUAUUUUCUUAAUAUAAUCCUCCAAACUCACAUUGGUCCGACCUAUAAAAUCUUGCAGGUAUCUCUGUUUGUUCUCUUCCAAUACGACAUUCAAGCCUUCCUUUCCAUGGUGAAGUGGACCUAUAGAGACCGACUGCCUGAGGUGUGCAGAGCUUUUCAUUCACACAUACGUAGAUAAAAUGUCUGGGGGCUCAGAGAGUGAUGAAUGUGCAACAGCUAAUGGGAGGGUUUAUAUUCCUGAAGUAAGAAAUGAGGAAACACCAGCAGUUGGGAUGAAGUUUGACUCGCUUGACCUCGUUUACAAUUUCUAUAAUAGAUAUGCAUUCUUGGCUGGCUUUGGUAUUCGACUUCAUUCUAGCUUUUGGGGGAAAAAUAAGAAAGAGAUUUUGAGGAAAGAAUUUGUAUGUUGCAAACAAGGUGCAUACAAGAAGGAUGAAACUCGGGAGAGAAAAAGACAACGGGGAAUAAGUAGAUGCAAUUGCAAAGCAAAGAUUGUGGUUGUGAAGACAAAUGGGAGCAAGAAGUAUACCAUUUCUCUUUUUGCAGAGGGACACAAUCAUAAGAUGACACCCUCAGAAAGAAUGCAUUUAUUGAGAUCACACCGUCAUAUUUCAGAUUCUACAAAAGUACUCACAAAACAGUUGGGUUCAGUUAAUAUUCCCAUUCAUCAGAAGGUAAGUAUAUUCGAGGUGCAAUCCGGAGGAAUGGAUAAAAUCGGUUUUAUCAAAAAAGAUAUCUACAAUCUUGAAUGUAGUGUGAAUGGGAAGCUGAGGAACCACGAUGUUGAACUAGUGACCGAGUAUUUUAUGGCUGAACAGAAAAAAAAUGAGGCUUUUUAUUUCAAGAUUGAGGGAGAUGGGCAUGACAGGUUUAGUCGAUGUUUUUGGGCAGAUGCAACUUCUAGACGGGCGUAUGGGUUUUAUGGAGAUGUUGUUGUAUUCGAUACCACAUUCAACACGAAUCGAUACGACUUGACAUUUGCACCAAUGUUGGGAGUUAAUAACCAUGGUCAGACAAUUGUCUUAGCAUGCGCAUUUUUGAGCAAGGAAACGACUGAGUCGUUUGUUUGGAUGUUUGAGGAGUUUAAGAAAGCCAUGCCAGGUGGGGAACCUAAAACGAUCAUUACAGAUCAAGAUGCGGCAAUGGCCAUAGCGAUUUCAAUAGCCUUCCCGAGUACAUUUCAUCGACUUUGCAUAUGGCACAUCACAUCAAAGUUCUCUGUUAAGUUACCACGUGACGCUUAUAAGGAGUAUUGGCCUGAAUUUCAGAAAGCCAUAUGGGAUACUGACAAUAAGGAUGAGUUUGAUGCAAAAUGGAAUAUUGUGGUUAUAAAGGCUGGUUUGACUGACCAUCCAUGGCUAAGUUCAAUGUUUGAUUUAAGGGAAUCUUGGGUUCCAGCCUACGCACGACAAUUUUUUGCCGCUGGAAUGUCAAGCAGCCAAAGAGCGGAAGGUUCUCAUGGUUUUUUCAAGCAAUACAUAUCAAGGAGAAAUUCGUUGAUGGAUUUCAUAAUACGAUUUGAGAGGGCAUUUUCUCAUCAACGUGAAAAAGAGUUAGUUGCUGAUCACGUAGAUGCAUUUGAAGUGGCUCAAUGUCUUCUACCGAUGCCAAUGAACAAACAAAUGGCUACCUUGUACACAAGGACAAUGUUUCAAAAGUUUGAGCAAGAACUAAUACAAAGUACAGCAUGUUUCCUAGAGCUCAAAACAGAGGAUGCAUGUAAAGUUGUGUUCAACGUGAGCGAAAGGAAAAAUUGGGAAACAAGAGUGGCAGAAGUCGUAUAUGUCAAAGAUUCUGACCACGCAUCGUGUAGCUGCAAAAGAUUUGAAUUUGUUGGAAUUAUUUGCAAGCACAUCCUAGCAUUGUUCAGAAGGGACCAGAUUGAAUAUAUGCCCGAUAAAUAUAUUUUGAAGAGGUGGAAGAAAACUGCGAAAUGUGGAUUGGUGUCAGAUGCAAAUGGCAACGAAAUUAAAGACUGUGCAGAUCCUGGCCUUCUAAUAAAGCGGAGUACAAUGUCUCGACUUGCUUCAAAUGUGGUUGAGGAUGCAUUAAUGAGUGAAGAAGGAUGUGAGCUACUGUCAGAGACUCUAAAAAGUUUGCAGGUGAAGUUGAAGUUGCUGAAGGAUGGACCAAGUAAUAACGAAGUUGGAGGGUCCAGCUCUCAAACACAAUAUAUGAAAGACCCUAAGAGAGUGAGGUGCAAAGGAAGGUCGAAAGGAAUAACGGGAGCAAAGGAAAAGGCAAUGAAGCGAGGGAUUAGACACUGUCGGGAGUGUGGACACAUUGGUCAUGAUAGAAGACAAUGCCCAGCCUUGAACACACCGUAAGAUGCUACCACUAUUUGUAAUAAUAUCUAAAAUAUGAAAAGGUAAAAUUUUUAUGUGCUUGUGUUUGAUGUUUAUGCAGGACAUCACCGUCGAACAAUGACAAAUCAACUCCAAUACAUCGUAGUGACCCAUUAUUCGACGAUUUUGACAAGAUGCACAGACCAACUGAAUGAUUGAUAUUUGUAUUAGACGAAAUGUGGUUGUUAUGAAGAUUAAUGAUCAAGUGAAGUUUUAUAGAUUCAGUUUUUGAAUGUUAUUGUGUUUUUGUUCAUGUCCACCGAUGAGCUCUUACUAUGUCCACUGGUAAUUGAAAUGAAAAUUUUCUUGGUUUCAUUCUUCCAAGACAUUUGGAGACAUGUUAAUUUUACGUCUUCUCCCUAUUUAUAAAUUUUCAUAGACAUUUGAUCAAGUUUGAAAUUUGUAGUUAUGUGAAGAAGCAAUGACUCUUACCAUGUAAAAUGGGCAGUUUAGGGUGAAAUUUGUUUUAACAGAGAUUCAUUUUUCAAUUCCUCAGGGUAAUGCAGCAAUUACAGCAGCCAGCUGUUGUUUCCAUUACCAGUAAUCAUUUCCAGCAGCAGCCACUUUUUCCGACUGGUUAUUAGGGGCACGAUUUUGUACACUUUUGUAAGUGAAGGAUACUCGAAGCACUUUGUUGGAACAGAGCAAAUAGAAACCAGCGGGUAAAAAAAAAACAUAACAUUGCAGCUAAUUACAUUUCGAUACAUAGGUGAAAAAUAUUAAAGGGUACACUAACUUACAUAAAUACUCAUAAUUCCACACACAAAAGAACAUUUGAUUGCAAAACAUAUUAUGUGCUUCCUCAUAGCAAUACCACGAUCUCCCCAACCAACUGAACAACGGUAGCCACAAUCACUGGGUCGUACUCGUCAGCUUCUUCUUAGCAGGUCUCACAUGCUUAUGGCCACUCAUAUCCCUAGUGAUAUACACGAAAUAAAUCUUCAGCAAUAUUUGGAAUUUUAUUAUAUAUAAAUAAACCAUAAACCAUUCAGUAAACAAUGUAUAGCACAUGUUAUGUAACUUAUGACUCACGUGUCAGUUUUUUUUUUAACACAUUAGUACUCCAGCUCUUUAAUGUAAAUGGACAUGAUAAGGAGCAUUUACUGAUUCCCGGCUUUCUAUGAUAUUGACUGCUUCUUGAAUAAUAUUUCCAUAUUUGCAAAAUAUAAUGUUAGACAUUAUAACACAUGAUGACUUGCAAUACAUAGUCCCAAUAAUUAUAUAUCAAGCAAAUGAAACUGAUAUUUGUGUUAUUUUAAGUUAGAUAAUGACAUUAAGGGAGUAUAUGUGCAAUACCACGGUCACCCUCAACCAACUGAACAGCGGUAGCCGCAAUCACUUAGUCGUAUCGGUCGGCUUCUUCCGAGCAGCUUUGACGUGCUUAUGCUCAUUCAUGUCACCCCCAUCGUCUAGUAUCUCUCUCACAGCAUCAGGGGACACAUAGUUCCAAUCAUAACUUGUAUGAGUAGUUGCCGCAAAUGCUCGGAAUUUGUCGAAUCCUUCGUUGAAUGCCAACUCCAGUUCAGUAUGGUGCUCUUCGCAUCGCAUAUGGUUCAUCAAACAACCUUUGAUUUCAUCAUUCAUUACUGUAUCCAACUCCUCAGCUUUCAGCUUCCUGCUAUGACUCAGCUUCAAGUACUUGUUCUUUUGGGAUAACGCUUUGUUCACCCUAAUGUUAAGAUCAGCCAAAAUUGCCUCGUCUUCAACACAUUUCUCGUGCCAUGAAUUGAUCAGUCUGGAAUUAUAAUCCAGCUUGCCACUGACUGCAUGUAUUGCCUGUAAUGGAUCAUCGGAGUCCCCCUCACUCCCAAAUGAUGUUGAAAAAGGAAGGGGUCGGCGAGUACAAUGUGGAAAUAGAACCUGCCACUCCAAUUUGUCAUCUUCGAUUGUGUUGUUGGCGCCUGAAGAGGUUGACAUGCUUGAAUAAUCCUCUUUGUUUUGGGAGGAUGAGGAUUGCAUAUGCAAUUUCGUUUGAGAAAGGGAACAUAGGUUUAUAGACCAACAUACCAAAGCUUGUGUGUAGUCAACAUAUGUACUUUUUGGCGGGAAUUUUUUAAAAAUAGGUGUUAGGUUUUGCUUUUCAAGCAUGUCAACCUCACACUCUCCUGACACCACUGCUAGUGGUUGAAACAAAGUCAAUGGAAGUGACAUCUACUUAGUUAACUCAACCAAACUAGUUAGGAUUAAACUUAGAUUGUAUCAGACCAAAAAAUAAUUUCUACUUUGUCAACCAAAUAUUUUUUGGCGGGAACCCUUUUCUUGGUAUUACUAUCACCCCUUUCAUAUAAAAUCUCCUUCCACACAAAACUCACUCCUCCACCGAAUCUGUCUCCAUCUACCGAUACUCUCUCAAGCAAACAAACUCAUUCCCCCCAAAGAAUGAGCAUAAGCACAACCAAGUUUGAUGUGAGCAUAAUAAACACCCCUCCAAACAAAGACCGGCUUCGACACGCAAGUGAGUCACCGGACAAGCAAUGUCACAUUGCUAGACAGAAUGACCAUUUUGUUGGAAGUUUUGAGUCUGAAAGAGUUGUUGCUUUUUGGAAGGAGAGGCAUCUUCAACUUGGUGAUGAAAUCCAAAGGGCAAGGGCACGUUUGGAAUUUGUGGAAGGCCAAAUUGAAGAUGACAAAAGGCAGGCCAAUCUGGAUAGGGCGAAGUUGUAGCGCAUGAAGCGUAGACACAAACGACUUCGGAGUGUAGCUGUUCAAAAAUACAAGAACUCAUCUAAUGUAGUGGAGUCAAAGAAGCGUGUGAUGCAAGCUGGAUUCGACUACUUCCGAUCCUAUGCAAAACUCGUCGUACCCGGGUUUGAUUGGUCAUCUAUUACCGUUUCCGACGUCACCAAAUAUACUCAGCAAGGGAAGUAACCAUUUUGGUUCUCGUGUUUUAGCAGAGGCAAAUAAGUGGAAUUGGAAUUUUGGUUACACUCUGCUUCAAAGCUAUUUUGAUGCUAACUACUAUGGAAGAUUUAAACCUUAAUAUUUUGAUGUCUUUAAUUACGAAAACAGAAGAUGCAAAGAGCUCAUCUACUUCAGCCAUAUGUUGCUGCCAUGUCCAUUUGUUUUUGAUCACUUAUCAGAUUUGGACAUGGUUGCAUCAUAUGCAAUGUUGCCUUUAUUUAUUAUAUGUUAGGACAAGGUUUAUGGAAAAGCUUUUGUGAGUGCGUUUGUGACAAGGUUAUGGAAUUAUUAUGUACACUUUAUAUAUUGUUUUUUGUACUGGUUCAUUUCCUACUAUUUCUUGCUUUCUUUAUAUUUUAUGUUUGUGGAAUCCCUCUCAAAGUUAACAUAUACUGUGAAAAAAAUAUUAUGCAACUGAUUAUAUAAUCACUCAUAUAGACUAGGACAAAUAUUCACUAAGGGUUUUAAACUUGCUUCACUUGUGUGAUGUUAUUGACAAAAAGUAUGGCAUUAUUUAUGUGAUUUGACAUGAUUGAAAAUAUAUUACUGAUUCCCAAUGCGGCGUCAUAUGGACAACGUAUUGAAUACCUGUGACGUGUUAAUAACUCAAGGUGCAGUUGCAUGUGGACAACUUCUUGAAUACCUCUGACGUGUUGAAAACUCUAGGUGCAGUUGCAUGUGGACAACUUAUUGAAUACGAACUGACGUCUUCAAAGCUCUAGGCGUAGUUGCAAUGAUGGCUUCAAAGCAUGUGCAAUUAUUUUUUAUGUACAUUAUUAUAACAAAACAUAUUAUUGUAUAUAGUGAAACUAAAUAUUGUAUUAUUAGAAAUUAUAUUUCGAAUAUUAUCCGAAAUAUACGUGUUAACGUGAAUUUGGGUUAAGAGGAAAGUGAGUUAUGUACAAAUAAUUUUCAUUUUCUCAUUUUCCGGGCAUUUUUUGGAUUUUCGUAGAAUUUAUUACCUAUGUCCACAGAUUGUUGCACUAAAAAAGCCAAAAUAAUAGCAAGAGGACACCUGGAGCGAUCUCAGCCCGUCACUGAUGACUACUUGCACAAGUGUACGUCAGUCAACAUGGCCACACCCUCCCAUUUUACCCUAAAUUAUUAUUUUAUUACUUUUCCUUACAAAAAUCAGAACUAAUUACACACAAAAUAAAAAAAUUAUCCGAAAAUUGCUACGAACUCAUUGACACUCCAUCUCCGUUGCUGAAUUCUCCGAUUCAUUGUUACGUAUUUGUAAAAUUAAUUCCCAACAUUAACGGGAGAUGCUUGUUGAAGUAGGUUAUUCAAGUUGAAGUUAACAAACAUCAAUACUUAGGGUUAAGAGGAAAGUGAGUUAUGUAACACAAUUUGGAUUAUUUCAUUGCGAGACGAAUGAUUUAUAGGUUCUCCUAGUUUUAUGACGUCACAAGUAGGCCGGAGUAAUUUUUGGGGCAUUUUUACGAUUUUCCUACUAUUUUUUACCUAGUUUCAAAGAUUUUUGAACAAAAGAAUCCAAAAUGUAAAAGAAGAUGACACCUGGCGCGAUCUCAGCCCGUCACUUUUCACUACUUGCACAAGUGUACGUCAGUCAACAUGGCCACAUCCUCUCAUUUUACCCUAAAUUAUUAUUUUAUUACGUUUUGUCUUGGAAAAUUCAUAACUAAAUACACAAAAAUUCAAAAUUAUUUCUGAAAAUUGCUACGAACUCAUUGACACUCCAUCUCCGUUGCUGAAUUCUCCGAUUCAUUGUUACGCAUUUUUAAAAUUAAUUCCCAACAUUAACGGGAGAUGCUUGUUGAAGUAGGUUAUUCAAGUUGAAGUUAACAAACAUCAAUACUUAGGGUUAAGAGGAAAGUGAGUUAUGUAACACAAUUUGGAUUAUUUCAUUGUGAGACGAAUGAUUUAUAGGUUCUCCUAGUUUUAUGACGUCACAAGUAGGCCGGAGUAAUUUUUGGGCCAUUUUUACGAUUUUCCUACUAUUUAUUACCUAGUUUCAAAGAUUUUUGAACAAAAGAAUCCAAAAUUAACAAGAAUAUGACACCUGGCGCGAUCUCAGCCAGUCACUUUUGACUACUUGCACAAGUGUACGUUACCGAACAUGGCCACAUCCUCCCAUUUUACCCUAAAUUAUUAUUUUAUUACCUUUUUUCUUGGAAAAUUCAUAACUAAAUACACAAAAAUUAGAAAAACGAUCCGAAAAUUUCUACGAACUUAUUGCGAUUUCAUCUUCCUACUGCAUUCCCUGUUUAAUGGUUAUGCUACAUUAGUAUUUUAUUAUUAUUUAUCCACAAUUAUUAUAAUUAUUAUGAUAUUACUUUUUAGGCUGUCCAUUUGUUAAUUAUACCACAUCCAACUUGUUGAAAACAAUUUUAUUUUCCGUGCGAAUAGGCCAUUUGUAGUGCUUAUCGGUUUCUCUGUUCUUCAAUUUGUUAAUUUUUUUAUUUUUUAGGUUGAAGGGAUGUUUUGAAACAUAAUAUGGAAAUAUACAAGUCAUCCAUUGUACUCCUUCCACACAAAAAAAUAGUCUACGUCAUUCACUGUUCAACACCCUAGGUUAAGACACGUGUAACCAAAUCCGUUCGGAUAUGCUAAGUGGGAAAAUGUCAUUCCCAAGCACUGGUGAAAAGACACUUAUUUACUCCAUGCAUGACUUUUGGUUUACCAAAUAUGAAGAUUGGGGUCGGUGAGCAAAAUAUCUGUGUCAGUAAAAUGUCAUUCCUAGCCAUCUAUGAUGUAAGUAAUAAUUCCGCUAUAUAAUAAAUAUUAUACAUUUAUAUAUAAAACGGUUUAUGACAAAAUACCAACAUUUGAACAACAUUUAAACUGAGAUAGGUAUAACGUAGCCAGCCAACCUAGAAGUGAAGAGAAGCAAGUCCACAAUGCAUCAAAACUGUAAAUUCGUACUAAAACUAAUGCAAAAAUACGUGAUUCCCUCGCACAACUUACUCACGCAGGAUUUUGCACCAAAAAAUACUCUCACGGUGCCAUUUGCAUCGGUUGCAGCAAGUCCAAAACGCAGGAUUUAUCUUGUCUUCACUAGGCCACCCUGGAAUAACAAAAUACCAUUCAUUGUUGUUACAAGCGCUGCACCGAUUGAACUUAAUCUUCCCAUAGUCAAACAUAUCUACGAUAUGUCUUGCAACAAAUGCUCCGCGACAUCUUCCUGUUAAAGCAUCCCUGGUUCCUUUCAUAUCAAUGUUGUUACGUUGAUUCAAAGAACACAAGAAUUGUAAUGCAUCCUCUUUUGACUGACCAAUUCCGGACAUACCAAGUAGUCCAACUACAUAUGCCGCUUCCAUAUGGCCUGCCGUGGCUGCAAUGCGCAUCCCAUACAACGCUUCCACCUUACCGUCUGUGAAAAAACCUUCGAAUGCUUCUCUAAAUAUGGACUCAGGGUUAUCGCAAGCCCUGCAUUGUUGCAAGAAAUGCUGGACUGCAGGUUUGGCACGGUAGCAGAUAGGAUGGUGUGGGUACUUUGCCAUUGAAAUGGUGUUCCACACUUGUGGACUGUUUGCCAAAAUGUUGAACAAUCGGCACACACAUGCCAUACGGAAGAGAUCUUCCGAUGAUUCGGUUGCCACGUAUAACAUCACUUGAAACCAAGCGGACUCCGGGAUAAAGGCUUCGGGCAUAUCGAAAUGGAGAUGCUUCCUUCUCUUUCCUCCGACUGUAGUGAAGUGUUUCGAAUUCAUUGAAAAGUUUUUGGAAUGGAACGAUUUGAGGAGUGGCAGAGGGGAUAAAUGAUAAUAUUUGGGGUACACGUUCUACUUCCGAGCCUCUGUUUAUAGUGUUUUGAAAAGGUGUUUCCAGUUGGGGUUUUUCCAAGUUGACCCUUUUGAAAGAAACUGAAUCCAAGUGAAUUAAAACUUAAGACAAAAGAAGGGAAAACGUCAUAACGGUGCAUACAGAGUCAGACAGUUAAAAAGUUAAUUAAAUGGCUAUUUGCAUAGCCAUUUUUGGGUUUAUCCCACUAUCAAAUUCAUUGAUACAAAUGUGAUGGAUUACUGACUAGUGACAGAAGGUCCCAUCAUAUACUUUUUCAUUUUCGCACACCCAACUAUCCCUAGUAAUGUUAUUAAAAUGGAACCAAUAAUGACGGAUUCUUAUCCAACUAGUUGCCUUAAUGAAAUAUAAAUAAAUUAAUAAAAUUGAAGCAGUGUCCCGUCAUUAGUCAGAAAAUAUAUUUGGUAGUGAAGUAGUUUCUAUUGCUUUUCGGGCUAAAAGAUGUCACAAUGCUGACGGUACAGGUGUCGACAUCGUGACCAACCCACCAAAUGAUCCCAAAAAAAAGUAAUAUAACUCGAUUUGGGCAGAGAUGAGAGAGAGCUGAGUGACAAGUUUAGGGUUAUGAGUGAAGGGGUAUGAAUGACAACUAUGAGUGAGAAGGUAUGAGUCCGAAGAGGUUUCAGUGAGAAGAUUUGAGUGAGAAGAGGUACAACUGAGAAGAUUCAACAUGUCUUCGUCUUCAUCUCCUGCUCAAACAAAGAGGUGUCAGUAUUGUGGAGCUACAAUGGUGCUUCGGGUUUCAAAAUCUGAAAAAAAAUCGAGGGAAGCCAUUCUGGAAGUGUCUAACCUCCUAUGUAAGUUUUAAUUUAAAGAAUAUGUAUGUGGGUGAAAAAAAACCUAUGUCUAACUCUGACAGAAUUAUAUUCCAUAUAUGAUGCCUGCAAUUAGGGAGCCACCAGUUGCAAUGGAUUCGAAUGGGUUGAUGUAACCUCCGCUGAAGCAGAACAUCAAGAUGACACGUAUGAUGUUAGAGUGCUGAACAUGCUGAAGUCCAUUAAGGACUUGGUAUUAGUUUUAUUAGUUGUAUUAAUUGUCAUUUUAUUUGUUCUUUUAAUGAUCAUUUAACUGCACGGUUUAAAAGAUUGUGAAAGUUCUCUCGCACAAGACAUAUUGCACGCACCACCAAUGAGACCCUAAACCCAUUUUGUAAUAUUUGGUAACUGCAUGUAUUUCGCAUGUUAUUGAAUGUUUAUUGAAGGUUUAUUGAUAGUUUGCUGCAUGUAUAUGGAAUAUCAUUGCCCCAAAAUUGGAUGUUUAUUGGGGCCACAAGUAUCACUCAAGUAAGAAUGAAGGGGAGAAACGGACCUUAUUCUUUCUUAUAGUAGGAAGAACAACUGUUAAGUUUAAUAUCCUAUUCAAUACGACUUCCCUAUGGUUGGUGUACUUGGGGACUGAAGUAUAUUGCAUCAUUAUUGUGGGCAAGGGCAUGUCUAUUGUGUGUGUUAAGGGAGUAUUGUGUGGGCAAGGGCAUGUCUACUGUGUGUAUAUUGCAUGUCUACUGUGUGUAUAUUGCAUAUCUAUUCUCUGUAUAUGGCAGGCCAAGUUUGUGUAUAUUGUUUGUCUGUUGUGUGUGUAUUGCUUGUCGGUGCGUUUGUGAAUUGUGGUUCAUUUUGUGUAUAUUGUCUUUGUUUCUACUUUUAUGCUACUGAGCUGCGGAAAACCUCGCAUGUUUAGACACCUAUUAUGAUGCAACACAUUGCGAUUAAUGGUGGCUUGCAUCAACAAUGACAUAUCACUUUGCAAUGAUGUAAUACACUUAAAAAGCCGUCUUCAAAUCCCAAUUCACAUAUGCAGUCUUAAAAUUCUAAUUCAAUGCAGUUUGGUUAACAAACAUGUAAAUGUCAUGAAGGAGUUAGCGGUAGAAUUCGAUAAGGACCCGUACGUCUCUAUUGUGUAUUUACAUUAGUUUGAGAAUGGACAUUCCCAAAACCUUCUCAUGUACCAUUUGUCAUCUUCAACCAAUAUCAUGGGAAGUAAGCAUCUCCCCUUGUUAUCUCCGCAGCCAAUUUCAACCGAAAAAAAGGCAUGUUGUGCGAGGUGCAAGUAGCUAACGGAAGCUUAGCGCUGAAAAGCUCAAUGUACUUUAACACAAACAUGCCACAAUCGCCUCUGAAGCAAAACAAGAACUCGAUCAAUUCAACUAAUGACAUUCUAAUGUAAUUGACAAUUGAAAGUAAUAAAAUUAAAUUGCAAGUUGUGCUUACUCAUUAGACUGUUGUGGAACAUCCACACGCUCUAUUGGCCACGGACACCACCAAUCUCGGCUGCAAUUGUUUGCAUAAACACCUUCUUCAUAAAAGUCGAUGGUGUUGAGAAGAUUUGGAAGCGUAAUUGAUAGCGGGCCGAGUUCUUCCUUUACGAUGUCAUCUGGAAUUAGUGAAACCUUUGAAUCGUACACUUUGAUUCACACAAUACCAGAUCAAACANNNNNNNNNNNNNNNNNNNNNNNNNNNNNNNNNNNNNNNNNNNNNNNNNNNNNNNNNNNNNNNNNNNNNNNNNNNNNNNNNNNNNNNNNNNNNNNNNNNNNNNNNNNNNNNNNNNNNNNNNNNNNNNNNNNNNNNNNNNNNNNNNNNNNNNNNNNNNNNNNNNNNNNNNNNNNNNNNNNNNNNNNNNNNNNNNNNNNNNNNNNNNNNNNNNNNNNNNNNNNNNNNNNNNNNNNNNNNNNNNNNNNNNNNNNNNNNNNNNNNNNNNNNNNNNNNNNNNNNNNNNNNNNNNNNNNNNNNNNNNNNNNNNNNNNNNNNNNNNNNNNNNNNNNNNNNNNNNNNNNNNNNNNNNNNNNNNNNNNNNNNNNNNNNNNNNNNNNNNNNNNNNNNNNNNNNNNNNNNNNNNNNNNNNNNNNNNNNNNNNNNNNNNNNNNNNNNNNNNNNNNNNNNNNNNNNNNNNNNNNNNNNNNNNNNNNNNNNNNNNNNNNNNNNNNNNNNNNNNNNNNNNNNNNNNNNNNNNNNNNNNNNNNNNNNNNNNNNNNNNNNNNNNNNNNNNNNNNNNNNNNNNNNNNNNNNNNNNNNNNNNNNNNNNNNNNNNNNNNNNNNNNNNNNNNNNNNNNNNNNNNNNNNNNNNNNNNNNNNNNNNNNNNNNNNNNNNNNNNNNNNNNNNNNNNNNNNNNNNNNNNNNNNNNNNNNNNNNNNNNNNNNNNNNNNNNNNNNNNNNNNNNNNNNNNNNNNNNNNNNNNNNNNNNNNNNNNNNNNNNNNNNNNNNNNNNNNNNNNNNNNNNNNNNNNNNNNNNNNNNNNNNNNNNNNNNNNNNNNNNNNNNNNNNNNNNNNNNNNNNNNNNNNNNNNNNNNNNNNNNNNNNNNNNNNNNNNNNNNNNNNNNNNNNNNNNNNNNNNNNNNNNNNNNNNNNNNNNNNNNNNNNNNNNNNNNNNNNNNNNNNNNNNNNNNNNNNNNNNNNNNNNNNNNNNNNNNNNNNNNNNNNNNNNNNNNNNNNNNNNNNNNNNNNNNNNNNNNNNNNNNNNNNNNNNNNNNNNNNNNNNNNNNNNNNNNNNNNNNNNNNNNNNNNNNNNNNNNNNNNNNNNNNNNNNNNNNNNNNNNNNNNNNNNNNNNNNNNNNNNNNNNNNNNNNNNNNNNNNNNNNNNNNNNNNNNNNNNNNNNNNNNNNNNNNNNNNNNNNNNNNNNNNNNNNNNNNNNUUUUCCUCUCCCUCAUCUCUAUUAUUUGGCCCUUCACCCCCUUCAAUCCCUUCAUCUUCUUUUUCCUCUCCCUCAUUUCUGUUACUUGGCCCUUCAUCCCAUUGAAUGUCAUCCAUUUCCCCAUAUCCCUUAAAUAGAUGUGAGACGACACAACGAUUCGUCCUCUGUUUCAGUAAAGCUAGGUCCCUCCUUACUUCCUGCUCAAACUGAGGACCUAAACAUUGGUCCAAUAGUUUUUCCAUCCGUAUGACCUUUAAGUGAAGGACGUCUUUUUCCCGCUUUUCUUGAAACAACUCGGACCUCAACAAGCUUACCACCUUGUUCAACUCAUCAAGAUCACCACAUGAAGAAGGAAUUGACUCUGCCGAGACAACAGCAGGGCGAUCCUGUGGCCAACUCCAAUAUGGCUGUCUCAUUUCCUCUUCACUUAGACAUAGCGCCCGCAACUGAACUGACUGUUUCAGAAUACAGACAAGAGUCAUAUUAAAUCAUUCUACUUCAUAAUUUCAUUCAAUCUUAUCAAUAGUUCUAAGGGCUGCAAACCAAACCUCUUUGCUCUGGAAAAAAUAAUUGUUCAACUUUCUCAUCUCUGGAACAGACGUAGUAGUUCUCCAUCGCAAAAUACGCGGGACAGCGGUCGGAUCAACAACCUUGCAGUAAUUCAGGUCCGCCAUUCUAGGAAUUAAUUCAUAUACCCAAAUCUACACAAUUCACAGGACAAAAGUCAUUAUUUAUGUUUUAAAGAAAAACAAAACAUAACUGACAUGAACAUUAUUACCAUGUACCUGGAAAGCAUACGUGAAACCUUUAAAACUCCAGCCACUCCUUUGCGCUUCACUAUGCUUAUCCUUCUUGCCCUUCUCAUUUCUCCGGCUUGUUCCCGUUACCUUACUUUUCCCCUUCCCUCUUCCCUCUUCAUUUUCCAAGCUUUUCACAUACUUUGUUGGUGCAGAAAAUAGACUGUCUUGGGUUUUGUCAAAGGACACCGAACCCCACGGAUACCUGUUGAACGCAUCCAAGUCCUCUACAAGGGUCAGGUAAUUUAGAUUGAUGUUCAAAUGUUUGUCCCUUCCCAAAACCACUAACUCAGCAAAGUAAACAAGAGGUAGCUUGAAGAUGUCAUCUUCCUCUGUGCACCUCACAAAUGCUUCUUCUAAAGCAUUGCAUGUAAUUCCUUCGUCUAUAAAAUAUCUUUUCUGAAGUCUGAUUUCAUUACUCUCUCCACUGGAAACUUCAGGCACUUCCCCAAAACGAAGCCCUGUGAUCAAACAGAAAUCCUGACGAGUGAACUGAGCAACGUCACACCCUAAUAAGAAACUCAGUCCAUCCAAGUCUUUCACACCCUGCCCCGCUACUCUACGCAACACAACCCCAUGCACAAUCUGUCCGCUAAACUGAAUCUUAUCUAUAUUCAGAAGAUGGCCAAAGCAUGAUGUCUUGAAUUGUUCUAAUUGUUCCGCACUCAACUUCGCUCGAAUUGCAGCUAGAGAUGAAUUUGCAUGUGAGCAGUUGUUCACCCGUGAUGAAUAUACCUCUGCCUCUGGCCAUACCAGCUCCACGUUGGAUCCCAUUUCCUCAAAUACAAUGUGAAAUAACGUGAACAUAUAUACUACCACGUAUUUGCACAAUCACAACUAGUCAACCAGGCACAUUACAACUUUUACAAAGUACAUGAGCAUAUGGAUUACUCAUCACAGGCUUUAACAUCAUCAAAGCAAUAUGACAAUUUUUGUGCAAAUACCUGUUAAUGCAAUGAUUAUGUGAAUUACAAACAAUUUCACGUGUUUUAUUUAUGGAUCCAUACUCGUGUGAGUGCAAUGUAGGCAAGUUCUGCACUUCACACACAUGACAAUUAUUGUCAUCUCAUACACAACCCAAAAUAAAUAAAUAAGAAAUAUAGUGGAAGGAAGCAAAGCAAAGCAUGUACUCUGCUAUCUGCUUGCUAAGCAAUUGCCACAUCCUUCUUUCUUUCUACCUUUUUCUUCAGUCACCCACAAUCGUCAUAGAUCAACCUUCAUUUCAAAUGCUUUGCACUUUUAUUCAUGAGUUUAUUAUUAUCUGUUCUCAUUUCUCAUAGGCAAAUUUAGUAACAAAUGAAAUAAUAUUUAUUUCACAAAAUAUAUAAAUUCUAGUGCCAGAGAGGUACUCUUCACUCUGCACUGCUUCAAAUGUGGAAGGUUUUGAGAUGUUAUUGACAUGUGAUUGACUUUAUUUUCAUUCGUUUUUUAACAUAUACCCAAGCAAAAAUUAACAUGCAAUUGAAGCACAAAUAAGAGAUGCCAAAUCCAACAACAUUGAUGGUACAAAUUGGGGAAAACCAUUACUCUAACCCUAAACUCAAAUUCCUUACAUUACUCAUCAAAUGCUUUGCAGUUCUAUUCAUGAGUUUAUUAUUAUCUGUUCAAAUGUUUCUCAGGCAAAUUUAGUAACAAAGGAAAUCAUAUUUACUUCAUAAAAUAUAUAUAUAUAUAUAUAUAUUCUAGCGCCUCUUCUUAAUCUGCACUAUGCACUGCUUCAAAUGUGGAAGGUUUUGAGGGCCUCCUCCAAUUCAACACCAUUAUCUUAUUCAUAUCAUUAUUGACAUGUUAUUCACUUGUUAUUGACUUCAUUUUCAUUCUUUUUUUAACAUAUACCUAAGCAAAAAUUAACAUGCAACUGAAGCACAACGAAGAGAUGCCAAAUCCAACAAAAUUUAUGGUACAAAUUGGGGAAAACCAUUACUCUAACCCUAAACUCAAAUUCCAUAAAUUACUCACCAAAUGCUGGUUAUUGCAAGGUGUCUGUGUGGGGUCUUUCUGUUUCUUUGCUCCACAAAUGGAACCUACCACUUCCAACGAAUACAGCUUUUCCCCUUCCCCUUCCACUGCUUCGCCUCUUCACUGAUUUGGAAUCCACACCUUUGCCCCUUCUACUCCAAAUAAAUACUUUCUCGGGGUCUGGAGAACGGAGUGGCGAAUCGUUGCCUUCAACUGUCGUUAGCCGUUGCCUUCAUUGGGUAUCUCAGACCUCUGUGUUUUAGAGAGAUGAGUUCUUUCUGUUCAAACUUCGAACUUGCCUCUUCUUCUUCUUUUUCGGACGUGUUUCCCUCUUCUUCUUCUUUUUGGACGUGCUGGAUAUUCAAUUCGGGUUUGGGUUCCUUACCUACCCAAUUGUGAAACUUUAACUCAAUUCUCCCCAGCCCUUGGAUUAAUCUGAUGGCUAUAAAGUGAACCCCUUAUAACUUACCCCUUAUAACUUUCCACUCAUUAUAGUCUUGGCCAGGUAUGGCGGCCAUGCUAGUAAGUGUUGGGUCUUUGACCCAACUUAAGCUAAAUGGGUCAUAAGAUGACCGAUCAUCUUAUCUCAUAAGGAUAUAUAAGUCAUGUUAUGAUUUAGGAUUUUAUAGGGUUUCCUUUGUAAGAGGUAAGAGAGAAACAAGCUCUCUCUCUCUCUACACAAGGAGGUCAGCCAUAGCAAGGGAAAGGCUCCUAGCACUCUCCUCUCUCUUAUUAUAUCAUCCUUCCAAGGACAGCUUUGGUAUGGUAAAGUUGGAGGUUGCACACUUUGUGCACUUUGGUAAGAACUCAUCCAAGGGAGCCAAGAUUAAAUUGGUUAGCUGUUGGAUUAAAUUGGUUAGCACGAUUCAACGGUUAAUAGAUAAAACUUCACAUAAAAGUCAUAUAUAAGGCCCUCACUAUAGAAUGACUCGUUAGUUUAGUCUCUUGUUACAUAUCAAAUGUUAGAGAUAUUUUUUAAUAAGGAUCUGCCAUACCACAUAGUUGGAUAAGACAUUAUACACGGCUUUUGUAAGAGCAUCUCCAGCGCUCCAAACUAGCCCAAGCAGCAGGGGGGCCUAAGUCUAGGAAGCAGCUCCAGCUCGCAAGAUUCAACCCAGGCAAGGUGUGGAACCCACGAGGAGAUCUAGCCCGUCACCUUGCCUUUGGGUUUCAGUCAAGCUGAUGUCAACGAAAGAAUUUCAAAUUUUUUUUACCGUUACAAUGUACGCGCCAACGAUAAAUUUUCUUUGGAUUUCUUGCAUUGAUCCACAGCUACCAAAAACCAACAGCUACAAGCCACGUGGCUUCUCCAGGAGCCUCCGAUCCAAAAAUCAUGUCAAAUCUAACGGCAGUCCAUUUUUUGGCUAAAAAUAUCAAAAAAUUAUGGAAACAUGUUCUAUAAAUUCCUACAAAUAUUAUUCACUUCCCACACCAAAUCUUCAUACAAAUUCAUAUCCUUUCAAUAUUUUUCACUUUCCAUACAAGAUUUUCUACUACUAAGUUUCGUUUGUGUAAAAAUACAAAUGACCUCUUCUAUCGAAGCCGGAGGCGCGUGUACAACCGUGGAAGAUAUUUUGUUGCGUGAGUGUUGGGUCAAAGUUGGUCAUUCCCUGAUCACGGGCAAUGAGAUGAAGUCCUCUCGUAGGAGUUUCUGACAUCGCAACGAAAGUAAGAUGUGAUAUGAAAAUGUAAGGAAUUUGAUGAGAGGAAUGGGAUUUGAGGAGUUUGAUGUAGGAAUUGAUGUAGGAAUUGAAUUUGGGAGGUAUGUAUAUAAGAUUUGAGGGUAUGUGUUUAGGGAUUUUGAUAAGAGGAUUUGAGGAAUUUAGAUUUGAAGGAUUUGGAUUUGGGGAAUUUAAAUAUGAGGAAUUUGAUUAGGGUUUGGGUUUGAAUAUGUGAAAUUUGAUAUGAGAGUUUAGAGACAACAGAUGAUCGAUUGCUCUGAUACCAUGCUAAAAUAUGAUAUGGUUUGAAUACUUUAGGUUGAGUUUUAUUCUUUUCCAUAAAAAGGUAUAUAUAGGAGUUUACAUGAGUGCUUUACAAAGAAAUAGAUACAAUAAUCAAUUAGGAUAAUAUCUCCUAAUUAUACAAUAAUUUGUCAACUAUAUAGAAUAGGAAAGUAAAUUCCUUAAUUAAUCAAGAAAAUAAAUCUCAUUGAUUAAUUAGGAGACUAACGUCAACAUUUAUAAGCCAUAAAAGAGCAGAAAAAGAGGUACUUAGGAGAUUUUAUACGUCGGACUAAGGUAAGCUUAAAGGACUAUAUCAAAAAAAUAAGGGACCAAGAAGCAAGACAGAGAAGUUGUUAUGCAAACCCAUUAAGUUUAGCAGUGAUGAAUUUGUAAAAAUCAUUCUAGUGGAUUCUGCCUUCACUAUUGAGUUCUUAUUGAGGUUCUAUCUGAAAGGAUCUGGACAUGAAGGAGACCGCUUAUUAAACAAACCGUGGAUGUUUACAGCCUGACAUGUGGUUGCUUGAAAAUCAGCUCCCAUUCUUUAUUCUUGAGGAUCUUUAUCACACAUACAUAAUAACCGACUCUUUUAGGAAUUAUUACAGUACUCAUGAUCAUGAGAGGCUUUCAAUAAUUAAUAUUUCUAAGAAUUUCUUCACAGCCGGAAUAUUGAAUUUGGAGGGGAAGGGAGACAAAUGGAACAGAAUAUCAUCUUCUUCUAGUGUUGGAAAUUUUAUAUUAUUUAAUAAUAUUUAAUUUCUAUUGUGAAUGAAAAAUAAGUUUCUUUAAGAAACGUGUGUCUUAGGCCAGUUUUUCUAACUGGUCGGCUUCCUUAGAUUUGUGCCUAUUGCUUUUCAAAGUAUAAUGAUGCAAUGGUUGUAUCUCGUUCAGGCAAAUGGAAGGUAUAUAGCAAUUUAUAGAACAAUACAGUAAUCCAGAAGAAAUAUUAUGAAAUGAAAAGAAUAAAAAGUAAAAAAAGAGAAAGAAAGGAAUUCCCACCUGCAAUGUAUAUGUAUGAAAGGAAGGACCAAGUUUGUUUUAAAAUGGUAAGAACAAGUUGAUUUUAAAUUGGGUUCAGAUCAACUCAUAGAUUUCUUGCCUUUUCUGUUCUCCUUCCUUGGACAUGAACUGUUUAAUCUUGGACUCUUCCCCAUCAUGUUGGGCCUGUCUUCUUCUUGAGGAUUGUAUAGGCCUAGGAAAUGCUUCGGGGUAGUUUUUGUGUUUUGGGCAUUGGGACCCAACUUCACAAAAAGAAAACAAAUUUGACCAAAACACAAAUUUGAAGGACAUUGAAAUUGUACCCGUAGGAUAGAUUAAAACACUAUAAGGGAGGUAAAUAGUACGUUUACAGAGUUUAAGUGUAAUAAAGGAAUAAAAACAUGCCCAGAGAAUUGAUAAGUGAUAUCAAUUCUUGAAUAUACGUGAAAAUUAUUUUAUGUGGUUAAACCCCACCUCUGGGGAAAAUCCACGGAACUUCUUAGUCCAACUUCUAUCACUUAUCCUAGACACAUUCUAGAUAAUGUUUGCCAACCUCUUCGUAACUCAACUUCUGUCACGAGAUGAUCUUUCAACACUUUAUGUCGAACGCAAUACUGGUCACGAUUUCUUCAAGCUCGCCGGAGUUCUUCCAAUUCUCCUUAUAUUGAAUCUGAUACUAGUCACGAUCGAUUCAAGCUCAUCGGAGAAAAAUCGCCACAACAAUCUUGGUGCCCUCAACCGUAUGAGUCACUGAACAUGCAAAUGAAUACAAUAUGAAUGAUAAAAGUGUUUGAUAAAUCACCAAGUUAUGGAACACUUGAUGAUUUAUCUCAAAUAAAAAUUCAGCUUUCCAAAGUUUAUGAAUUGAAAAUAUGACCGUUAAAGCUCUCUAAACAAAGAAGACGAAGGUCUUAUUUUAUAGACUUUUACUUUACAAGAAAGAAAACACGUUGAAAACCAAAUCUCCAAUUUCCAAGGCUUGACAGAAAAUCACAAAAUUAUCUUUCCUAUUCUAGAGAUUGGUCACAUGAAGUCCAACCAAUAGGAAAUGAGAUAUUUAAGAAAGGAAGAUUUUGAUCAAUAUCAAUAUCAAAUGAAUUCUUAUACGCCUAGUCAAUUGUUAUGGGUAUCUUGACUCCUUGAUAUUGUGAUAUGAUUGAAACAUGAUUUCCACGUUAGAAAAUUAAGGGGAUGUUAAAACAUGAAGGUAAUAGGAGAAUCAAAUUGAUUUGGGCCAAAAUUGCCUAAAAAGAAAACACUCCUUAAUAAACUUCAAUUUACUUUUAAAAAUAGUAAAACGUGAUUGAAUCGUUCUUUAAAACAAUUCCCUAAUAUACAUGCAUGAUAGUGAUAUCACUUACCUUUGAAUCAGAUGGCUUUCACGGGUCAAGCCACAAGUUUUUGUCUUGGGGAUUGCUGAGCUUCAUCAAUCCUGCCAAUGUCAAUUUUGCCCCUAAGCUCUCUCAAAGCACGUUUACAACCUAUGCUAACAUAUAUUAGAGUUUAUGUUAGUAUCAAGAAAAUGCCAACACUAAUUUCGUAACACGUAGAAAUUGUUAGAGAUUGAAGUUUUUAUCAUUUUUUCUUCCAGACUCUCCACCACUCACUAAUAUAGUUUACUCAUGUGAUGAGUUUACAAAACCUAUUUCUCUACUCUCACAAAGACUAUACUUAGGGGGGUGUAUUCAAUUAGGAUUCUAAAGCGUUUAAAAAGAUUUUGUUUAAGUGCCAGCUUUCAUAGAACUUGAUGGAACUUUAUAAUUCGUAUAGAACUUGAUAGACUUUCAGAAGACUUCUGUAUAAUUUUUUAAUAAAACUUUCUUAAGCUUUCAUAGAACUUGAUAGGCUUUCAUUCCAAACUUAUGUAGAUGGUAUAUUUCAUUUUAUCCCCAUCCUUGACAUUUAAAGAAAGAAACUUGAAUUUUUUCAAUCAAAUUUGUUUUUGUUACCAAAGCAGCAAAAACAAAAAGUACUUGUUUGCGAUGGAAGAACAUAUGCACAGUUCAAAAUGAAAAGAAUAAGAAGCAAAGUACCUAUUUGACCAAUGAAUGCUGUGUCAACUAGAGAAGCAAUUGGAUCGGCUGUCAAAGCCAAUGCUGCAGGCAAUGCAUCGAUGGUCCAAAUUGCAAUAAAAAAAUAUUUUGAAUAAUGGCUCUUGCAGACAAAGACCACAUAAAUUCUGAACUGGUCUAGCUUGAAUAAUAAGGUUAGAUUAGCCAAUUGAUGAGAUUAAAAGCAAAGCAAGUUGAUGAAUUUAUCAUCAACUAUUUAAUAACCACAGUCCUGAUCUCUUGGACCCCUGUAGUCCAAGAGAUUUAUGGUCACCCACCGUUGGAUGUAAAUUCAACGGUUGACUUGAAUCGGGUAAUAAUCAUUUAUGUCAUAUUGCAUUUAUAUAUAUCAUUUUGAACCAUUGGAUUAAUAUCCAACGGUGGGUGACCACAAUCUCUUGGACUCCUGUGGUCCAAGAGAUCGGGACUGUUAAUAACCAAUAGAGUAUUUAAACAUAAACAACAAUGUUUGAUCAACAAAACAAAUAGUCCAAAUAUCAUCCAAAAAACAAUAACAAAAAAUCAAUCAUUCCAAACAAACUAGUCAUUCUCAAAAACUCUCAAAAAACCCACUCAUUCCAAAUUGUAGGAUAUCCAAUUUGAGCACUCCUCAGGAGACAUUUUCAAAAAUGCAUCCUUUUUUGUGUUACUAUGCAACAAAGAGAGUGCUUUAUAACGAGCAUGUUCAUCCAAAUUUGGGGUCUCCUUAAUGGCAUCCCAUAUAUAACUCCGCUGCUCUCUCUCUUUUUCCCUUUUUGCCAAUAGGUUAUGGACCUCCCGGAAGUCGAUGACAAUUGAAUCAAUGCUAAGGCUAAUUCUUCCCAUAGCUUGCUGGGUGGUCACAUUUGAGAUAGCAUUCCCUUCCAAAUAUGUUCUAGUUCGUUUCCUCUAGUAACAAGCAUAAAUCCUAGUAACAAGCAUAAACCCUAACCCCAACCUAUAACCUAAUAACAAGAAGAAAACCCAACGAGGUAUUGAUCAAAGAAAAAUUAGGGAGCAUACCUUCACAGAUGGAGGAAGGAAGCUGUUCGUCUUCGCAGAGAGAAAAUCUAGGGAAAGAGAAAAACGUCUUAUGAAAUACUUGGGGGGGAGGUUGGAUUUAUUUUGGUCUUUUUUAUUUAUAACUCUCCCCUUAAAACCUACGUAAAUUUAUCACUUAAUGAAAUCCUUCCAAAUAUAUGACCUUUCGAAUACACCUAGAUUUGAUUCAACUUUUUUAUAAUCAUAAUUGAAUACACCCAUAUUUGAAUGGACUUUUUAAAAGUUCAUAUAGGUCCGAAAUGAAUAUACUCAAACUUGUAAAACCUCUUUUAAAGUUUGUAUAAAUCCAAAUUGAAUACACCUGGAUUUUUAAAAUCUUUUUAAACACUUUAUAAUCCUAAUUGAAUACACCCCCCUUAUUCUCAAAAGACUAUAUUACUUUACCUCUAUCUCUGUGAAAUGUAAAAAGUUGAAACUUUAAUGUCAAACCUCAACAAAAGAUGAACUUUCAUCAGUUACGUUGAAUUUGGAUUUGUUGAACUUAAGUGGUUUUAUUUUCUUUGUCAGUGUUUGAUGACUUAAUUUGGUAUUUAUUUCUUCUUUUUUUUCCUUGGAAAUGUGUUCCACCAACGUGAGGAAGAAAAAUAUGCACAAAUUAAUAUAUUUAAUAGAAGCCCAAGAUUUCGGAUGCAUAUAAUUUCUACAAAAAUCUACAAAGUUUUUUACUUUACAAACUUCUUAUGUCUACCAAUUUCUACUAAAAUUAAUUUCUCUGUGGUGCUCAAAUUCAUCAUAUGUGUGUCGUUAAUUUUAUUGAAAAUUGGAAGUUCCCAUCAUUUUUGUUUUUUGGGAAUUUUCUGAACCAAGGAAAAUCAAGUAAAAUUAAUAAAGCCUAAAUUGGAAAGGGAAAAUAUCUAGAGGAUGCAUUGUAGGAUUGCUCAUGCCAAUAAUUGUACCCUCUAAAUAUAUAGAGACAUAUUUUUUUUGUUUUCAUGACAUGUGGUCCUAAAAUUAUUGUGUAAAUCUUCAAUCCUGAACGAUGCACCUAAAACUCAUCCACCCAUUCUCAGGCCAAUUAUUGCACCUAGUGGGCUCUCGACCCCCUCUCAAAUUUAACCACAUAUUUUAUGGACCAUCCAGCUGUGAGGUACAUUCCCCCCACAUGCCACAAUUGUAUAUUCACAAUUACGUCUGAUACAUCACAUCAUGCCACUUGCCUCAAAUGAAUUUAAGUGAGUGAGGCAGUUGGAAGUAAUUAAGCUCUAUAUUGGUGGGUGGAGUGUUACUUCUCGGUUCCCCUCAUCAUUCGUCUAUAAAAUGGUGAAGGCAGUUGCUAUUGUUACCAUAAGAGCCAGCUCCGACUUCCUUUAAUUUCUUGCUUCAUAUCCACUAGCUACAUCUGUUACCAAGUUAAUUUCAGUUCUAAUGGGGUUUCAUCUCCCACUCAUCUUUGCUCUUCUCAGUGUAAGCUCUGCAAUUUGAUUAACUUUUCCAUUCUCUCUCAUUGUACUCUAUAUAAACGAAAGUUUUGUGUUCCUAUUGUUCUCUCCGAUUUUAUUUAGUACGUACUUAAGUGUCGUCCACUAAUUAAUUAUACUUUGUGAUUUGAUUUUAAUUUGAGUUUGAAUUAAUGUUGCAGCUAGCAGCAGUGGCACUGGCAAACCAUGCUGCUCAACCAGCACCUCAACUUUACUGGAGCUCCGUCCUGCCAAACACACAGAUGCCAAGAUCUAUCAGUGAACUUCUGCAUCCUGGUUUGUGUUGAGCUCUUUAGAAUCUUAGAUAUCUCUUCUACCUGCCAUUUUACUAAAAUAUGUUCCACCACAUAUUUAUCAGUUAACCAUUGUCAUUACAUGAGUGACACAUAUUCACAAAUCGGCUGAUCACUUAUUUUCCAUUAUGACUUGAUAUAUAAUUUGCAGACUCCACAAAUGAAGAAAAGAGCACAAAUGACGUUGGCAAACCUGAAACUUUCCCAUUGGGCAAUCAACAUUACUCCAGUCAAAAACAUUAUGGAGGCAUACCUGAAACUUCCCCAUUGGGCAAUAAACAUUACUCCAGUCAAAAACAUUAUGGAAGAGGCAAACCUGAAACUUUCCCAUUGGGCAAUCAGCAUUACUCCAGUCAAAGACAUUAUGGAAGAGGCAAACCUGAAACUUUCCCAUUGGGCAAUAAACAUUACUCCAGUCAAAAACAUUAUGGAAGAGGCAAACCUGAAACUUUCCCAUUGGGCAAUCAGCAUUACUCCAGUCAAAAAAAGUAUGGAAGAGGUGCUUCUCCAUCCGACAAUCAACAACUCCAUUAUAAAGACUUAGCUAUUUUCUUCUUGGAGAAGGACAUGCGCCCUGGCACAACAAUGAAGUUCCAAUUCCCUAUAAAUUCAAACACGGCUACUUUCUUGCCACGAGAAAGCGCUCAAUCGAUCCCCUUCUCCUCUAACAAACUGCCAGAAAUUUUCAACCAUUUUUCAGUGAAGCCAACAUCUGAGGAAGCCAAAACAAUUAAGCAAACAAUCGAAGAGUGUGAAGCUCCAGACCUUAAGGGAGAGGAAAUAUAUUGCGCCACAUCUUUAGAAUCAAUGGUUGAUUUUAGCACUUCGAAGCUUGGAACAAGAAACGUUGAAGCAAUCUCGACGGAGGUAUUGGAAAAAGGAGCCACCAUGUCCAUCCAAAACUAUACAACAAUGCCGGGACUGAAGAAGUUGGCAGGUGACAAAGUCGUUGUGUGUCAUAAGCAGAACUAUCCCUAUGCUGUGUUUUUCUGCCAUGCAAUAAAACAUACAGCAGCUUAUGCUCUCUCCCUGAAAGGCGAUGAUGGGGAGAAGGUUAAAGCAGUAACCAUCUGCCAUCUAGACACAUCAGAAUGGGACCCAGAGCAUAUGUCCUUCCAAAUCGUCAACGUUAAGCCCGGAACCAUUCCCAUCUGCCAUUUCAUUUCCACUGAUGCUAUUGCCUGGGUUCCGAACCACAAAUCUGCAUGAUCAUCACUUAGCACUAGUACUGUGCGUAUAAUAUGCCUGUAUAAUUAUCUCCCUACUUAUUUCUGCCUCUUCAUCAUGUGGUGUAAGAUAUAUGUUGAGAUGAAGUUUUUGGGAUUUGUGGUCGAAAUUAACCCGAUCAUGUUUUCUCUUGCAACCAUAUAGACUUCAACUUGUACUCAUAAUAAAGCAUGCUAUAUUUAUGAAGAGAUAUUAAUCUUCAGGCAAAUAGAUAUUAUGAAAACAUAUAUAGCAAUUUAUCCAGAAGAAACAUUAUGAAAUGAAAAGAAUAAAAAGUAGAAAAACAGAAGGAAAGGAAUUCGCACGUGCUAUGCUAUGUAUGAAAGGACCAAGAUUGUUUUCCCUUUGGUUAAUGACUAGAAAAGCUCACUUGCAGAGUGCUUUCUCCGACCAUAGAUGGAAGAGAAAUUUUCUCUUAAUAAUAGCACAAUGAUCGGGUAAUUGUAAGAACAAGUUGAUUUAAAAUUCCUUGACCCAAAAAAAAAAAAAAAGUUCUUUUCAAAUUCAGGUCAACCCAUAGAUUUCUUGCCUUCGUCUUCUUCAUCACGUUGGGCUUGUCUUCUUUUUGCGUUUUGGGCCUUGGAAGUUGGGACCCAACCCAACUUCACAAAAAGAAAACAGAUUUGCCAAAAAUCAAAUUUCAAGUCUCUCCUCCGAUCACUAAUACAGAUCAAAUUUUGGAUUUGAUGAACUAAAGUGGUUUUACUUUCUCUGUCAGUGUUUGAUGACUUAAUUUGUUAUUUACUUUUUUUUUUUUACUUGAUCUUUGUAGGGGCUUUUUUUUUUCCGGCAGCUUAAACGGGCUGGGCUGCCGUAAAGGGUAGAUUGAUGAAAUUGUCCCCUUUGUCUGAAUUCGAAAAUCAAGCCCCAAAAGCGCUUCGAAAGGGCAGUAGAGCCUUAGGAAGCGUUCUGGUUACCUUCACUAAUUAAAACAACAGCAACUUACAGAUGAUUUCUUGAGGCUUACAGAUAAAUUUUCUAGCUUGGCAUGACAUGGAAGCAAAAUCAGCAUGAGUUUAGCACCAAAGAGGAAAAUAUGGCUUCCUAGGGAGAAAUGAGAGUGUUUAAGGUGAGGAAGAAGAGGUUUGCAGGCUGAUUUGGCUGAGAAAAGAGAAAGAAAGAACAAUGUUCUUCCGGCAGCUUGACAAAGCUUCUGACAGAUGUGAAAGUCGUCCGCCAGAAGAGGAAAAUGGAGAAGAAGGAUGAAUAGUGCACGAAAUUGGUGGGUUCUUGCAGGUAAGAGAGAAAGCUUGCUCUCUGAAUCUGAGUUGGUUUUGGUUGGGUAGAAGAAGCCCCCUUUUAUAGCUGCGGGAAACCAUCUUUUUCCAAGAAACCCUAAUGGUUUCUAUCCUUUUUGGCCAAGCUUUUCCCUUCCUUUCUCUUCUCCUCCCUUGACUUUUCCUAUCUUGGUGAAAUUUCCUCUGCCUAUUUGCACAAAAUUAGAGAUUUUGAGGAGCUCAAGGCCCCUUUCCCGCAGCUGCCUUAGUGGAGAAUCCCCAUUUUCAGUCAUCUUUCUUCCUUCUUUUCUCCCAUCUUCCAAGGCUAGGUUUGAUGAGAGAAAGAAAUGGAUAUGCACACUGGUUUGAAGGGUGUUUUUCCUUGAAACUUGUUCUCUCCCAUGUGCUGGAGCUUCCCAGCAGCUUACACACAUAGAUAUUUUGGCUUUCAUCGUGGCUUUUGUUUUCAGCUAGGUGCUGGAGAUUUUGCAUAUAUUUUCUUGAGUUGCUUGGGCCUUCUAGGACAAUACGUUGGUUUAUCAAGUGAAUGGGCUAACUUCAUCAAUUGUUGGGCAAUUUUGGUUGAGUUAAUGGACUAUUUUGGUUCAAGUAAUGGACUAUUUUGGUUGAAAUAAUAGGCUAUUUUUCUCUCUUUGUGCUCACCCACAUAUUUGGGCCUAAAAAAUGGGCUUGAGUUUCGGGGCUCCCAAGCAACCCCGGGACUUCCAUUUCUCGGCCCAUCAAUGAGCCUCAUGUCAACUUAUUACCAUCCAUACCACAACCCACUCAAGCAAGCCUCAGGCAUCUUGCGUGGCUUGGGCCCACGUAAGCUCGUAGUGGCAAUGUUGCUUAUUUGCUUGACGUGGCAUGUGUGCAAGUGCAUAUGACGAACUUUCGCGUGCCCAAAUUGAGUUUCUUCUCGGUAGGGUAUCGCAUUGGGCCGAGAAUUUAAUUGGGUAGAACCGUGGAUUUUUUGGGCCUCAACAAUCUUAUAUAUAUUAGUUUUCUUUUUUUCCUUAAUAUUCACCACCUUUCUGUUGCAUAAGUAUUCCAGUCUUAGCGGGUUUCCAUCUACCACUCAUCUUUGCUCUUUUAAGUGCAAGCUUUUUUAUUUUUAUUUUUUUAUGCACAAGAUUAGAGGGGAGGGAGAUUUCUCAAUGUAAGCUUUGCAGUUUCAUAAUUAAUAUUUCCAAUAUCUCACUGUUAGUAAAAUAUGGAACGGGAAAAGUACGAAUAAAAUACACACAUGUUUUAUUUAGCAAAAUUUUGACAAGAUACAACUGAAAAGUUUGGCCACUAUAUAAUAUUUUGAUUUAAUUUUUUUUAUUUUUUUAAUAUAUAUUAUUUUUAUUCAAUAAUAUGUGAAAAAUAGGUGUACAAUAUAUGAAAUUUGUAUGUAUUAUUGAAAAAUUCGUAAAAAAAAAACAUGUUAUUAAAUGUGAAAAAUAUGUACGUAUAUGUAUAAAACAUGUAUUGUACAUUACUUUUUAACAAACUUGUAUUUUACCUAGUCUUUAAACCGUAUAUGGAAAACGGAAGUAUUAUUGAAAAAUACAUAUGUACGUAUAUGUAUAAAACAUGUAUUGUACAUUACUUUUUAACAAACUUGUAUUUUACCUAGUCUUUAAACCGUAUAUGGAAAACGGAAGUAUUAUUAAAAAAUACAUAUGUACGUGUAUAAUAUGAGUAUUAAACAAAAAAAUGUGCUAAGUACUUAUCUUUUAAUUUAAUAAUUCAUUUCAUUUUGUGAUCUCAUACGUAGUAAUGAGAGUUCAAAUUAAUGUUGCAGCUGACAAUGGUGGCUCUGGCAAGCCAUGCUUGAUGCAGGAGUAUAGGGGUGGAUCAAGAUAGAUAUUUACCAUGUAAUUAGUUAUUUCAUGAUAUAUUGUUAUUUUCUUAUUUAGGUAGUUUUAUGAUAUCUUUUAUUAUUUAUGUGGGAUUUUAUAAUUAAUUAGUUUACUUUUGGACCAAGUAGCCUUGGUGCUCAAGUCUUGUAAAGCUUAUAAAUAAGGCUAAUGUAAUAGUUGUAGGAAAAGAGAUGUCGAUGAUUAAUAAAAUCGUUUAUUUGUGGCAUGGAUUUGCUACGAUAUAUGUGAGUUUGCACUAGCCCUAGAUUUCGGUGCUCGUGUAUGUGGUUGGUGACCUGUGUCCGGAUCCCGAUCCCCAUCAAUGCUGUUCUCCCAGUACCUCAACUUUACUGGAACUCUUUCCUGCCAAACACAAAUGCCAAGAGCUAUCAGUCAACUUCUGCAUCCUGGUUUCUAUUAAGGGACUUUUCGUGAGCUUAUCAUCUACCCAAAUUUUACUCAUCCGACGUAAUUUUAAAAGUGAUUUGAUCCUUUGGCAAAGUAAUCUUGAACUACAAAAAAGGAGGGCACUCGAAUAGGCAUGCCAUUUGGUAUUACCCACCUCUAAUUUCUUUUAAAAUUUUAGUAAUUGAUUUUUAAGAUUAGAAAAUGGGAAAGUUCAAAACCGAAAAAGUUGUUUCAGUUUUGGCAAGUAUCGGAAAAGACUAAAAUUUUCCGACUUUAUUAUUACUAGAAACAAAGUCGAAGUAUUCACCAAUCAUGUGGCCUUCCAAGUGCUCAAGGUUAAGCCAGGAACCGUUCCUAUCAGCCAUUUCCUUCCCAAGUAUGAUCAUGUUGUCUGGGUUCCAACCCACAAAUCUACAUCAGUACCUGAACUAAUCAGUUCUACAUGAAUAUUCAUUCAUGGCAACCUUGGGCUAAGUAUUUGAAUUUAUGCUCAUAAAGCUUUAAUGCUUUUGAGGGCCAAUCGUUGUCUACAUAUGGUAUUGUAGCAUCUUUAGAUGGAAGAGGUCAGGGGUUCAAUUCUUGUUUUCCACUUCUUUAUUUGUUGGUUUAUCGAGUGUAGAGUGGAGUUGCACCUAUAUGUUCGUCUCUCACCCCAUCAUUUACCAUUGAUAUAUAUUUAAUAGAAGCCUAAGAUUUCGGAAGCACAUAAUUUCUACUUUACAAACUUCCUGUGUCUACCAAUUUCUACUAAAAUUAAUUUAUCUGCGGUGCUGAGAUUCAUCAUAAUUUUAAUAGAAAUUGGAAGUUUUCAUCAUUUUUGCUUUAAGUCUCUACUCCACUCACUAAUAAAGAUUACUCAUGUGAGUUUACAAAACAUUUUUUUUUUCUACUCUCUCCUGAAGACUACACUUCUUCUCAAAAAAUUAGAUCACUUCACAUCUUGUGUAUGUGAAAACUAAUGUAAAAAGUUGAAACUUUAUCGUAAAACCUCGACAAAAAUGAGCUCUACUACAAAAUGUUAAAUUUGGAUUCGUUGAUUUAAAUGGCAAUUUGACACUUGAUAGAAAUUUUUACAUACAUGUGUUAGUGUUUGAUCACUUCACAUGUCACUUACUAUAUUUAUUCCACUCAAGUUAGGUAAAUAUUAUUAUCAAACAUUUCAAUUAAUUUGUGAUUUUUUUAUUAUUUAAUCAAUUAUGAAUUAAUGGAUUCUUCUUGUUGUUUUGAAGACCAACAAAAAAAAAAAAAAGGGUAGUGAUGGCUUAUAAUUCUGGUAAAACAACAGUGACGUGGACAACAGAUGUUACGCUGUACUAAAGAUUUUUGAAGAUUCUUUAUUUGAGUUUCUUUCAAGAUAAAAACCAUAUUAUCCACAACCACAAGCACAUCCGGCAGACAAUCUUUGGCUAUUCAUCACAAUUGGGAGACAAUGAAGAAGACAGAAAAUGGAGUAAUUCAGAUGUUACCAGCCAUCCACGACAAACUGAAGUCUGCAAAGCAUUCGUAAUCUAAAAAGGAUGGGGAGGCUGCGCAAUACUUAGCCACGUGUAGGCCAGGAGGCUUUCCAAUUUUAAUAUAUAUAUAGAUUGAAAAAAUAAAAUAAAAAUCAAUCUAUUAUCAUAUAUAUUAUAAAAUAAAGAUUAUUGCUCCCAUGGGCGGUGCUAUGCACAGGACAGUGCCUGCCUAGUCCAAAUUUUUUUUAAAUAAAAAUAAAAAUCUACAUAUGUUAUAAGCUCAUCCAAAAAAAAAAAAAAAAAUAAAAGUGUUGUAAAUUAUAAGGUGGAGCCCACAUGUUGGAAGGCUUUGCCUACAAAAGGGUUCACACCCUCCCUUUGUAAUUAGACAUUGAGAAUACUAAGGAAGACAGAAAUGAAUAGAGAGAAAACAUUCCCUUCUCUCCAUCUCAAUUCCCUCUCCAAUUCCUCUAGAUUUAUAACACGUUAUCAGCAGCACGAAUCGCUUUCAAACAAUACCAGCUGAAUUUUAUGAUGAAACCCAGAUCUCUCAUCCAUCUCUGCUGCUCCACUACUUCAAAAUAAAUCCCACAGAAAAAGAAAAAGCCUCAAUGCUCUCUCUCUCUCUCUGUCUCGCUUGGGAGACUUGGACAAUUCCUCAUCCCCGUUACUGACAAUUUCAACAGCUUCAGGGGAAGCUAGUUUAUCUUCCUCUGCUCACGAAACCAUGACUCUUUCAGAGCCAAACAACAACACAAUAGACAACGCAUGGAGACCAGACUGGAGCUCGUCGGCUAAGGCACCGACGAUCCGACCCUACCCGUAUGGACCUUCCGGAUGUGGUUCCUGGGUCUUGUCUCAUGUGCCCUCCUCUCAUUUCUCAACCAAUUCUACAAGCAGCAGAGCUUCAAAUCAAACAGAUCAUGGCAUCGCUUUCACACCUCCCCAUCUUCCUCUUCCUCCUGUUCACCGCUUUCUAUUCUACAGCUUCGCAGUCCUUCAUCGGCGCAUCCAAAGGCGACAUACCGGCGCUCGCCUCAGAUCCGAACGCGGCGGCUCAGUGGGUGAACUCGAAUGUCCUCGCCUUCUACUCGGCCAGCAACAUCGACCUCAUCAACGUCGGCAACGAGGUCCUUUUUCUCCAACGACCAGGGCCUCAUCUCGCAGCUCCUCCCCGCCAUGCGAAAUGUCCAAUCUGCCCUCUCCGCCGCGUCCCUCGGCGGCAAGGUCCGUGUCUCCACGGUCCACUGCCUCGCCGGAUCGGGAUCCUUCCUUCAAGUGUUUCUCUGUCUUCGACUUGAAAAAGAAGGUCAUGGCAGGCCUAUGUAAAAAUUGCGAAAAGGAAGGCAAUCUUCAACCUUUUCUCCUGUCUCUCUCUUGAUCAAUUCAUGGAAGGCACAUUUGGGUCUUCCGGGGGCUCAUCAAAUGAGUCAGCAAUGUCAAAGGUGGAGGUGGUGGAGCAAGACUACGUGGGGAUGUCAUAUGAGGCAACCUCAUACCCAGCUGAGGCAGAGCUUGUGCUGGGCCUGGGCCUUGGCCUGAGCCUUCGUGGUGGUGGUGCAGGGAAGCAGCCAAAGCCAUGUGCAUGGGGUGAGCGUGGUAGAAUCUUGACUGCUAAAGUUAGGUGCUGAGUUACACUGUGUUCUCUGCUACUGACCCUAAGAGGAGUGCUAGAAACUUCCAUGUUCCGCCAUCAUUUCGCUUUCACUGUUACAAGGCACUGGAGUAUGUUUAAUUGAAAAGUGAGAUACACAGCAAGUUGAUCAGCCUAGUGGAAAGCAAAGGAUUAUUGCCAGGGAUAUGAACACCCACCGAAAUAAAGGGAUAAGUACUCUUUUUCCCUUCGACCAGUUUUUUUUUGUCCCACUGGGUUUUUACUGGCAAGGUUUUUCACGAAACAUAUUCCGUAUCAUUUGUGGUCUCUAAGAGGGAGUGUUGUAAAUUAUAAGGUGGAGCCCACAUGUUGGAAGGCUUUGCCUACAAAAGGGUUCACACCCUCCCUUUGUAAUUAGACAUUGAGAAUACUAAGGAAGACAGAAAUGAAUAGAGAGAAAACAUUCCCUUCUCUCCAUCUCAAUUCCCUCUCCAAUUCCUCUAGAUUUAUAACAAAAAGUAAAUUCUACACAUAUGUUGCCCAUCCAGGUGGUCCCAUAUCUUCUCUUUCCUUUUCUUUUGGCUAUUAGACUUCUUGUUUCUCUCUCUCUCUUUGCUACCCCACAUCAGCAAGUUUCUCCCUCUCUUUUUUUGGGAUCAAAUUCUUCUUCUAUUGACAAAAUCUUCUAUUAUAUUGGGUGGGCAACUUGGCAACAACAUCUUCUCCUCUCCUUUUGUCAACAGCAAGUAUUAUUCUCAUUCUCUCAUUUGCUAUAUAUCUUUAAUUAUAGUUUUAAUUUAAAAUUGAGUAUUCUAGGGUUUAAUUAGGGAUGAAUUAUAAUUUUGGGAUUUUGUUGAAAUUAAUUAGGGCUUCGAUUAGGGGUGAAUUAUUCUACUGCUUUGAUUUGGAAUUUUGUUAAAAUUGAGUAUUAUAGGUUUAAUUAUGGAUGAAUUACAAUUUUUGGUUUUGGUAUUGUUGAGAUGUUAUUAUGAGAAUUUGUUUGAUUUUUUGUUGGUAUAUUUGAUUAAAAUUCUUUCUACAUAUUAUUCAUAGGCUAUCUUUUAUUAUGUCGGAUCACAAUCGGAAUCCCAAGAAAACAAAAAAUUUGAAUAGUGUUGUUUUGUAUUGCAUUGCAUUUACUUUUGGUUUUAGUUUUGCUUUUAGUGUAAAUUACUCAAAUGGUCCUCAAAUUUGUACCCAAUUUACAUUUUGGUCCAUAAACUAAAUUAUUCAUUCAAAUGGUCCACCAACUCUUUAUUAAUCGGUGCUUUGGUCCUAUCGUUAUGUUUUCUAUUAAAUUUAGUCAUGUGAGCAGCACAUGCUACAUUUGUAUGGGUAAAUAAGACUUUUGACCAGUGGCGGAUCCACGUUGGGACAAGAGGGGUCGGACGACCCCUUGGAAGGCUGGAAAUUUGGCAAGGGAGUCCAUGAAAGCCCCCUUGGACAGCUGCUGGAAGCCCCCUUGUAUGCACACAAUGUGCUCGACGAAAUGCCCCAACGAAAUGUCCUGCGCAGCUGUGCUGCGCCUUGCGCGUAAUUUUUUUUUAAAACCAGCCUUGCCAAACGACGUCGUUUGGUCAAGGCUCAGUCAAAUUUUUUUUUAAUUAACCUGGCCUCAAAACGACGUCGUUUUGGGCCAGGUUUAAAAAAAAAAAAACAGAACAGUACACACGCACAGCAGCUCUGCACAGAUUCAUUUUCUCCAAACCUUUCAUUCCCAAUUCCACAGCCCCUCUUCCCAUCCUCUCAAACCCUAACCUCCCAACCUCCCAACCUUGGACAACCUCCAUCAACUCUUCACCGGUGGCCCAAUGCCGAUCACCACCACCUUCUACCGCCGUCCGCCGCCCAUUUUUUAAACUACAAGUAAGUAAGCAUGGAAAAUCUGAUAUUAAUAAUUAUAGUGAUAAUAUAUAUUGUUGAUAUUGAUAUUUUUUUUUUAUGUAAUGAAAUUUAUGGAUAUGAAUCAUAUUGAUUGAUUGAGUUUAUGCUUGAAAUUUAUGGAUAUGAAUCAUAUUGAUAUUUUUUUUUAUGUAAUUAAAUUUAUGGAUAUGAAUCAUAGUGAUAAUCAUAUUAAUGUAGAUUGAUUGAGUUUAUGCUUGAUUGAUAAUAUGAAUUGAUUGGGUAUAUUAAAUAUUGAUUGCUAUUUGAUAUGAUAAUUUGGUAUAUUGAAUAUUGAUUGAUAUGGGUUUAGGGAGUAUAUUGAAUAUUGAGAGUGGGUUAUUGAAAUUUUCAUAUUCAUAUGAUAAUUAGGAUAAAAAUUAAUGAUUGAUUGAAUUAAUUGAUUUGUAGAUUUAUGGAACGAUUCUUUAAAAGAAAAUUAUCUACGGAUAGUUCUUCUCUGUCUAAUCCGGGUAGUUCAAAUGCAAGACCAAUUGAAGUAGAUGAGAUCUUAGCUAAUCUUCAAGCAGACCCUGGACUAAGAACUCGAAUGGCGGAUUAUAGUCCUAAUAUUAGGGAUGAGAUCCGAAGAGCAUAUCUACAAAAGGGACCUUGUCAACCUAGAAGUUAUAAAUUCCCACAAACUAAUCAAUCAGGAAUUAAUAGACGCUUCAUUGCUCAUUGGUUUGAUGAUCAUGAUUGGUUGGAAUAUAGUAUUGCUAAAGAUGCUACGUUUUGUCUUCAUUGUUAUCUCUUCAAAUCUAAUUUUGAUCAAGUGGGUGGUGAUGCAUUCACUGGGGUAGGCUUCAAUAAUUGGAAGAAGGCGAAAGAAAGAUUUAACCUUCAUAUUGGACCGGUUGGUAGUGUUCACAACCAAGCUAGAGAAGUUGCUUACAAUUUGAUGCAUCAAACUACACACAUUGAAACAAUUGUGCUCAAGCAAACAAGCCAAGCUCGCACGGCUUAUCGCACUUGCUUGAAUGCAUCACUUAAGUGCACUAGGUAUUUGUUGCGGCAAGGGCUUUCUUUUCGUGGUCAUGAUGAAAGUGCACAAUCAAGUAAUAAAGGGAAUUAUUUAGAGCUCUUGCAAUUUCUUGCGGAUCAUGAUGAAAAAGUUAAGGCCGUUGUAUUGGAAAAUGCUCCGGGAAAUUUAAAGUUAAUAGCUCCUUCAAUUCAAAAAGAUCUUGUCAAUUCUUGUGCCAAAGAAACCAUUGAUCUUAUCUUGAGUGAUGUAAAAGAUAGAUAUUUUUCAAUAAUGGUGGAUGAAGCACGUGAUGUUUCAAUAAAGGAGCAAAUGGCAAUGGUGUUGCGUUAUGUGAAUGACAAAGGACAAAUAAUUGAAAGGUUUGUGGGGGUUCAACAUGUAACCGACACUACUUCAAGUGCACUAAAGGAAACAAUUGAUGAAUUCUUUUCUUCCGCGAAUUUGAGCUUUUCCAAGCUACGAGGACAAGGUUAUGAUGGAGCUAGCAAUAUGAGAGGUGAGUUCAAUGGCCUUAAGAGAAAGAUUUUGAGAGAACAACCUUGUGCAUUUUAUGUUCAUUGCUUUGCUCAUCAACUUCAACUAGCUCUUGUUGCGGUAGCAAAGAAAAACAUUGAUGUCAACUCUUUUUUCACAACGGCUAAUAGUUUGGUUAAUGUGGUUGGAGCAUCUUGUAAGCGUCGCGAUGCACUUAGAGCACAAUACCAAGAAGAGCUUGUGAGAGCUUUUGAAGAUGAUUGUCUUAUAACGGGGCGGGGCUUAAAUCAAGAAAGGACUCUCAAACGUGCCGGCAAUACACGAUGGAACUCACAUUAUGGUACGUUGAUUAGUAUCAUUUCUAUGUUCCCAUCUGUGGUGAAUGUGCUUCAAAUGAUUGUUGAUGAUAAUCUUAAUGAUAGUUCGGGUGAAGCCUAUAAGUUAAGGAGAGAAAUACAAUCUUUUGAGUUUGUGUUUCACUUAUUUGUAAUGAAAGCUAUAUUGGGAAUAACAAACACUUUGUCUCUAGCAUUGCAAAAGAAAGAUCAAGACAUUGUGAGUACAAUGAAUUUAGUGAAAACAUGCAAGGAAAACCUGCAGUUGAUGAGGGAUAAUGAGUUUGAAGAAUUGGUUGGGCAAGCAUCCUCGUUUUGUUACAAAUAUGAUAUUAUAGUUCCUACCAUGGAUGAGGAAUAUGUAAUUCCAGGGAGAUCAUGGCGUAAUGCUCCAAUGAAGACAAAUUAUCAUCGUUAUCGUGUGGAGAUCUUUAUUCAUGUAAUUGAUGGGCAACUUGCGGAAUUAAAUGAUCGCUUCAACGAGGUAAGUACUGAGUUACUUACUUGUUUGGCAUGCUUGAGUCCAAAAAAUAACUUUGUGACUUUUGACAAACGAAAGCUAGUUCGUCUUGCUCAAUUUUAUCCUUAUGAUUUUUCGGAUAGAGACUUAUUGAUGCUUGAAGAUCAACUUGGUGUUUAUGUUCAUCAUAUGCGUUCGAGUAGUGAUUUUUCUCAAUUGGAAGGGAUUAGUAGUCUUGCGGAAAAAAUGGUGGAGAAAGGAAUGCAUGAAAUAUUUCCUUUUGUAUUUGCUUCUUACAUUGGCUUUGGUUUUACCGGUUGCAACUGCAUCAGUGGAGAGGGCAUUUUCCGCUAUGAAUAUUAUUAAAAAUCCACUUCGCAACAGAAUGGGAGAUCAAUGGUUGAAUGAUAGCUUGCUUGUUUACAUUGAGAGAGAUGUUUUUGCUUGUAUUGAUAACGAAAUUAUAAUGCAAUGUUUUCAGAAUAUGAAAACUCGUCGUGGACAAUUGUAACUUGUAUUAUUGGUUUUGUUAUGAAUUAUGAAUGAAAGUACUAUCUUUCUAUCUUUUUAGCAUUAUUUUCUUUGUAGAAAAAUUUCAGAACUUUUACACUAAGCCCCCUUGGCUACAUAAUCCUGGAUCCGCCACUGCUUUUGACCACUUUAUCACCUAUGUAUCACCACUUUAUAACCUAUUUGGGGAACAUAGGUCAGUUAUGGACGGUUUUACCCUUACAUUUGACGGCAACAUUAACAUAAUGUAACAGUGGGAUCAAUGGAGUGAUUAAUAUAAAGUUGAUGGACCAUUUGAAUGAAUAAUUUAAUUGAGAGACCAAAAUGUAAAUCAAGUAUAAGUUUGAGGACCAUUUGAGUAAUUUACCCUUCGCUUUUAUAUUUGUUGAACUUUUAUUUAUGAUAGAUAUGCAUUUAAGGGUAAGACCCAUUAUGUUCCCCUGGCUAGGUGUAUCUUUUUAUGUUUAUUAAUGAAAUUCACUCGAACUGUUGAGUUUAGUAUGUAAGUUUUGCCUAACUGGCUUUUGAAUCCUAGAACCGCCACUGUUGCUCCAUCCUCCAUGCACUUGCAUGUGCUCUUACAAAGUGUGAAGUAGAUUUUGUGUGCUCCAAGUCAUUGACUAGAGCUGAAACAUGGUUAGCUAGAUUUAUAAGGACCCAUCUCUUUAUUUCCUAGACAUAUACCCAUCUCUCUAUAAAUCUAUAUGUAAAACCUAAUUUCAAACUUAAAUGACCAGUAGGAUAUAAAAGGUCAUAGUAUUCCUAUGUUUUUAUAUCGUUGCCACCAGACUUCUUAUUUUAUUUAUAAUUUAUUUCAAGCAUUUCAUUAACUGCCAUAAUUGUAAUUAAUACUCCAUAUUAAUAGCAUAUCAAUCACCCCAUUUCUUUUGGUUGCCAUUCCCUCUAACAUAUCGCCCCUUAAAUUUGAAAACCAAAAAAAAAAAAUGUAAAUUACAUAUCCAAUAAUGUACCUAUGAAAAAUAUAAAUAUAAAUAUAUACAUAUAAAAAUAUAGGUAUAUUAUUUACCAAAUAGAAAAUAUAAAAACCUAGGUCAGUUGCUUUGUAAUUGAAAUUUCUGUACAUUUUCCACAAAUUAAAAAUAGGUACAUAAUAAUUUAUAGAAAAUAUAUGUACAUUAUUUAUCCAUAGGUAAAAAUACCGAUAAAUGCACAUAGGUGAAUUAUUUACCAAUAUAUUAUUUUUUUGCUAAGGAUUUACCUUAGUUUUUAGUAGAUUAAUUUACCUACCUAGAGGCAUAGGUAGCUUAAAAAAAAUGUACCACCUUAGUUGGUUGCAUACUAAUUUACCUACCUAGAGGCAUAGGUUGCUAAGAAAAAAUGUAGGUAAAUUCAUGUACCUAAACACAUAGGGGUCAAAUAGAGAAUAACAUGUUAUUUCCCUUUGAACAAAUUAAUUUCAAACCAUAACAAUUAUUGAAUUUGGAAAUUGGUAUAAAUAAAAGGAAAUAAAUAAACUAUCAAUUUGAAAAUUAAAAUAAGAAAUGAUCAAGUAGUCAUAUUUGAAAAAAAAGGAAAGAAUAUAUUCUUGGUUUUUAUAGGAACAACGAGUAUAUUCAAACCAAACGGCGAUAACUACACCAAGCUUUAAUUACUUUUUUUUAAGGCCAAAAGUCACUUUUGGUCCCUGUAGUUCGGCAUUUCUACCACUUUUGAUGUUGUAGUUUCAAUUCCGUCAAUUUUGCCAUUGUAGUUUCGUAUUUGUAGCAAUUCAAGGACCUGUUAAUAUUAAUGUCAAUUUGUUUAAUGAUGCAAGAGGUAAUUUCGUCAUCCCAAAAUCCUUGAGCAUAAAAGAUUGUCUGAAAUUCUCCCCAUUUCAUAUUAGGGCUCGAAAUUCAACCACUAAUCCUAAUUUUUGAAGAACCCUAGACCCAAAUGACCAAUUUCAAGCCCUAAUAUGAAAUUACGGAAGUUUUAGAUGAGCUUUUAUGCUCAAGGAUUUUGAGUUGAAGAAACUGCCCCUUGCACUGUCAAAUAAAUUGACAGGAAUACUGACUUGUCCUUGAAUUGCUACAAAUACAAAACUACAGUGUCAAAAUUAACAGAAUUUAAACUAUAGGGUCAAAAGUAGUUGAAGUGUCAAACUAUAAGGACCAAAAGUGACUUUUAGCCUUUUUGUUUCAAUAAGGAAAAAACUGACCUAUUAAAUCCUUGGAAUCUAUACAAAAUUGAAACACAAUUAAUCAACAUUGAAUUGCAGCUAAUUUCUUAAACAAGGGUAUUAUAGGAAUUUAAAAAGUAUAACAUUUAAUCCAUUGAAUUUGAUUAGGAAACUUGAUGAAUUGAAUCCUAGUUAUAUAGUUUUUCUUAUAAAAAUCAGGUUUUAUUUAUAGACAAAUAAAACAAUGGGUUGUAGGUAAGAAAAUAUUAAUUUGAAGGGAAAGAGUCAAAUUUACUAAAUUAAUAAAGCAUAAAUUGGAAAGGGAAAAGAUCUAGAGGAUGCAUUGUAGGAUUGCUCAUGCCAAUAAUUGCACCCUCUCGAUAUUGAAAAACCUAUUGUUUAUUAUUAUCUUCAAUCCUGAAUGAUGCACCUAAAACCCAAGUGUCUCAGGCCAACCAUUGCGCUCAUACCACUUGUUGCAGUACACAUUCACCUGUUUUUAAAGAAAGAAAUUCUACCAAUCGAUAUUUUCUCAAAUUUAAUCACAUAGAUCUAUUAUGGUUAACCAUAUGUACUUUUAUCUGCCAUCCAGAGGUACCUUUUUCCAACGUGCAACAAUUGUAUUUGAUUCACAAUUAUGUCUGAUAUACAUCACAUCAUGCCACUUGCCUCAAAUGAAUUUAAUUGAGUGAGGCAAUGGGAAGUAAUUAAGCUCUAUAUUGGUGGGUGGAGUGUUACUUCUGGAACCCUCAUCAUUCGUCCAUACAGGGGAACAAUUCCCUUCCUUCUAUAAAAUGGGAGCAAUUCUCUCACUGUACUCUAUAUAAAGGAAUAAGUGUCGUCCACUAAUUAAUUACACUUUGUGAGAUUUGAUUUUAAUUAGAGUUCGAAUUAAUGUUGCAGCUAGCAGCGGUGGCACUGGCAAACCAUGCUGCUCAACCAGCACCUCCACUUUACUGGAAUUCCAUCCUGCCAAACACACAAAUGCCAAGAGCUAUCAGUGAACUUCUGCAUCCUGAUUUGUGUUGAAUAGAUAUAGUAUGUUACUGGAGUACGUAUGGCAACAUAUUCACAAAUGUGUCACGUAUUUUCCAUUAUGACGUUGAUAUAUAAUUGCAGACUCCACAAACGAAGAAAAGAGCACAAAUGUCAUGAAUGCUGUUGGGAAUGGAAAGCCAAUUGACCACAAGGGCAAACCUGAAAAUACUGUACUACCACAGCUUGCACGACGCCCAUUUUCUUACAAGAGUGAUGAUCGUCCCACUGACAAUCAACUCCAUUAUAAAAACGUAGCUAUUUUCUUCUUGGAGAAGGACAUGCGCCCUGGCACAACAAUGAGCUUCCAAUUCCCUAGAAAUUCAAACACGGCUACUUUCCUGCCACGAGAAAGAGCUCAAUCGAUCCCCUUCUCCUCUAACAAACUACCAGAAAUUUUCAACCAUUUUUCAGUGAAGCCAACAUCUGUGGAAGCCAAAACAAUUAAGCAAACAAUCGAAGAGUGUGAGGCUCCAGGCAUUAAGGGAGAGGAAAUAUAUUGCGCCACAUCUUUAGAAUCAAUGGUUGAUUUUAGCACUUCGAAGCUUCGAACAAGAAACGUUCAAGCAAUCUCGACGGAGGUAUUGGAAAAAGGUGCCACCAUGUCCAUGCACAAGCACACAACAAUGCCGGGACUGAAGAAGUUGGCAGGUGUCAAAGUCGUUUUGUGUCAUAAGCAGAACUAUCCCUAUGCUGUGUUUUACUGCCAUGUAAUAAAACCAACAGCAGCUUAUGUUCUCUCCCUGAAAGGCGAUGAUGGGGUGAAAGUUAAAGCAGUAGCCAUCUGCCAUCUAGACACAUCAGAAUGGAACCCAAAGCAUUUGGCCUUCCAAAUCCUCAAAGUUAAGCCCGGAACAAUUCCCAUCUGCCAUUUCCUUCCCACUGAUCAUAUUGUCUGGGUUCCGAACCACAAAUCUGCAUGAUCAUCACUUAGCACUGUACGUAUAAUAACCUUUACCCCUGUAUAAUUAUCUCCCUACUCUACUUAUUUCUGCCUCUUCAUGUGGUGUAAGAUAUAUGAUGAGAUGAAGUUUUUGGGAUUAGUGGUCGGGUUGCCUUAAAAACACAGAUUACAGAAACUGCUUGAACUUAACCCGAUCAUGUUUUCUCUUGUACUCGUAAAGCAUGCUGUUGUGGUUCUACUUAAUUUCGUCCUCCCCAAUGUUUGAGUGUUUAAUUGUUACGUUGGAAUAGGCUGCUAAUGCAUGUAGUUAGAGAAGCUUUCAUUUAUAUCAAAGUCCUCAAACUAUCAAGAAUUAAUGCAUCCAGAAACAUAUAUACCAAGACGCAAAACAACAUAUUUUCCAUGCUGUGUCGGUAACACCAAAGCAAACUUCCUUUAUCACAAAAGGACCAAAUUCCAAUACUAAUCUAAUCCAUCAUGUAAAGCAUACAAUCUACAACUGCCUCCCUAAAUUUGUCCAUUGGAUAUAUAUGUCACUUUUUGGUAAUUUGGUAUAGCAGCACCACGUAGUAUGCAUUUAACAGAAAAGUAAACAAAAUUGACAGUAGAACUAUUUGUCCUAACGAAACUGAAGUUGAAAGACCAUGAGAACGAUUUUGAAAAUUAAGGGACUCAAAUGAAAAUUGGGUCUAAGUUCAGGGACCAAUAAAACGAUUAACCCAUAGAUUUUGGAUCCAGUACCACAUCCCAAAGAGAAAACCACAAGUUUGCAAGCAAGUUUGUCCAUACUAACACUACGUACAGUAUGGGCAAUGUGCUAGACUCAUCUCACUUUCUCAACCUAUCCUAUACUUGUCUAAAAGAGUUUCUAAUUUAAUGUACUGAGAUUUACGAAAGAAAUAUCAGAGAAACAAUUUUCAGGCAAUAAAAAAAUGUCUUGGCAAGAAAAUGCACAAUUUGUUACAUAACUUAUUAAAUAUGAACAGUUGAAAGAAAAAAGAAUUUGGAUGAGGGAUUUGCAAAUUCCUAUGGCCCAAUUACCUUUUUUUCUUUGUUUUUUUUUGGUUCUUUUGAUCCAGUAGCAUAUUCCAAAGAAUGAAAACCACAGGCAUGCAAUGCAAGCUCUUUUCCCAUGUUUUCCUCUGUUUUUCUCCUAUCAUGGAAGUGAUUAAAACACACCUCUAAGCUUGUUUUGCGUUUGGUAGCCGAGUGUAAAAGCUCAAUGCAAGAUAGUUUGAGGUAGAAUUUUCUCCUGUUUUAUUAGGACAAUGAUGAGCUAUAUGUGACAACAAAUUGCUUUAAUAAUGAAAAUUAAAAAAGUGUGAUUCAUUGAAUAUUUGCGGGGUUUUGUUCAGAGCUGACAAAGUUCUAAGUCAACACAUCAAAUUCCUUUUUCCAACAAUCGUAUUUGAUUCACAAUUUUGUCUGAUAUACAUCACAUCAUGACACUUGCAUCAAAUGAAUUUAAUUGAGUGAGGCAAUGGGAAGUAAUUAAGCUCUAUAUUGGUGGGUGGAGUGUUACUUCUGGAAUCCUAAUCAUUCGUCCCUACAGGACUCUAGAACUCUCACACUUCUUACAAGGACUACUUAACUCUAUAGCUUAUUGCAUAUAGCAUAUAUAUGCAAACCCAAUUAGAAAUUCUACAACAGAAGCAAGAUCAAUCUCACUAUGCCUUCUAAACAAACAAACAAAUAAAACAAGCAUAUUAAUUGCUUUAAUCACUCUACUAACAUCAACACAGCACACUUAGUUUACUAACAGAUGAUAUAGAAAGGAAAAAAAAGGACCAAUAGGGAGAAAAUGGUGAACUAAGGAGAGACUAAUACUUCUGGUCCUUAGAAGGCAUAACAGAAAUAAUAGAGCACACUGCUUGAAUGCAAGUCAGUAUUAGGAGCAAAACAGCUGCAAUGAAAGAAAUAGUUGCCCAAGGUGUAUUGAAAUAAUGUUGCCUCAAAUUUGCCUUCCAUUUGUUCCAAGGCUUUCUGCAGUAGCUAUUAAGGCGCUCAGAAAGAGUAGCAAAGUAGAAGCUUUCACGAUACACUGCAAUUCCUUUUCCGAGGUUGUUAAUCAGAGUGCACACCUCAUUGUAGUCACCAAGCAUAUUUUUGACAAUCCCAUACUUCAGAAGGAACUCCACAUCCUUUUCGGUGUUCACAAACUCAUCCAUGAGUGAAACAUAAUCACUUAUGUAAUUCUUACGGCAAUGGCACUAUUCAAAGGCAAUGAGGUUAUGGAGUGUGAGCUCUGUGUAAUCGUUUAUUUUUAGUUUUGGAAUUUCUAGAAUCCCAUCGUUGAAUCGUGUUAACGCAGCUUUCCUUUCCUAGCCUACGCGGAAGUCAACUUCACAAUCUCCUCCUAGCAAUUAGCCUUUCCUACUGUAAAUCGGAUUGUAUUCAUGUCUAUAUUAUUUCCUACCUUAAAUAGAUAUCCUGUACUAGUAUACAUAGGGACUUUGUGUAAUCUGUUAAAUACAAGGAAAUAUAUACUCUACAUGGUAUCAACCUAACCUAGGGUUCUCUCUCUCCCCCUUAUUCGAUCCUCUUCUCCUUUAGGUCCACCUCAUGGCUUCGUUUGAAUCCACCAUCUCCCUCCCAAGCCCUAACUCUUCUCAUUUUAUCAAGCUUACUAACUCCAACUAUCUUCUUUGGCUCCGCCAACUCAAACCCUUUUAGUUGGCCAUGACCUCUGGAAAUUUAUCGAUGGCAUUCAUAAACAACCUUCUGCCCACACCUCCACCUCUACCACCACAACACCCACAACCACCACCACUCUUACCGAAAUCAAUCCUACCUAUGCUCAGUGGUACCAACAAGACCAACUCAUUGUUAGCUACAUCACCAGUACACUCUCUGAGUCCAUUUUCUCUCUCACUGUCGGUUGCAUCUCUGCCCGGGAUCUCUGGGAGUGUCUCCAAUGCCACUUCUCUUAAUCCAAUAUGGCCAGUGAAUCUGCUCUUCGUUUUCAACUCAUGGAUUUGCAAAAAGGCUCUCAACCCAUUGAUGCUUACCUUCGUCAUGCUAAGUCUCUUGCCGAUUCACUAGCUGCCAUCAAUUAACCUGUCUCCCCAAAAGAACUUGUCACUGCUGUGCUUCGGGGUUUAGGACCCGAUCACAAAAUGCUCAUCACAGCAAUUCUCAAUUUCUCUCCGCUUCCAGACUUUGCUGAUCUUCGUGCUCGUUUGUUAGCUUUUGAUGCACAGACUCCUCGAAUCUUUCCUGAUCAAAACACAACGCUAAUGGCCACCCAAUCUUCUCCUUACACCACCGGUCAUACUUCCUUCCCUUCUCACCGUGGUUGUGGCUCUUCCAGCAAUAGGCGCGGUGGCUGGUGCAGUAUUGGCCGUGGUGGCUGGCACAACUUCUCAUCUUCCUAGAGCAACCCGUGGAAUGGCUUCCAGCAGCCCUAAUGACCUAAUCAACUGUGGCCUCCUUUUGCUCUAAGUUUUGGAUCUCAAAGCAACUGGCCUUCCUUUCAACCUCUUUGGGCCCAAUCUGCCGCUUCUAGCAAACACUCUGCCCGACCCAACUCAGCUCCUGGUGUCUUGGGACCCGCUUGGUGCACCACAUGCAAUACCAAUCGACAUACUACUACAACAUGUCCUUAUUGCUACAAUGGCCCAGAAUUCUUCCUUUGCUGGGGCUCAAUUCAUGCAGCCACCUAACUCUACAUGGUACCCUGACACAAGUGCCACUCAUCAUAUGACUGGUAGUUCUUCUAAUCUCCAAAGGAAAUUAAAUGAAGGAGUCCUACGAAGGCUCAAGGCUCGAAAGCACACGAUCCGGCUCUGCUGCGGAGCUCACUCAACUACUGGCUGAGGGGGCGCAAAACAGAAAAUUGUGAGUGGACAAAAAUAAAAAUUCAGUUCAGUGUAAACCAACGUAAUAUAACCCCACCGUUUAGAAAACCAUGCAAGAAAUCCAAAUGCAUCUCAAAACCAUCAUAAUCAUCAAAUCAAAAUCAAAUACUGGAUGCCAAGUCCGAAAUCCAUAAAGAAAGCUUUACAAACCCACCAUCCAAAUCUUACAAUCCCACAACUAAACUCUCGAAAGCGUACCCAUUGGCAGUACCAGCAAGGAAGUAUCCUCACCGAGAAACAAGAACAAAAGAAUAGCUAUAUAUAUAAUUAUAUAAUAUAACCACACCUAGUUGUACCGGGAAAACAAUCCAACCGGGGGAUUGUUUGACUAGUCACCAUGGCAGAGUCAAAGUAAACAAAUUCCUCAAUUCACCAUGUGACUAGGGAACGAGCUGUCCAACUGGGGGACCAACUCUCAGCCAGCAUGUACCGUCGAUAGCCUCAAAACCCGUACGUCUGUGACCAGUCCUACGCGUGCAGACUACCCAAUCAAGGGUUUACAGCAACAUCCCAUCAAGGAUGCCCUAGGUUCCCACAAUUCCAAGUAUCUCAAGUUUGCGUAUCCAAGUUCCAAAUCCGGGGAGGUACAUAGGGUAGUGCUUAUAGCACUCCAAAUUGACAUUCUAUACUCAUCACUUUCCACAAUCUCAUCUCAACAACCUAAGUACCCCACACAUAGCCAAACAUAUAUAGAAAUUCUCAAAAUCCAUAUAUACAUACUCAAGAUACUCAAAUAUGUCAAAAUCCAAAAUAUAUUUCCAAUGCAUCAUAAAAAUAUCACUUUUAACAAUUGAAUAAAUAAUAUAUAUCCAAUAUACCAAUUAAAACAUCAUGCAUAAUAUUUCCCAUCAUAAAAUCAUGCAUAAGAUUUGAAAACAAAGUCCACUCACAAGUAGUCCCACACUGCUUGACCUUGAGAGGGUCCCGCCUACUGCGUAUGCGUGGUUGGAGUACCUAUUUCAGAAUACGUAUACGAGAUUAAUAAGAAGCGUUUCGAACGAGAACUUUGAAUUAAAUAUCCUAAUUUCCCAGGUUUCUAGUAAGUGUACUAGGAACGAGACGUUCUAAGGUUCCACUACCCAAUUCGAACCAUGGAAGAGCUUCGGGAGACACUCGGUCAACCGGCGGUCAAAUUCCCAAAUCGGGUCAACUGGCCCACGGGACCCACGACCUCCGUUUUUAAAAUCCGUAAGUUCCUAAAGGUUUCACAAUGUCUAAGAUACUACUAUCACAAGUUUGGUCCGAAACGGACUGUUAGAUCGCUUACGAUCGCACGAUCAGACGGUUAUUGUAAAACGUAAACUUUAAGUUAUUGAAUCAGAACAUCCGGGGCUCCGAUUCACGAUCCGCGAAUUCCUACACGAUCCUAGGAAGGUCUAGAGUAACAUAUAUUGGAAUGGAGUCGAUCCAAAGGUCCGAACAUAUCGAACCUAGACCGGAUAACUCCUAAUAUGUGAGAUUCGUUCGGGGUUCGAACAUCAACCAAAUUGGAAUCCUAAGGUACCUACGUGCUCGUGACAUUAAGGGGAUCAAUUGGGACAAAAAUGCCCCUCUGCUACAGUGCCCACGUGCCACCACACGCGGCGGUAGAGAGUGGGUGUCCAAAGCGAUUUCUCUUCGCCGGAAAAUCUCCAAAUUACAAGCCACUCUCCUGGCUACAGGUUCUACUCAACGAGUGGAACACUUUAUUCAACUACAGCCAAGUCCAAUUCGGACGGCAAGUGGCCGGAAACUCACGGUUUAACCCGGAACUUCAUGGCUUGGAUUGGGCGACCAUCGUCACCAUUGUCGUGGCACAACCUAGGAAAUAGCUAAAAGGAGAGGAGGGCUACCUAUUCCAAGCGAUGGCGCAGCUCGCGGUAGCCGAAAAUGUAGCCGAUGACGUUGGCAGUUUUGGCCGGUUUUUCACGUCGUUGCCAUCGCCGUUUGUCGAGUUUUCGAUUGGAGAAAAGGGGUGGGGUGAGUAGAGGAGGAAGAGAGGAAGCUUUUGCAAGAAAUGACACUUGUCAGGGAGGGGGGGGUUGGGGGAAGAGAGAGAGAGAGAGAGAGAGAGAGAGAGAAAAAAAAAAAAUUUCAGAUUUUCAUCCAAACCCUUUUCGAAAUAUUUACAAGUUUGCCACUAAACUACUUUUGGUUGCCAAAUCUUCGUUAUAACUCCGAUUCAAGCCUACCACGUGUCUACGGAUUCGUCUCAAUACAACCUACCCAAAAAUACCAGUCACUGCCCCAAACUCUUUUUGGGUAAGAAAAUGACCAAAAUACCCCUACCCCAAGGGUAAAUUCAUAAUUUCACUUCAAUAAUUUAAUAAAGAAUUAAAUUUGGAGUCGGGGUGUUACAUUAACUACCUGUUUAGUAGGUGUGGGGUUUUAUACAAAAAGCAUCGAUGUUAUUGGGAGUGGAACCACUUAUUAUAAGUUGUGAUUUAUUUAGUCAAGUUUCCUAUGUGGGAUUUUCUAUUCUUCAACAAGCCCCCUCAUGUGGGACCACCACAUAGUGGGCCACAUGUAAAGCUAAGUCCACAUCGGAGUCAAUCAUUCAAGCCCAAUACCUAAACACCACGUAUUGUGUGAGGGGUAGGGGUAAACAUUCAAGCCCAACAUGUGAACCACCAAAUAUUAAGUAAGGGUAAAGGCUCAAUUCAGGCCCAAUCAAUGAACCCAUUAUGAUAUCAUGUUAAAUUUCAGAUAGACGGGACUGUGGCCCACCACUAGCAACAUUGAUAUUGUCCCCAACUUAACUACAUGUUUAGUAGGUGUGGAGUUCUAUACAUAAGGUCUCGAUGUUUUUAGGAGUGGAACCACUUAUUAUAAGUUAUAAUUUAUUUAGUCAAGUUUCCAGUCAACCUGACUUUGAUACCAUGUUAAGAUUUUAAAGGGACGAACUCUUGGCACUAUUAGUAACAUCGACAUUGUCCCCAACUUAACCACCUGUUUAGCAAGUGUGGGGUUUUAUCCUAAAGGCCUCGAUCUUAUUAAGAGUUGAGUCAUUUAUUAUAUGGAACUUUCUAUUUUGUUAACUCUGUGUAUUCUUCAUCAAUGUGAACACCCCUAAACCAAUCAUACCUGAUACGAAUUGAAACACAAGUUUGUUUUUUGCCUUUGGUAGAUGAGUAGCUAGAAAAGCUCAAUGCACUUGCUCUUCUGCUACAUUUCAAUAUAAGAACAAGGUUUGGAAGUCAGGUCAACUCCUCAUAGCUUCCUUGCCUUUGCUUUGACAUGUCUAUGCACUUCUUGGGGAAGUUUGAAUAAUCCAUUGCAGGCCCCAUGACAACUAAGGAACCAACAUUUUGUAGAAGGUUUUGUCUAUACCUUUUGACUAUAAGUAAAAUCUUUUGUAUCUGCUCUUAUGUUUCGGUGAAGUUUCUAUGUGUCCUUUGUGCCGAGUUUCUAUGCGUCCUUUGUUGAACCAAAAAAUGAGGUUGUUUCUUACUAGAUUCAAAUACUUAAAAGAAAAAAAGAAAUUGUUGUUUCUUAAUGGAUUUUAUGAUGAACAAUAUCAAACUCUCCUCUUAUACGUCUGUUGGUAAAUUUUAACAACAAUAUUAAAACCUUGCAAGUGCACAAAUCAAAUGAUAGUAUAGUAAGCAAGCAAGGGUCGAUCCCACGGAGAUUGUGAUCUAAAGAGAUGUUUAUCAAUGUCACGCAAUGAAAAUCAAAACAAAGGACUUCCAAACACACGCCAACACCAAGGGGGGUUUUGAUUUGUUUUUGUGAAUCAAACAAAAUAAGGAAAAGGAAACAAAAGAGAAUUUAAAUUAGAGUUUAAGAGAAAUUGGUUUAAAAUCAAUCAAGAUCAAUAGCUAGGACUUACUAUCCACCUCCAAACAAUCAAUCAAUCCAUAAACAACAAUAGAUAAUCAAUUUCUAGUAAGCACACUACUACAAAAAAGCAAAAAGACGACGGUAAAUCACCGUCGUGUAUUCGGUUUUUCAAUGGUCGUGGAAUCCACCGUCAUCUUUUCCCUCAUAAACCACGACGCUAAAUCACCGUCGUUGUUACAAUAUACAACGUCAUCAACAAAUACAAAACGACGUCUUUGUACUGCAAAAAGAUCUAAAAAAGCAAUCGAUGAUGAGAAAAGACGACCAACUCUCUAAACAAACCGUCGUUAAAAAGAAAAAAUAUGACACAUAUUAACAGAACAUGGCCGCAAGAUAGACAUACAACGACGAAAAUUAAAAUAAGACGCCGUUAAAUAUCAUUUUCACGACAAUAAAAAAUAUGUCGUCUUUAAAUACAUUAGAAGACGACGUUAUUGAUACCUACUACGUCGCCUAUAUAAAAAUAACCGUCGUAAAAUAAAUUUUCCACUUCGAUUUUUCUAUAAAAGAUGACGUGGAAAUAGUUGUCAGUGUCAUUAUUUACGACGUAUGUAUUUAUAGAGUAGACGUUGAACAACGAAACAACGUCGGUUACAAAUAUAUGAGAGUCGUAUUACAAAAUUUAUACGUCCUAUUUUCAGAAACAAACAACGACGAUAAAUAUUAGACGUUGUUAAAUAAAACAACGUCGAAAACAAAUAAAAACAGACGUGUUUAGUCUGCUAAAGUUCUAAAAAAUAGUCGAGGAUGAGAAUAGACGACCAACUCAAACAAAUCACCGUCGUUAAAAAGGAAAAAUAUGACACAUAUUAAAAGAACAAGGCCGCAAGAUAGACAUACAACGACGACAACUAAAACACUACGCCGUCAAAUAUAAUUUUCACGACAAGAAAAAAUAUGACGUCUUUAAAUACAUGAGAAGACGACGUUAUUGAAAUAUACUACGUUUCUUAUUUACAAACAACCGUCGUGAAAUAAAUUUUCCACUUCGAUUUUUCUAAAAAAGAUGAUGUGGAAAUAGUUGUCAGUGUCAUUAUUUACGACGUAUGUAUUUAUAUAGUUGACGUUGAAAUGCGAAACAACGUCGGUGGCAUUUAUAUAGUCGACGUUGUAUUUAUAUGUAUUCAUUACUCACGACGCACUUAUUAAUAUAGACGACGUUGAACUUCUAAACAACGUCGGUUCCAAAUAAAUGAGAGCCGUAUUACAGAAAAUAUAGAUGGCGUUGAUUAUGAUGAGAGCCGUAUUACAAAUAACGUCGUUUAAUUGAUAUUAGACGGCGGUUAUAAUGAAUUACCGUCGGAAUUCAUUUCGUUCCUCUUCGUUUAUAAAAGAACUUGCGACGUGGAAAAUGUAUGAUGACGUCGUAUUUUUUAACGUUCAGAUUAUAUAUCUCGUUUUUUAGACGUCGGUAUUAUGGGAUUGGAGUCGUGUUAUUUUGAAUUACAUGGCGGUUCUUAAUCCUUCCCCGACGUGAUAUCCUGAAUAAUUGCUUCAUAAUAGCGUCGUGGUUCUUCAUUGUUACGUUGCUUUAAGACGUCGGUAAAUAUGCUGAAUAACUGGUUCACAAUAACGUCGUGUUUUAUUUGAACGUAGAAAGUGAAGAAAUCACAUUACAAUAUAUUACAAAAUUAAUGUCAUACACUGCCAAUUACAUAAGCAUCAUUCAAUCCAUAUAUCUUCACACCCAUCUCGAAUAUUUUGACCGCCUAACUCACCCACCAGUUCAUCAAAUGUGUCAACAUUUGGCAUCCCUCUAGUAAAUGGCUCACACUCAAUUAUCACAUCACCUAAGACUUCAUCACCAAUAACAUUAUUAUAUUCUCUAUUAGGCAUUGAUAACACUACCGACCAACCACGAUGCAUCGGGUCGUCAACAAAAAAUAUUUGUUUGACUUGAGAAGCCAAAACAAAUUGGUCAUUCCUAUGUCCAAUUUUACUCAAAUCUACAAGGGUAAAUCCAAGUUCGUCGACUACAAGACCAGAACUAUCUAUCCAAUCACACCUAAAGACUGGGAUUGUAAACUUUUGGUAGUCAAGGUCCCAAAUUUCUUGAAUGACACCAUAGAAACCCAUAUUUGAGAGAAUUGAGUUUUUAUCCUUGGCACUAGCAACUUGCAUGGUAUGUGCAAGUAAAUAAACUCCACUAUUUUGAGUUGUCCGCACAUCAUCUUGUGCCUUGAUAUUGAAUUUAAUACCUUUAAUAAGAUAGCUCCUAUAUAAUGGCACAGCCAUGUUUGGACCAGCUGCUAGCCACCUUAAAUUUUCUGAUACGCCAUGAUUGUCUUCCUCAAGUUCACUUUGAACCUGCAAAUUAAUCAUAUAUCUUAAUGCAAUCUAACAUAGAAAUAAGAAGAAAAUUAAAAGAGAAAUAUGUUAUUCAACAACAUAUACCUUGAAGCGUAGCCAUUGAAUGAAAGUGUUAUUGUGCUUAUCCUGCAGCCACUUUGUGAUUUAAGGUAUGACAAUCAUGUGAUUUAAGGCCAAGAAGUCUUGAAUCUUGUAAAGAUACAAGAUUUUUAAUAUUUGAAGAAUAACCUUCAGGGACCUUCAUACCAUAGAAAGAAUUGCAAACCUCUCUCUUCUCUGCUCUUGACAAAUUCCAAGGCCCAGGAGGCAAACGAGUACGUCUUUCUCCAUACUCGGGUUGCAAAUCAGUUUUGACCCCCAUGUUCAAUAAAUCUAAUCGAGCAGCAAUCCCAUCUUUAUUUUUUCCAGGGAUCUCCAGCAAUGUACCAAUGAUACUAUCGCAAACAUUCUUCUCAAUGUGCAUAACAUCUAGGGCAUGCCUCACAGGAAGGUAUUUCCAAUACUCGAGAUCAAAGAAUAUUGAUUUCUUCUUCCAACAAACUCUGUCACCAUUUUCAACCAUGUGCAGCACUUCUUCUCCGGUUAAUGGCUCGGGAGGUAUGCCAUAUUCAGGUUUCCCAUUAAAAGCUGCACGUUGCCUCCUAUAUGGAUGAUUGAUUGGUAACCAUUUUCUAUGCCCAAUGUAACAAAUUUUGUGGCCAUUUUCAACCUGUGACUAGGUGUAUCAUCGCCGCAUAUUGGACAAGCUUUAUAUCCUUUAACAACACAACCAGAUAAGUUUCCAUAGGCGGGGAAAUCAUUAAUUGUCCACAUUAAUGCAGCUCUGAGUGUAAAGUAUUCUCCAUUAUGUGCAUCAUACACUCCUCUAAUCCCAUCCCACAAAGAUUUUAAAUCAUCAAUCAAAGGCUCCAAGUAGACGUCUAUAUCAUUUUCGGGUUGUUUAGGACCGGAAAUCAAUAAGGUUAACAUCAUGAACUUUCGUUUCAUGCACAGCCAUGGAGGGAGAUUAUAUGUAACUAAGAUAACCGGCCAACAACUAUAUCUGCUACUUAGAGAACUGUGGGGAUUGAAUCCAUCAGAUGAAAGAGCCAAUCUCAAGUUUCUCGGCUCAUUACCAAACUCAGGCCAUUUAUCAUCAAGAAGUUUCCAAGACGGGGAAUCCGCCGGAUGAGACAUCUGACCGUCAAUUGAUUUUCUAGCAGCAUGCCAAGUCAAACUCUUAGCUGUCUCAUGUGAUUGAAACAUCCUUUUAAACCUUGGAAUUGGAGGAAAAUACCACACCACCUUCGCUGGCACAUCCUCUUUCAAGAUUGAAUCUUUGCCUUCCUUCCACCUUGAGAUACCACAAGUAGGACAAUUAGUUGAAUCCUCAUACUCCUUCCUAUACAAGAUGCAAUCAUUGGGGCAUGCGUGCAUUUUCUCAUAACUCAGCCCCAAUGCACACAAAGUCUUUUUUGCCUCAUACAUAGAGGUUGGUAUUGUAUUUCCUUCUGGAAGCAAAUCGCCUUGAAGUAUCAAUAAUUCUGUAAAACAGACAUCACUCAUCCCAUGUUUUGCCUUCAAAUUAUACAACUUCACUAAUGCCGAUAACUUCGUGUACUUUCUACAACCAGGGUACACUGGUUGAUCUCCAUCCCCAAUCACAUUGGCAAACUCAUACGGAUCGGAACCAAAAUCACCAAAAUCAUUAUCAUCCAUAUCAAUUUCUUCAGACACAAAACUGUACCUACUAUGGCCAUCAUCUUCUUCAACAUUUCUACUAGCAUUAGUAGUUGCUUCCCAAGGUUCUCCGUGAAAUGUCCAAUUCUUAUAGCUUUGGUCAAUUCCAUUAAAGUAUAAGUGAUCCCUUAUAAUUCCAACCCCAAACAACUUCAAAUUAACACAUUUAACACAUGGACAACGGAUAUGUGUUGUAGUUAGAAGAUUUUCUACAGCAAAGUUCAAAAAUGCUUCCACCCCAAACUCAUAUGCCUUCGAUCUUCUAUCCGAGUGCAUCCAUGACUUAUUCAUCUCCGACACUAUAACCUAUUAUCUAUAAUAAAGUGAAAAUACAGGCAAUGACCAUCACUAUAGCAGAUUAUACAAAGAUCUAAUAGCAAGUAAUACAUAACAGAGACGACGGGUUUUAAACAAAAACAGACGUAUUUGGCAUAUAUAGACGACGGAUUUUCAACAGACGUCGUCUAAUAUAAGUAAUACAAACGACGGUUUAUGAAAAAACCGUCGUGUAUAAGUAAUACAACGACGGUUUUUUCAUAAACCGUCGUGUAAUCGUCGUCGUAUGCCUAAAAAGGCGUCGUGUCUCAGUUUAUUUUCAAGAACCCAAAACCCAUUAAGAACACAACAUAUAUAUGAAACCAAGCAAGAAACCAACAUAUACAUGAAGCCAAGCAUGAAAACAAUAAAUCCAUUCCCAAUUCAACAUAACAUAGGGUGAUUAAAAGAUCCGACAAAAUUAAAACCAUUCCCAAUUCAACAUAACAGAUAAUGUAAUCCAUGAACCCAUUAAACAGAAAAUCCAUGAACCUAUACCUAUAAGCACAUUAUUAACAGAUCGCAAAGCAUAUACCUAAAACCCUUUAACAAAACAACCUAAUAUCAUUCAAUGAAUUUACAAAGGGAAGAUAGGGUUUGUACUUACAGGUUGGACGAGCUCACAGAUUCGACGAAGCCUGGAGAGUGCAACUUUUAAUUAGAGCAGAAGUGAGAGAGCGAAUGUUAUGUUGCGCGAAAUCUGAAAAUUUUAGGGUUCAGGGUUAGAAGUAUAAGAAUAAGAGCCAAAUAUAAAAAAAUUUAGGGCGCGCGAAAAUUUUUAGAGCGCGCGCUCUUUAAAACGUCGAAAGAAAAACCAUGGCGAAAGUUCUACAAGAACCGACGUAAAUGUAAUAUUCCACGACGAAAACACUUAACGUAACGCCGUUUAUUUUGACGUUCAUUUUUCGGAUUAAUUUUAAAUUUAUUUUGAAUAUUUUGAUAUAAAGACGACUGAAAAACCACGUCGAAGUUAAGAAAUUGAAAACGUUGUAAAUUAUAAUAGACGACUUACAUAUUAAAAUGACGUCGUUUAAAGUGGAAACCAUGUCGGAUAUUUUACUGCACGACGUAACAUAUGUAUUCCACGACUCAACCACCGUCGUUAACAAUUAAUACCCUAAACCCUUAAAACUAAAUUAUAUAAUUUUAAAAAUUAAGUUUAUAAAAGGGUUUAUGGUUUUACAGCCUAAUAUAUACCCUAUACUACCCAAAAAUUAUACUUUAAAAAUAAACCCCAAUAAAUAACAACCCUAAUCUCUAAACCCUAGACUCUAAACCCUAAACCAUAAAACUAGAAGUGAUUUUAUGACUCAUCAAAACAAUUUUGUUUUGGAUGGUCAUUUUAAAUUUUUUUUAUUCAAAAUGAAUUUUUUCAAGGUUUAGGGGGAAGAAAAUAUAUCAAUGACUUCAUAGGAGUUGACUUUUCAUUUUUCUGAUUUAUUUUAAAUUUAUUUUGAAUAUUUUGAUAUAAAAAUAAUAAAAUAUUCUUAUCACAAUAACAAACCACGUCGGUGUUAAUAAAUUUUAGACGUUGUAAAUUGUAAUAGACGACUAAGUUGUUAAAAUGACGUCGUUUAAAUGAGAAACCAUGGCGGAUAUUUAACUAUCCGACAUAAAAUAUAUAUUCCACGACUUAACCGCUGUCGUUACAAAGUACUACCCUGAACCCUUAAGAAAUUGAAGACGUUGUAAACCAUAAACGACUCAAUUGUUCAAAGAACGUCGUCUAAAUAUCCUUUUACGUCGGAUUUGGUUAAAACGAAACAACAAAAAACGACGGCUUUUGACUUUAUUACGUCGUUGGAAAAGUAUUACACGUCGGUUACGCAAUUUGUAUGUUUGUUUUUUUUUUUAAUUUAAGAAAACCUCAACAAAUUUUUACAUUAUAUAUUAUAGACAAAAUUUGUACAUUAUACAUAAAUAUCAAGUGUUCAAUAAUUCCCCUAUUCCAGGUGAAGGCAAACAAACUCUGACCAUUCAUUCCGGACUUCAUCAAUUGCUUCUUGGGGGUAUGGCGCUUCCUGUUUUCCCUUGGCAUACUGCAUAAACAAUGACUAUUAGGGUUUAUAAAUAAAAAGAAAUUCAAUCACAGACGACGAUAUUUUUCAUAACCGACGUACUAUAUCUAUUCAACGACGGUAAUUUUACAUGACCGUCGUUGAUAAUACAAAAAACGACGUAAAAUGUAUGAAGGUAAUUUCUUCUUACCUUCUUCUCAAACCCCAAGGAAGGAUCCAUGAUGAUGUCCCUCAUGAAGCGCAUCACAUAAUACCCGCAUUCGACAUUGCUGGGUUGCUUUGGUGUCCCUGACAGAGUUUUCCAAAUGGCUGCCUUACGGCCUGGUCUGGCUAUGUGAGAAUUAUAAAUUUUUAUAGCACUGUUCACAAUGUUUUUGGCCUCUUCAUCGACCACACGAUUUCCUGGCAGAGGAUCCAGAAAAUAGACGGUUUCUCUCUUUGCUCUUACAAUCAGCAAGAUCCAAUGACGGCUGCACAAAAUUAAUAUAAAAACGACGGUUAUUUACAAUAACGACGUAUUAUAAUGUUUCACACGACGAAAUAAAGUAGCAAUCGACGACAUUUUACAUUUAUCACGACGAUAAAUAACUACCGACGUGGUUAGUAGUUUCAAACGACUCAAUAAAAUAAAACACCGACGUGGUUAGUUUAUACGCUGUAAUUUAUUGAAAAUCAUAAAAACAAAAUCCUGUUAAGGAGACUAACCCUGGAUUGUAAGGCAUCAGGAAAAUCUGUUCACCGUCAGUCUUUUGAAGUCGAGCUGCUAGUAAGCGUGAUCUGUCAGCUAUUGUGCCAGAGUUGGCACUAACUGUAGCAAGGUCGAUAAAGCCAACCAUAUUGCACAUAUUUGCUCGUUUCAAAACAUCGUGCAAGUGCCUAAAUAUAUAAAAUAAUAUAAACAAGUCAGCACAAAAAAACACACGACGGUUAUGUAUAACAAAACGACGUAUUAUAAAAUUUCACACGACGUACUGAAAUAGACAACGACGUUAUAAUAUAUUUAUCACGACGGUAAAUACUAACGACGUGGUUAGUUAGUUAAGACGACGUAAUAAAUAAACCAACGACGUAUUAUUUUAGAAUGACAAACCUCAUAUAUACAAAAAAACACGACGGUUAUGUAUAACAAAACGACGUAUUAUAAAAUUUCACACGACAUACUGAAAUAGACAACGACGUUAUGAUAUACUAACGACGUGGUUAGUUGGUUAAGACGACGCAAUAAAUACACCAACGACGUAUUAUUUUAGAAUGACAAACCUCAUAUAUACAGCAAUGACAGUGGCUCCUAUUUCUUCCAUGCCUGCAAAUUGUGUAAUAUCUUCAGGCAGGAGGAAGGUAUCGCGCUCUAGACCAAACACCUCCUUAUCAAUUGUAAAGUGCAGGGUCUUAUCCUGAGGCACGAGUGUCGUUUCCACAUAACGACAAAGGGAGUUUAAAGAAGAUGGCGCCUCCAUAUUUGAAUAAUCAACAACUUUAAUAACCUGUUUAAAGAAAUAUAAAAAAUGACGUGGUAAUUCAAUAAAAACGACGGUUUAAGGAAUAAAACGUCGUCUGAAAAGAAUUUAAACGUCGUCUGAAGAAACCGUCGUGGUGAAUAAUUUAUUACGUCUUAAAAAAAAUUCCGCCGUCUAAGUUGUAAACAAACGACGGUUUAAAGAAAAAUAUCGACGUCUGGAAUUUUGAAAAACAAAUAAAAAAGGCAAAGUUAUGUGAACAUACCUGGUCGUCAUCUUCUUUCUCCUUUUCAUCAUGUUUUUCUUCUGUCUUCCCUUCAUCUAUUACGUCGAGAAUGACUAACUCCGUCGUCUAAAAACCACAAAGUUUUAAAAUAACGACGUUUAAUGGCGUGUAAAACAAGUAAACUAAAUACGACGUGGUAUUGAAAUACAAACGACGGUUUAUGUUUAAAAUCGUGGUGGUAUGUAUUUCAAACGACGGUUUUAUUAAUAAUAACGACAUCUAAUGGUUUUUAAAAAAACAGAGAAUUCAAAGUUCAGAUAUGUUACCUUUUCUUCCUGAUGUUUCCCAUUUUUGGCAGUAUCAUCCUCAAAAUGCUGGGAUCUCACAUCACCUCCAGAGCAGCUUGCUUUGUCAGACAUUGGAUUUUUGGGACUUUGGCUAAUUCUGGGUUUAAGCAUGCUUGGAUCAAAAUUGGGAAUUAAUUGGGAAAGCUGACUCAGGAAAUGCUCCCUCUCAGCCUCUACCAAUUGUUUCGUUCUAGCCUCCAUCCUUAAAGCCUCUUCCCUUGCCUUAGCUUCCAUCUUUUUAGUCUCUUCUUGAAGGAGAACUCUUAAACUGUCCUUCAAACGGUCGUCAAAGCUCACUCUCUGUGGUUUGGGUAAAUUGAAAUAUUGCCUUGGUGAGAUCCCAGCACCUACUCCUCUCACUCUGCCUGGAUGCUCGGGGCCCAAAGCCAUGGUCAGCACAUCAUUGCUGCCAGAAACAGUGACUUUGCCUUCCGAGACUUGUUUUUGCAAUUCAUCCUAAAACAAAGAUAUAUAAAAAAGUAAGAACAAAAACACACGACGGUUAUUUAUAUACAAACGACGUAUUAUAUAAUUUCACACGACGCAAUAACAUAUAAAUCGACGUUAUUAUAAUUUAUCACGACGGUAGUUUUUAAACCGACGUGGUUAGUUUUUAAAACGACGAAAUGAAUAAACCACCGACGUCUUAUGCUUUAUUUACAGAUAACAGAGGGAUGAUUCAAUAUUCACACCUUUAACGACCUUGUUUAAAAUAUUUCGACGUAGUAAUUCAAUACAAACGACGCGAAAAUGAACCACCGACAUCUUAUGCUAUAAUUACAGAAAACAGAGUAGUGAUUCCUGAUUUAGACCUUUAACGAUGUGGUAAUAUCAUUCACACGACGCAAAAUAUAACAUAAGACGUAAUAAGAAUUAUUCACAGUUUAAUAAAAAUUUAAAACAGAGUGAGUAGGCUUACAAUUAAUUUUGCUUUCUCUGCCACCUUUGGAUCCGGGAUGUUACCAUGUUUGUCCUGUCUAGCUCUCUUCCAUAAGGUAGAUCGAUCAAUUUCUACCCCAGGCAUGGUUUCCUCCAAUUGAUCCUCCAAACCAGCAUAUCCUUUUCGAGACAAUCGAUGAUUGUACUCAAGUUUCUCCCUAAUCUGUGCAUGUUGAGAAUGCACAGACUCAAAAUCUUUGGAUAACCUUGAAGCUACAAAGGCAUCCCAUUGUGCUUUCUCUAUGAAUUUAUAUAUUUCAGGGGGUUGGCUUAAUCUCUCCCUGUCAUUAGUGUAUGGAAGGAUAUAUUGCCUCGUUAGUGUAGACUUGAAAUCCUUCCAUUUCUUGGCAGCAGAAGCUAACACAGAGCUCUUGCCCCCUUGACCUACCACAAAAGCAAUGUCAACUGCUUCCCAAAUCUGCUCCUUUAUAUCCUUGGAGAUUUGAGCCUAUUUCAUGUCCACAAGUGGAACUCUGGAGCGUGCCAACACACCAAUGUAGGACUGCAUCUCACUAUGUGCUUGGCCAAUUCCUUUCCCCCUUUUAUUGUACUCAACAAUUGGCCUCAGUUUCUGAAGUUUUCUCUUCACAACAUGAGGCAUUGUGCUCAUACCUCGACCAGACUUUGAAUCAUCAGAGAUUGUUGUCGUGCUGGUUCGUUCUGUCUCAGCAGAUGAUGAAGCAAACUUCAUCUUCUUCGAAGGCUUCACUUGAGGAGGUACCAUUCCAAGGUCCUUACCUCCAUUUUUCUUGGAGCCAGAAUCCUUACUUUGGUCUUAGUGAGAAACCAUUUUUACAGACAAAACUGCAAGUGAAAAUAUUUCAGGAAAAGAUUAAGAACACAAACGACAGUUAUUAAUAAAAUACGACGUAUGAUAUGAUUUUAAACGACGCAAUGAAAUAAUCUCAGACGUAAUAAAUGUUUAAAACCAAGGUAAUUAAACAACGACGAAAUAAUUAACUAUAAACGACGUGAUAAUUAACUAUAAACGACGAAAUAUUUAUAUAACGUCGUGGUAUUGAUGUUCACACGACGUCAGUCGUAAUAUACCGUCGUCUAUAUAAGGAUCCAAAACCCUUCUUUCUUUCUCUGUGAAUGUUUGAUUGCAGAUUUGAUUUUUCUGAACCAUGGUUUUUGUUUUCUAAUUUGAUAAAAUACAAGGCCAAGAAAGAAAGUUUUGGAAUCUUAUAUAGACGACGGUAUUUUAAUAUGACGUCGUGGUAUUAACAUUCACACGACGUAAAACAAUAAGAUACUGUCGUCUAUAUUAGAUACCAACCCUACUUUCUUUUUCUUUAUAUUUUAUCAAAUUAGGGAAAAACAAAAACCAUUGUUCAGAGAAAUCAAACCUGCAAUUAAACAAGCAAAUAAAAAAAAGACUAUAAUUUUAAAAACAACUUUGUCAAUUUUCAGACGACGCUAGAACGACUGACGAACCGUCGUGGUCUACAUAUUUAACCACGUACAUAAGAAGCUACCGUCGUCUUAUUUAGUUGAGGUAGUUGUCUUCAAAGUUGGAAACUUUCCCUCUUUGUCUGUAUAUUUUAUUGAACUUGGAAAGAAGUAAAAUGAUUUUGGCCAGAAAAAAGGUAAAAAGAUUUUUCAAACAAAAAACGUAUGAGCAUGCAAAACAACAACCAAAAUAGUGAAAAUGAAAGCUUACCUUUUGCGUGCAAUGAAAGCAAGAGGAAGAUUAUGUUUAAGUUCAGAGACGACGAAGAAGAAGAGAGGAAGACGAUGAGAUACUCUGACAGUGCUCUGACAAGGAAAAAAGUCUAAAAGUUUUCUCUGGGAGAUUGAACUUUUUAAUCGGGUUUGAAAACGGCGCAUGUGUAUGUCAGGUAGACGAAAAGUUGCUUACAUAUAAAACCAUUUCAAAAAAAUAAUACGGCGGUUACAUAUAACUACGACGUAUAAAUUACAAAAUACGACGGUACAUUUAACUUCGGACGUGGUAAAUAAAUACGACAGUAGUGUUGUAGGUACCGUCGUAGUAAACUCAAAAAUUAAAGUACAUAAGUAAUAACUCGCGUCAUGGUAGAUUAUUUAACACGUCGUUUUUAUUAAUUUACCGACGUGGAUUUCUGUAAUAUACGUCGAUAAUACCGACGUUGAUUUUACAAUUUAAACGGCGGUUUUUUUGUAAGGACCGCCGUUGGUUUUAAAAAUUUAUUCUAUAAAUUUGUCGCUUUCAUUCAUUUUCGGUUUACAUUUAAGGUUCCAAGUUCUUCCUCUCUCAGUCUCUCACGUCUCAAAGACAAUAAUUUGGAUGUCUUUCUCAAAGAGAAAUUGAGCUUACUCGCAUCAAAUAUAUGUCCACAAGAAGAAGCUUGUCAACUAGCCUUCUCACUUCCUUGAUCAAGCCUGAUAGGACACUUAGUGCUUCUGAAUACUCCUUGCUUUCCAUCAAAAGAGAUGCAAGCCUGGCCUCCACUCGCUGUCGAAGGAAAGUUCGCUUCUCAGGGAAAUCUUCUUGAUUUUCUUGGCUAAGAAGAUCCGUCAGAUUUGUGAUAGCCUCUUCCUUUAUCCGUAGAGCUUCAGAAGAAGAAGAUGGGUUUCAAGAAUGCGAUAAAGAAUAGAAAUGGCUUCAGAUGGCCUCUAAAGCAUGAGCAAUCGAAUCAGUAGUUGUUGGGAGAUAUGAUGAAGACAUUGUCAAUGCUUUGAACUAUACAAGUCCUGCAGAAAGAUAAAGGACCAAACUGUUAAAGAAACUGAAACAAUGGCGGUUUUCUGUUCUACCGUCGUCUUUUCUCGUCGUCUAUAUUAAGGUAAGAUGGCGGUAGAUUUAUAAUUACCGACGUAGAUUAUUUUGUUAAACGUCGUUAAGUGUACUACAACCGACGUGGAUUUUAUUUUUAAAUUAUAAAUAGAGUUUUUUUUCCCCUAUUCUUUCAGUUUUAGUUUUCAAUUACAAAGCGUGAUAAAUAGAUUUUUCUUUCCCGAGGAAAUUUAAAAUGAGGGAAAUUAAUGUUCUAGAAUUUGUAAACUAACACGACGCAAUAUUUGCAAAUCUGUGUCAUCUGUUAAGAUUAUGAUGUGGAACAGAGUUCCAUCUGGUAAGAUUUCGUAACCCUUGGGAUCUCAGACAAAUCUGAUUAUGUCGGCGGUUUUCUAUAUAAAUCGUCGUGGUUAUUUCAAUUCUUGUCAUUAAGUAGAUCUACCGACGUAGGAUAAGAAAAUCAAAGAAAAAAAUUGUUAACAAAAAUUCUUAUUAAGACGACGGUUAAAAUUAAAGGUACGACGUAUAAAAUGAAUAAAUACGACGUUAAAUUUUAUUGUACGAUUUAAAGAUAACGUCGUAGAACUAUAAGAGAAUGACGUCGAUAUAUUUAUAUUUUCCGUCGUUGUACAUUAAUUUAAUACGGCGAUAUUUUGUAUUUUAAAGCCGUGGAUUUGUUUGUAAUUAUACGGCGUCUUAUACGAAAACCUCGUCGUGUUAUUUUAUGAGUAAAAACGGCAGUUUUUAUUGAAAUCGUCGUCUUUACUUUCUACGUCGGUCGAUUCAUAACUUCUGCCGUUCUUUGUUGGCAUUGAUUUUACACUGCGAAAAUCUGUUUCAAAUAGACGUCGGUUGUUUAAUUAUGUACGUUGUUGUUUUUGAACAGCCAUUUGAAUCUCCAUUUUUUAGUUGUCUAAGGUUGUAUUACACGACGGUGUUUUUAGAACCGUCGUCUUUUUAAAAACCACGACGGUUUUCACUUAGACCGUCGUUGUUUUCUGGUCGUCUUUUUCACUUUUUGUAGUAGUGGCAUAUGAUGACGACACUCACAACAAGAUCAUGGCAUUUGACUCGAGUUGUAUGAUUCUCUCUUAAGUGUAUGUAAAGUGUAUGACAUUUACAUCAAUACGUGUAUUCUUAAUUGAAAUCUACUAUGGCAUUUACUCAAAUUAACAAUCAAGAAUCCAUUAAGAUCAAAGAGAAUAUGAGUGUCACAAAAACCCUAAAACAUGGCAUUUGUUAUUAGGAAUUCAAGAAUCGAUUUCUCAUAACUAGUUCUUAACCCAAUUAUUCGUUGCAAAUAAGAACACAUUCAAUAUGGCAAUUGACCUAUGUUCUACAACAAUUUAAUUCCAAUACAUGCUUCUAAGUUAGCUACUCAAAGAAACAAAAUAUCAGAAUUCACAUAACAUAUAGAAACCGAAAACAUCACGCUUGUAGAAACUAAAAAUCCAUUAACCUUGUUUAUAAAAUUGAAAUCAUGUUUAGGGCUUCAAGAUUAAGCCCUAACUAACAAGAAAUUAGUUACUCAUGGUCUUGGAUGAACUCAAAAAUAAAUACAUAAGAACUGAAAAUUAAAGAAGGAAGGAAAAGAAAGAACUCGUUCGCAGCUUUCUCCUCUUGCGCUGUUGAUCUCUUUAGGACGUGAAUCCUUUUUAUCAGCCUUGCCUCGUCUUUUAUAUCACUUAUAUCAGAGUUCUAAACCCUAAAAUUGACUGAAAAGUCGUCCAAGAAGUCUUGGUAAACAAGGAAUCCAAAUAGGAAAGUAAAAAUCACAAUUCCUAACUCCACUGGGAAAUACAGCUCAGCCCAAUGUUCACACGAUUUUGGGAUCUUCGACCUUGUAGAAAAAUCAUUAAAAAUAUAUUUUAGAAAGAUAAAUGUCUUAUCUUUCCAACCAUAUAUAGCACGUAACUUGAAAAAUUCGGAAAGGCUUCCGUUUCUUCACAUUCACGUAGCAUGUACGAAACUGUCCUGUCUGCACGUGGGCUAACUUUACUUGUAAUACUGUACCAAUUGGCUCGGUAGAAAAUUCUAGAAAAAUCAUAGAUUGAACUUCAAGAUGUUAGCUUUCAUCUCCAAUCAGGGGCGGCCUUGGGGAGGUGCAAGUGGCGCCACCGCACAGGGCCCCCGAAAAAAAAAAUAUUUAUAUUAUAUAUAUAUAUUAAUAUUAUAUGAAUCGUAUAUAUAAUAUAGCGUCUGGAUAUUUGCACAACAGCGUGUUCAGGGGAGUUGGAUGGAGCACAUCUCUCUUUGGCAAAAGGGCCCGAGUUCGAUGCUCCUUGAUGUCGUUCUACUGGCUAGCCUUUUGUGAUAUUAUUUUUGCAUUCAAACUUUACAUAAUUAUUGAACCAUUGGAUUAAUAUGCAACGAUGGGUGACCACAAUCUCUUGGACUCCUGUGGUCCAUGAGAUCGGGACUGAUAUUACAUGACUUAUUUUAUUAAAUUAUUAUCAUGUUGAUGAUUGGUUGUAUGAGAAUAUAGUUUGUAGAAAUAUUUAUCUAUUUCUUGUUGGGGUUUUCUUCCAGGUUAUAGGGUUUUGGAAUUUUUCUUUGUAAUCUAAACAUGCCACCUACUAGAAAAUACGUUUAUGGAUAUACAAAACGGCUUAGAAAAAGAAAAUUCGAGGAAUUGACUCAAUCUCAAAGAGGAGCUCUUGAUAGAUUCAUUGUUAGAGAAUCACAUGCUACAAUUGAUGAAAAUAUUUAAAUUUUUAUGAAUUUAAUUUCUGAUUUUCAUUGCAUAUUUAUUGAUGGUGAAUUUUAGUUAUAAAAAAAAAUUGUUUAUGACAUUAAGUUAUGGCAAAUUUUUAUAGUAUUUUCGUAUUAGAUUAUGCAAGGCCCCAAUUUAAGUUUCGCACAGGGCCCUCAAAAUCUCAGGGACGGCCCUGUCUCCAAUUGGUCUUGUGCUAAAAUUCCUCCGAAAAGUUGAUUUUCCCUUAAAAACCUUCUAAGAGUGCAGAAAAGCUGAAAAUCAGAAAAAUAAAGUAAUAAGCCAUUUUUAAAUCUAAUUCUCUUACAAAACCAAAGUAAAAAGAGUACAUAAAUGAGUAUAUUUAUGGACUUAUCAACGUCUUCUUCGUUGGACUUGGGGUUGUUUUCCUUAUAUGUCCCCUAUAUAUAUAUAUGGCCUUUAGUUGAGCCCACAAAUACCUUCAGUUAGUUUUUGGGUUUAGGGGCCUACAGAACCUGCACUAAACAAUAAAAGAAAAUACCUAAUUAGUUUAGUACGAAUUUAUAAUGAAGGCUUUAUUAGGUGAAGUUUUAUUUCUUAAUCGUUAGAUCAAAUUGGUUAGCAUCUGAAGUCGCCCAAAGAUUUGAGAGGGAUUCCACAAACAUAUAAUAUAAAGAAAGAAAGCAAUAGUAGGAGAUGAACCAGUACAAAAAACAAUAUAUAAAUAGUACAUAAUAAUUCCAUAACCUUGUCACAAACGCACUCACAAAUGCUUUCCAUAAACCUUGCCCUAACAUAUAACAAAUAAAGGCAACAUUGCAUAUGAUGCAACCAUGUCCAAAUCUGAUACGUGAUAAAAAAAAAAGGACAUGGCAGCAACAUAUGACUGAAGUAGAUGGGCUCUUUGCAUCUCGUGUUAUCGUAAUUAAAGACAUCAAAAUAUUAAGGUUGAAAUCUUCUAUAGUAGCAAGCAUUAAAAUAGGUUUGAAGCAGAGUUUAAAGAAAAUUCCAAUUCCACUGAUUUGCCUCUGCUCAAAGACGAGAACCAAAAUGGUUACUUCCCUUGCUGAGUAUAUUUGUUAACGUCGGAAACGGUAAUAGAUGACCAAUCAAACCCAAGUACGACGAGUUUUGCAUAGGAUCAGAAGUAGUUGAAUCCAGCUUGCAUCACACGCUUCUUUGACUCCAUUGCAUUAGAUGAGUUUUUGUAUUUUUGAACAGCUACACUCCGAAGUCGUUUGUGUCUACGCUUCAUGCGCUGCAACUUCGCCCUAUCCAGAUUGGCCUGCCUUUUGUCAUCUUCAAUUUGGCCUUCAACAAAUUCCAAACGUGCCCUUGCCCUUUGGAUUUCAUCACCAAGUUGAAGAUGCCUCUCCUUCCAAAAAGCAAGAACUCUUUCAGACUCAAAACUUCCAACAAAAUGGUCAUUCUAUCUAGGAAUGUGACAUUGCUUGUCUGGUGACUCACCUGCGUUUCAAAGGCGGUCUUUGUUUGGAGGGGUGUUUAUUAUGCUCACAUCAAACUUGGUUAGUAAAUCCAUUCUAUGGGGGGAGUGAGUUUCUGUGGAGGAGAGAGUUUCAGUAGAUGGAGACAGAUUCGGUGGAGGAGUGAGAUUUUUGUGGAGGGAGAAUUUCUAUGAAAUGGGUGAUAGUAAUACCAAUAAAAGGGUUCCCGCCAAAAAGUAUUUGGUUGACAAUGUAUAAAUUAAUUUUUGGUCUGAUACAAUCUAAGUUUAAUCCUAACUAGUUUGGUUAGUUUGGUUGAAUUCACUAACUAGAUGUCACUUCCAUUGAGUUUCUUUCAACCACUAUCAGUGGUGUAAGGAGAGUGUGAGGUUGACAUGCUUGAAAAGCAAAACCUAACACCUCUUUUUUUUAAAAUUGAAAGAAAGUACAUAUGUUGACUACACACAAGCUUUGGUAUGUUGGUCUAUAAAGCUAUGUUCCCUUUCUCAAACGAAAUUGCAUAUGCAAUCCUCGUCCUCCCAAAACAAAUAGAAUUAUUCAAGCAUGUCAACCUCUUCAGGCGCCAACAACACAAUCAAAGAUGACAAAUUGGAGUCGCAGGUUCUAUUUCCACAUUGUACUCGCCGACCCCUUCCAUUUUCAACAUCAUUUGGGAGUGAGGGGGACUCCGAUGAUCCAUUAGAGCUAAUACAUGCAGUCAAUAGCAAGCUGGAUUAUAAUUCCAGACUGAUCAAUUCAUGGCGCGAGAAAUAUGUUGAAGACGAAGCCAUUUUGGCUGAUCUUAACAUUAGAGUGAACAAAGCGUUCUCCCAAAAGAACAAGUACUUGAAGCUGAGUCAUAAAAGGAAGCUGAAAGCUGAGGAGUUAGAUACAGUAAUGAAUGAUGAAAUUAAAGGUUGUUUGAUGAAUCAUAUGCGAUGCGAAGAGCACCACAGUGAACUGGAGUUGGCAUUCAACGAAGGAUUCGAAAAAUUACGAGCAUUUGCAGCAACUACUCAUACAAGUUAUAAUUGGGACUAUGUGUCCCCUGAUGUUGUGAGAGAGAUACUAGACGAUGGUGGUGACAUGAAUGAGCAUAAGCACGUCAAAGCUGCUUGGAAGAAGCCGACCGAUACGACUAAGUGAUUGCGGCUACAGUUGUUCAGUUGGUUGAGAGUGAUCGUGGUAUUGCACAAAUUAGAAGUAUAUUCCCAUAAUGUCAUUAUCUAAUUUAAAAUAACACAAAUAUCAGUUUCAUUUGCUUCAUAUUGUAACACCCCGACCCCAAAUUUCCCCAAAAUUUACCCUCAUUUAAUUAAUUAAUUAUUUAAGGGUAUUUUAGUCAUAUUUUUAACCGGAGAGAGUUUGGGACCAUGACUUGUAUUUUUGGAUAGGUCGUACUGAGACGAGUUCAUAGACACGUAGUGGGCUCGAAUCAGAGUUGUAACGAGAGAGAUAUGGUCAAAAGAAACCCAGUGGCACAAUCGUAAAUAUUUCAAAAUGGGAUUUUUAUAAAAAUCUGGUUUUUCUCUCUCUCUCUCUCUCUCUCUCUCUCUCUCCCGCGACUUCUCUCUCUCUCCCGUCGGCUCUCUCUCUUUCUCUCCUUGUAUCUCCGGCCACCGACCACGGCUGUGGGCGGGGCCGGUACCAAACUGACCGGGACGACGUCCCCUUCCUUCCCCGACCAUUCCCCGCCGGCAACGCGGCCGUUGCUGGCCGGAAAAUGCAGAAAACCGCCGGGAGGUCGUCGAAACUUCAACGCCGUCGAUCUCCCUCCUCCGGCCACCAUUUUCGUCGACCCAGGUAUGGAUCUUGAACCUCUCGAGCUGUUCUAGCUGUUUGUUGGUUGGGUUUUGAUCGAUUCGAUCUCUAGAUCACUCGAUUUUCGAAUUGAAAAUUGGCCGAAACUUCGGCCGCCGUGAUCGGCCAUUUUCGGCCACUUUUUGUGGUAGGUCCAAGAACAAAAGUGGCUCCAAAUAGGGUGUUAUACCUAGGGUAGAAGUUUGGAGCCGAGAUGUUGAGAUUUUCCGGCGAAGCGUUAUCGCUUUGGGCACCCACGCGUGCGGCGGCGCGUGGGCACUGUAGAAAAAGUAGAUGUGUUCCGAUGAGAUCCUUAGGUUGUCACGAGUGCGUAGGAUUUGGCGGAUCUCAAUUCGGACGUCGUUUGACUAUCGAACGGAUAAUCGCAUAUUAUGCGUUAUCCGGGUUCGAUAGGUUGAGACCGUCGGAUGGUCCCAAAUUUAAUAUAUGUUGAUCUAGGUAUUUCUAGGAUCGUGUAGGAUUUCACGGAUCGUGAAUCGGAGCCCCGGAUGUUCCGAAUAAUAAUUUAAAGUUUAUAUUUUAUAUUAACCAUCAGAUUAUGCGAUCGUGAGAAAUCCGACCGUCUGAUCUGAACCAAACUGGCAGGAAAAGUGUCCUGUACCUGGUAGAACCCAUAGGGACCUUCGGAUCGGAAAUUGGAGGUCGUGGGUUCCGCAAGUCUGUUUGACCAGGGUUAGAGUAGUUUGACCCUUGGUUGACCGUGAGUCUCCCGGAGUAAUCUCACCCUUCCAGGGGGAAUUAUCGGGAGCUAGACUAUUGUGGAGGGUUACACAAUAUUAGAAUUAUUUAUAUAAUUAUAUAUGGUUGUACAAGGGUACAACAAAGUCUAGAAUGUCAGUUUGGAGUGCUAUACGCACUACUUUAGGUACCUCCUCGGAUUUUGGAUUCGCUACAAGCACCACCAAGUGAAAGUUAGGUCCCGCGUGGCGUAGGUUAUCCGGCGUUGGGACAGACCCCAUACGUGGCGUUGGUUGUACCGGCGUAUGGGGAGAUUUGCAAUAUGAUGUUCAGGUCUCACGUGGCGUAGGUUAUCCGGCGUUGAGACAGGCCCCGUACGUGGCGUUGGUUGUACCAGCGUACGGGGAGAUUAUGUGAUAUGAUGUUGAGGUCCCGCGUGGCGUAGGUUAUCCGGCGUUGGGACAGGCCCCAUACGUGGCGUUGGUUGUACCGGCGUAUGGGGAGUUAUAUGAUAUGAUAGUAUGGCAUGGUCGCACAUGGCGUAGGUUAUCCGGCGUGUUGACAGGCCCCAUACGUGGCGUUGGUUGUAUCGGCGUAUGGGGAGAAUAUGUGAAAUGCAGAGAAAGGAAAUAAGGUAUCACCGAUGUGUGGAAUUGGGUUUUAGGGAAGAACUACGUGUGGCUUGAUCCCUCAAGGAGGGUACGUAGGCAGCCUAAGGUUAUUGGGUGCAGCCGCAGACUAAAUAUUAGUCAUAUUUGGUAUUUGAAUUGUAUGGUAGUUGUUUGAGAAUUAUUGGAAGGCCAAAGGCCAUUUAUGAGAAUUUGCAUGAAAUUAUAUUGUGCAUGCUGCUAGUUGUGGAUAUUAAAUGUGUUUUUAUGCAGGUUGAAAUUUUGGGAAAUGUCCAAUUUAUAGGGGAGACUCUGCUGAAAUUUCGGCAGGAAGUCUCGGUUUUUAGUAAGUGGGCCUGGCAUCGGGGUGAUGUCAGGAAUUCCAAAGGGUUCGUCUCGGGUUUUGAGAAAAUUCGGGGCGGGUCCUUAAACAUAUAUAAUUAUUGGGACUAUGUAUUGCAAGUCAUCAUGUGUUCCUUCUGUCUAACAUUAUAUUUUGCAAAUAUCAAAAUAUUAUUCAAUAAGCAGUCAAUAUCACAGCAAGUUGGGAAUUAGUAAAGCCCCAUUAUCAUGUCCGUUCACAUUAAAGAGCUGGCGUACUUUUUCUCAAAAAACUGACACGUGAGUCAUAAGUAACAUAACAUGUGCUAUACAUUGUUUAGUGAAUGGUUUAUGGUUUAUUUAUAUAUAAUAAAAUUCCAAAUAUUGCUGAAUAUUUGUUUUUUCUAUAUCCCUGGGAACAUGAGUGACCAUAAGCAUGUAAGACCUGUUAAGAAGAAGCUGACUAAUACGACCGAGUGAUUGUGGCUACCGUUGUUUAGUUGGUUGGGGAGAUCGUGGUAUUGCUAAGAGGGAGCACAUAAUGUGCUUUGCAAUCAAAUUUUCUUUUGUGUGUGGAAUUAUGAGUAGUUCAAAUGUUAGUGUACCCUUUAAUAUUCUUCAACCGUUUGAAAUGUGAUUAGCUGCAAUGUACUUUUUUACACGCUGCUUUCUAAUCACUCUGUUCCAACAAAGUGCUUUAAGUAUCCUUCAGUUACAAAUGUUUACAAAAUCGUGCAUCUAAUAACCAGUCGAGCUCAGAUCUUAAUAACAAGUAAAACACUAGAACAUAACAUUCGGAAAAAGUGGGUGCUGCUGGAAAUCAUUACUGGUAAUGGAAGCAAGAGCUGGCUGCUGGAAAUGCUGCAUUAGCCUGUGAUAUAAUCAAUGAAUCUCUGUUAAAACAUAAUUCACCAUAAACUACCCAUUUUACAUGGUAAAAGUCAUUGCUUCUUCACAUAACUCAAAAUUUGAUACUUUAUCAAAUGUCUAUGAAAAUUUCUAAAUAGGGGAAAGACGUAAAAUUAACAUGUGUCCAAAUUUCAUGCAAGAAUGAAACCAAGCAAAUUUUUAUUUCAAUUAUCAGUGGACAUAGUAAGAACUCAUCGGUGGACAUGAACAAAAAAAUAAUAAUAUUAAAAACUGAAUCUAGAAAACUUCACCUGAUCAUUAGUCUUCAUAACAACCGAAUUUCGUCUAAUAGAAACAUAAAUCAUUCAGUUGGUCCGUGCAUCGUGUCAAAUUCAUAGAAUAAUGGGUCACUACGAUCUAUUGGAGUUGAUUCGUCAUUGUUCGACGGUGAUGUCCUGCAUAGACAUCAAACACAAGCACAGAAAAAAUUUACCUAUUCAAAUUUUAGGUGUUAUUAUAAAUAGUGUUAGCAUCUUACGGUGUGUUCAAAUUUCUUGCGCAUUGUCUUCUAUCAUGACCAAUGUGUCCACACUCCAGACAGUGUCUAAUCCCUCGCUUCAUUGCCUUUUCUUUUGCUCCCGUUACUCGUUUCGACCUUCUUUUGCACCUCACUCUCUUAGGGUCUUUCAUAUAUUGUGUUUGAGAGCUGGACCCUCCAACUUCGUUAUUACUUGGUCCAUCCUUCAACAACUUCAACUUCACCUGCAAACUUUUUAGAGUCUCUGACAGUAGCUCACAUCCUUCUUCACUCAUUAAUGCACCCUCAACCACAUCUUAAGCAAGUCGAGACAUUGUACUCCGCCUUAUUAAAAGACCAGGAUCUGCAGAGUCUUUAAUUUCGUUGCCAUUUGCAUCUGACACCAAUUCAGAUUUUGCAGUUUUCUUCCACCUCUUUAAAAUAUAUUUAUCGGGCAUAUAUUCAAUCUGGUCCCUUCUGAACAAUGCUAGGAUGUGCUUGCAAAUAAUUCCAACAAAUUCAAAUCUUUUGCACCCACACGAUGCGUGGUCAGAAUCUUUAACAUAUACGACGUCUGCCACUCUUGUUUCCCAAUUUUUCCUUUUGCUCACGCGAAAGACAACUUUAGAAGCACCCUCUGUUUUGAGCUCUAGGAAACAUGUUGUACUUUGUAUUAGUUCUUGGUCAAACUUUUGAAACAUUGUCCUUGUGUACAAGGUAGCCAUUUGUUUGUUCAUUGGCAUCGGUAGAAUACAUUGAGCCACUUCAAAUGCAUCUACGUGAUCAGCAACUAACUCUUUUUGACGUUGAUGAGAAAGUGCCCUCUCAAAUCGUAUUAUGAAAUCCAUCAACGAAUUUCUCCUUGAUAUGUAUUGCUUGAAAAAACCAUGAGAACCUUCCACUCUUUGGCUGCUUGACAUUCCAGCGGCAAAAAAUUGUUGUGCGUAGGCUGGAACCCAAGAUUCUCUUAAAUCAAACAUUGAACUUAGCCAUGGAUGGUCAGUCAAACCAGCCUUUGUAACCACAAUAUUCCAUUUUGUAACAAACUUAUCCUUAUUGUCAGUAUCCCAUACGGCUUUCUGAAAUUCACGCCAAUACUCCUUAUAAGCAGAAUGUGGUAACUUAACAGAGAACUUUGAUGUGAUGUGCAAUAUGCAAAGUCGAUGAAAUGUAGUCGGGAAGGGUAUUGAAAUCGCUCUGGUCAUUGCCGCAUCUUGAUCUGUAAUGAUCGUUUUAGGUCCGCCACUUGGCAUGGCUUUCUUAAACUCCUCAAACAUCCAAAUAAACGACUCAGUCGUUUCCUUGCUCAAAAAUGCGCAUGCUUAGACAAUUGUCUGACCAUGGUUAUUAACUCCCAACAUUGGUGCAAAUGUCAAGUCGUAUCGAUUCGUGUUGAAUGUGGUAUCGAAUACAACAACAUCUCCAUAAAACCCGUACGCCCAUCUAGAAGUUGCAUCUGCCCAAAAACAUUGACUAAACCUGUCAUGGCCAUCUCUCUCAAUCUUGAAAUAAAAAGCCUCAUUUUUUUUUUCUGUUCAGCCAUAAAAUACUCGGUCACUAGUUCAACAUCGUGGUUCCUCAACUUCCCAUUCACACUACAUUCAAAAUUGUAGAUAUCUUUUUUGAUAAAACCGAUUUUAUCCAUUCCUCCGGAUUGCACCUCGAAAAUACUUACCUUCUGAUGAAUGAGAAUAUUAACCGAACCCAACUGUUUUGUGAGUACUUUUGUAGAAUCUGAACUAUGACGGUGUGAUCUCAAUAAAUGCAUUCUUUCUGAGGGUGUCAUCUUAUGAUUGUGUCCCUCUGCAAAAAGAGAGAUGGUAUACUUCUUGCUCCCAUUUGUCUUCACAACCACAAUCUUAGCUUUGCAAUUGCAUCUACUUAUUCCCCGCUGUCUUUUUCUCUCCCGAGUUUCAUCUCUCCUGUAUUCACCUUGUUUGCAACAUACAAAUUCUUUCCUCAAAAUCUCUUUCUUAUUUCCCCCCCAAAAGCUGGAAUGAAGUCGAAUACCAAAGCCAGCCAAGAAUGCAUAUCUAUUAUAGAAAUUGUAAACGAGGUCAAGCAAGUCGAACUUCAUCCCAACUGCUGGUGUUUCCUCAUUUCUUACUUCAAGAAUGUAAACCCUCCCAUUAGCUGUUACACAGUCAUCACUCUCUGAGCCCCCAGACAUUUUAUCCACGUAUAUUAUUGAUCCACUUCUAUAUUAUUGCAUAGCAAAUAUUAAUUCAUUAAUAAAUCAUUACUGCAUCACAACAUAUCAAUGCAUUCCACUUACACAAAACAUUGCCCAAAUUGACACAAAACACGCAUAGCCUAACUUGUUGGAUUCCGAUUACACAAAACGCAAGCAAAAUUUAAUAAUAGUUACGUCAUCUCUUGUGAAAUAAUCUAGAAAAAAUAACAUUAGAACCAACAUGUUCAACUAAGAACACAAAUGCAAUUCAAACCAGCAAUCACAUAACUUCACCCAAUAUCCUCUCCAAAUGCUUACUCCUAAUGUCAUUAAGCCUAAGUUUAGGAUCUUUUACCUACAUUUCAUAAUUUUUCACCCCCACCAAAAAUAAUCAACUAAGUAUACUGAAUAUUCAUAAGGAAAUGACGCAUUAUUGAUGCCACAAAUGACGAAUUUCCUACCCUCACAAAAAACAAAUCAAACCCAAUUAAAUCAAUCCAGCAAGAGUGAACUUACCUCUCAAAAUCAAUCGGGAGCUCCGAAGUCAGUAAGCUUGAGAGAAUGUGGUGGACAUUAGAGAAGACUCUUUGGUAUUGGAGACUCCAUCUCUACCAAAAUCGAGGAACGAACUGCUGCUACGGCGUCUAGCUACAGAAAAAGAUAUGCUACUUUACUUUCAUCUGGAAUCUUGUUUGCUGAACGAAAAAGAGAAAGGGUUUUCACUUGAGCCAUAGAAUCAAAACAAGGCAACAUCUAGGUAAGAGCCAUUAAUCGUCAUAUCGAGGAUACCAUAGAUCGCAGGCCUCCCAAGGAGCUGAUGACAAUGGAGCGACUAUAGGGUUUGGGAGCUUUGGAUCCUUCUAAUUGUGGGUUUGCGUUACAUUCAAAAAAAGAGGAGUGUGUUGUUGAGUUUUUCACAUAGAGGGAAAGAGGGAAAGAUCUUCAACUGAAGUUGGGUUUCCAACGGGUCAAAUUUCAACCCGGUUCUACAUGCACCCUCUUUUAAAAACUCACCGUUGGAUUUCAUCCAACGGCUCGUACAUACCCCUCAAAAACACCCCUUAUAACUUUCCACUCACUAUAGAAGCUCUCCCCAGGAAAUGCUUCGAGGUAGAUUUUAUGUUUUGGGCCUUGGGACCCAACUUCACAAAAAGAAAACAAAUUUGACCAAAAAACAAAGUUGAAGGACAUUGAUAUUGUACCUGUAGGAUAGGUUAAAACACUAAAAGGAAGGUAAAUAGUACGUUUACAGAGUUUAAGUGUAAUAAAGGAAUAAAAACAUGCCCAGAGAAUUGAUAAGUGAUAUCAAUUCUUGAAUAUAUAGAACGUAAAAUAAAGGAAUACGUAGAAAAUUAUUUUAUGUGGUAAAACUCAAUCUAUGGGGCCACGGGACUUCUUAGUCCAAAAAAAAUCCAUUGAACGAUGAUUACAAGAAGUACUCACACACUUAUCCUAGACACAUUCUAGAUAAUUUUUACUAACAUCUUUGUAACUCAACUUCUGUCAUAGGAUGAUUUUUUGACACUCCUUAUGUUGAACGCAAUACUGGUCACGAUUUCUUCAAGCUCGCAGGAACUCUCCUUAUAUUGAAUAUGAUACUAGUCACGAUAGAUUCAAGCUCAUCGGAGAAAAACAGCCACAACGGUCUUGGUGCCCUCAAUGGUAUGAGUCACUGAACAUGCAAAUAAAUACAAUAUGAAUGAUAAAAGUGUUUGAUAAAUCACCAAGUUAUGGAACACUUGAUGAUUUAUCUCAAAUAAAAACUCAGCUUUCCAAAGUUUAUGAAUUGAAAAUAUGAUCGUUAAAGCUCUCUAAACAAAGAAGACGAAGAUCUUAUUUUAUAGAAUUUUUCUUUAUAAGAAAGAAAACACAUUGAAAACCAAAUCUCCAAGGCUUGACAGAAAAUCACAAAAGUAUCUUUCCUAUUCUAGAGAUUGGUCACAUGUAGUCCAACCAAUAGGACAUGAGAUAUUUAAGAAAUGAAGAUUUUGAUCAAUAUCAAUAUCAAAUGAAUUCUUAUACGCCUAGUCAACUAUUAAGGGUAUCUUGACUCCUUGAUAUUGUGAUAUGAUUGAAACAUGAUUUCCACGUUAGAAAAUUAAGGGGAUGUUAAAACAUGAAAGUAAUAGGAGAAUCAAAUUGAUUUCGGCCAAAAUUGCCUAAAAAGAAAACACUCCUAAAUAAACUCAAUUCACUUUUAAAAACAGUAAAACGUGAUUGAAUUGUUCUUUAAAACAAUUCCCUAAUAUACAUGCAUGAUAAUGACAUCACUUACCUCUGAAUCAAAUGCCUUUCAUAGGUCAAGCCACAAGUCUGUGUUUUGGGGAUUGCUGAGCUGCAUCAAUCCUGCCAAUGUCAAUGCUGCCCCUAUGCUCUCUCAAAGCACGUUUACAACCUAUGCUAACAUAUACCCUAAACCCUAGUAUCAAGAAAAUGCCAACACUAAUUUCGUAACACGUAGAAAUUGUUAGAGAUUGGAAGUUUUUUUUCUUCAAGUCUCUCCACCACUCACUAAUACAGAUUGCUCAUGUGAUGAGUUUACAAAACCUAUUUCUCUACUCUCACAAAGACUAUACUUCUUCUCAAAAGACUAUAUCACUUUACCUCUAUCUCUGUGAAAUGUAAAAAGUUGAAACUUUAAUGUCAAACCUCGACAAAAGAUGAACUUCCAUAAGUUACGUUGAAUUUGGAUUUGUUGAACUUAAGUGGUUUUACUUUUCUGUCAGUGUUUGAUGACUUAAUUUGGUAUUUACUUCUUCUUUUUUUCCUUGGAAAUGUGUUCCACCAACGUGAGGAAGAAAAAUAUGCACAAAUUAAUAUAUUUAAUAGAAGCCCAAGAUUUCGGAAGCACAUAAUUUCUACAAAAUUCUACAAAGUGUUCUACUUUACAAACUUCAUAUGUCUACCAAUUUUUACUAAAAUUAAUUUAUCUGCAGUGCUCAAAUUCAUCAUAUGUGUGUCCUUAAUUUUAGUGAAAAUUGGAAGUUUCCAUUAUUUUUGUUUUACGGGAAUUUUUUGAACCAAGGAAAAUCAAGUAAAAUUAAUAAAGCAUAAAUUGGAAAGGGAAAAUAUCUAGAGGAUGCAUUGUAGGAUUGCUCAUGCCAAUAAUUGUACCCUCUAAAUAUAUAGGGACAUAUUUUUUUUGCUCAUACCACUUGUUGCAGUACACAUUCACCCGUUUUCAAAGAAAGAAAUUCUACCAAUCGAUAAUGUCUCAAAUUUAAUCACAUAUUUUAUGGACCAUCCAGCUAUGAGGUUUUAUCUCAAAAACCUUCGGUACAUUUCUCCCACAUGCCACAAUUGUAUAUUCACAAUUACGUCUGAUACAUCACAUCAUGCCACUUGCCUCAAAUGAAUUUAAGUGAGUGAGGCAGUUGGAAGUAAUUAAGCUCUAUAUUGGUGGGUGGAGUGUUAGUUCUGGGUACCCCUCAUCAUUCGUCUAUAAAAUGGUGAAGCCAGUUGCUACUGUUACCAUAAGAGCCAGCUCCGACUUUCUUUAAUUUCUUGCUUCAUAUCCACUAGCUACAUCUGUUGCUCUUCUCAGUGUAAGCUCUGCAAUUUGAUUAACUUUCCCAUUAUCUCUCACUGUACUCUAUAUAAAGGAAUAAGUGUCGUCCAUUAAUUCUCUCCGAAAGUGUCGUCCUGAUUUUAAUUAGAGUUCGAAUUAAUGUUGCAGCUAGCAGCGGUUGCACUGGCAAACCAUGCUGCUCAACCGGUACCUCAACUUUACUGGAACUCCGUCCUGCCAAACACACAGAUGCCAAGAUCUAUCAGUGAACUUCUGCAUCCUGGUUUGUGUUUGAGCACUUUAGAAUCUUAGAUAUCUCUUCUACCUGCCAUUUUACUAAAAUAUGUUCAACCACAUAUUUAUCAGUUAACUACUGUCAUUACAUGAGUGACACAUAUUCACAAAUCGGCUGAUCACUUAUUUUCCAUUAUGACGUUGAUAUAUAAUGUUGGGAAUGGAAAGCCAAUUGACCACAAGGGAAAACCUGAAAAUACUGUACUACCACAGCUAGCACGAAGCCCAUUUUCUUACAAGAGUGAUGUGGGGACCAAAUCUCAUGUAUCAUAGCUUAACCCAUAUGCCACAACUAAAAGACGUGGGAUGAUCGAACAGCAUACCCACAUGGUCAUGGAUCUCUUCAGAUAAUCAAUAUUAAACAACCCAUAAACUUCUCCCUUUGAAGAACAAAUUAAAACCAAUUUCUAGAGGAAGGUUACAAAACAUUUUAGCCCGUGAAGAACAAAUCAAGACAAUAUAACCCAUUUGAUAACAAAAUCAAAAUGAGAUUUACCAAUACUAGAUGACCACGGCGCCAGUAUAAUGGUACGACGGCGGCGUUAUUGUAACGGUGGAGAAGUGGAUGGUAUGACGACGGUGUUAGUGUGACGGUGGAGGAAACGAUAUUAUGAAGGAGGCGUUGCUAUGUUCGGUGGAGGAGUCGUGUGUUUCACAGUUCAAUAUAUCCUUUUUAGUCAUUUUAUAUUAGGGUAAAUCAGUAAUUCAAUAAAUAAUUUGAUAGUAUGGUGUACUCAGUUAAUAUUAGGGUUCAUUUAACAGCACUCAAAUUAACUAGUGUAGAGUCUAUCUAUAUUAUUAAUACUAAAAAUAAAUAUAUGACUAAAUAACUCAAAAAAAAAAUAAAUCUACAAUCUUUUUUUUAAAAAAUUUUUUUUAUAGAAUUUUAUUAGAUUAAUAGGCACUACUAAAAAAUCUCCUUAUAAACUACAAAUACACGCAUAACUUAUACUAAUGUGAGCUACUGACACCACCUGCCACAUGACAGUUGUCCAAGCAUAGUGUUGUCAUUCAUUAUUCCCCACAGCAACUAACAUCCAAUAAAGGGUUGGGGCCCACCCAUACUCCACCUCUCUGUAUGUAGCUCUUUGAGAAUACAGAAGAAAUAUUUUUUAGGGAAAUAGCUUAAAAUGAUACCCAUUUCAUAAUUUUAAUUAAAAAUACCACCCCUUUCCAAUUUUUGUACAACUAUCACCUAUAAAUAUAAAAUUAUUGUCCACUUAUUGCUGAUUUUUCACAAGUUCAGAAAUUUUGGAAAGAAGAAGCUCACACAGCUCUCUCUCUCUCUCUCUCUCUCUCUCUCUCUCUCUAGCACAACUCUCUUUCUUUGGUAUCUGUCUAUCACAGCUCUCUGUGUCUCUCUUGGCUCUCUCUAUCUUGGCUCUCUCUCUCUCUAGCACAACUCUCUGUCUCUCUCUUUGCUCUCUUUCUCAUAGCGCAGCUGUUUCUCUCUCUAGCUUCGUUAUGUCUCUUUCUCCCCUAUUCGAUCUCUUGCUUUCUGUUUGGAAUCGCGAACCCCUCCCUUUAGCUAUGUCUUCUGAAUAGCUGCUUGCAACCUUGAAGCUCUAGUGGAUUGCCGACCUCGAAAAGGUAGUGUUGAUGGUUAUUUUCUUAAUAUCAGUGGGAUUAUGUGAAAUGGGUUAUAGUUUGAUUGUUUGGGUUUGUGUUAAAUUCGUUUUGGCUUUAAUUUCUUUGGGUUAGGUUUUGUUGAAUAUUCAUACUCAUUCAUCUGGGUUUGUACCAAUUGCAUUUAGAUUGGUCUGGAUAUGUGAAUCUUGAAACUUGGGAUUUUCUAUUUGAUGUAGUAGAUCUGUAUAGUGUGAUUCUGUUGUGUUCCUCUUAUUUUACAGUCGUAUUGCUGUUAUAUUGUCAUUAUAUUGCUUAUAUAUUGCUGUUAUAUUGUGGUUAUAUUGCUAUUGUAUUGUUUGGUUAUUGUGGUUAUAUUGUGUUAAUGAAAUGUUGUUUUGUCAUGGUCAGAAAUGGAGACAAUUGUUAUUCUCGUGUGCUACAAUGGAAAAUGGGUCACCUCGAAGAAGAUGUGCAAAUACGAAGGGGGUGACUCAAAAGGCUUAAUAGUUCCACGGACCAUCAAAUUUGUUGAACUGUUGGACCGUGUGCAUUAGAUUGGUAAUACAAACAGCAGGGAAGACAAGGUUUGCUUAAAAUUCUCAGUUUUGGUGGCCUCGAAUGAGUGGAAGCACAUAAAUAUUGAGGACGAUGAUGAUAUCAAUUUUUUUAUGAAGUACAAUUCCGAGGUAACACCUUCAAAACUAGCUCCCUUACUCGUGAGUAUAGAAGAUAAAGGAUUGACAAAUGAUGUAGUUCAUAGUAUGCAUAUCACGACAGAUAGUAGUCGGAUGGGUCAUUCUUCAGUUGCCAUUGUUGAAAGCAAUGAAGUAACUUGGAAUAAUACGAAUGUCACUGAUGUGGGAGGUGAAGUAGGGACAGAUUUUGUGGAUAUGAUUGAUUUUAGCGAGGUGUAGGAGAUGCAUGGUGGUGAUAAUAGUACUGAAAGAAAUGAAGUGUCAGUGUACUCUGCCCCUCCUAAUUUGGGCUGCUUCAACAUAGCUGCCCAGUUGCCAAUAAUGCGUUUAGGAGGAGAAUCUGAACCCACUCGUCAACAUUAUUGGAGUCAAAUAGGUGAACAAAAUCGGUACAAUGCAGCCGGUGUAAAUGAUGAAGAAGCAUAUUUGGACAGCGGGUUUUCACGAAGUGAUUGGAAUCCGAAAAUUACAGUUGGGCAAAUUUUCUCUAGUAAGAAAGCAUUGUUGACGGAGUUACGGUUGACGGCAUUAAGAGGCCACUUUGAAUUUAAGGUGCAAUUCUCUUGCACUAAAAGGUUGCUUGUGGUUUGUUGUCAACGUCCAUGCCCAUGGCGGGUCCGAGCAUCGAGAAUUGGAGAAUACAGCUUCAUGAUUGUGAGGUGUACAACUGUCCAUGAAUGUGAUUUGAGGUUCGUAAGUGACAAGCAUCGUCAAGCAACCGCAGCACUUGUAGCCACUUCACUUAAAAGGAAGUGACAUUAUGAGAGAUGUGAAACACAACUUUGGUUGCACCAUCCAUUAUUCGAAAGCUUGGAAAGCAAAGGAGUUAGCUCUAUUGUCCAUUAGAGGAUCAGCGGAGGAGGCAUAUUAUAUCCUUCCAGCUUAUUGCUAUGAAUUGGAGCGUAUGAAUCCCGGCACAAAAACACACAUCCAAACUGAUGAGAACAAUCACUUUGUGUAUUUAUUUAUGGCGGUUGGCGCAUGUAUUAGAGGGUUCCGUUCUUCCAUGCGCCCAGUGAUAGCCGUGGAUGCCACUCAUUUAAAAUCCAAGUACAAGGGUGUUAUGUUUGUAGCAAAUGCAUUCGAUGGUAAUUGAAAUAUAUAUCCUCUUGCUUUUGGGAUCGGGGAUUUGGAGACGGAUGCAUCAUGGCAUUGGUUUUUCACUAAACUUCAUGAAGCCAUUGGUGAGUGUCCCAAUCUUGUUAUUAUUUCUGAUCGCAAUGUUAGCAUAGAGAAUGUGUGGAACAAAAUUUUUCCAACUGCACAACGUGGCAUAUGCUUUUAUCAUAUGAAGGGGAACAUGAAACGCACUUGCUAGUUGAAAAAGCGUGAUCACAUACUUAUGCACUUUGAGCAGGCUGCGAAAUCUUAUUCCAUUGCUGAAUUUGAUUGUCAUUUUUGCAAGAUCAAGCGAAAGGAACAUGUUGCUCAAUAUCUUGAAGAGACAGGGUUACAUAAGUGGUCUAGAGCUCACAUGGAUGGACGCCGCUACAAUGUAAUGACAACAAAUAUUGCAGAGUCAAUCAACUCAGUCCUUAGGUUUGCAAGGAUGCUGCCAGUGGUUCAUUUGAUAGGGGAAAUUGUUAAUCUCCUUGUGAAAUGGUUCACCGAACGUUGUGAGUUGGUUUUGAAUUGCACAACAACAUUGUGCCCCAAUUUUGGAGAGAAGAAGUUGAGGAACAGGUUGGAGGAUGCUGCAAGGAUGAAUGUGGUUAAAGUAAAUAAUGCACAGUUUAAUGUUUUGGACGGUGAUAUGGACGGCCUCGUAGAUUUGGCGAACAGCAGUUGUAGUUGUAGAAAGUUUCAGCUUGAGCAGCUACCUUGCAAGCAUGUAGUUGCAGUUUGCCGCUUCUUGAAAGUAAAUGUAUACGCAAAGGCUUCUCGGUAUUACACUCAGAAAACCUGGAUGAUGCUUAUUCGGAUAGCAUCUACCCGGCACAACCUCACGGAAUGUGGGAUAUUCCUGAAGAUGUUCGAAGUCGAGUUGUGCUGCCUCCCAUGGCAAGGGUCAUGCCAGGCAGACGAAAGAAGAUCAGAAUUCCCUCGCAAGGAGAGGGCACCAUUAGAAGAAAGUGCUCAAGGUGCGGUUCCGCAGGCCACAAUAAAAGCACAUGUAAAAACAAUAUUCCAUUGCGCAAUGUAUCUUAGACAAUAUGAUUUGUGUUGCUUUGGUAGGUCAUGUAAACUCUACUUUUAUUUGUGGUGGGUUUCGUGUUAUGUUGAAUGGGAAUUCUUUUAAAUUUGCAUAAUUUGGGUUGCAUUGCUACAGCAUGCUGUAUUGCUGACAGAUUGCUAUUAUAUUGGACUUUUAUUGUACUGGUAUUGCUUCCAGAUUGCUAUUAUAAUUUGAGUGCGAAAUUAAAGGGACUGGAAUGUAAUUCCAAAUGGAUCCAAAUCAUUAAAGUUCUUAGAAUUCCUAUAUUACACAGUUACUGUGAUACUCCGACUAUACCUUCUUUUAUGAUUACAAAUUCGGCCAAUGCAUAGGCCAGAUGUGGGGCAAAUACAAGGUGAAAUGUCCUAUGUGUUUGACUACAUAUACUUGUUGAAGGAGCAUUACGAAUGCUAACCUCAAUAGAUUGCUCAUGUCUUGCCAAGAACACUCUUGAAUUUAUGCAAUGUGCCCAAGCCAGUCCCAAAGCUGGACUCACCCGUCUGCCUGAUGUGUCCAGGGACUCCAAGUUUCCCAACCUCACCUCAUUCACUUUAUCAUGUGGCCCAAUAAAAUCCACCACUUGGUUGGUGACAACCACCGCCAACCCAAACUUAUUUGCUAAACCCUUCAAUGUCCCAGAUAUGUUGAAAAAUAUUUCAAACCGCCAUUUCAAAUCUGCUGGUGUUGUCUGAUACUGUGAUCGGAACAAUGCAGCAAUGGAAUCAAUGACAAUGAGUUUCACAGGUAGGUGGGUGUGAUCAAUGGCAAUAAAUGCUUCUAUGUCUCCAAGGACAUGGAUGAGUUGUUGAGCAUCAUGAACACCAUGAACAUAUAUGUCUUCCAAUGGCUCCAACCUUAUUAAGUUGGGGUAUGAUGCAUGAUAAAGGUUGCCUAGUUGUUGCAAUCGACGAAAUGGGAAGCUGAAUUCUGUGAAUAUGUAGACGGUGGAGCCCUCUAGUCCGCCAUGUGAGGGUGGGAGCUGAGCUGGUACCGUAAGUUGGAGACAAAGUUGCGUCUUCCCAGAACCACUCUCCCCUACCAAUUCUGUUAUAGAGUUGCAGGGUAUCCCACCCCCCAAGCAGUCAUCUAGUAUUGGGCAUCCAAUGGAUAAUUGAGGGGUUGAAAGAGGAAGGAGCAUGAGGUUUUAGGGUGUCAUAUUUGUGUAAUUUAGGGGGGGAUGUGAUGGUGCUACAAGGCAUGCAUUAUAUAUAUAUAUAUAUGUAGAGUUCAUUUUGAAGGUCUGUAUUGUAGGCCAUAUGUCUUUUAAGGGAUGUAUAAUCCAUCCUUUUUUCAGGUUGUAAUUAAUUUUUUGUUUAUUUAUUAGUAUUUUUUUGGACCAAAUAAUUUAAAAAACAUUAUGAUGCAGUACGUACUGUAAUAGGAUCAUAUUGUAACUCUAUCAUCACUCUAUUGUACUCUUAUUGACAUAAUAUUGCCGUUAUAUGCAUGUUUAUUAUAUAGUUAUUACUGCUAUAUCGCCACUGAACUGGACACCGAUAAACUGUAUACGCACAAAUACAAAAAGAGGCUUCAUCAUUCCAUAAAAUCCUAUUUCCAAACUUACAUAAUACAACAACAGGCCACCCCAUCGUUACAUAAUACAAAAAUACGCCACCUCAUAGUUCCAUUUCCCUACUGUUGACAAAUUCGAAGUUGCAUACUCUUCAAGUGCGGUGACCGCGACGCAUGAAAUUCAUGACCCCGGCCACAGUGAUGUUGGCCUAGUUUCCUGCCGGAUCCACUAUUUUUGCAAACUUACGAAAUAGUUCGAAUCCGCUUUCCACUUCUUCUUGCUUCAACUUGGCCGUUGCUUCUGAUUCCUUGAAUACCAUAAUUGCAGUGGUAGGGGCAAUUUCAAUUUUUGCUUUCAUUGUCUUUAUAUGUAGGAGAUGCAUGCGCGCAUGAUAACGAGAGCGAAUUGUGCGGUUUUUUAUGACACCCCAUCUAGUUUGGCCCUCCACAAUUUUGAAACUAUGUCUGCAUGAAGAUUUUUCCAAAACAUGGUAUUGCCUCGACAUUGCUGCAUGCCAUGGACCAAGUCUGCAGGGAGUGAAUUGGGUGACUUGGCUUGUGUUUCAGUCUUCUCUCCUUCAGUAAUUGAAAGUGUUGGGUGUGGUGUGAGGUUAUGGUCCAUGGUCUUCGAUAUUUAUUGUAGCCUAGUGUACAACUUAAUUGGAAAAAAAGGGGACUAAAUGCGAUGGGAGUGAAAUCAGUGGGGAAGGUAGUGGCUGUAAGCAGGAGUUAAUGUGAUGGAAGUUUUCAUUUCAAACAACUGGGUUGAUUAAUAUAGGCAAGUUUUAAUGACCUGGAGUAACUCAGAGAGUUAUUGGUGGGAGGGAUUAGAGGGAGUAAUUGGCGGGAGGGAUUGGCGGGAGUCUUAGGCGGGAUAGUAUUGGGCGGGAGUUAUUACCCAGUUGACUGUAUGCCUUUUUGUAAUAUAUUUGUAUGUUGGACGUUCCAAACUUGGUAAUUUUCCCAUUAUGUAAUUCAAAUAAGGGAUUUGCCUAUUUGCCUAAUUGACCAACUCAUUCAAAUUGACCAAUAUGGUUAUUGUCUUAUUUCUCAUUUCAGCAAUCUCAAUUCGUUUCCAUUUUUCCAUUCUUCAUAUUUUCCUAUUUUCCAUGUGUCAUCCAAUUUUCCAAUUUUCCAAUUUUUCAUUAUUUUUGCCUAUUUUUUCCUAUUCCCUAUUUUCCUAUUGUGCAAUUUCCCAAGUUUCCUUUUGUUGUAUUUCUAGUUUUCCAAUUUUUCAAUGUUCCCAUUUUCCCAUUAUGUAAUUUAAAAAAAGUUGCCUGCUUUGCCUAAUUCAGAAAGUAAUUAAAAUGGUCCAAUAUGGUAAUUGUCUUAUUUUCCAUUUCCACAAUUUCAAUUCGUUUCCAAUUUUCUUAUUUUCCAUGUGUCCCUAUUUCCUAUUUCCAUUUUUCAAAUUUUAAGUUUUUGUCCAAUUAUCCAAUUAUCUUUUUUCCAAUUGGACUAUUUUCUAAGUUUCCUUUUUUUCCUAUUUCCAAUUUUCCAAUUUUUCAAUUUGCUAACUUUCCUUUUGUUCUAUUUCCAAUUUUGCUAUUUUCCAAGUUGCCUUAUUUCCUAUUUUUCAAUUAUCCAGUUAUCCAAUAUUCCAAUUUUCCAAUUAUCCAAUUUUCAAUUUUCCAAUUUGCGAAUUUGCCUAUUUUCCAAGUGUCCUUUUUUCCUAUUUCCUAUUUCAAAUUUUCCAAUUUUCAUGUUUUCAGAGUUUCCUUUUUUUUUCCUAUUUUCCAAGUUUCCUUUUGUCCAAUUUCAAAUUUUCCAAUUUUCCAAGUUGCUUUAUUUUCCAAUUACCCAAAUUUCCUAUUUUCCAAGUGUCCUUUUUUCCUUUUUCCAAUUUUCCAAUUUUCCAAGUGUCAUGUAAUCCUAUUGCCUAGUUUCCUCUUUCCAAUUUUUCCUUUUUUCCUAUUUCCAAUUUUCAAUUUUCCAAAUUUCCCAAAUUUCCAACUUUCCAUUUUUUCGUAUUUCCGAUUUGCCAAUUUUCCUUUUGUUCUAUUUCCAAUUUUCCAAGUUUCCUUAUUUCCCAUUCUCCAAGUUUUCACUUUUCCUAUUUUUCAAUUUCGCUAUUUUCCAAUUUUCUGUUCUGAAAUUCGCAAUAAAUGCUUAGUUACACAGUCCUAUUUUGGGUUGAAAUCCACAAUUUUCAAUUUCCCAUUAAGGUUUGCUUUUUUGUCGUUUGGAAGCCAAUUUUAUUGUUGUUAAUGUAAUGUUGUACUGUUGUAAAUUACAGCCAAUGAGUUAAUGAUGUAGUUUGCAAUCCCAUCAAUUGAAUGCACCAACUAAAUACCCAAUAUACUUCAUAUAAGUUCGUACAUAUAACUCAACCUUCCUAUACAGAACUGCAACAGAGGCACCUUCUUAACGGGAAAGGUAAUUAGUCUUACUAAAACGCAAAUAUUCUCCACUACAGCUAACCAAUUGUCGUUUACAACUGGAGACUGAAUCUACCUUUAUUUGUUUUGUUGCAGGCAACAGCUGUGAAUUGUCCCCGGCAAUACUUAAAGAUGUCGGAUGUACGCCCUCCAAAUGAGCAUGUCACAGUUACCCGGGGGACCAGCCGUGGCAUGUGCCAUUCCCAUCUCCACCUCGGACUCCCAAUCAUGAUCCCACUUCAUCUGGAAGUGAGGCUGAGAGCAAUGAUCCGCUUGACAAAAUCUCUGCCGUCAAGCACCACCUCCAAUAUAUGUCAAAGGCAACGGAUUGGUGGGAGAGUAAGUGCGAUAUUCAUGGCCAAGUUAUGGGAAACUUGGCCAACAAGUUGAACAAAGCAUACGCUGGAGAGGUGAAGCAAACUCUAAAAGCAAAAAGUCGGAGCAAAGAGUUAGAGUCCUUGAAGUUGAAAUUGGAAGAGAGAAAGAAAAAUGCUGUCGAAAAAUUCACACAAUCUGAAGAAUAUAACCAUGAAAUGGUUGAAUGUUUCAACAACGGCUUUGAAAUGUUCCGAGAUUAUGCUUCGGUCAUCUCACCAGACUACAAUUGGAGUGAAAUUGAUGUAGCUGGUGUUUGGCAGGUGCUGAAUAUGGGUGCUGAGGGAAUGGCUCAUCAUAGCCUCGUGCAUGCAGCAAGGAGAAAGGACAAAGACUUGGAUCUUUUGAUGGACCUGUAGUAACAGUGAGUGCUGCUUCAGUUCAACUCACCUGAGUACAUGGAUCUUUUGUUGCCUUCAUUUUCCCUUCGCAGGCUAGUAUUGUUAAGGUUCGGUGGCGAUUUCUUUUGCAUGUGUAAAAUGUUGUCUGUAAUGUGUAUGUAUUGUAUGUAGAUUGACUUAAUAUUGUAGUUCUAUUGUAUGUAUAUUGCCUUAAUAUUGCCUUUGUAUAGCAUAGAUAGUGUAUGCAUAUUGCCACCGUAUUGGAUGUAUAUUGUAAAACUAUUGGUAUCGUAUUGCCCUUAUAUUGCUCUAAUAUUGCCUCUAUAGUGCACCUAUAUUGACCUAAUAUUGCUCUUAUAUCGUAUGUCAAUGGCAUGUGCUCUAAUAAGUCUCCAGUUCGUUGAAAGUAAUCCUGAAUUCAAAUAUGAUGGACAAGACAAUUGUUAUCCAUCCUUAUAUUACCAUGAAUUGAUUUGGACCUUUCAAAUGAUAGUUGGAGUUGCACAUGGAUUCAUAUUCAAAAGGAAAGUAAUUCUCUCCCUCAAUGAAUUGUCGUUCAAAAGAAGGCAGCUAUCAAAUUUUGGGUACAAAAAGGCAACAUCCACGGUAAAUUAAUUGGGCACAAACCACAUAUUACAAAACCAGGAUGAUUUUUGGCAUGCUUCAAAAGAGAAGGGCCAAAUACAACAGAAAAGAAAAUCCAUUCAAGCUUGUACAAUAGAAUGCACAAUAACCCUUUUACAUGUCCUUCCAACACCAGUGUUUUGCCUACUUUAGAGUCGCAGGAGGAGAGCUUAUUGCCAUUGUGCAAUUCGAGGGGGCAGUCAAUUUGGAAUGGUGGCAUAAACAUGUUUACUCCACGGAUCACCUAUAUGGGACAGAGCUUCCUUCUUCCCUUGUCGUCUGUAGGUUUCAACUUCACACUUUUUAUAUACAUGUAUGAGAACUUGUGGCUAUUUAUUUAUGGCCUUCUAACACUUGUUCUGCCAUUCCAAAGUGGGUUGGAGACUUUUUGAGUUGAAUGACUGGAAAGACUUCAGAUGACAGAAACUAGAGAGUUUGAAGAAAAAGGGUUACCAAGAACAGCAGUCAUGCCCACGACAUAAACUAAACAUGCUAUAAGCUCCACAGUAAUAUUUACUUCAUCUCCAUAAUCAGAAUAUUGGGAAAAAAAUACCACGGAGAAAUACGUGAAAUGAAAAACAACUCGGCAGUUACUGUGAGAUUGUGUACAUAAAACUUGGAACAACCAAACCAAUUAAAGCUAAGCCAUCUCAUACGUAUACCUACAUCAAAUAACAGUGUAUGGUCAUCUUGUUUAGAAUAUUGCAAUCAACACUUGGUUGAGACCGACCUGCAAAAACAACUGGGUUAAGUACAGAUGAAGCCAUUUAUGAAGGGCAGUUCCAGAAUUAAGACCUACGUUAAUUUGUAACUGCCACCGAAUCAGUUCAUAGUGCCAAAUGCAUCUACCAAGCACACAGAUAUGACCAGCCAAAAGAAAAAAAAGCAAAGUAAAAAAGAUAAAAGAGGCAUGCCAUAAAUGGGAACCUCAGCAGAAAUCAUCAGAUAUGCAUACAAGCAGAUUGAGUAACAUCUCACUAAGUAGAGGUCAUGUUGGUAAUCGCAUGUUGUGUUUGCACACAGACAUUUGGUUUUUGCAAACACAACAUGCAAUUGCAUUCCAUGAUGUGUGUGUUGUGUUUGCACACAGACAUUUGGUUUUUGCAAACACAACAUGCAAUUGCAUGAUGUGUGUGUUGUGUUUGCACACAGACAUAUGGUUUUUGCAAACACAACAUGCAAUUGCAUAUUGUGUGUGUUGUGUUUGCACACAGACAUAUGGUUUUUGCAAACACAACAUGCAAUUGCAUAUUGUGUGUGUUGUGUUUGCACACAGACAUUUGGUUUUUACACACACGAUAUGUAACAUUUAGUUUUACCCUUUUAUUCUUAUUUUCUUCGUUCAAACAUGGUGGUGAGAAAAGCACCAAACCAUCCCAUCAUAUAAAGCAAAACUCAUACAAUAUUUUAGAUGCAAAAGUUAUAUAUUUUAUAUAAAUGCAUCAUCCGCAUGGCUUGAAAUUACAAAUUCACGUUCACAUAUUACUUUUCACAAGCGCACAGACUAACAAUAAUAAUAAUCAACCAAGUAGUUGCGACAUUCAUCCUAUUACGUCCAUAUUGAUAAUGUCAGAAGUUUCAUCGAUAAGCCUCAUCAAACUACAAGUUUUUUAAUUUGAAUUAUGAAUUCAGAACUAAAAGCUCAUGAUAUGCAGAAAAUGACAUACAUUGUCCACAAUCGACUUUUCGAUAUAUUUCUGCUCUAGCAAUUUAUCGUCCAAAUUCUGGACUCUCUGUGUCAGGUGCUUCUUUGUGUUCUAUCCAGCAUAAGAAUAUUUAAUAGUGUGAUUUCAAUUGUUUAUACAAAUUCUAUAAGUAAUAUUGAUGAGUGCUGUAAAUCUAUUUGAUAUUGGGAACAAACAUGGUCCCACUAACAGAAACUCAAACAAAACAGGAAUUUUUUUUUAUUUUUUUUGGCAUAGACAGCCGAAAAGAAACUUACAGCAAUAGCCUCUGUCACGCUCUCCAGACGUUUAUGCAAUUUUGAAACAGCAGCAUUCAUACUACGCUUUGUCACAUACAGAAGAUCUGAGAAUUUUAGACCCUAACCAUUUGUGAAGAGCAAAUAUUAGAUUUGCUUAAAGAAGACAACAACUCACAGAACCAAUGGAUGAAAUAAUAUGAACAUAAAUAUAUCAUUUGGAUACCUUCCACCACAUGUAACCAUAACCCAAUGCCCCCAAGGUAGCUGUUGGCAUUAUUAGUGAUGUCAAACCUAUUAAAAAAAUCAAAAAAAAAAAUAUAACCAAGUAUAAAAUGUUUCUAUUGCAUUAUGAAAUACAUACGUGUAAGGAAUUAAUCGUUUUACAACUUAACCAAAAAGUCAAGGCAGGAGCAUGCAUUCAUUGAGUGGUUAUAAGCAAGAGGAAAAAGCACAAAGCAUGCUAAGAAUUCAUUUGAACACAGAAGAGAAAGUAAGCUACCUUGGAAUUUGGCUGUCAUUCCCCUUCAGGACGGCUCUCUGUAGUGACGAGUCUAGUUGUCGGACCUCAGCUGCCAGUCGGCGCACCUAAAACAAAGUAACACAGGAAAAUUGAUAUCCAUUACAAAAAACAAAAAUUGAACACGAGAAAGCAUCCUUCGACACUAAAUUUAUAGCAGUUUUUCCAAUACCUGUGAUGCGAUCGCAUAAAAGUCACCUUCUGAUUGUUCUCCGGUUCCAUUGAACAAAGGCUGCAAACAAAACAGAAAUAGACACAAAUCCAUCAAUUUUUUGAGCAACAAGACACAAGCUCCGAAAUAAAUAAACUAUCUAACUGAUCAAAACCCUAGUUUACCAAAUGCAUUACAAAAUUAAAAACUCAUACAAAAAUAACACCAAAUACAAAUGUUCUGCGAGUUCCACUAGCAAAGCAGAGUACAAAUCAUGAAAAUGGUACCUGAAGUUCACCGAUCAAUUCAGAUAAUUGACCAUUCUUACGCAGGAUGGUGCUCGUAUACCCUGUAGAAAGAGAACAAUCACUCAGAUCAAAUGUAGCUAAAUACACAAGGAAACUAAUCCAGUAUGCAAGAUGAAAGAGGAGUGAUUGGUACCUACUCCAGCGAAGAUCAGCAAACACAGUAUGAGGUUCCAAAUUCAAAUAACAACAUAAUGCUAAGCAGAGAAGUAGAAUUGCUGCCGAAAUUAUUUAAAACGAACUAAGUCAAAACUAAAUGGAGAAAUGUUAACAAAGUUGUAUGCUUCAGUAAGUCCAGUAACAGAUUCCCAAAACCACAGAGACAAAAUGUGAACAAUGGCUACAAAAGCAUCCAUAAAGAGCAACUAUGUUUAUAUAUGGAGGUGUACAAAAUAGUUAACCUUCAAAAUCGAAACAGUGUGUGUGCCAUGUAAGGCAAUUAGCCACUGCUUCUAGACUAUACAAUAUUACACCUCACAAUAAUAACUAAACCAACUAGCUCUAGCAAAAAGGCAGGAUGACCAUAUAAAGUACCCCCAGCAAAGCAUCUACGUCUGCAUCUUCAUAUCAAGGAGUUCCUGACAUAAGUAAUGAGCAAAGUGAAUUCCCAAGUCAUAAGUCCAGAAUGAGGUGAAUUCACGGACAUUAAAACAUUUACCUCAUAAAUAUGCCUCCCCCCUUAAACCCUCAAUUGCAAGCCUCAGCCGGUAAUAUUUGAUCUUCAAAGGGUCAACUUUAUCUACCGAAAUCCCAGCACUGAGAUGCUCGAUGAAUUUGACGGUCAUGAUUCCGCAAGACGUACUGUGAGACCAAUAAGUUGGGAAAUUAGAACUGCAGUUAUGUAAGAUUUGGAUAAACUGCACUAAAUUCACAAAGCUUACCCAUCUCGUUGUUGUGGCACAUCUGCAAUGCUGCAAACUGAGAAUGGCGUAAACGUCAACAUCUUCAGCCCCUUUUGCUUAACCUUUUCAACCUCAGAAUCUUCAUAAAAGUGCAUAUCGUACAGCACUCGUGCCAGCGUAUCGCUAAUAGGGUGCAGAAGUGUAACCAGCUUCGAACAUUUGGUAAAAGCAACAUAUGAGUCAUACACAGUUGCAGUAUGUCAGACGAAAUCAAUUUCGAUUGCAACCCAGUAAGACCCUUUAAGAUUAUAUGGAAUAUAGACCUUCCGGACUUUUGUCCAAGCUUGGCCAUACCCGUGUUGCCACGUACCGCGUACAAAGUAAUGUAUAUUCUGCAGCUUGCUGGGUGGAAGGUCAACGGUGUUUGAAGCAACUGCCUUCUUCGAUCCACGUUUCUUGGCAGUCGGUUUGAACGGAUCUAGAAAUUGCUGCAUAAAUUGAAAUGAAGGCAUAUUAGAAAAUCACAACCGAAAGCAAAUGAAGCAGCGAAUGUAACAUGGUAACAUGUUUACCUGCAAGCAACAAUCUGCUGUUGUCCAGUCAGUUCCAAAUACCAACGGAUGAGAGAGUUGCCUUUUCCAGAUAAGAAAGGUUGCCAUGUCCAGGUGCUGAAAGUUGACACACAUAAUAUCAGCACAAUUUCAUACAACUGUACACUUAAAAAAGGUGAGAAAACAAUUUAAUUAUCGCAAUAAAGUAGAGCUUUGUGUAUUCUUACCCUUGAGCUAAUCCAUUCCGUUUCAUCGAUAAGUCUGUAGAAAAAAUCAGCGCCCACUGAAAAUAAUUCCAGCUGCACCUCCGCACUACAAAAGGCAAACUUGCAAUGGUUACUUUUAUAGUCAUCUCAUAAUUCUGACUUUGUUGAUGACAAAAAUACACAUGUAUAUUAAAGCAAACUCUACGUUUUCUCAUUAGUCUAUGACUACAUACUAGAAUAGGAUGAAGAUUGGAAUUCAAAGGUAAAGAAUCCUAACCUGAUAUCGUUUUUCCAGGCAGUACAAAACUCUAUUACUGCCUUCACAUCUUCAAUGGGCACGGAUUUUGAUGGAUCAAAACAUGGCGGGGUUGCAGUCGCAGCCAACACACUCAUCGUCCUCUUCUUCCUCAAAGGAUCAGUAAAUGGGCUCAACAAUGUCUGCGCCGGGCGCUUCUGUCUGCACCCUUUACCUUCCACUUCUUUUUUUUCCACACUCGAACUACCUUCUUCAUCACCAGCCAUACUAACUGUGGGUAGACUUGGAGGAUUCAUCGGACCUCCCGAUGGCAUACUCUUAGUCACUUUCCAAUCUUCUAACAGAGACAACACUUUUUGGCAGAUUUCGUCACACCCGGCCACAUCUUCCGGGGUAGGCAGCUUCUCGGAUUGUGCCUGCUCAGCUGCUUCAUGCACUUGUAAGUGAGGAACUGAAGCGGCCAUUUCUGCCUCUUCGACUACCAUGGCUGCGGAAGGUUCGGCUCCAUCACCGGGAACUUGUGUUUCCAUUACCGCCGGUUCUGUAGGCGGACUAACAUGGUCAUGUAAUGGCGACAAGUGAUUGUCGCCUCCUUCAUUCAUAUGAGGACUACUGAGGUCCUCAUGUCCUUUCCCACCUUCAUUCACCCCACCAUUUCGUUUUUUCAGCUGCUCUAUCUCCACAUUAAAAUAAUGCUCCAUUAAAGCCAGGGUGUUGCGGAAAUCCUCCACACACUUUUUAUUUUUUUCGAACUCUCUUUCAACUUUCAAUGACUCCUUCCGUACCAUGUCUUCCAACUGAUGCACUCUGUUGCGAAGCGCUCGAUUUGAUAUGGCAACUUUGGCCAAUUCAUCCUUUGUCCUUUGAAAGUCACGCUUCAAAGUGCGUAACUCUCUGGACGCGACUGUACCCUGCAUUCAGUUAUAAUGCAAGUGUUACAAUAUUUUCAAAAUAUAUUGCAACAAUACAGCAGUUAUUUUCCUAUUGUAUUAUGACGUAUAUCUUGGAAAAAAAUGUAAUGCUUGCCUUAGAAGACGACGGAAGGCUAGCAGUUUCGUCAAUGUCCUUAUCUUUUUCUUCUACAGAGGCAGAAGUGCUGGUUUUUUGUUCAGCGUCAUCGCCAAACAACUGAACAAGUUCUUCAGUGUCGUCAACACUGUCACCCCAAGUCCAAUACGGCUGCUGCUUGUCGAUUACAGAUGGCCGGAGAAGUUGCACAUCAACCUGCAAUUUACACAUACAAUAUACAUAUCAGUAAACUUAUUAUAUUAUAUUUUCAUAUGCCUAACAUUAUCAUUAAAAACUUAACUAACCUCACGGUUCUCGAAUACUUGGCUCAUUAGCUCAUAAAAACACGGCGAACUAUUGCUCCUCCAAUGUAGUAAACGAGGGAUGUAGGCAUUAUCUUCGUGCACCACCAAAUGUAGUGCAGCCAACGCUGGAAAAACCUCAUAAGCCCAAAUCUGGUUUGAGGAAUAAAACGUGAGUCACUGUAAACAAAUGAAAUUUAACUUCAACAUGAAUGGAAAUUUGCUCACCUGAAGUGCAUAGGCAAAACCUUUGAGGUGGUACUCUCUUGGUCUACCAGUUGCCGUUGUUUUUGCUUUCUUUUCAGAUUUUUUUGUUUUUGCAGCUUUUUUGGGCACUUUCACUCGCUGGUAAUCUGUACAAAGUGCCCUCAGAAGUGACACAAUUGUCUUGGCAUAACACACAGCACCCCAUGGAUACUUCCCAAACUCUUCAAGGUCUUCCACCAACUUCAAAUAUCGCAUGUCAAUCUGGACAUGUUUUUCACUGCCCAACAGCACAAACACAGCAAAGUAUACAAAUCUGAGCUUCAAUACAUCGUCCGCAUCAACGCAUUUGAGGAAGGCCUUUUCUAAUUCCAAAACAUUGACAGUUUUAUAGUUGCCAAAGUACUUCCUUUUCAAUGAGCAGUUCUCAUUAGUGGGAAUCGGAAUAAAGGGAAGGUUUCCAAACCUUAGCCCUGUCACGAUGCAAAAUUGCUGCGCCGUGAAUUGGAUCACCUUAUUGCCAACGAUGAAUUUGAUCCCGUUGAGUUGGGAAACUGUCUUUGGAUCAGCUUUCCUCAGCAGCAAGCCGUGGACAAUUGGCGAAGUCCACUUGAGGUCCUCAAUCAGUAGGAGAUGCCCAAAACAACUCUCUUCAAACCUUUGUAGCUGUUGUUCACUGAAUUUCUCCUUUAUCGUGCUGAUUGCAGUCUUCGUAUGGGAUAGGGACAAUGCUUUUCCUUGGAACUUUUCUUCCUCUGCAAUCAUCAACUUCAUUUGAGCAACCAUCUUUCCCUGCAUGCCAAUAUUAUAAAAAAAAAUUCAGUCCGUUGCAAUCUAGACAAUAACAAGCAAUAAACAAUCAGCACUUAUCUACAGCCUAUUAUAGGAUAUUAAGUGAAAACAAAAAAACAAAAAAUACAGGGCAUAAACAAAACCCCAGCUAUUUACAACUGACCUACUAAUUCAAUAGCUCAAAGCCACAUCCCAAGACACCCAGUACUCUACCACUCUUGCAUAAUAUAAUAUCUAAAGACACAUCUCAACACACCAGAUAAUCAUGACACAGCUUCAGCUAGAAUGGGAAUGUGCGGUAGCACAAGCCUAAUUGAGAACAAUUCAAGACUAACGAUAGAAAUCUAUCUGACUAGAAAGAGUUUUAAAAAAACAAGAAGACAUCGGGAAAGAAUUGAUUGACUUCAAGGUAUAAUGUAAUGGAACAUCCUAUGAAUUAGUGGCAACCAUAAUAAUGACUCCACUAUGGCCCUCCUUUCAAAUGUAAGAAAAUGAAUGAAAUUGGCACCAUCCCUUCAGUUUUUUCUUAACAAAAUAAGAGAUUUGUAUGUAUUCUCUGCUUUAUCGAUAUCAAAGAUAAAUUAAUAAAUAAACCAUCAAAACUGUAUAAAAUGUUUGUUAGACAUGUACAAUUACAAAAUUAUAAGUUCUCCUCAGAAACAAAGUUCUCUAAGUACGCAAACAAGAAAAGCAAAAGCUUAAAGAGUUAGCUUAUAGCAAAAUCAAUGUCCCCAUUUCUCUAAACCACACCUGCUGGUGGUAGGUUCCCAUCUUCACUCAUUUCCCGCUUUCUUUUAAACAGACAAUGAUCAAGCACAAAAGAGCAAACUUUUAAAUAACUCAUAUUACACCACAAAUAGUUCUAAAGAAAACUUAUUCAUAUCCAAUAUGCAACCCCUAAAGUUAGUAAACAGAGUUAUAAAAAAAUAUGUCAAAUUAACAAGCAUUAUUCUCAAACAAAAAGUAUGAUAUGGUUGGGAGUUUACAAGUUCAAAAUGAUAUACACAGGUUAAUUGUCUUAGACUUUAGAUAUCAUCUUCAACAAAGAAAAUAGAUACCGAUUAGACUUGUAAGAAGGUUAAAUGCAAUGGUCAUAAAGACCCAUAGUAAGCCACCAAAUACCAAUCAAUAACUGCUAUAAAAACCAUAAUAAAACCAUAAUAAACUAAAAAUACAACAGCACUAAAAUGCCAACACAACAUCACUACAUUAGCAAUAUAGUAGCAACAAAACCACAAUACGACAUCAAUAGCAACAGCAAAACAACAGCAGUGCAAGCAUCAGUCCACAAAGAACAAACCCAUUCACUGUUUCAAACAAGGAAUCAUCAUACUAAGAUCAUUUCAGAGAAACCCCAAAACCAAUUUCAGUGAAACCCCUAAACCAAUUUCAGAGAAACCCCUAAACCAAUUUCAGAGAAACCCCUAAACCUUCAACCAAUUUCGAACAAAUCCCUGAACCAAUUUCAUAGAAAUGCAUAAACCCUAAACCAACUUCAAAGAAACCCUAAACUGUAAGAAAAUGACGAUGAACAGUACCUGUUCAAGGUGAACGAUGGAGUUGAGCUUCGAUGAACAAAUUUCGCUCGGAGAGGAAGAGAGAAGAGAGAGUCAGAGCUGAGCGACGAGAGAUUAAGGGCUGAGCGACGAGAGAGUGAGAGCUGAUCGACGAGAGAUGAGAGAGUGAGAGCAAAGUGACGACAGAGUGAAGAGAAAUUGAGAGAAGGAGCCAAGAGAGAGAGCUGAGAGAGAACUUCAGCAAAACUGAUAGAGAACUUCAGCAAAAGUGAUAUGUGUACAAUAAGGGGACAAUAAAUAUAUAUUUAUAGGUUAUAGUUCCAAAUUUUUUUAAAAAGAGUGGUAUUUUCAGUUACAAUUAUAAAAAUGGUGGCAUUUUGAGCUAUUUCCUUAUUUUUUAUUCAACAUGGACGCAGAAACUGUUGCUAAACUGCAAACUUCUUAAAAUAUUUGUCUCACUUUCUCAACCCUAUAUUUGUCUAACUUUCUAGAUCCAUGUACUGAGAUUUAUUAGGGAAAUAUUGUAGAAACUGAUUAUUUUGAAAUAUUAAAUGUGAAAAACUGAACAAAAAUUUGAUGGGUUACAUAUUUCAACUCAUUUCAGCAGCUUAGAUUUUGAAGACCUCGGAAGAGGCCAUGCAGUGAGCCUAGCUAGUGCACUGUUGAUCACUUCAGUGUCUACCGAUCUGUAAUUUUUCCAGAUUGGUUAUAUUUUCCUUUACAUAUUCUUAUAUUAUUCCCAGCUGUAAGUGUUUUACACACUUGUCUAUUAGAAAAGGGGAGACUUAUAAAUAAAUCCAAAAUGGGUACAGUAUUUAUAAAGAAUGACAAAAUUAAAGUGUUUGGGCAAUAAUGCCCUUAUUCAUUUUGAGAUUGCCUAAGGAAUAUUUUUUCUGAUUUUCAGAAGAUGCCAAAGGACCGUUGUUUGAUGAUUGCCGUAAGGAGCUAAGAAAACUUGCUUUGAUAGUUUUGGACAGAUGCAUGCUACUGUUGCUGGGAUGAUCUCUUCACGUGAAAUGAGGAUGAUGAUGCUUCUACACUACACAAUCCAACGAAUUCACAUGUCUAUUUCAGAUACAAGUAUAAACUAACAAGGCUUUAAAAUAUGGGCUGAUGCACUGUUGUUGAUGUUGCUGACACUGUUACUGUGUUGUUGAUACUGUCACUGCGUUGCUGUUGGAAAAAGCACAAGGACUUCACAUGUUGCUUUCGUCUUUUGUGGAGGAGAGAGACCUAGGACUUGCAUGUCUUAGAUAUUUAAGAUAAGGGGCUUUCGUUCCAUUUUGAAAAUACUUUGGGUGUUUUUGAAAGGUGAUUGUUUCUUUUGGGUUUCUCACUAAAUUUCGCUUUAGAAGGGAAAAUAAUAAUAAUAAUGUCAAACAAAGUAGGGUAAAUAUUCAGAUAUGCUCAUAUUAUUAUUCUUCUCCAAUAUUGAGGUAUUUAUACAAGUACAAAGAUGUGUUAACCCUAAAUAAAAUAGGAAAUAUAUCUAAAUUAUAAUAGGCAGUAAAUCUCUAUUACAAUAGGACUAAAUAAUAAUUGGUAAGUAACCAAAAUUCUAAUGAAAUAAGGAAUCAAAAUCCUAACUAAGUAAGGACUCGCCAACACUCCCCCUCAAGUUAGGGCAAACAUAUUUCGCAUGCCUAACUUGACAAGCGAGUCAUAGAACACCAUACUUGAGAAGCACCAAUUGUAGAGAAGGUCUUUUCGUCAACCACGAGUGAAACAAGUGACAAACUAAAGCAAAGUUCGCAGCGGAAACACAAGAGCGAAUCCUAAAAAAUAGGGCACAUAGCAGAACACAAAAAUCCUGGAGCACGACAGUAGAUAAGGCAGAACACAGAAACCCUGUUAGCACGGCAAUAGGUAAGGCAGAAAAAGUCAAGAGCAAAGGCAAGGUCAACAGGCGUGACCACAACGAAAACACACCAGCAAAGACAUGAGCAACAAUAUUAGCACCAUAAUAGACAUGAGCAACAAUACUGGUACCAACAACAGCAAUACAAGGCACUGGCACCAGCAAGAGCAACAAGGCAUGGACAUAACAUGCAUAAUCAAUAGUAAUCAACAUUGUCCCCAACAAGAGUCAUAAUAGGCAUGAGCAAUAACAUUGUCCCCACUAAGAGACUUAACAGGUAUGAGUAACAGUACUGGCACCAGCAAAGGGCAUAGUAGUCAGCAGCAAUAACAAUGACAAAUACUUCUAUUAUUGCAGAGACAACUUCUCUUCACUCCCCAUCUCCCCUUGAAGAGAAGGGGUCAUCGGAACCAUAAGAAAAGUGGCACUUAAGAAACAGAAGUUGACUGACGCUCAAAUGUAGAAGAAUCAGCCAUGGCAAAUAGGUAGCUGAAUUGCAGCGGAAUAGAUGAGCAGCGGUGUCACUCCCCCUCAUAUCUGAUAAUGUAUGAGAGUCGAGAUUUGGAGAAAGCAAUAUCGAAAAAUAAAGUUGCAGAACCCAAAUAAAGUUGCAUCUAUCUCCCCAUCAAAUCCGACACUGGUAAAGGGUCGAGAUUUGAAAGAGGAGAAAUUGAAAUAAUAGUAAAGAGACUCAAACAUGCAGUCUCAUGGCAGAAACAAAUGCAAGAGGGGAAGAUGGUAGCAUACGGUUGUCCCAUGAAGAAAAAACUUCAGAAAAGGAGAAUAGUAAGGGAGGAAACCUAGCAAAUCAUGAACAGAGACAAAGACAAAGAUGCUCAAACUGAGAAGCGGAAAGGCAACUCAAGAGAGCAACCGAAGAAGACAGAGGCCCGCAGAACAGUCAAAGUUAAGGCUCGGCGAGUGGUGACGAUGCUCGCGGAGGAAAGCAACGGCUCGGUGAGCGGUGAUGAGGCUCACGGAGUAAAGAGACUUGUUAUGAAGUUUCAAAGAUAGAGAAGCUGAGACAUCAAGAAAGACCAUCUGGCAUACAAAGAUGAAAAAUAAAAAUUUUGGAACAGUAGCAAAGAAGCAUGUGAAGGCUGGUGCGGUGAAAACACAUAUGAAAGGAUGAACAAAAGAAGAUGACUAUACAAGAUGAAGACCCAUGAUGGGUUAGGAAUGAGGAGUGCCAACGACUCUCAAUUUGGCAGAGGUUAUCGCAGGUUAGGAACCUGGCUCUGAUACCAUGUCAAACAAAGUAGGGUAAAUAUUCAGUUAUGCUCAGAUAUGCUCAUAUUAUUAUUUUUCUCCAAUAUGGAGAUAAUUAUACAAGUACAAAGAUGUGUUAACCCUAAAUAAAAUAGAAAAUAUAUCUAAAUUACAAUUGGAAGUAAAUCUAUAUUACAAUAGGACUAAAUAAUAAUUGGUAAGUAACUAAAAUUCUAAUGAAAUAAGGAACCAAAAUCCUAACUAAGUUAGGACUCGCCAACAAAUAAUAGUACAACUCUUAUUAGCAACAGGUUACAAACUUCUUCUACAACACACCAACAUGAAUCUAGCCCUGAUCCACUCUUUUACAUACUUGAAAACAAAACAAAACACGAAAAACAAAAAACAAGAAACAAGAUAGGGAGAAAAUGGCUACGGAGAGACUUCCUGCUAAUCAGGGGCGGCCCUGGGGUGGUGCAAGUGGCGUCACCGCACAGGGCCCCCGAUUCUUAAGGGCCCCCAAAAAAUAAUUCUUUAUAUUAUAUAUAUAUAUAUUAAUAUUAUAUGAAUCGUAUAUAAAGUAUAGCGUCUGGAUGAUAAAGAGACUCAUUAUCAUUAUCUUAGUCAUAAGAUUCAAAAUGAAUUGAUACUUUUGUUAGCUUCUGAGCUCAAAAGUGCAAUCAUUAAAAAGAUUGAAGAAGCUAAAUAUUUUUCUGUGAUUCUUGAUUGUACUCCAGAUGCUAGAAACCAAGAACAAAUGAGUUUGAUAGUAAGAUGUGUGGAUGUCUCUACUAAUUCAAUAAAGGUUGAAGAAUUCUUUUUGGAAUUUUUGAUUGUGAAUGAUACAACAGGACAAGGACUUUUUGAAGAGUUGCAAACGGUGUUGCAAAAACUUAAGCUUGAUAUUGAUAAUGUGAGAGGACAAGGCUAUGACAAUGGAUCAAAUAUGAGUGGGAAAUAUCAAGGUGUCCAAAGAAAAUUUUUGGAUGUAAAUCCUAGAGCAUUGUACACACCUUGUGGUUGUCAUAGUCUUAAUUUAACACUUUGCGAUAUUGCAAACUCUUGUGGAAAAGCAAAAGAUUUUUUUGGAAUCAUACAACGUAUUUAUACAUUGUUUGCUAAUUCUACAAAGCGGUGGAAGAUAUUGAAAGAUAAUGUUAAACACUUAACUCUGAAAUCAUUGUCAGUUACACGUUGGGAAAGUCGUAUUGAAAGUGUGAGAGCAAUAAGAUUCCAAGCUGCAGAUUUAAGAGAAGCUUUACUUCAGUUAGCAGAAAGUGACGGUGACUCCAAAAUAACAAGUGAAGCUAAUUCUUUGGCAACAUAUGAACUUGGAAAUUUUGAGUUCUUAUUGGGCAUGGUUAUUUGGUAUGAUAUAUUAGGUGGUGUCAAUGUAGUGAGCAAAAACUUACAAUCUGAAGACAUGCUUAUUGAUGUUGCUAUUGAUAAAGUGAAAGGGUUGAUUACUUUUUUUUUGAAAAGUAUAGAGAAAAUGGGUUUACAGAAGCUAUGUGUACUGCUAAAAAAAUUGCUACUGACAUGGGAAUUGACCCGGUGUUUCCUGAGAAGCGAAAAAUUCGUAGAAAAAAACAUUUUGAUGAGAAUACUUGUGAGCUAUCCCAAUCAGUUCCUGAAUCAACUGAAGAAAAGUUUAGAAUUGAUUAUUUCUUGUAUUUAGUGGACCAAGCUAUUGGUUCUUUACGAAGAAGGUUUCGACAAUAUCAAGAGUAUGAGAAUUUUUGGGUUUUUGUUUACUUCAGAGAAGUUAAAUUCAUUGGAUGAUUGCGAUUUGAAGAAUAGUUGCAGUCAUCUGGAAAGCAUUUUGAAAAAUGACAAGUUUUCUGAUGUCGAUGGGGAGGAUUUAUUUGUUGAGUUGAAAGUUUUACAAGAGCUUUUACCAAAAGUAAAUACCACAGCUACUGCAAUAUUAAAUUUCUUGAAAAGAUUAAAUUGUUUUCCAAAUGCAUUCAUUGCAUAUAGAAUCCUAUUGACUAUUCCUGUUACUGUUGCAUCUGCGGAAAGAAGUUUUUCAAAAUUAAAAUUGUUAAAAUCAUACUUGAGAUCAACUAUGUCGCAAGAAAGAUUAAAUGGACUAGCUUUGAUUUCAAUUGAAAGUGAACUUCUUGAAAAACUUGAUUAUGAACAUUUGAUUGAUGAUUUCUCUUCUAAAAAUUCAAGAAGAUCAAUUUUCAGACAUUAGUAUUGUACUAGCUGUGUUUUUUUUUUUCUUCUAGGGUAAAAGCUCUCAUAAUAAUUUUAAUUCUUCAAAUAAGACAGCAAAUACAAUGUGAUGAAUUUUGGAUAAUCAGGUAUGUUUUUGUUGUUGCUUUUGUGUUUAAUGCAAUAUAAUCUAAUUUUUUUAAUGACAUUUGUGUGCAACUACUCUUUGAUUUGUGAUUGCCAAUUUUUUUUUCUUUCUAUUAAACACAGAUUGCUUAUUGGAGGCAGCAAGAGACCUUAUAGGGGCACAAGGAGCUUAUUUUUGUACAAAACAUUUAACUUUAUCAAAUGGAAACAUUUAAAUUUUUAUGAAUUUGAUUUCUGAUUGUCAUUGCAUAUUUAUUGAUGGUGAAUUUUAGUUAUAAAAAAAAAAUUGUUUAUGACAUUAAGUUAUGGCAAAUUUUUAUAGUAUUUUCGUAUUAGAUUAUGCGAGGUCCCAAUUUAAGUUUCGCACAGGGCCCUCAAAAUCUCAGGAACGGCCCUGCUGCUAAUACUUGAUCAAUAACAGAGAUAAUAGAGCACACUGUUUGUAUGACAAUGAGUAUCAGAAGAAUAAUAGCUGCAAAGAGAGAAAUAGCUGCCCAAGGUGUGUUGAAAUACUUUUGUCUCAAAUUUGCCUUCCGUCUGUUCGUGGUCUUCUUGCAGUACUCGUUUAGUUUGCCAGCAAGAUCACCAAAAUAGUAGUUUCCGUGGUUCGGAGCAACUUUACUGCAAAGCUUGUUAAUCAUAAUGGAAACCUUAUUGUUGUCACCUAGCGUGUUUACAACAAUUCCAUUGUCAACAAGCAACUCUACAUCCUUUGGGGUGUUUACAAAUUUAUCCAGGAUGAAAACAUAAUCGCUUAUGUAUUUAUCCACGCAAUGGCCUUGUUCAAAGGCAAUGAGAUUUCUAUGUGUAAGCUGUGUAAUCAUGUAUUUCAAUUUUUGGAAUUUCCAAGGUGUUUUUCUUGAACUGUAUAUCGAAUAAGUUCUUGCUUGAUCCCACGUUAAACUUAACUCCGGCCUGGUGUAGUUUUGUCAUGCUGGGUGUACUUUGGAGCCCUCCAUUUUUUUUUCUUUUGGCAGAUGUAAAGUUCUAAUAAAAUCAACAAAAUGUAAAGGUUUUUUAGGAUCAGGAGGCAUAAAAGACUUACGGAAGGCUGGUGAGUUCUCCAAGUUUUCUAAACGCAGUGCCUGUUGGAAGAACUUGUAAGAGAGUUCAAUUAUUGAAGGCUCCCCAGUCUGAGCACCUGUGAGAUUGUAAAGAUCCUCGAGAAUGAAAAAUGGCAGCUGAUUUACGAGCAUAAGCAUGUCAGGCAAUAUAUUUUGUAGCACCCAUGGUUUUUUAAAUAUCCAAGCAUCAUCAUCCUGCAAUUUUUCUUCCUGAAAUUUUUCUUCGGAUUUAUUCCUCAACAAUAGCUCAAUGACAAAGGCGGCAUCAACUAGAAUGAUAUUCACAAAAGUAGCAAUGUUAAACUUCUUAGGGCUAGUUUGGCGGCGUUGUGCUUUUAAAAAAAUAUGCUUCUGCUGUGCUGUGAAAAUAAUUAGCUGUGAAAAAAAGCUACUAGGCGUUUGGUAAACUGUUUUUGAAAAACUGCUGUGAGUAGUCAAAGUGUUUGGUAAAUUUUUAUCAGAAGUACUUUUAGUGUGUAUAAUGACCAAAAAGGACAUGAUGAUGAAAUUGUUUGUUAUUUUCUUCAUUCUUUUUCUACUUUAAAAAAAAAAAAAACCCAAUUUCACUACAUAAAUUUUUAUUCUUUUUUAAUUCACACCUUUUUAUCAAAAAAUUUAAUCUACAAUUAACAUACAUAUUUUACCAUAAAUUAUAAAUUACUAUUAUAACAAAAGUAAUUCUAAAUAUUGUUAUAUUAAUAUGGGCUUCGGACAUGACAAAAAUACAAAAAUUGUUCAAUUUUAAAAUGCCCCAAUAGAUCACUACAAUAUAAAAGAAGCUAAUUAGAUGCAUUCAUUAAACUUGUAGCGAUGCUAUUUCUUAAUGCAUUCAUUAGCUUCUUUUUUUGGUUUCCAAUGGUUCUCUAACAAUUUUAACUAAAAAAACAACCAUAAUGCUUUGUGAACAAUAAAUUCAAGUCCAAAUCUGCUAUUGCCCACACCAUACAUAUAUACAUAAUUGUUCCUUUCAUAAAACUUGAAGAUUCAAUAGUAAUUACACAGUUUACCAAUCUUGAUUCCAACUAUAUCCAUAAAAUUAAACUAUAAUUAGAAAUAGAGGAGCUACAUGUGAUUACUCAUAAAUGCUUCCCACUCUCAUCAUCAUCAUCAUCAUCAUCUUCCUCCUCUGUACUUUGCCUUUCACAAAUGGACAAGACCAGAUGGUAACGUACACGACAUGGUCCACAUAUAGAUAAAUUUUGGGUUCACUGGAGAACAUAAAAGAGUUUUUACACGAAUACAAAGUUAGUUAAGUAGUGAAUAAAGUAAAACUAUUCUGUACAAUUCUAGCUGAUGCAGUCCAAAAAGAAUAUAUGUCUAAUAACUUAAAUAACAAUAAAGAGAAACAAAAGCCUCAUGAAAAAUGCUAGAGUAAAAGUUACAUAACUGAAUCGAUGGACAGAGAACUCCACAGGCAGAGAAACAGCAACAAAAAUUGUCAAAACAGUAGCAAGACCAUGUUGGAGUCAAGGCCAAAGAUCAUAUUUCCUGUGUAUCUUCUUCCAUUCUGAAUUAUUCUCGUAUUCAAAUACUGUAACUCUAUUUCAAGUGCACCCCAAAAUACUUAUCUAAGGCCAGUACAUAGGACUUCAUAAAGGGUGCGAUAAAAAAUAUUGCCCCUUAAUUGAUAAACAGAACCAAGAUCCCAACAGCACACCAAAACUAUACCAACCACACCUACAUAAUAUGGACAGAAAAUCCUGUUGUUCCGAUCUCUAACCACACCAAUGACAUUCAUUAGGAAAAUACAAAAGAUGGGUACCCUGCAUUUCUAACAUUUAAGAUAAAAUUCACUGCCAGCUAAUCACAAAUUUGAAAAGAUGGCAAGAAAAUUGGCUAAGCUUUAACAAAAACCAGAGCAGUCCUUGCAUAGACCUGACUUUUUGCUCCAAGCUUUAGCAGAUCACUUACUGGUAGAGAGCAGAGAACAUGUAUGUGAAUAUCUGAAGUUGGAAGGGUAAGCCAUCACAAACACCAAGAGAUCUGAUUCUCAUCUCUUGUUACAACAACAAAUCACAAACACCAAUACAUCUGAUUCAGAAUCUCAUAAACAAUGGAGGAACAAACACAUAUUCACACACAUAUAAAUCCCUAAACAGAAAAAAUAAAAAAUAAAAAAAAAACCAUGAAAGUCAUAGGAGAAUCAAAUUGAUUUGGGCCAAAAUUGCCUAAAAAGAAAACACUCCUAAAUAAACUUCAAUUCACUUUUAAAAACAGUAAAACAUGAUUGAAUCAUUCUUUAAAACAAUUCCCUAAUAUACAUGCAUGAUAAUGACAUCAUUUACCCCUGAAUCAAAUGCCUUUCACUGGUCAAGCCACAAGUCUGUGUUUUGGGAAUUGCUGAGCUGCAUCAAUCCUGCCAAUGUAAAUUCUGCCCCUAGGCUCUCUCAAAGUGCGUUUACAACCUAUGCUAACAUAUACUAGAGUUUGUUUUAGUAUCUAGAAAAUGCCAACACUAAUUUCGUAACACGUAGAAAUUGUUACAUAUUGGAAGUUUUUAUCAUUUUUUCUUCCAGUCUCUCCACCACUCACUAAUACAGAUUACUCAUGUGAUGAGUUUACAAAACAUAUUUCUCUACUCCCACAAAGACCAUACUUUUUCUCAAAAGACUAUAUCACUUUAUCUCUAUCUUUGUGAAAUGUAAAAAGUUGAAACUUUAAUGUCAAACCUCGACAAAAGAUGAACAUCCAUCAUCAAUUACAUUGAAUUUGAAUUUGUUGAACUUAAGUAGUUUUACUUCUCUGUCAGCGUUUGAUGACUUGAUUUGUUAUUUACUUCUUCUUUUUUCCUUGGAAAUGUGUUCCAUCAACGUGAGGAAGAAAAAUAUGCACAAAUUAAUAUAUUUAAUAGAAGCAAAAAUUAAUAUUUACAAAAAUAUGCACAAAUCAAGUAAAAUUAAUAAAGCAUAAAUUGGAAAGGGAAAAUAUGUAGAGGAUGCAUUGUAGGAUUGCUCAUGCCAAUAAUUGUACCCUCUAAAUAUAUAGGGACAUAUUUUUUUUUGUUUUCAUGACAUGUGGUCCUAAAAUUAUUGUUCUUAGCGGGCUCUCCACCCCUCUCGACUGAAAACCUAUUGUGUAAAUCUUCAAUCCUGAAUGAUGCACCUAAAACUCAUGUUGCAAUACACAUCCACCCAUUCUCAGGCCAAUUAUUACUCCUAGUGGGCUCUCCACCCCCUCUCAAAUUUAAGUGGUCCAUUAUUAUUAACCGUAUAUUUUAUGGACCAGCCAGCUGUGAGGUUUUAUCUCAAAAACCUUUCUCCCACAUGCCACAAUUUAUGUCUGAUACAUCACAUCAUGCCAGUUGUCUCAAAUGAAUUUAAGUGAGUGAGGCAGUGUUACUUCUGGGUACCCCUCAUUAUUCGUCUAUAAAUUGGUGAAGCCAGUUGCUACUGUUACCAUAAGAGCCAGCUCCGACUUUCAAAAUAAAAAUUCCAACAACGGUCUUAGUGCCUUCAAUUGUAUGAGUCAUUGAACAUGCAAAUGAAUAAAAUAUGAAUGAUAAAAGUGUUUGAUAAAUCACCAAGUUAUAGAACACUUGAUGAUUUAUCUCAAAUAAAAAUUCAGCUUUCUAAAGUUUGUGAAUUGAAAAUAUAAUCGUUAAAGCUCUCUAAACAAAGAAGACGAAAGUCUUAUUUUAUAGAAUUUUUCUUUACAAGAAAGAAAACAUGUUGAAAACCAAAUCUCCAAUUUCCAAGGCUUGACAGAAAAUCAAAAAAAUAUCUUUCCUAUUCUAGAGAUUGGUCACAUGUAGUUCAACCAAUAGGAAAUGAGAUAUUUAAGAAAGCAAGAUUUUGAUCAAUACCAAUAUCAAAUGAAUUCUUAUACGCCUAGUCAACUAUUAAGGGUAUCUUGACUCCUUGAUAUUGUGAUAUGAUUGAAACAUGAUUUCCAUGUUAGAAAAUUAAGGGGAUGUUAAAACAUGAAAGUAAUAGGAGAAUCAAAUUGAUUUGGACUAAAAUUGCCUAAAAAGAAAACACUCUUAAAUAAACUUCAAUUCACUUUUAAAAACAGUAAAACAUGAUUGAAUCAUUUUUUAAAACAAUUCCCUAAUAUACAUGCAUGAUAAUGACAUCACUUACCCCUAAAUCAAAUUGUCACGCCCCGGACCUGGGGGUCAGUGGAAACCCCACGUUCGGUGCGUGAGAAAAUAAAAAGUAAAAUAAAAUAAAAAGAAUGCCGAAACAAGGGUUUAAAAUAAACUUCUCUUAUAAAAAUAACUCCAAAAUCUUACAACUUUACAAGAAAUAAAUAAAGCCCUAUCAUUCUUAUCUAAUUCAGCCUCAACUGGUUUAGUCCUUGUCUUGCCCACUAAUUCAUCUAAAAAAUGAAGAGUGUUGCUAAACGAACCCUAAAAUUAAUUGAGUACACCCUACUACCAAACGAUUUAUUGAAUUUGUCACAUCUCGGGAUCAACUCCGCCGUAGCACGAUAUUGUUCGCUUUGGGCCCUCCCUCUCUGGCUCGCAUGGUUUUGUUUCUGGGAACUCACGAGUAACUUCCCAGUGGGUCACCAAUCCUGGGAUUGCUCUAGCCCACAACUCGCUUAACUUCGGAGUUCCUACGACUCCGAAGCCUGUGAGCUCCCAAAAGGUCUCGUGCUAGAUGGAUGCGGGUGUGCACAUAUAAGGCACAUCACCCCCUCUCCGUUGGUUGAUGUGGGAUCUUAUAGAAUUACUAAUUUAUCCUAAUAUAAAAUGACCAAAGAAGAUAAAAUAAUAUUGGUAUCUAUUGCUUUGAAUCCAUGCCUUCAAACAAAUUGACUUAAUUUUUAACAAACAACACGGAGUCCAGGAGAAGUGUAUUGAUCCAAGUUGAUUUUUGUAUGCGUAAAACUUAAACAAUCAAUAACACAAAGCAGUUCAUGCUGAAAUAUUGGAAACCCACACCCAAAGAGUUCUCCGCUGCGAGGUUGAAGGCAGGAGAGAUGGGUGACAGAUUUUACUUCCACUGCGAAGUUGGAGGCUAGGAGAGUCUGUGACUGCCAUGGUUGAGGGAGAAGAUGCGUUCAAAAUGCCUAUUGAUAUUUUACAUUAUUGGCUUUUUUCAAAAGUGAAAGUUUUUUUAUGGGUAAAACCUAAAUUUACUUUUUCUAUACAAGUUAACAGUGUUUGUGUAUUGUGAAAAGGUGGAGAGACGUGUCAAAAUUUUAGACAAAGGACAGGAGGAGAUAGGGAAUUUGGGGACAGCAGAUCUCAACUCCCUUGAGACCCUAUUCUCUACGCCACCCCUCCCCCUCAACAACCCUAGUCACCAUUUCUCCUUCAACUCCAACGGCAACUCAUUAAAACCCAAUUCUCAAAUGCAACAAUCUAAUCCCAAUCCCAAUUCAGAUGUUUCUAAAAAACCCAUUGUCGUGGUGGAGAACUGCAAUUCCAGGUGGUGGUGGUGGUACCACAUGGGAGAGAGAAAAAAGAAGAAGAAGAAGCAGGAGAGAGAGAGUUUUUUAUUUUAUUAUUAUUUUACUGUAAUUUUUUAAUUUAAAUAAUUAAAAAAAUUAAAAGUUAAAGAGGAUGUACCAUGGGUAUUUUUGGUAGUUAAAUAAGGUGUACUUAGGGUCAGUUUGGCAUUGCUGUGCUGUGAAAAUAAUAGCUGUCAGAUUUGCUGUGAGAGAAAUCAGCUGUGAGAGAAAUCAGUUUGGCGUUUGAUAAAAUUUUUGUUAAAAGUGUGUUGAUAUUGAUUUUAUGCUUAAUCCGAAAAUGAUUGCUGCAUAAUCAUUAAACCCAGCGCCUCUUCGAAACUGAUUCCUAUAUAAUCAGAAAAUGAAAGCACCUCAUUAGCUGCUUUCCUUUAUAGCUUUCUCUCACAGCAAUUUUUAACAAUAAGUGAUUUUCUCACAGUUUACCAAACGGGUUGGGCUUCUCAAAAUUUUUUAAAAAUCACUUAUUACCCCAAAUAAGCAAUACCAAACGGGCACUUAGUUAAUUUUACAUUUUAAUUUAAACAUUAGGGUGUACUCAGUUAAUUUUAGGGUUCGUUCAGCAGCACUCAAAAUUAAACAAGGUGAGGGAUGAGCAAGUAGGGACAUGAGACAUUGCCACAGUAGAUUGAUAUAACUAAAUAUUAUUAUAAACAUAGAAAUAUAUAAGUAUUAUUAUAAUAGGAUUCAUAAUAAUUAAUAUAAAAGUAUAACAACAAUAUUUACAUUUAUGUACCAAGAUAAUUACACAUAUAAAUAUAACCAAUAUAUAUUUUUAUAUAUUUUAAAAUAUAAGUCUUUACGUAAAUGCCUUUCACGGGUCAAGCCACAAGUCUGUGUUUUGGGGAUUGCUGAGCUGCAUCAAUCCUGCCAAUGUCAAUUCUGCCCCUGAGCUCUCUCAAAGCACGUUUAAAACCUAUGCUAACAUAUACUAGAGUUUAUGCUGUAUCUAGAAAAUGCCAACACUAAUUUCGUAACACGUAGAAAUUGUUAGAGAUUGGAAGUUUUUAUCAUUUUUUCUUCCAGUCUCUCCACUACUUAUUAAUACAGAUUACUCAUGUGAUGAGUUUACAAAACCUAUUUCUCUACUCUCGCAAAGACUAAACUUCUUCUCAAAAGACUAGAUCACUUUACCUCUAUCUCUGUGAAAUGUAAAAAGUUGAAACUUUAAUGUCAAACCUCGACAAAGUGUUCUACUUUACAAACUUCUUGUGUCUACCAAUUUGUACUAAAAUUAAUUUCUCUACAGUGCUCAGAUUCAUCAUAUGUGUGUCCUUAAUUUUAGUGGAAAUUGGAAGUUUCCAUAAUUUUUGCUUUAAGUCACUCUUCUGAAGGAAGUUGAGGUUCCACUUCAUAAUCCAAAAUGUCAGGUUGACUUAUGGCAAACAAUGUAAAUAUGUAGGAGUACUAUGACCUUUUAUAGCAUUUUUAGUUUGAAUUUGGGUUUUAUACAUAGAUUUCAAAAUUAAUAGGUUGAUGCCUAGGAAAUAGAAAUUGUAAGGGCCUAUAUUAGAGUAGCCCUCUUAAAAAUAAUAUUAAUUAAUGAAUAUUUGUUCUUCUUGUUGUUUUGAAGUAGUGGUGGGAGGCAGACCAACAAAAAAAAAAUAUAGUGAAGGCUUAUAAGAGCAUUUACAAUCAUGCUCCCUAUUUUUUAGUUAAAAUUUAGCUAAAAAUAGAAAAAAAGUUAUUAUAGGAGCUCUUUAUAAAGCUCCUUUAUAAAAUUUGAACUCCAAUCAUACUCCCUAGUUUAGGGAGUCAAAAAUACUAUAGUUAUUUUUUAAUUCAAUUUGAUUUUGGUUAAUCUCUAUAAAUAUGAAAAAAUAGUUAGCAUUAAUUAAAAGUUUAAACUAUGCAUAAAACAAAGAAACAUUAAAUUAUAGGGAGCCACUAUGAGUCAUUACUCUCUCCUCAGAUUUAGGAGCUCCUAAAGGUCUCCCUAUUUUAUGAGGUGGAUAAGGAGCAUGGUUGGAGUUGUAUUUCUUCAAUUUCCUCCCUAAAAUUUGUCUAAGGAUGUGGUUUAGGGAGCCCAUUGUGAAUGCUCUAACUCUGGUAAAACACGAGUGACAUGGACAACAUAUGUUACGUCGUACUGAAGAUUUUUGGGUUUCUUUAAUUGGUUAAGUAGCAUCCACACAGCUUCCUAAAUCAUCUCCUUAGACAAAUUUUAGGGAGGAAUUGGAAAAGUACAACUCCAACUAUGCUCCCUAUCCACCAACUAAAAUAGGGAGACUUCUAGGAGCUCCUAAAUCUGAUGAGAGAGAAAGGACUCUUAAUGACUCCCUAUAAUUUAAUGUUGCUUUAUAUUAUUUUGUAUACAGACGGGUCAAUUAUAUUAAAUUAAAAAAUAAUUAAAGUAUUUAUGACUCUCUAAACUAGUGAGCAUAAUUGUAGAUCAUCUUAUAUACCUUAAUUUGAAGAUUCUUUAUUUGGGUUUCUUUCAAGACUUAUCACCUUAGCCACGCCACCUACACGUCUGCAAGCUUUCCUAACAAGGAAGGGGAGGCUGCGCAAUACUUAUCACCUUAGCCACACUACACCAAAUUGACGUCUGCAAGCUUUCGUAAUCUAACAAGGAAGGGGAGGCUGCGCAAUACUUAUCACCUUAGCCACACCAACACCACAAGACCAAUAUGUGUAGUCCAGGAGGCUUUCCCAUUUUAAUAUAUAUUAUCAAAUAAAAUAAAAAUCAAUCUAUUAUCAUAUAUAUUAUAAAAUAAAGAUUAUUGCUCCAUCCUCCAUGCACUUGCAUGCCUCUUACAAAGUGUGAAGUAGAUUUUGUGUGCUCCAAGUCAUUGACGAGAGCUGUAACAUGGUUAGCUGGAUUUAUAAGAUCUUUUCUUUUCUGGGAAUUUUCUGAAUCAAGAAAAAUUAAGUAAAAUUAAUAAAGCAUAAAUUAGAAAGGAAAAAUAUCUAGAGGAUGCAUUGUAGGAUUGCACAUGCCAAUAAUUGUAUCCUCUAAAUAUAUAGGGACAUAUUUUUUUGUUUUCAUGACAUGUGGCCCUAAAAUUAUUGUUCCUAGCGGGCUCUCCACCCCCUCUCGAUUGAAAACUAAUUGUGUAAAUCUUCAAUCUUGAAUGAUGCACCUAAAACUCAAGUGUCCCAGGCCAAUUAUUGCUCUCAUACCACUUGUUGUAAUAAACAUCCAUCCAUUCUAAAGGAAAGAUAACCAUCGAUAUUAUCUCAAAUUUAACCACUUAAGUUCAUUAUGAUUAACUAUGUAUCUUAUGGACCAAUCCAAUCAUGAGGUUUUAUACCCAAUUAGAUCGACUAAUACAAAGUUCACACGUGGAUUGAAAAGCGCUAUCAGUAGGGGAGUGUUCGGCACCCUUUACUGCCGAACGCAACACAAGACCCCUUGCAUGCCUUCACUAAGUUGAGCCUAUCUAUUUUUUAGCAUUAACAAUAUAUAUAGAUUGAAAAAAUAAAAUAAAAAUCAAUCUAUUAUCAUAUAAAAUAAAUAUUAUUGCUCCAUCCUCCAUACACUUGCAUGCCCUCUUACAAAGUGUGAAGUAGAUUUUUUGUGCUCCAACUCAUUGACUAGGGCUGAAACAUGGUUAGUUGGAUUUAUAAGAUCUUUUCUUUUCUGGGAAUUUUCUGAAGCACGGAAAAUCAAAUAAAAUUAAUAAAGCAGAAACUGUACCCUUUAAUUAUAUAUGGACGUAUGUUUUUUUGUUUUCAAGUCUUAGAUGACAUGGGGACCUAAAAUUAUUGCUCCUAGUGGACUCUCGACCCCUCUCAAAUUUAAGUGGUCCAUUAUUAUUAACCACAUAUUUUAUGGACCAUGCAGCUGUGAGGUUUUAUCUCAAAAACCUUCGGUACAUUUCUCCCACAUGCCACAAUUGUAUAUUCACAAUUACGGCUGUUACGUCACAUCAUGCCACUUGCCUCACAUGCAACAAGUCUGUGUUUUGGGGAUUGCCGAGCUGCAUCAAUUCUGCCAAUGUCAAUUCUGCCCCUGGACUCUCUCAAAGCACAUUUAAAACCUAUGCGAACAUAUAUUAGAGUUUAUGAUGUAUGUAUCUAGAAAAUGCCAACACUAAUUUCGUAACAUGUAAAAAUUAUUAGAGAUUGGAAGUUUUUAUCAUUUUUUCUUCCAGUCUCUCCACCACUUAUUAAUACAGAUUACUCAUGUGAUGAGUUUACAAAACCUAUUUCUCUACUCUCGCAAAGACUAAACUUCUUCUCAAAAGACUAGAUCACUUUACCUCUAUCUCUGUGAAAUGUAAAAAGUUGAAACUUUAAUGUCAAACCUCGACAAAGUGUUCUACUUUACAAACUUCUUGUGUCUACCAAUUUGUACUAAAAUUAAUUUAUCUACGGUGCUCAGCUUCAUCGUAUGUGUGUCCUUAAUUUUAGUGGAAAUUGGAAGUUUCCAUAAUUUUUGCUUUAAGUCACUCUUCUGAAGGAAGUUGAGGUUCCACUCCAUAAUCCCAAAUGUCAGGUUGACUUAUGGCAAACAAUGUAAAUAUGUAGGAGUACUAUGACCUUUUAUAGCAUUUUUAGUUUGAAUUUGGGUUUUAUACAUAGAUUUCAAAAUUAAUAGGUUGAUGCCUAGGAAAUAGAAAUUGUAAGGGCCUAUAUUAGAGUAGCCCUCUUAAAAAUAAUAUUAAUUAAUGAAUAUUUGUUCUUCUUGUUGUUUUGAAGUAGUGGUGGGAGGCAGACCAACAAAAAAAAUAUAGUGAAGGCUUAUAAGAGCAUUUACAAUCAUGCUCCCUAUUUUUUAGUUAAAAUUUAGCUAAAAAUAGAAAAAAGUUAUUAUAGGAGCUCUUUAUAAAAUUUGAAUUCCAAUCGUACUCCCUAAUUUAGGGAGUCAUAAAUAUUAUAGUUAUUUUUUAAUUCAAUUUGAUUUUGGUUAAUCUCUAUAAAUAAAUAAAAAUAUGAAAAAAUAGUUAGCAUUAAUUAAAAGUUUAAACUAUGCAUAAAACAAAGAAACAUUAAAUUAUAGGGAGCCACUAUGCCAAUAAUUGUAUCCUCUAAAUAUAUAGGGACAUAUUUUUUUUGUUUUCAUGACAUGUGGCCCUAAAAUUAUUGUUCCUAGCGGGCUCUCCAACCCCUCUCGAUUGAAAACCAAUUGUGUAAAUCUUCAAUCUUGAAUGAUGCACCUAAAACUCAAGUGUCCCAGGCCAAUUAUUGCUCUCAUACCACGUGUUGUAAUAAACAUCCAUCCAUUCUAAAGGAAAGAUAACCAUCGAUAUUAUCUCAAAUUUAACCACUUAAGUUCAUUAUGAUUAACUAUGUAUCUUAUGAACCAAUCCAAUCGUGAGGUUUUAUACCCAAUUAGAUCGACCAAUACAAAGUUCACACGUGGAUUGAAAAGCACUAUCAAUAGGGGAGUGUUCGGCACCCUUUACUGCCGAGCGCAACACAAGAUCCCUUGCAUGCCCUCACUAAGUUGAGCCCAACUAUUUUUUAGCAUUAACAAUAUAUAUAGAUUGAAAAAAUAAAAUAAAAAUCAAUCUAUUAUCAUAUAUUUUAUAAAAUACAUAUUAUUGCUCCAUCCUCCAUACACUUGCAUGCCCUCUUACAAAGUGUGAAGUAGAUUUUUUGUGCUCCAACUCAUUGACUAGGGCUGAAACAUGGUUAGUUAGAUUUAUAAGAUCUUUUGUUUUUUGGGAAUUUUCUGAAGCAAGGAAAAUCAAAUAAAAUUAAUAAAGCAGAAACUGUACCCUUUAAUUAUAUAUGGACAUAUGUUUUUUUGUUUUUUUGCUCUCGACCCCUCUCAAAUUUAAGUGGUCCAUUAUUGUUAACCACAUAUUUUAUGGACCAUCCAGCUUCGGUACAUUUCAAAAAGCUUCGGUACAUUUCUCCCACAUGACACAAUUGUAUAUUCACAAUUACUUCUGGGUACCCCUCAUCAGUCGUCUAUAAAAUGGUGAAGCCAGUUGCUACUGUUACCAUAAGAGCCAGCUCCGACUUUCUUUAAUUUCUUGCUACAUCUGUUGCUAAGUUAAUUUCAGUCCUAAUGGGGUUUCAUCUCCCACUCAUCUUUGCUAUUCUCAGUGUAAGCUCUGCAAUUUGAUUAACUUUUCCAUUCUCUCUCAUUGUACUCUAUAUAUAUAAAUGAAAGUUUUGUGUUCCUAUAAUUCUCUCCGAUUUUAUUUAGUACGUACUUAAGUGUCGUCCACUAAUUAAUUACACUUUGUGAGAUUUGAUUUUAAUUAGAGUUCGAAUUAAUGUUGCAGCUAGCAGCGGUUGCACUGGCAAACAAUGCUGCUCAACCAGCACCUCAACUUUACUGGAACUCCGUCCUGCCAAACACACAGAUGCCAAGAUCUAUCAGUGAACUUCUGCAUCCUGGUUUGUGUUCAGCUCUUUAUAAUCUUAGAUAUCUCUUCUACCUGCCAUUUUACUAAAAUAUGUUCGACCACAUAUUUAUCAGCUAACUACUGUGAUUACAAGAAUGACACUUAUUUUCCAAUAUAAUUUGCAGACUCCACAAAUGAAGAAAAGAGCAAACCUGAAAUUUUCCCAUUGCAGGGCAAUAGAGUUUACACUCAAAGCCAUUAUAAAAAACGUCCUCCUCCUCCAUCUGACGAGGGCAAACCUGAAACUUUCCCAUUGGGCAAUAGCCAUUACACUCAAACCCGUUAUAAAAAACGUCCUCCUCCUCCAUCUGACGAGGGCAAACCUGAAAAUUUCCCAUUGGGCAAUAGCCAUUACACUCAAACCCGUUAUAAAAAACGUCCUCCUCCUCCAUCCGACGAGGGCAAACCUGAAAAUUUCCCAUUGGCCAAUAGCUUUUACACUCAAACCCGUUAUAAAAAACGUCCUCCUCCUCCAUCUGACGAGGGCAAACCUGAAAAUUUCCCAUUGGCCAAUAGCUUUUACACUCAAAGCCAUUAUAAAAAACGUCCUCCUCCUCCAUCUGACGAGGGCAAACCUGAAAAUUUCCCAUUGGCACGUUCUCCUCCAUCUGACAGUCAACUAAAGCAUUACAAAGACUUAGCUAUUUUCUUCUUCGAGAAGGACAUGCGCCCGGGCACAACUAUGAAGUUCCAAUUCCCUAGAAAUUCAAACACGGCUACUUUCCUGCCACGCGAAAGUGCUCAAUCGAUCCCCUUCUCCUCUAAGAAACUACCAGAAAUUUUCAACCAUUUUUCAGUGAAGCCAACAUCUGAGGAAGCCAAAACAAUUAAGCAAACAAUCGAAGAGUGUGAAGCUCCAGGCCUUAAGGGAGAGGAAAAAUAUUGCGCCACAUCUUUAGAAUCAAUGGUUGAUUUUAGCACUUCGAAGCUUGGAACAAGAAACGUUGAAGCAAUCUCAACGGAGGUAUUGGAAGAAGGAGCCACCAAGUACAUGCACAACUAUACAACAAUGCCGGGACUGAAGAAGUUGGAAGGUGACAAAGUCGUUGUGUGUCAUAAGGAGAACUAUCCCUAUGCUGUGUUUCUCUGCCAUGCAAUAAAACAAACAGAAGCUUAUGUUCUCUCCCUGAAAGCCGAUGAUGGGAUGAAGGUGAAAGCAGUAACCAUCUGCCAUCUAGACACAUCAGAAUGGGACCCAGAGCAUUUGUCCUUCCAAAUCCUCAACGUUAAGCCCGGAACCACUCCCAUCUGCCAUUUCCUUACCACUGAUGCUAUUGCCUGGGUUCCAAAACACAAAUCUGCAUGAUCAUCACUUAGCACUGUACGUGUAAUAAGCUUGGUCGGGUUGCACCCUAGGCCUGCAUAAUUAUCUCCCUACUUAUUUCUGCCUCUUCAUCAUGCGGUGUAAGAUAUAUGAUGAGAUGAAGUUUUCUCUUGUAACUAUGUAGACUACUUCAACUUGUACUCAUAAUAAAGCACGCUGUUGGGGGGUUCUACUUAAUUUCGUUCUCUCCAAUGUUUGAGUGUUGAAUUGUUACGUUGGAAUAGGCUGCUAAUGCAUGUAGUUAGAGAAGCCUUCAUUUAUAUCAAAGUCCUCAAACUAUCAAGAAUUAAUGUAUCCAGAAACAUAUACCAAGACGCAAAACAACAUAUUUUCCAUUCUCUGUCUGUAACACCAAAGCAAACUUCCUUUAUCACAUCAUUUAAAGGAUCAAAUUCCAGUACUAAUCUAAUCCAUCAUGUAAAGCAUACAAGUGCCUACCUAAAUUUGUCCAUUGGAUAUAUAUGUCACUUUUUAUUUUUUGAUAGAGAUAUAAAUGUUGAAAAAAUUAGAGUACACAACUCUUAUAGACACUACUACGAUUUACUAUUUGCGCGACGGAAGUUUGCGCGACGAACAUUGUUUCGUCGCGCAAAAAGCACUAUUGCGACGAAAAAAAAAUACCGUAGCGCAAACAACAUAACACAAGCGCGACAAACAGUUUCGUCGCGCAAACAAUCUAUGCGCGACCAAUAUUAAUUUCGUCGCGCAAAGGUAGGGGAAAAAAACCCGGUUUUUUUUUUUUGGCGCCAUAAUCUUGCGCGACAACAACAAUCGUCGCGCAUGACAAUAUUGCGCGACAAUUCAAAGAAUUCGUCAGGUAAAGAUGGACAGAAAAUUGUCUCAUUUUUUUGGCGGUAAAAAACUUUGCGCGACGAAAUUUUUCGUCUCAAAAGACAACUUAGCGCGACGGAAAUAUGUACCGUCGCGUAAAAAAACGAGGGAUACUUAUUUUUGGCGCCAAAAUGCAGGGUGGAUAAAAAAAAUUUUGCGCGACGGAAUUACCUUCGUCGCGUAAAGUGUAAUGCCGGUGCUUUCUUGCGCGACGAAAUAAAUAAUUUGCGCGACGUAAUUUAAACCUUGCGCGACGAAAAGUAUUAUUUGCGCGACGAAAUUUUGUGCGACGAAUAAUAUGUUUCGUCGCACAAAAAAGCAGAUGUCGACAGGUAAUUGCGCGACGGAAAUGUUGUUUUGUGCGAUGGAAAAGUGGGUUUUCGCGACGGCAUUUUGCGCGACGGAUAUUGGUGUUCGUCGCGCAAAGUCCUUCUUCUUCAUAUUAGUAUCUGCCAUUGCAGAGGCAGAAUGCAGAAAUUGCAUUCUGCCUCUCUCUCACUCUCCCUGCCGCUGCUCUGCUGUGAAUUCAAUACGUUCAUUGGGUAUGUAUUUUUUGUCGUUAGUUUAAAUGUAUUAAUGUAAAUUCGUAGUAACGCUAUUAAUUUUGUUAUCGUUAGGGAUAUUUGUGAUUAGUGAUUGGUGGAGAACGAUUGAGAAGGUAUGUUAUUGUAAAAGUUUGUUUGUUAUGUUUGUAAUUUUUUUGUGAAGUUAUAUGUAUAUAAUGUUGUGAAAUUGUGCGUGACAUAGCACAAUGUGUUGUGAUGUACGAAGUUAAUUGAAAUUAACUUCGUACUUUUAUUUUUAUGUUUAGUAACACGUAGUUUCCCGUUCGAGAUUAGUUGGAUUUCGUGCAUGGAUGAGUAAUGCAUGACUGCGGUCCAAUUAAUUCUUGAAUUGUCCCAUUAUUUGGACAGUUUGGUAAUGCAUAGUGUUGUCACAUAAUCUUCGGCUACAGGAUUAGGUUUCGAUUGUGGAGAUUUCGGUGUCAUCUCGGUACGUUCUUCGAGUGGUACGUAGGUAUUUAUACCUAUGCCCACUUCAAGAACUGUGUCGAGAUGCUGCCGAAAUUAAUCCACGUCGAAAUCUAAUCUCAUGUAGCCGUAGGUUACGUGACAGGACUAUGCAUUCCCGAAUGGGAUAGGGCCCUUACCGGAGGCAUAAGGUGACAUUAUAACUUCGUAUGAAGUUGUUGUGAUUGUUGUGUCGUGAUUGUGGUUUCAUGAAUUAUGAGCAGAAGGUGGAUACAUAACCCGAAUAGAUGCGCAGACGAAUACUUGGAUGGAAUCGAGGAUUUUAUUGAGUUUGCACAUAGACACAACCCGGGUGCAAGUAGAAUCCGUUGUCCUUGUAGGAGGUGUAACAACACGUUGUGGGAGACAAUUGAAAAUGUUGGAUUUCAUUUAGUAAGGAAUGGAAUGAUUGAAACAUAUAGCAUUUGGAACCUUCACGGCGAACAUGUAGGCCAUGCUUCGUCUUCAAAUGCCCCAAGAGUGGACAAUGUUGAACCUAUUGUGGAUCCUAAUGAUCAAGUCAUGGGUAUUAUACAGGAUGCUUUUCCAUUCGCAUCGACCAACAUCAAUCAGGAAGGGGAAGAUAACGUGCCUACACCAAUAGACAGUGCGGAGUUUGAACAGUAUGAAAAACUGUUAAAAAAUGCCAACCAAGAGUUAUACCCGGGGUACGAGAGCUUUUCCGUUCUCACUUCUAUUGUGGAGCUAAUGCACGGAAAAAUAAAGUAUCGUAUGUCGAACUUGUGUUUCGAUUACUUUUUGGGGGUUUUCAAGAGAAUGCUUCCGACGGAUAAUUAUUUGCCGAAAGACCAGAAACAUGCACAGAAGGUGUUGCAUGGUCUUGGAUUGGGUUAUGAAAAAAUCCACGCUUGCAAAAACAAUUGCAUGUUAUUCUACAAAGAGCAUGAAACGUUGGAUACAUGCCCUAUAUGCAAUGAGUCGAGGUUCAAAAUGACAUCCCAGAAUAGAACGACUAAGAUACCACAAAAAGUCAUGCGUUAUCUGCCCCUUAAACCUGGGUUGCAGCGAUUGUAUAUGUCGACGCAUACUGCCACAGACAUGAGAUGGCAUAAGGAAAAACGGGUAGACGAUGAUGUGAUGCGGCAUCCUGCAGAUGGGGAGGCAUGGAAAGAGUUCGAUCGAACGUUCCCCGAGUUUGCUGCUGAUCCCCGAAAUGUAAGAUUGGGACUUGCCACUGACGGAUUCAAUCCGUAUGGGGUUCUAAACCAACACCACAGCACUUGGCCGAUUUUCGCAUUCCCAUAUAAUUUGCCGCCUUGGAAAUGCAUGAAAAAAGAAUACAUGAUGAUGACUGUUUUGAUAACUGAGGAUCCUGGCAGGUCAAUUGAUGUGUACUUAAGGCCUCUGGUUGAUGAGCUGAAAGAUUUAUGGACAAACGGUGUUCGCACGUACGAUAAAUCAACUGGGAGGAUGUUCACUUUGCGAGCAGCAAUUAUGUGGACUGUGAAUGAUUUUCCAGCAUAUGCAAUGGUUUCUGGGUGGAGCACAAAAGGUUAUAUGGCAUGUCAUGUAUGCAAGGAAGAUGUAACUUCUGGUUGGCACGCGGGAAAAGUUUGUUACCUUGGUCAUCGGAGAUGGUUGCCAUGGGACCACGAGUGGCGAGAAAAAGAUAAAGAGUUCAACGGGAACACAGAGCGUCGCCUCAGACCUGGAGAAUGGUCCGGUGAUGAGAUCUUGGAACAGCUGAACCGUUUGGAUUUUGGUCCGUUCGGAAAAACAAUUAGUCGGACCAGACCUUCUACACAUUUGAACUGGACGCACAAGCCUAUGUUUUUUGAGCUCCCAUAUUGGUCGAAACUGAAAUUGAGGCACAAUCUAGAUGUGAUGCAUGUUGAGAAAAAUGUAUUCGACACAUUGGUGGGCACGAUUCUAGAUAUCGAGGGGAAGACGAAGGACACGAUCAAAGCUCGUCUUGAUUUGGAAAGAAUGGGCAUACGAAGGGGUUUAUGGAUGAAUAGGGACAGUGAUAAAGCUAGAAGGGAUCUUGCAUUCUUUUCUAUGAAACCGAAUGACAAAAAGGAGUUUCUAAAGUUUGUAUCGUCUGUCAAAUUUCCCGAUGGGUAUGCUUCUAAUAUCGCACGUUGCGUGAAUGUCGAUGGGGGUAAAUUUACUGGACUUAAGAGCCAUGACUGCCAUGUUCCUGUGGGUAUUCGACACCUACUGCCGGAAGAUGUGGUGAAGCCAAUCAUGUUGUUAUCCAGAUUUUUUUCCCAACUGACGGCAAAAACAUUGCGAAGGACAGACAUGUUUCAGUUGCGCCAUGACAUUGUCCAAGUCCUAUGCAAGUUUGAGAUGAUAUUUCCUCCGGCUUUCUUUACAAGUAUGAUGCACGUAAUGGUUCACUUGCCAGAAGAGGCAUUGCUUGCUGGUCCUGUCAACUAUCGCUGGAUGUAUCCAAUAGAAAGGUAUAUAAUCUUUAUCAUUUGUGUAUGCAUCAUUAUCGACACUUUGCUAAUUUGUAUCAUAUCGUUUUAUUUUGGCAGGCUUCUCGGAGAGCUGAAAAAAAGUGUACGCAACAGGGCAAAGCCCGAAGGAUUAAUUAUAGAGGCUUGGGUUCAAUAUGAGUCGCUUACUUUCUGUGGAAUGUAUUUAAAAGAUGUGGAGACGGUUUUCAAUCGUCCUCAACGCAAUAAUGACGGAGGUAUGAGAAAUGAAAAACUUUUUGUUUUUGCCCAAAGCGCAUGACCAUUUGGAGAUCCUGGACGAGGAGAGUCGUUUUCUAGAAAUGACAUGGAGGUAGCGCAUUGGUUCGUACUGAACAAUUGUGAUGAGAUAAUGGCCUACUUAGAUGAGCAUGAACAGAUGAUGAAGCGAGAACAUCCAUCACAUUUGGUUGCCCGGAAACAUCGUGAAUUAUUUCCACAAUGGUUUUUGGAUUCUGUAAGUUAUAACUGUUUUGUAAUUGACAAAUAUAAAUUGUAGUAUUUAAUUUUGUCAGACUAACAUGUAAAUGAUUUUGUAUACUAUUAGGUGAAUAAAUUGAAAUCAUCGAAUUCCCCCACUUACAGUGAUGAGUUAUAUAACUUGGCGUUCGGCCCAAUUCGUGCUGAGUUGUUCUCGGGUUGUAAUGUUAACGGCGUCAAAUUUUUGGGGGCCGCACGAGAUGACAAGUUGUGUAUGCAAAACAGCGGUGUCCAUGUCCCAGGUGGAGGCGAAAGUACGGACAUUGAUUUCUAUGGCAAACUGACAACUGUCGUGCAAUUGCUUUAGAAAGAUCGAUACCAAGUCAUCAUGUUUAAGUGUCGAUGGUUCGAUACCAACCCAAAUAGGGCGGGAAGUGUUAAAAUCGACCAUGGAGUACUGUUUGUGAACAUGGCGUCCCAAAUUGUGUAUCUAGAUGACCCUAAAGCCGGGAGCGGGUGAAAAGUUGUGCAGAAGAUGGAUCAUAGGAACGUGUAUGAUAUACCAGAACUAGACCCAAGUGACAACGACGUCGACAAUGUGGCUGACCAACGUUUAGAAUCUUCAAUGGAAAAUGAUGCGGAAACACUUCGAGAUACAAAUGUUAUACAAGAACCGUUUCAAAUAGAAGGAGUGUCUUCAGUAGAAAUACCGAUUCAGUCAAUUACAAUUGACCUCGGUGAUCUUCCCCGAUACGAUGUUGCAGUGGGUCCUAGCAACGCCGAUGAUGCAGUUAUAGAGGAGGAGGAGGAAGAAGAUUGGGAGACCGAGAGUGAUGAUAGCGAUGAUAACGAAAGUUAUUAUAGUUCAGAUGAUGAAUAAUGAAUUUAUUUGUAAAGUUAUUAUGUUAGUGUAUUCAUUUUGUGUAAUACAAAUCUUUGAAUAUAUGUAGUUGUCCAUAUGUAGUUGUGUAUUCAUUCUCCAUAUUUCAUCACAAACUUCAUUGGAAUGUCAAUACUUUAGUCAAUACUUAUUACGACCCCAUGCUUGUCGAUUGGUUUUUAUUUAUUUAUUUAUUAAUGUCUUUAACUCUUCAAUUAUUAUUUUUUUCUUUUGAGAUAUAGUUAUUUCUUCAUGUUUAAACAAAAAAUAUAAGUUAUUUCUCCAAUAUUAUCUGUGUGCCACUUAUUUUUCUUCACUUUGGUUCAUGAUUAGUGGCAUCAAUCUAGUCAAACCGAUAAAAUCGGUCGAUUCAAAUCUUAAUUAUCAAUUUAGUUUGGUUUUGAUGAAGAAAUACAAAGCCUUUCCAAAAAAUACAGAGCAUAAAAAAUGAUGAAUACAAAACCUUUCCAAAAAAUACAAAGCAUACACAAUUUGAAUUAAAUGAGGAUUUAUGGCGCCAAAUCCUUGCGCAACGAUAAGGAGCCCUUCGUCGCGCAAAUAUAUAUUAGGUAACGUUAUAGUAUAAUAUAUACCCACAUAUAUAUUUAAAAUUGGCGAUCGAAGUAGUUCAUUGUAUUCAUAUGAAGUGUAGGACUGUAGCUGCAAAAAAUCAUCAACAUCGGAGUUAAAAUAACCGUUCAAUCAUCACUUUUUAUUUAGAACCGUCGAAAAGUUUUACCCCGUUACUUAAUCUCUGAAUGUUUUUUUUGUCUGAUUUUUGCUGUCUAUGAUCUCGAAGUAUAACAAAACAAGUUUGACGGCUGGAUGACUGAAGCUAGUUUCGUAGACUGCGUGUGCUAUCAAAAUCAUAUAUUCACCAAAAACUCAAAAAUUUGUUCAUACAUUUGUGAAAAUGUAACUUAAUGUUUAUGUGGUAUCCCCUAGUGUAAAAAUAUGAAAUUGAAGAUCAAAUUCAGUCAUUGUAUUCAUAUAGGGUCAACAAAUGUUGCUGUAAAAAAUGAUCAAAAUCGGAGUUAAAAUAACCGUUAAAUCAUGACUUUUCAUUUAUAACCGUCAAAAUAUUUUGUCCUGUUCCCUGAUAUCUGAAUGUUUGGUCGUUUUGAUUUUUGGCGUAUACGAUCUCCAAGUAUAAACAAAUAAGUUUGCCGGUUGGAUCAUUGAAACUAUUUUAGGGUUUAGGGUUUAGGGCUUAGGGCUUAGGGUUUAGGGUUUACAUUUUAGGGUUUAGGUUUUGCGCGACGAAUAAACAUUCCUUUCGUCGCACAAAGUGAAAGUGACAAAGAUUGCGCGACGGAUAAGUCUUCCAUUCGUCGCGUAAUCUGGGACACACAUUUCACCCCUCCAUACCCUUUGAACACUUAGUGAAAAUUUCAACCGAAUGAAAUUCUUGAACCCGCGCGACGAACAAAGCAAAUACGUCGCGUAAAGUGGACGUGAACAAGAUUGCGCGACGGAUAAAUCUGGUAUUCGUCGCGCAAUCUGGGCCACACUUUCACCCUUCCAUCCCCUUUGAACACUUAGUGAAAAUUUCAACCGAAUGAAAUUUUUGAACUCGCGCGACGAACAAAACAAAUACGUUGCGCAAAGUGGACGUGAACAAGAUUGUGCGACGGAUAAAUCUAAUUUUCGUCGCGCAAUCUGGGCCACGCUUUCACCCUUCCAUCCCCUUUGAACACUUAGUGAAAAUUUCAAGCGAAGCAAAAUCUUCAACUCGCGCGACGAAUAAAAGUAUUCGUCGCGCAAAAGGCACAGGCCUCUGAUUUUUGUUAGCAAACAUUGCGCGACGUUUACUGUCUUCGUCGCGCAAAAGGCACAGACCCUUCAGUUUCAGCCUCCCGCUAAACCCAAAAUUUUCCCAAAAUUUUGGCGGAACGACAGCGUUUUGCGCGACGAACAUAUGACUUUCCGUCGCACAAGGUUAACCUUGCUCGACGUUUACUAUCUUCGUCGCGCAAAAGCACAAACCCUUCAGUUUCAGCCUCCCGCUAAACCCUAAGUCCCAAAAUUUGGGCGGAACGACAUCGUUUUGCGCGACGAAUAUAUGAUUUUCCGUCGCGCAAGGAGAACCUUGCGCAACGUUUACUAUCUUCGUCGCGCAAAAUCACAGUUUCAGCCUCCCGCUAAACCCUAAAUCCCAAAAUUUUGGUGGAACAACAGCGUUUUGCGCGACGAACCAUGUAUUUUUCGUCGCGCAAAAGGCACAGACCCUAAUCCCCAUUCAAAAUUUGGCGUUCUGGGAGACCUUGCGCGACGGAUAUUUCAUCGCGCAAGAUUCAUUAAUACCAUUUUGCACGACGCAUUCUGUUCUUCGUCGCGCAAAGUCGAAUAAAUUUGCAGAAACGGCCCGAUGCCUCCUUCUUCCCCAUUUUCUGGUUUCUCUCCGUUUCUUCCUCUCUCUCCGCCGUCACCUUAGCCCUCUCUCUCUGCCAUCACCUCAGCCACCUCCGCUCGUUCCGUAGCCUCCCUGCCGUCACCGUCGAGCCUGCCGUCGCAAUUUCGUCAGUUUUUCCCGAUUCUUCGCCGGCCGAUUUCUCUCUCCUCCGGCCACCAUUUUCGACGCCUAAGGUAUGAUUUCUCGACUAUUUUUUGUGCUCUAGCUGAUGGUUGGUUAGGAUUUCUUGAAUUUUCGCUAUAGGAAAUAGGAAUUAAAACCCUAGGUUUUGGCCGCUUUGGGAAUUUCAAAUCCGGCCACUUCCGGCCAUUUUUCGGGGUAGGUCCGAGAACAAAAGUGGCUCCAAUUAAUGUUUUCAACCUAGGGUAGGAACCUUGGCCCUUAGUUUUUAGAAUUUUCCGACGAAUGUUAUCGCUUUGGACACCCACGCGCUGCCGGCGCGUGUGGUGGCGCGUGGGAUGUUGUGGCAGUGGGGCAUUGGGUCCCAGAGCAAUCCCCUGUUUGUCACGAGCGCGUAGGUUUGCUCGGAUUUGAAUUUGGUUAUCGUUUGAGUCUUGAUCGGAUUUCGGCUAUUGUGCGAUUUCCAGGUUUGAUAUGUUCGGACCGUUGGAUCGAACUCAAACUCACGUAGUUGUACCUUUGUGUUUCUACGAUCGUUUAGGAUUCGACCGAUCGUUGAUCGGUGUCCCGGAUACUUCGAAAUUCCAAACCCUAGGUGAAGCUAUGCUUUUAAUUAAUUAGUUUAAAUUCUUAAUGAAAUUAUAUGUGCAGAUGUCAGAUUUGAUUAGACGUGGUAGGUCGAUGAUGACUGCACCGAGUUCGGAUCCCCCUGCUCAGUCGGCAUAUGCUGCCACUGCUCCAGCUUUGAUGGAGCACGUGCUGGUUGGUCCCGGGGCGUCCCAGGCGCCUGCGUCAUCUGCGUCAUCCGUCGCGCAGCCAGCUAGUGCUAGGCGGCGGCACCGGCCCGCCGACACGACAUCGACCGACGGUACUGGUGCCUCGGGAUCACAGCCAGAUAUAACUACCAUUUUGUAUUGUUAAUUUUAUAUUGAAAUUUGACAAUGUUGUUUAUUUAACAUUAAUAUCUUUUUUCUUUGCAGCGAAGAAGAACACCUGAGGGCCGUGUCGUCAGCUGAAGACGGCGAAGGUCACCCGGGUGACCAACAGUCGUAUCAGCAUCGGAUACGACGAGCGCCAUCGGGCUGCACCGACGGCGGAGUUGCAUAGCUCCUUGGCCCACGACAUUGGCCACGUCGUGCGGACCCAUUGCCUGAUGCAAUGGAAGUCUUGGAGGGUCAUGCCUGACGAGAUCAAGGUGGAGGUUCGCGGCCAGUUGUCGGUAUGUACCUUACAUUUUCAUUAAUUUUCUUUAAAAUUGUGUAUAUUUCUAUUACUUAACGUAUCUAAUUAAUUGAUUGCAGACGAACUAUAACUUGGAGGAUCUCGACGAAGAGUCGUUGGCGUACGUCAACAGACUCUUCGCUGAGAGGUACAAGCAGUGGAAGAGCGACUUGCACCAUCAUUUUCAGGCCUUUGAUGAUCCGCAAGUCGCUCUUCAGGAGGGUUGCCCGAAGGAGCUUGAGGGGCGGGAGGAUAGUUGGGAGUGGCUCUGCGCUCAUUUUCAAGCGUCCGAAUAUGUGGUAUUUUUUUAAUAAUAUUUGUUUAAUUAUUACUUAUUUCUUAUUAAUGUUUAUUUCAUUUUUUUUAUUUCAUUAUUAUUUAAUUUGUUAUGUUUUAACUAAUACGUUUCAUUUUUUGUAUAACAGAAUAAGGCCCAAGUGAAUAAGGGUAAUAGGAAGAAGAAGACCCUUCUCCACCAUUCCGGCUCCAGGCCCUUUUCGUAUAGGAUGGAUGCCCGGCGACGGGUAAUAAUCACAUAAUUUAUAUUUCAUUUUUAAUGUCAUUUUUAUUAAUUUAUUUUUUUCAUACUAAUAUUUUUCUUCUCUUGUUCAAUUUAGGAGGGGUCCAAGUUCCCAGAGAUCGACGUCUUUGGUGACGUUUAUGUUCGACCCGGGAAUGAGUUGGCCGAGUCCCUUCAUGUAAGUAUUAUUUAAUUUUAAUUCUUAUGUUACGCAUUCAAUUUAUAUGCAUGUUUAAAUUUAUAUUUUAUGUUAUGUUCAACAGACGACGAUGGUGGAGAGGAGCCAGUUGGUUCUUCAGGAGUCCGCCUCCCAGCUUCCUCCCGAGACUCCGAUCGAGUCUGUGGCUCCUCCACAGGAUGCUGGAUUUCAGAUCUUGACGGAGACGUUGGAUCAGACUCUCGGGAGGAGGCCGGGGACAUAUUGUCGAGGGAUGGGGAAUGCCCGGCGGAGGGAACCUAGACCUCGUUCAUCGGCCCAGUCAAACAGUCAGGUGACUGCUUUGACAGCACAGGUGGCCGAGCUUCAGGGUCAGAUGUCGGUGAUUCUACAGUCCCUCGCACAGAGCGGCUUUCCAAUCCCGCAGUUUCGUGCGUCAACCUCCCAGCCCGUCCACCCCGAGUAUGCCCACCAGACCACUGCCCCGGUGGACGCCCAGACCUCCGAGCCGCAUACUGGCGACGACCCGAUUGAUUUUGCUUCAUUAUUUGAUUAGUGUAUUUAUUUUCAUCAUAAACAUUUAUUUUAUUUGUAAUACAUUUAUUUUAUUUUAUAACAAAAUUUUGUUCUAAUUUAUUUUUAUUGCAAUUUCAUUGUUUAAUCAAUAAAAAAACCAAUUUUAUUUAAAAAAAAUAAAAAUAAAUAAAAAACAAAAACAAAAAAAACAAAAAAAAAUUGUAAUAUUAUUUUUGCGCGACGGAAGACAUUUCGUCGCGCAAAACCACAUGUAACAAAAAAAAUUAAAAAAAUCAAUUUUUUAUUACUUUAAUUCUUGCGCGACGAAUACAUACGUCUCGCAAACAUUUUUUGCGCGACGAAAUGUUUCGUCGCGCAACAGCUUUUGCGCGACGACUGAAAUUUUCGUCGCCAAAUAGAUGAGCGACGAAAACUUUCUCAUCGCGCGAAUAGUUCUGCGACGAAUAUAUACGUCUCCCGGACUAGUUUUGCGCGACGAAUUAUUUUCGUCGCGCUAUUCGUUUCGUCGCGCAAAUAUACGUGCGCCGAAUACUUUAUCGUCGCGCAAAUAUUUAUGCGACGAACAGUUGUUUCGUCUCCACACCGUUGGUGCAACGAUGGUUUACCCGUCGCACAAUUAUGCGCGACGAAGUGUUGUACCUCGUCGCGCAAAGGCUUUCUUCACGAUCUUCGCGCGACGGAAGGUGCGCGACGAAUUUUUUGUCGCGCUGAAAUUAGGGCGACUAAAUAAGACUUUGCGCGACGUUUUGUUAUUCGUCGCGCAAAGAGUAAAAUGUAGUAGUGAGACUUGUUGGAGACAAAACAGGUAAACAAAUUACUUGUAUUAGACUCACAAAAUAUUACAACAAGACAACUCUCAAAGAAAAGACAAACUCUCACACUUCUCACAAGGACUACUUAACUUUAUAGCUUAUUGCAUAUAGCAUAUGCAAACACAAUUAGAACAUACCUACGUACACUAUGGGAACACUCGUGUAUAUUUCAACACAAGAAAACAUGUGCACCGUGCACGGUUCACAUGAAGUAAGAAAUGAAGAGGAAAUAAAGAAGAAGAAUACAAAAGAAAAUGGAGAUGAGAAAAAAAAAAAAACCGAAUAAUGAAAAAUGAAUUGACAAUUAUAUAUGGUUGACAUUAGAUCUAAUAUUAUAUGUAACAACUAUUGAUCUAAAAUAAACAUUAAAUCAAACAAUAAUUAAAAGAUUUGACAAUAUAAAAAUUUAUUGAGGACAAAAAAAGGCAAAAACUUAUGAAAAAUGGAAACAAUAAAUAUGAACUGAGUCAUCAACUCACCAUGGUAAGUUUGCUGACGUAUAAAAAUAGUCAAUGGACAUCGAAAAGUAAUUGGCUUACAUCAAAAAUUAAAAUCACGUGGGUUAUUCCUAAGAAACCUUAAUAUUUGCCUUCCAUUUGUUCCAGCAAAAUAAAAGUCAUUGCUACUUAUUGUAACCCCUUUUCCAAGCUUAUUAAUCAAAGUAGACACCUCACUGCUGUCACCUAGCCAAUUUUCAACAAUGUCAUACUUAACAAGCAACUCCACAUCCUUUGAGGUGUUCACAAAACGAUCCAUGAGACUAACAUAAUCACUUAUGUACGUCUCCUCGUAGUGGCAUUGUUCAAAUGCGAUGAGAUUUCUAAUUAAUACCUCUGUAUGAUCGCUUAUUUUCAAUCUUGGAAUUUCAAGAGUCCGGCCAGCAAAUCUAAUAAGGUAUUCAUUGAUCCCUCAUUCAACUUGAACCCUGCCCUGUGUAGCUCUGUGAUGCUGGGUGUGUUUAUAGUUAUGAGUUUCCCGUCAUUAGUUUUUAGGGUUAUUCGUUAUAUGAGUCCCUGAACUUAGACCCGAUUUGCAUUUUAGUCCCUCAAUUUCCAAAAUCGUUCCAGUGGUCCUUCAACUUUAGUUUCGUUAGGACAAAUGGUCCUGCCGUCAAAUGAUUAUAAAGUGGAAAAAACAAGAACAAAAAAGGAAGUGAGUUAAAUUUGCACCUGCUAUGUUCAAACGACAAAGUUCGUUUCCGUUUGGUCGAUUACAAGAGAAGCUCAAUGCAGCUUACUUGGUUCCUCUUGGUAGAUGGAAAUAUAAUUUUUCUCCUAAUAACAAAGGUUUAGUGCAAUCAAUGAUGGGCUGUAUAGAACAACUUUUUUGUUUUAUAUGUUUAUGUGAGACAAGUUUUGCCAGAUUGAAUUAAUGUCUUCUAGCUAUGUACCUUAUCUUUUUGCCGGGCCAUGAGUUGAAUGUAGAGGCAGAGCAUGGCCUUGGGUUUGUAAAAGACAAAAGACUGAACCAGACGUAAUUAUUUAGAUUUUGGAUCCAGUUCCACAUCCCAAAGAGAAAACCACAAGUUUGCAAGCAAGUUUGUCCAUAUUAACACUACGUAGAGUAUAGGCAGUGUGCUACUCAUCUCACUUUCUCAACCUACCCUAUAUUUGUCUAAAAGAGUUUCUAAUUUCGUGUACUGAUUCACUACUACAUUUUACACUUUGUGCGACGAAGAGAAUUUCGUCACGCAAAAUACAUUGGUCGCGCAAAGUUUAAAAAAAAUUUUAAAAAAAUAAAAAAUUCCCGCGUCCAAUUUUUGGUACUUGUCCAAAUUUUUUGAGUUUUGCGCGACGAAUACUAACAUCGCGCAAAUAUUUGCGCGACGAAAUAUUUUUUGUUUUAAAUUUUUUUAAUUUAAAAUAAACUAAUUUAAUAGUUUGCGCUACGAAAUAUUUUGUCGCGCAAGGUUUUUGACUUUUUGUUUUAUUAUUUCUUUAAUAUGAAUUUAUUUAUAUGAAUUUUUUGAAAUUUUUACUUUUUAAAUUUAAUUUAAUUGUAUGAUUUCUUUUUAAAAUUACUUUAAUUUAAAUUGAUAUUAAUUUUUACUUUUUAAAUUUAAUUUAAUUGUAUGAUUUUUUUUAAUUACUUUAAUUUAAAUUGACAUAUUCAAAAUAAAAUUACAUAUGAAAAAUAGUGAUUAAAUUAUCCAAUAAAUAUAUAUAUAUAUAUAAUAUUCAAAAUGUACACAUAAAUUAACAAAGCACAAUAAUAAAAUCCUAAUACAAGCGUAUUGUGGUGGUAGUGUCGGAGGAUAUGUUUUGAUAGCUUCCUAAUCCUCAACUUUAGCCGUCAAAGUCUCGAUGAUUCCCUACAAAAAAAAUAAAUAUGGUCAAAUAACCACAAACAAAAAAAAAAAAAAAAAAAAAGGCAUAAUCUCCCCUAAAAUUGUUAUACCACAAAUCCAACCCAAACUCCAAUCCCUCCCCUUUACUCAACCCCAAAACCCACACAAACUCAAAAUUAACUCCAAAAACACAUAUUAAUGAAAAAAAUUUAAAAUUUGGAGAGAAUAUACCUUUUGGCAAGAUUGAGAGUGAAUGAGAGGGAGAAGUGAGUGUGAGAGAAUUAGAGAAGAUAGUGAUAGAGAGAUGAGAGAGAUGAGAGAGUGAGUGAGAGAGAGUGAGAGAUAGUGAAGAGAGAGAUGAGAGAUUAAGUGAGAGGAGUGAGUGAGAGAAAUGGUGGGAUUUGGGGAGAGGGAAAGAGAAAGGAGAGGUAAGAGUAGAGAAAGGCAUUGAGAAAAUGGUGGAUGAGUUAUUUCGGUUUUAAAAACCGUAUCACUUUGCGUGACGAAAAAUAUUGUUGGUCGCGCAAAGGUUUGCGCGACGAAAAAUAUUGGAAUAUUGAUCGCGCAAACUUUUGAGCGACGAAACAUAUUGGUCGCGCAAAGUCUAAAAAAAUUAUUUAAAAAAAAUAAAAAUCCCCGCGUCCCAUUUUUGGUACCCGCCAAAAUUUUUAAAUUUUUGCGCGACGAAUAUAGGAAUAUUGAUCGCGCAAAGUCUAAAAAAAUUAUUUAAAAAAAUAAAAAUCCCCGCGUCCCAUUUUUGGUACCCGCCAAAAUUUUUAAAUUUUUGCGCGACGAAUAUAGGAAUAUUGGUCGCGCAAAGUCUAAAAAAAUUAUUUAAAAAAAUAAAAAUCCCCGCGUCCCAUUUUUGGUACCCGCCAAAAUUUUUCAAUUUUUGCGCGACGAAAAAUACAUAUUGGUCGCGCAAAGUCUAAAAAAAUUAUUUAAAAAAAUAAAAAUCCCCGCGUCCCAUUUUUGGUACCCGCCAAAAUUUUUAAAUUUUUGCGCGACGAAAAAUACAUACUGGUCGCGCAAAGUCUAAAAAAAUUCCCGCGUCCGAUUUUUGGUACCCGCCCAAAUUUUUGCGAGACGAAAAAUAUAUAUUGGUCGCGCAAAGUUUUGAGCGACAAAAAAUAUUGGUCGCGCAAAGUCUAAAAUUUUUUUAUUUUUUUUUUAAAAUCCAGCGUCCCAUUUUUGGUACCCGUCCAAAUUUUUAGAGUUUUGCGCGACAAACUGUUGGUUGCGCAAACUUUUGAGAGACGAAAAAUUGGUUCGUAACACAAUAUUUAUAAAAAUAAUUGUUAUGAAUAAUAAAAAUAAAAUUAUUUUAUUUUACAAUUUAAAAUAUAAAUAAGGUUAAAGCUGCUUAAGAAAUAUAUAUACUAUUCAAUUUCUUAAGUGUUAUACGUACAAAAUAAAUAAAUUUAAAGGUACUUAAUAAAUAAAUAUAUAUACACACACCAUUCAACGAUCCAACCGUCAGACUUAUUUGUAUAUACUUCAAGAUCGUAUACCCCAAAAAUCACAAAAAACAAACAUUUAGAGAUCUAGUAACGAGACAAAACUUUUCGAUGGUUAUAAAUGAAAAAUUACGAUUUAACGGUUAUUUUAACUCCGAUUUUGAUGAUUUUUUUUUACAGCUACACUCCUUGACCAUAUAUGAAUACAAUGACUGAAUUUGAUCUUCAAUUUAAAAUAUUUACACUAGUGGAUACCACAAAAUCUUAUGUUAUAUCUAACGAACGUAUAAAUAACCUCUUAAUUGUUAGUGAAUAUAUUGUUUUGAUGGCAUAUGCAUUCACCAAAACUAGUUUCAACGAUCCAACCAUCAAACUUGUUUGUUUAUACUUCGAGAUCAUAUACGCCAAAAAUCAGAAAAAAUAAACAUUCAGAGAUCAAGUAAUGGGACAAAAAUUUUCGACGGUUAUAAUGAAAAAUCACGAUUUAACGGUUAUUUUAACUCCGAUUUUGAUGAUUUUUUACAGCUACACUCCUUGACCCUAUAUGAAUACAAUGACUGAAUUUGAUCUUCAAUUUAAAAUAUUUACACUAGUGUAUACCACAAAAUCUUAUGUUAUAUUUAACGAACGUAUAAAUAAACUCUUAAUUGUUAGUGAAUAUAUUGUUUUGAUGGCAUAUGCAUUCACCAAAACUAGUUUCAACGAUCCAACCGUCAAACUUGUUUGUUUAUACUUCGAGAUCAUAUACGCCAAAAAUCGGAAAAAAUAAACAUUCAGAGAUCAAGUAAUGGGACAAAACUUUUCGACGGUUAUAAUGAAAAAUCACGAUUUAACGGUUAUUUUAACUCCGAUUUUGAUGAUUUUUUACAGCUACACUCCUUGAACCUAUAUGAAUACAAUGACUGAAUUUGAUCUUCAAUUUAAAAUAUUUACACUAGUGGAUACCACAAAAUCUUAUGUUAUAUUUAACGAACGUAUAAAUAAACUCUUAAUUGUUAGUGAAUAUAUUGUUUUGAUGGCAUAUGCAUUUACCAAAACUAGUUUCAACGAUCCAACCGUCAACCUUGUUUGUUUAUACUUCGAGAUCAUAUACGCCAAAAAUCGGAAAAAAUAAACAUUCAGAGAUCAAGUAAUGAGACAAAACUUUUCGACGGUUAUAAUGAAAAAUCACGAUUUAACGGUUAUUUUAACUCCGAUUUUGAUGAUUUUUUACAGCUACACUCCUUGACCCUAUAUGAAUACAAUGAACUAAUUCGAUCGUCAAUUUAAAAUAUAUAUUUUCUAACAAAAACCCAAUCUGAACAACAAUAAUAUAUUUUUCUAACAAAAAUCCGAUCCGAUCUAAAAUAAUAAAUUUAAAGCUACUUAAUAAAUAUAUAUACUGUUUAAUUUCUUAAGUGUUAUGCAUACAAAAUAAAAAACAAAAAUAAAUUAGUAUAGGCGACAAAAUGUUUGGAUUACGUCAUGCAAAGAUUUUAAAAUAUAUAUAUAUAUUAUUUUUAUAAGGACUUUGCGCGACGAAGUUCAUUGUUUCGUCGCGCAAAGUCACUUUGAGCGACGAUGUAUUGUUGUCGCGCAAAAGUUUGUCGCGCAAAGUUACUUUGCGCGACGAAUUUUUUUUCAUCGCUCAAAAUUUGGUCGCGCAAGACUUUGAGUGACGAUGUAUUGUCGUCGCGCAAAAGUUUGUCGCGCGAAGUGACUUUGCGCUACGAAUUGUUUUUCGUCACGCAAAAUUUGGUCGCGCAAGACUUUGAGCGACGAAGUUUUGAGUUUCGUCGCGCAAAGUGACUUUGAGCGACGAAUAGUUUUUCGUCGCGCAAAAUUUGGUCGCGCAAGGGGUUUUUUUUUACUAGUAUGAGUUUUAUAUACAAUUUAUAACAAUAUUUUCAGGCAAAAAAAUGUCUUGGCAAGAAAAUGUACAAUUUGUUACGUACUUAACUGGAACGAUUACCUUCAAAUUCCUAUGGCCAAUUACCUUCUUUUUUCUUCCUUUUUUUUUUUUUUUUUUUUUUGGUUGUUGUUGUUCUUUUGAUCAAGUUGCAUAUUCCAAAGAACGAAAACCAGUACAGGCUCUUUUCCAAUGCAAGCUCUUUUCCCAUGUUUCCCUCUGUUUUUCUCCUAUUUUUCUUAUAUGGAAGUGAUUAAAAUACACCUCUAAGCUUGUUUUGCGUUUGGUAACCGACUGUAAAAGCUCAAUGCAGAUAGUUUGAGGUAGAAUUUUCUCCAAUUUUACUAGCACAGUGAUAAGCUAUACUAUAUGUAACAACAAAUUGCUUUAAUAAUGAUAAUGAAAAAAGUGUGAUCCAUCGAAUAUUUGCGGGGUUUUGUUCCAAGUCAACACAUCAAAUUCUUUUACACCAUGAAAUUAAAAAAAAUUUAUUCAACCAUCUCGACCUUAUGCUCGAUCAUUUUGCACAAGCAACCGUCCACGUACCCCAAUAAUUUAAAAGGGCUGAUGAUCUUUAAUUUGGCGAAAGCUUCUAUCUACUUCUACCGCGCUAUAUAUGAGCUAUGCAAUUGUGACGGUGUUACAUGACGUCACAAUGUCGUAGGGAUAAAAAAAUAAUAGUCAUGGUUUCUUAUUAAUGUUAAUACAGGCAUAGCAAAAAGCUUGUAUUUCUAGUGGUUAAGAACAAUUACCCAUGCACUUGAGAUAUUAUGUGCUUAAAUCCCCUCUUCCCCAAUAUUUCUUGUAUAAAAAUAAAAAUAAAAAUAAAAAUAAUAAAGAUAUUGAUAUUGUAUUCUAUAAAGUGUUGGACAUGUUUUAUACCCCUUUACUGCAAAUUACAGUUUGACACAUGUACAAAAAUAAUAGGUAAGUGUUGGACAUCAAGAGUACUUACAUAUAGGUUUAAUAGGUAAGUUUUGAAUAUUUCUGUCUUUAGCUUUAAUUAUUGAAAAUCAACCUAUUAUCAUAUUAAAGACUUAUCCAUGUUCAACGUACAUUCUCUUAUUUUUCUCUCAUUGAAGUAAAUACAAAACUAAGCACAUAGUGGAAAAGUAGGUCACGAUUAGGGGUGGGUUUGGUCUGGGUUGGUUCAGUUUUGGGCUCAACCCGAACACCGAACCGUAGACCUCGAUUUGGCUAUUUUGGAAACCAAAACUAAACCAUAAUUAAUGAAAACCGACCACUUCAAUUACCUUCUGGUCUUCCAACCAGAAGAAAACUCAAAACUUUAACCAUACCAAGUGCAACAGAAUUACACCAGGCUGGAGUCAAGUUUAUGAUGGUUAAAGAUAAAAACUUAUUUGACAUACAAUUUGAGAAUGGAAUCCUCAAAAUUCCACACCUGCGAAUACAGGGUUAAACAGAAAUUUUCUUCCGCAAUUUUAUUGCCUAUGAGCAGUGUGAGCUCCAUGAUCAUUACAUCAACAACUAUGUCUUCGUCAUGGACCGCCUGGUCGACAGUGCCAGGGAUGUGGAAUUGCUUGUGAAGAGUGGAAUUCUUGAAUCCAUGCUACCGGACAGCGAGGCAGCAGGGGAAUUUAUUAAUUCUCUUGACUUGGGGCCUAUUUUAGGCAAGCUUGAAACAAGACUAUUUCAGUUCACCAUGGGCUGGCCUGUCUAUUAUUGUAGCCGCUAUACUAGUUGUGCUCACAUUUAUUCAAACAGUGUGCUCCGUAAUGGCGCUGUAGGUUCUUCAUUUCCUCAAUUUCAUGUUUAGUGGUUGCAGAUUUGUUGCUCAUGUACGUGUUUAUCUAAAGUUAAAUAAGAGUGAUUGACUGAUAGUCUGUUAGUUUGUUUUUCUGGGGUUUUUCCCCUGUUCGUCAAAAAAGAAAAAGAGAAAGAGUGAUUGCUUGUGCCUGUUUGGGCCUAAUUUGACACACCCAAUCCAAAAUCAAAAAGUCCAUGUCAAUUUUGGACAGCCACCAGCAUUCCCUUUGUAAUUAGGCCAAAAACUGCACACCCAACCUAGCACUGGAGCCUAGAACAAACAAGGUAAACUCAGGACCCAAGCAGUUUGAUUUUUUCAUUUAAAUUGGAAUCAAGGGCCCCAAGUCAAAAAAGCCCAAGCCCAAGGCAGAUUUUUUACCAAAAAGACCCAAGGAAGCCCAGUGCAUGCGAAUUGCUUAGCCCACAAUCCCAAAACUCAAAACUAAGUUUGGCAUGAUUAAAUAAAGAUAGAGAGAAGCCCAAAAUUGAAGAAACCCAAAACAGUUUUAUCAAAAUUGUCAGCUCUCUACCCAAGACCUAAAAAGGGUCAAAAAUACCACUAUUGGCAAAAUUGACGCACUCAGCCUUGGAUCACAAAGAAAUCCACGUGACUAUUUGACUUUGAGAAGUCAACAAUUUCAACUAGUCACAAGAGAAGUUGAUUGGAAUUAAUGUAGGCAGGUCAUUACAGAAAAGACUUCUUUGAAACUCUGUAGCCAAAAGAUCAAAAUCCCUUUCUAUAUAAUUCUGCAUCAGAGUAGGUGGUCUUUCCAAGAGAUAAGCAGACUACGUUUUCAAGAGAUAAGUAGAGAAUGAGGGAGUUGUUCAACAAGAAAAGCAAACUAACCAUCAUGAUAGGUUGUGUUCUUUCUCUCUACAAAAAACAAUAGGGAACAAAGAAGAGUUGGUUUUUCUUUCAGAAAAAGGAAGGAAAAGACCUACAUGAAAACUAAUUAUUGAUGGUUCUUCUCUGCCAGAACAGAUAACUUCUCAUUUUCUUUGACAUUUAAAAAUGAAAGGUCUCGCUUUUACAAAAUCUGCCGCCCAUUAUUUAAAGAUUAGAAAACCCACUCCAGCAUUUCCUAUAAAUAUGAGAGGAGGUGAUGUCACAUCACGGGAUUGGCUCUGCCGUAGCACGAUAUUGUCCACUUUGCGCCCCCCUCUCUACCCUCACGGUUUUAUUUUUGGGAACUCACGAGCAACUUCCCAGUGGGUCACUCAUCUUGGGAUUGCUCUAGCCCCCAGCUCGCUUAACUUCGGAGUUCCCAUGACUCCGAAGCCAAUGAGCUCCCAAAAGGCCUCGUGUUAGAUGGAGGCGGGCAUGUACAUAUAAGGCACAUCACCUCCUCUCCGUUGGUCGAUGUGGGAUGUUACAGGUGAACAUAUCAAAGGACAGCCAAAAAAUCAAUCAAAGACAAAAACUCAAAAUGAUCACUUGAUCUCAAAAGCCUUCAAAACACUGAAGCAAGCAAAGCUCAUUGAGCCACAACGAACAAGUCAGCUAGAAUUCAGAAUCUUUAGAGUCAGUUCAGUUUCAGAGAAAUAAUCAAAGAAAGCGAGAUCUCUCUCGUUACAAAUUUGGUUCAGCUUAAAGCCAAAACAAGCAGAGUUCAGGUUCUUACAAAUAUGAAAACCUCAAUAAAUUUAUGGAGAGCCCUGAUCAAGCAAAACAGGUACUACAGUGCAGUUCUAGCUUAGUAAUAAUCAAAUCCACCCACUUCUGCCCCUUCCAGAUUGAGAAGGUCCCAAUUCUGCCCAUUCAAAAAGCCUUCCAAGACUUGAAAUAGAUUAAAGCUCUGCCAAACUCAAAUGUUGGAAUCAAUUCGCAGCUGAAACAUGACAGUUGAAGGUGUUGAUAGUCCAGUCCAGCACAGACAUACCCAGUCUAGCCCAGAUCAGAAGCAUUCACCGAGGCAGAAAUUGAAGUCCAAAGCUCUUUUUGUCUUUUUAGAGUUGGUCUUCCUUUUCUGAGCUUUGUAAAAGGCAAUUCUGCCUAAAACAGUUCACUUUCUUAUCAUUUAUUCUGGCCAGAACUACCAGUUUUGUACUGUGAAAAAUUAUGAAGUCCUCACCAGUCUAAGGCAAGAAAAGAACUUACUUGGGAGAUAUUCCUCACCAAAUUCACAACCGUUUGUUUAGAAAUCAGUAACUUGGUGUAACGACCCGGUCCUAAAUAAAUUGGUAAUUAUUAAUUUAUUCAGAUAAAAGACCAUUUUGCCCAUAGAAUAUUUUAAUAGGUUUACAUGUUGACCCGGGAGGCUUCGGUGAAAUUGUUACAUCUCGGUCCGAAAAAGUGUUAAAAUAAUUAAAGUAGAGUGCUGCUAAAAGAACCCUAAAAUUAACUGAGUACACCCUAUGAUCUAAGUACACCCUAAUAUUUUAAUUAAAAUAUAAAAUUAACUAAGUACACCCUAUAAAACUAUCAAAAAUAACACUGAUACACCCUAAUACUUGUAGCAUUAUUUUAUAGUUGAUUAUUUUAAUAGUGUUUAUAAAUCUUUGACUUUUCAUAUGGAUUUAUGCUUCUACUAAAAUUGUUGCCACUUUUUUUCCAAUUCCAAGUUCUUGCAAUCACCACAUCUUUCGUUAAAAACACAAUAGGACAAGCAAUCUCUUGAUUAGGGUUGAAUAUGGUUAGUAGGGUGUACUUAUUAAUAUUAUAUUUGUUUCACAAUUCCAUAUAUCCUUUUUGGUCAUUUUAUAUUAGGGUAAACCAGUAAUUCAAUAUAUACUUUUAUAGUAGGGUGUACUCAGUUAAUUUUAGGGUUCGUUUAGCAGCACUCUUAAAGUAAGAGAGAAUAAAAUGAAAUAAACAUUAAAAUAAAAUGAUUUGAAUUAAUUAAGGUUUUUGAGAAAUUAAAAUAUUAUUUAAUAUUAUAAGGGGAAAAAGAUCAUUUUAAGUUUGGGAAGGAAUUUGGAAAUUCCAAUUGUACCGUUGUGUAGAGCAUGUCGAAACGAGUCCGUAGACACGUAGUGGACUCGAAUCGUAGUUAUAACGGAGAAAUGGCGAUCAAAAGAAGUUCAGUGGCAUAGCCAUAAAUAUUUCGAAGUUCAGUUUUUUUAAAACCCAAAUUUCUUCUCUCUGGGGAGUGGGAGAGCCAACUUCAAAUGGUGAUUUCUCCCAACUCCGACCACCACACUUCCCUCUUCCUUCAGUUUUGGCAUCAUGAUGGGUUCCAUCCCGGAAUGACACAUUUUCGACGCUAAGGACGUCACAAAUGGUAUUUGAGAUGCUUUGUAAAUUUGUAACCAUGGAAAACACAAUGAACUUUAUGUUCGGAGUUGCAAGAGAACAUUAAGGGGAAUAUGGAGAGUGGGAAAAUAGUAAUAAGUGGAGAUCUGUAUGCUUACUUACUACUGAACUUCCGUCGUGGUGGUUAGUAUGAAAAAGUGUUAGAGAUUAUAGAUUUUAUGGAGGAACAUGGUUGUACACUGAUAAGUAGUCGGUAGGAGUUGAUUUAAGUUCCAAGAGAAAUUCAUUAUGAACUGGGAUGAAUUACUGCAAGAUUCUUGCUGUUUUGAAGUUAUUGAUUUUAGGGGCAUCACCUCUGAAUGAUCAUAAUAACCAUGCGUGGGCUCUGCAUGAGGUUUCUUUGACAUUGUUUGAUUUUGUGUAUUGAUAAUUACACUUAGGGGUGUCACGUUUCUAGAAACGUGUCUAUCCAAAUUGUUGUAUCUCAAUAUCCUAUGGAAGGAAAGCUGAGAAGCUGAAAAUACUGGAUUUAUGGUGGUGAGAUAAAAAUUGUCAGGAACUUUCAAAAGUCAAAUUAUUUCACAAAGGGAAAUACUGGAGAGAAGUAUUAGAGAAUUUUCUUUGGAUAAGUUAUAUAGGAGUGGAGGAGUUGCGAGUUUAACCAAGGAGGGUUGUGACAAUUUAAAUUGAGAAGUAGUGGUGUUGGGUGAAGUAUUAUUUCAUUCGCGUGGGCUUGAAUGCCGCGAUUGACAGGAAUGGAACAUUAGGGUUCUUCUUCCUUGCUCUCUCACGCGAGCUCGCCAUAGAGAGUAUUUCUUGGCGUGGUACUGGCUUCGUCCGACCUCCGAUUACUGUGAUUUUUGAAAGGACCCGGCCCAAAUUUCUCAAAAUCCGAGGCGAAUCCUGUGAAAUUCCCGACAUCACUCCGAUGCCAGGCCCACUUACUAAAGACCGAGACUUUCUGCCGAACUUUCGGCAGAGUCUCCCCUAUAAAUUGGACAUUUUCCAAAACUACCACCUGCAUAAAACACAAUUUAUAUCCCCAACUGGCAGCAUGCACAAGAUAAUUUCAUGCAAAUCACAUAAUCGGCCUGCGGCCUUCAAAUAAUUCAAAACGAAACCACCAAGCACACUAUCAAAUUAAUUCCUACCUUAAACAAGGCAAACAAUAAAUUUAAAUAUGAAUUAUGACUACUAAAUUUCAACAUACGAGGUUUUAACCUCCUAACACAAUCACAUCUAUGUCCGCGGCUGCACCUAAUAACCUUAGGCUGCCUACGUACCUUCACUGAGGGAUCAAGCCACACGUAGUUCUUCCGUAAAACCCAAUUCCACACAUAGGCAAUACCUUUAUUCAUUUCUCUGUAUUUCACAUAAUCUCCCCAUACGCCAGUACUACCAUUGCCACGUAUGGGACUUGUCAACAAGCCGGAUAACCUACACCACGUGCGAUCUCAACAUAAUAUCACAUAAUCUCCUCAUACGCCGGUACAACCAGCGCCACGUAUGGGGCCUGUCAACACGCCGGAUAACCUACGCCACGUGCGACCUCAUCAUACUAUCACAUGAUCUCCCCAUACGCAGGUACAACCAACACCACGUAUGGGGCCUGUCUCAACGCCGGAUAACCUACGCCACGUGAGACCUGAACAUAAUAUCACAUAUCUCCUCAUACGCCGGUACAACCAAUGCCACGUAUGGGGCCUGUCAACACGCCGGAUAACCUACGCCACAUGCGACCUCAAUAUACUAUCACAAUAUCUCCCCAUACGCCGGUGCAACCAACGCCACAUAUAGGGUCUGUCUCAAAUUGGAUAACCUACGCCACGCUAGACCUCAACAUCAUAUCACAAUAUCUCCUCAUACGCCGGUACAACCAACGUCACGUAUGGGGUCUGUCCGCAUGCCGGAUAACCUACGCCAUGUGGGACCUAACUUUCACAGAGUGGUACUUGUAGUGUAACCAAAAUCUGGGGAGGUGCCUAAGGUAGUGCAUAUAGCACUUCAAACUGACAUUCUCUCACUUAUCUAAACUAAUACUAGAGGUCUUCCCAUUUUAAUGGUACCAGUCUAUAGUAGAUUGUAACGUAAUUUAAUCAUAAAAAUAAUAUUAUUUCUAGACCAACGAUUAUUCACAUAAACAUGAAUUUCAUAAUUUCACUAUUUAAAAUAAUAUCUAAAAGUUUCCUAUAAUACAAAUAAACACUCUAAAGAUCCCAACUUAGUCAACACAGCUCAACAAUGCUCAAGACCUGUCAUUAGGGUCAUUAUGAUCCUUCUAGGAAGGUAAAACUACCUCGAAAGACUCAAGGUCAACCAAGGGUCAAACCACCCACAAUUGGUCAAACGGGCCCACGGGGCCCACGACCUCCAAAUUCCAAUCCGAAGGUUCCUAUGGGAUCUACAAGGUAUAGGACACUCGUCUUGCAAGUUAAGCCUAGAUCGGAUGGUCAGAUCGCUCACGAUCGCACAAUCUGAUGGUUAAUAUAAAACAUAAACUUUAAAUUAUUUAAUCGGAACAUCCGGGGCUCCCGAUUCACGAUCUGUUCCUACACGAUCCUAGAAAUACAUAGAUUAACAUAUAUUAAAUUUGAGACCAUCCAACGGUCCUAACCUAUCGAACCCGGAUAACGCGCAAUAGGCGAUAUUCGUUCGAUAGUCAAACGACGUCCGAAUUGAGAUUUACGAAAUCCUACGCACUCGUGACAACCUAAGGAUCUCAUUGAGACAUAUUGCUAUCCCAAAACCGACCGAAAUCCAAUUCGAAAAUCGAGUUACUUACGUUAAGAAUCGACCGAAUCCUACCCAACAGGCAGCUAGAGCAUGAAAAGUAUGUGAGAAACCAUACCUCACUCGUCGAAAUCAGUGGCCAAAGGAGGGAGAUCGACGAUAGAGAAGUUCGGACGAACUGACCGCUUCUUCUCCAUUUUUCAGCGAAACCACGGUAGCUGGUGGCGGGACCUAGCUGGGGUUGGAAGAGGAUGACGCCCCGGUCAUUUUGGUAUCGGCCUCGUGGUCAUCGGUGGCCGGAUGAGAAAACAGCCGGCGAAAAUGUGACCGGCUGCCGUUGCGCACGCGAGAGAGACCACGAGAGAGAGAGAGAGAGAGAGAGAGAGAGAAAUCUGAUUGUGCCACUGAGAUUCUUUUGACCAUAUCUCUCUCGUUACAACUCCGAUUCAAGCCCACCACGUGUCUACGGACUCAUCUCGGUACGACCUAUCCAAAAAUACCAAUCACUACCCCAAAUACUUUUUGGAUCAGAAAGUGACCAAAUUACCCCUACCUCAAUGGUAACUUUGUAAUUUCACUUAAAUAAUUUAAAUAAGGGAUUAAAUUUGGAGUCGGGGUGUUACAAUUUUUGUUGCUAAAUGUUGUCAUCAUUUCUCCUCUACAUCACUCAGUGAUCAUUCACUCCCAUUUCUCUAGUUUACACGGUGAAUUUUAUUUCUAAAAUUUCUUAAAAUUCCGGCCACUGUGAGUUUGACCAGCGACUUGGGUUACUUUUGCCCAUCUUUUUGGAAAUGGAACCGAUUUGAGGAAGAUUAGGAGGAAAGAUACAUAGGCCGCUGAGGCAGAAGUAAAGCCGGAGCUUUACCAUAGACAGAAGUUGUUUUAGAAGUCCUGGAAGAUUGUGAACAGGAAUUGGAAGUUUGCAUGGGGUGAUAGGAUUUUUAGUACUUGUGCAAACAGUGUUAAAAAUCACAUAAAAUACUUGCAAGAAUACAAGGCUAUUGUAGUCUAGAUGCUCAUGCAAGGUCGUUUUCCUCAAGGACUAAUUAGCAAUUUAUGUAAAAAUAAAUUCCAAUUACUACUUAAAAUAAAAAGUCAAGAAAGAUGAUUAUAAAUUUGGUUGAUUCUAAAAAACAAAUAUUAAACAAAAACAAAUACGAUUGAAAGAAAGAGUUUUGAAUAUCAAUUUAUAAAAACACUAGGGUUUCACCAUCACCUAGCAAUCCUAUGAACUUUUACCAAUUACUUAUGAUUUGCACAUGCCACUUUGAAGGUUAGGUUUUCCUAAUGUAUAUUCUACUUAGAACCUCCAACACAGAAUGUAUAUCCAACAUGCAACCCGUCCGGACGUUCGGAUCAAAUCUGAACAUGAAAGACUCAUUAAGUUUUGUGAAAACCCUUUGAAAAACCAUGCAACCCUUAAGACGUGGUGUUCAUCUUAAGUGAAAUUACAAUUAUUAAUCAGAAGAAGCUAGCAUCAAUUUCAGGGAACCUUCCGACCAAAAUUGCAUCCAAUUACUUUUCUAAAGAUCCUAAUGGUGAUCAGGCAUUAAGACAAUUAGAUAGUUUAAAACAGUGAUUAACAAUUCAAAAUACGCAUGCACUCAUCAUAAGCAAUUAAAUAAAAAUCACAUAUUCAUGCUAAGGUUCAAGGCUUCACCCUAGCAAAAGAAAUUUAGUUACGCAUACUCAUAAUUGAAAUCCAAGAAAAUAUCAUUAAGAAGAAAAGAACGAAAACACCUGAAAGUUGUGAAAACCCAAAACCCUAGCAAUUGCUCUCCACAAUGCAAAGUUCAAAAGUGAAAAGGGAGUCCUCCAUUCCUUGUGAGAAAGAGCUUAAAUACCCCUUAAAACCUAGCUGCCAAUGUACAGCUUUUCUAUCCCCACAAGGAAACUAAUUAAAAUAAAAUAAUACUAGGAAAUAAAGUCCAAAUUGGAAUAGGAGAAUCUGCUCAAAAUCUGCCCAGCCACGUUUUGGCCCCAAAUCUCCUCCAAAUCUGGCCCAAGAUAGCUUGUUUUAAAGAUAAAAAAUGUUCUGAACACUUCUUUAGAAGGCCACGAACCCAUCCGAGGUCAUCUUGGGCUCCAAAAACGCAAUAAAAGCCCAACACGUCACUAUUCCAGCACCGCGCACUGCUCCUUUAUUUUGUUGCCAGAAAAUAACCGCUUGGAAGAAAAAUCUGAAAUUUUGAUACGAUCAAGCUAAGUGACUCAAGAACGUCCUCCAACUGGAAUUACUCCAAAAUUCCUCAAUUUGAUUAUGUUUUGCUCCAGAGAGAUUCGAAAGUCCUAUAUUGGAAAUAUAAUUCAAAGUAUCAAAAGUCUUCCAAAAUAAUAACCAAAAUAUACUAAGAAUGAGGUUAAAUAUAUAAUAUAAAAUAUGUCCAUCAAAAUACCCCCAAACUUAGCUUUUGCUUGUCCUCAAGUGAAACAAGACUCAAACAAAAAUAAAAACUUAACAGAUUAGACAUCUGGCUAACACUUAACUAGGACAAAAUUUCCACCUUCAAGUUGCAAUCCAUAGAAAAUUUUAAAAACUAGAACAUCCUUUCAAUAGAUCUAAGUAAUCCCACCACAAAGUCUAAGCUAUUUAGACUCAAUUAGAAAAGAAUUCACAAACUUCUUUCGGUGCAAAGUGAACCAUUAUGGUUAUGGAGACUUGACUAAAACCCUUAACUCUCAUCCCUUUUAUUCAUACUUCACACACUCCACACUUUUUGUUUUUUUUGUUUUUUGUUUUUUGUUUUUUUGUUUUUUUUUCUUUUUGUUUUUAUAGUAACAGUAGUGGUUGUGCAAUGUUGGUUCCCUUAAGCUUUCAAUCCAACCGUGUAGCCAGCUUUAGGUCAAUGUCUCCCAAACCACUCGGGUUUUAGGGCACUAGGUGUAGAACACCCCUAAGGACUUAUUAACUCAAGCUGAAAAGGCUACGAAACCAACUAACCACCCUGCCUCAUGCCAAAACUCUACCUUUUGUCUCGAGAAUCACUGCUGAUUAGGCAGGAUUGACCCGGUUACUAGCAAAGCUUCGGGUGAGGUAAUUAUUACUUUAUAACACAAACUAACUUUAUUUAUAUUGAACAUAAAUUAAAACACAUUUGGACAAAAAGUAAGUAUUCCAAUCUCACUCCCCAAAAACCAUGUUGGUGUGAUGUGCAAAUUUCAAAGUAUAAUUCAUGAAUUAAUGUCUAAGCAACAAUAAAUAGAAAAUACUCUACCGUGGGAUUGAUUUUCACCAUGUCCAUUUGUUCUAACGUUUAAAAUAAUCUAUGGAUAUUGACUGAAAAACGAAAAUUUGUAAACAAGACUCAAAAAAUGAAAAAUAAAAAAAAUUACGUUCCCACCCCCUAACUUAAAUCACACAUUGUCCUCAAGGUGGGGUAAAUAAUCAAAAGAAACAAGAGCAGAAACAAAACGACUAAAACUUAGAAAAUGGAAAUCAAAAAUAAAGAAAAUACUCUAAGAAAAGAAAUUAGGAAGGCAAAGGAUGAGAUCCAGAUGGAUCUGGUAAUCCUAUCCGUAGAGAUGGAAAGAUUCUAUACACGCCAUUGAGACUGGAUUUGGAGAUGAGGAUUUGACCCUACCUUGUUCGACGAAUUCCCUCAAGGGGAAUUAUAGCAAUAAAAUACAUAUGCUUCUACAAACAUUUAAUUGCACUGCUACGACGUGGAAAGAGUGCUUUGGGGUCUCAUCUCAUGUGAACCCGUUCGAGUAGAAAUCUUUCAUUAGAAUCAGAAAUGGGUCAUGGUAAAGAGAGGUAGAUGAUGAUUACAGUUCGGUAAAAAUGAUCAUUUCUGACAUUCCUCUCAAAGAACCGUGUUGGCAAUGUCGUUUAUCGAUUCUAAAGAAAGAAGAAAAAUAUCAACAAGUCAAAGAACGUGGAUUUCUUUUAAGGGGAGAGCUAGAACAAAAUCAAAUCACGAAUGGAAGAGUUUAGCUUUCAGAGGAAGAUUGAGCAUUACAGCAGCUAUUAAAGGAUAUUUUUAGUUGAAGAAUGAGAUUUUUCUUCCUCUGAUUGUUUAGCUAGAGCUUUUGGCUUGACUGCCAACGUGGUUGUGGAGGAAGAAACUUGGGAACCCGAGUAGUAGAUGCGAGCCCACUACCCAUACCCCUUUUGAGUGACAGGUAUGAAAUUUCAAGGAUGAAAUUUUUAUAAGAGGGGUAGAUUGUAACGACCCGGUCCUAAAUAAAUUGGUAAUUAUUAAUUUAUUCAUAUAAAAGACCAUUUUGCCCCCAUAAUAUUUUAAUAGGUUUACAUGUUGACUUGUUGACCGGGGAGGCUUUGGUGAAAUUGUUACAUCCCGGUCUGAAAAAGUGUUAAAAUAAUUAAAGUAAGAGAGAAUAAAUUGAAAUAAACAUUAAAAUAAAAUGAUUUGAAUUAAUUAAGGUGUUUGAGAAAUUAAAAUAUUAUUUAAAAUUAUAAGGGGCAAAAAGAUCAUUUUAAGUUUGGGAAGGAAUUUGAAAAUUUUGAUUGUACCGUUGUGUGGAGCACGUCGAAACGAGUCCGUAGACACAUAGUGGACUCGAAUCGGAGUUGUAACGAAAAAAUGGCGAUCAAAAGAAUUUCAGUGGCAUAACCGUAAAUAUUUUGAAGUUCAGUUUUUUUAAAACCCACAUUUAUUCUCUCUGGGGAGUGGGACGUGCCAACUUCAAAUGGUGAUUUCUCCCAACUCCGGCCACCAAUUCAAGUAAGACCGGCCCCGUUAGAACCACCACACUUCCCUCUUCCAGUCCCAGCCCAUCUCAGUCUCGAUCCGCCGUCGUAGUCGCCGAAAAUCGCCACGAAACAAGGUGGUUUGGAUAGUUUUUGUCGAAAUUUCGUGGAGCUCGUUCUCCCUCCUCCGGCCACCGUUUCAGGCGAGUGAGGUAUCAUUUCUCACCUAUUUUCUAUGAUAUAGCUGAUGGUUGGAUAUGAUUUGAUAAAUUUUGAGCGUUGAUAGUUCGAUUUUCGAAUCAAAGUUUGGCCGAAUUUCGGGAUGAAAUUCCGGCCACUUUCGAUCACUUUUUGGGGUAGGCCCAAGAACAAAAGUGUCUUCAAUUGAUGUCCUGAUCCCAGGGUAAGAGCAUUGGUCGAAAAUUUUGAGAUUUUCCUGCUGGUGGUAUCGCUUUGGGCACCCAUGCGCUGAUGGCGCGUGUGGCAGCGUGUGGGCACUGUAGCAGAGGGCCAUUGUGUCCCAAUGCGACCCCCUUGUUGUCACGAGUGCGUAAGGGUGCUCGGAUUCCAAUUUGGUUGAGGUUUGAACCCCGAAUGGAUUUCGUAUAUUGUACAUUAUCCGGGUUUGAUAGGUUUGAACCGUUGGAUAGUCUUGAAUUUAAUAUAUGUUAGUCUAGACAUCCCUAGGAUCAUAUAGGAUUUCGCGGAUCAUGGAUCGGAGCCCCGGAUGUUCUGAUUUAAUAAAUUAAAGUUUGUGUUUUACAAUAACCGUCCGAUCGUGCGAUCGCGAGCAAUCCGACAGUCCGAUCCGAACCAAACUUGCAGGACGGGUAUCCUAAAUCUUGUAGAACCCAUAGGAGCUUUCGGAUAAGAAUUUGGAGGUCGUGGGCCCGGUUGACCAAGAUUAGGUAGUUUGACCCCUCGGUUGACCAUGAGUCUUCCGAGGUAGUUUCACCCUUCGAGGAGUACUAGAAUGACCUUAUUACAUAGUCUCGACCUUUAAUUGAGCUAUGUUGACUAUGUUGAGAUUUUUAGAGUGUUUAUUAUUAUCGUAUGAAAACUCUUGGAUAUUACUUUUAAUAAUUGAAAUUAUGGAUUUGAUGAGCGUGGGUAAAUUGAUUUGAUGAGUGGUGAAAAGAAGUCGUGGGCUUGGCUAUGACUAUUAGGAAGUGAGGGGACAUUUAUGUUGAAUAUGCAUUAAUUUCAACAAUUGAAAGAACAUGCAUGGAAUGGGUAUAUAUAUAUAUAUAGAUAAAUUGGAUUAAAGAUUGAGAAAUUAAUAAGUUGAGAUAUUAGUAAUAUUUAAUUGAGAAAUGGAUUUUGAGGUGGAAAUUGGAAGGUUGAAUUUGGGGAAUUUUGGAAUUGAGAAUUAUGGGUUAAUACUGAAAGAUGUAGGAUUAUACUAUGUAAGUACCAUCCCCUAGUUACUAGGCUUCCCAUACGUGGAGUUGGAAUUUCUGGCGUGUGGGAAGGAUAUAUGAUUAUUAGAUCUCACAUGCCGUUGGAUUUUCCAGCGUGAGACAGACCCCAUACGUGGGGUUGGAUUUUUCGGCGUAUGGGGAGAUUAUGUGAUGGUUAGGUCACACGUAGGGUGGGAUUUUCCAACGUGUUGACAGACCCCAUAAGUGGCGUUGGAUUUUCCGGUGUAUAGGGAGAUUAUGUGAUGGUUAGGUCACACGUGGCAUAGGAUUUUCCAGCGUGUUGACAGACCCCGUACGUGGCGUUGGAUUUUCAGCGUAUGAGGAGAUUAUGUGAUGGUUAGGUCCCAUGUGGCGUAGGAUUUUCCGGCGUGUUGACAGACUCCAUACGUGACGUUGGAUUUUCCGACGUAUGGGGAGAUUAUCUGAUGGUUAGGUCACACGUGGAGUAGGAUUUUUCAGCGUGUUGACAGACCCCAUACGUGACGUUGGAUUUUCCGGCGUAUGGAGAGAUUAUGUGAUGGUUAGGUCACACGUGGCGUAGAAUUUUCUGGCGUGUUGACAGACCCCAUAUGUGGCGUUGGAUUUUCCGGCAUAUGGGGAGAUAAUGAGAUGGUUAGGUCACACGUGGCAUAGGAUUUUCUGGCUUGUUGACAGACCCCAUAUGUGGCGUUGGAUUUUCGCGCGUAUGGGAAGGAUAUGUGAUUAUUAGGUCUCACAGGUGGCGUUGGAAUUUCCGGCGUAUGAGACACUAACAGUGAGAAGAGAAUGAGAUUAUUUUUCUAUAUCAGAGAAAGGUUAGAGUAUAAAAAGAAAUAUGUUUGGUGUGUGGUAAUUUAAAUUAAAACAGGGAAAGAUAACUUACCUGUACUACUGAAACAGUUGUGUAACAUUUGGAGCAUGAUUAUGGAGUGAAAGAACUACGUGUGGCUUGAUCUCUCAGUAAGGGUACGUAGGCAACCUAGGUGCAGUCGUAGACUAAACGUUAUUUAUGUUGUUUUAUUGAGAUUGGUUCUGACCCUGUCGUUGGUCCUGAAAUUCGGUUGAAAACUAGAUGCGAGUAAAUAAUUGUUCAUACUCCCGUUUCGUUGAGGGAGGAUUGUGUAAAUGUGUUCUGGUCAAGACAGGUAUAAGAACUCGUUUAGGAUUGAUGUACGAUUUGGGCUAAGGCCUUAAACUACUUGUUGUUGUAUUAGGAGAUUAAAACCUCGCAUGUGGGAUAAUUGGGAAAGUUAGAUGAUGUAAAGUGCACUUAGGCAUUCAUAUAUAUGUUUAAAUUUAUUAUUUGUCUUGCUUAACGUAAUUGUUUGACUUAUGGGCUUUAUUGGUGAUUUGCUUCAGAUUAUUUAAAGGCCGAAGGCCGUUUAUGUGAAUUGCAUUUUGAUACAUUGUGCAUGCUACUAGUUGUGGAUAUUAAAUGUGUUUUAUGCAGGUUGAAAUUUUUGGGAUUGUUCAAAUUACAGGGGAGACUGCCAAAAUUUUGAUAGAAAGUCUCGGUCAUUAGUAAGUGGGCCCGGCAUCGAGGUGAUGUCGGAAUUUACACAAGAUUCCUCUCGGGUUUUCAGGAAUUCGGGGCGGAUCCUGUUACUUGGGGUGCAAAUUAUCCAUUUGUUCACCCGUUUUCGUGUUUUACUUCUGAGGUGGAAGGGCGAAGUUUCCCACUGGCUUGGAGACCACUUGUUGGUCGACAAGUCAGCUUUCUUUGGUGUGUGUGAGCGUGCCACUGCUAGCAAUGUAAAUUCUAGCAGACUUAUUUUUUAGAGUGGAUAACUUGCGCCUCAAGUUACUGACUUCUAAAACAAAUGAUUGUGAAUUUGGGUGAGGAAUAUCUCCCAAGUAAGUUCUUUUCUUGCCUCAAACUGGUGAGGACUUUCACAAUUUAUCUCAGUAUCAAAUGGUUGUUCUGGCCAGAAUAGAUAAUAAUAAAGUAGACUGUUUCAGGCAGAACUGCCUUUUACAAAAUUAAGAAGGGAGAAAUCAACUCUAGAAAGGAAAAAAGAUGGCUGGAAUCCCAUUUCUGCCUGGGUAGAAACUUCUGAUCCGGGCUGGACUGGGUAUGUCUAUGCUGGACGGUGCUGUCAACAACUUUAGCUUGCUCGGCUUUAGUUGUAAAUCGAUACCAAAGUUCAAUUUUGGCAGAGCUUCAAUCUACUUCAAGCCUUGGGAGACUUUUGAGUGGGCAGAACUGCAGCUUCUUCAGUUUGAAGGGACAGAAGUGGCUAUUCUCGAGGAUUUAGCAAGCUGGAACUAUGCUAUAAAAUUUGUUGAGGUUUUCAUAUUUGUGAAAACUCAAACUAUGUUUGUCUUGGCUUUUGCUGAACCAAAUUUGUAACGAGAGGGAUCUUGUUUUCAGAAGACUUAUUUUCUAAGUCUGAACUUUGGAAUUCUGAUCUAAAGCUGUUUUCUUGUUUGUUUUUUUUUGAUUGACUGAUGAAUUGAGUGUCCUUUGUUUCUUUGCCUUCUUUCGCUUUUAUAAGAGAUCCUCCUAAGGAGGUCAUUUUUAAUCCUAAACAAUGGGCGGCAAAAAGAUCUCUUAUAAUGUAAAGUAAGAAGGGUUUCUUAUCAAUCAAGGCAGAUAGGUUCUGAGCAGUCACCUCCUAAAAACAGUCCAUUCCCUGGUUUCCUGGGUGGCAGCUUUCUAAUUCAACCAACGCCACCGUCUGUGUGGGCUUUUUAUGGCAGUUUUGGCUCUUUUCUUUUGUAUUUUCUGAGUGGUUCCCUGUUUCCCGUUCUAAUUUAGAAAGCGUGAUUCGUGAAUUCCUUGGGAGAUGGUGUAUUGAUUUGGAGCAAAAUCUUGAACACAGAUGGGUUUUUGAUCUUCAAUUGGCAGUGUUUCAGAGACGUCCCUCUCACAUUUUUAAACUUUAGUUGGAAUUGCUGACUUUUCCAAAGUUGAGGCAAUCACGUGGGUGUGUCUUUGAUCCCUUGGUUUUGAAUCUAUCGAAAAUUACGGGCUGAUCUUUGAAGCCCAUUUCGAAAGUUUCCACAUCUGGGCUUUCUUUGGGCUGAGGCUUUAUUUCCAACAUUCUUGGUGUGAAGCCCAAACUGUCUGGGUCUUAUUUUCGUUUUUCUCAAGUCUCUGGGCUGGGCAGGCAAUUUUAUCAUGGGCCUGUCUUCUGGUCUUGGGCGUGCCGAAUUUGGGCCCAAACAAUGCCCCCUAAGUCUGAAUCGUUUUGGAAUGGUUUCAGACUUAAUGUUUUGCCAUUUAAUUCACGUGCCAGUUUCUUCCGUGUUUUCGCCCACGUCUGCCACGUUUGCCUGCUACGAACUAGAGUUCGUGGGAAAACGGCUAGUUAUUAUCUAGUUACUAGCUAAUAAUCAUCAGGUGCCGUCCCAUCUUCUUCUUCCCACGUUUUCGAGCCCCUCUUUAAAAGAAAUUCAAAUUCAUAGCUUCUGAAAAAAGAAACCCUAAACCUUCCAGCUCUUGUUCCUGCGAGUUCUUUCUUCGAGAUUUCCAAAGCCUUCUUUAGACCUUCCUUUCUUCUGCUUCUUCCCUUGAAUCAGAAAUGUCUUCCCCAAGGUCCCGCGCUCAGUCUUCUUCCGCUUCAGUUCCUCCCGAUUAUAUCACUGGGAGCGGGAUUGAUGCUCACGCGAUAGAAAUCAGGAGCAAGCUUCAUCCCUUUGCCCAGAAGAAUCUGGACGAGAAUGUCCUCCAUUUGUUUGAGAACACCCUGGUGUUAGGGCCUCACUGGUUUGGUCCUGUUCCAGCUGAGAUGGCAGAAUUGCUAAAAAAGGAUGCCGAGGCUCCUUUGUGUUUUGAGAGCUCUUCUGCCCUGGCUUCUUAUUCUUGGGUUAGCAAGAAUUUGAGCCGGUCCUUCCCGUCCAGCGAGGUGAGGAAUAGUCUGGUCAAAUGGGCAGACUGGAUUGAUAGACUUCUCCCGAGAUAUGGGGGUCACUGGAGGAGAGCUGGGAUUUAUGACGCCAUUUUUCUGUCCAAACAAUCGAUUAACAGAGAUGAGAAUCUGCUUGCUGCUGCUUUAUGCUUCUGGAAUUCUGCCAGCAAUACAUUUGACUUCCGCGUGGGUCCUAUGGCGCCAACCUUGCUGGAUAUGGCUCAGAUUUUUGGGUUCAGGCCCCAUGGUAGGCCUGUUGAUGCCAUUGGAGAUUAUCACAGGCGAAGGAAUCAAGAGAAAGUGGCCACCCCUUUUACUAUCCCUCCAGCCGUGAUCAACCAGAACUGCUCUUUCUCCAACUAUCUGAAGAAGUUCAGUGCUGAUAAGGACAAGGAUCAGCAACAUAUGUUGUUCCUUCUGUAUUGGCUGAAUUGGUUCGUUCUCCCCAAUCGGUCUUCUGCAGUUCUGCUAGAGUACAGACACUUGGCAGAAGCACUCCACAAUCACACUGAUGUGGGGCUCGGGCCUACAGUUCUGGCUCACCUUUUCAAGAAUCUGCAUACUUCCACCCUGGAGAACCCAUUGAACCUGUCAGCCCCUGGCGCAUUCUGGAUGAUCCAGAUCUGGCUGCAGGUUUAUUUUCCAGAACUAAGGUUCCCAGACAUAGUUCUGCCUGAAGAUCAAGUCCUGGCUCUUCCUCUGAUGUCGGCAGAAGUGCCCAAGCAUUCUAUUGAGGAGUAUUUGAUGCUCUUCAGGCAUUGUACAAAGAGGUCGGCAGCUCAGUGGCAAGUGGUGAUCAGGAGGACCUAUCCUUGGUUCCAGACCGGAUUUCGGUUGUUUGAGAAGGAGCCAGAAGAUGAAGCUGCCAGAACAGAUUUCAGGAGGAAAUUUCUGAGCAUUACUCUGCCCAGAGAUCUACCCCAUGGUGGGGGCAAACCUCCAAACUAUCAUCUGGGGGCAGAAGUCUACCAUCCCAACUUCUGCGCGAGGCAGCUUGGUUGUCCCCAACUCAUUCCGCUGAAAUCAUAUCGGAGUUGUAACCGGGCCUCUUCUUGGAGGGAUGCAGAUGAUCUGGAGGUGCACAAGGAUGCCCGGUGUGCAGUGAACAAAAUCAACAACAGCACGGAUGCCCUCUAUCCCUCGUGGGAGCUGAAUUCCUGCAGUUCUGCCGACUUUGACGCAUGGUGGAAAGCCAGAUUCCAAAGUCUGCCUGCUUCUGUCACUGCCCUCAAGGUGCUGUUUGAUGGUUGGGAAAACUGGGUCGUUUUUGCGAAUGGGGAUGCCAAGACGCAUAUGAUCCAGACCAUCAAGGAUAUUAACGCGCAAAUUAUAGAAGGUAGAUUUCUGAUUCUGUAUGGGGUUCGUUCUGUCCUGAUGAUUGAUUUCUAAUGUCUAUUCUGCCUGUAUCAGAUCCUUCUUUGACCAGCGUAGGUGGGCAGUCUGUUCAUGCUGGGGAAGUGAUUGGUAAGUCUUUUCUUUUAAUUCUAUUCUGUCUUUUCCUGCUGGAUUGGUCUCUAAUGUCUAAUGCCUUGGUGCAGUCUCUUCCGUUAUUGCUGCCGGGGACUUGGAGCUCCCUUCUGCGGAUGAAGGAGAUGAGGUCCAGACAGAACAAACACCUACCGAGGCCGCUCUUUCUGGCAGAAGAAAAAGGAAAGGACCUGCCCCUCCUUCGGAUAAUCCCACGCGGCCUGGUAUUUCAGGUAAGCUCGUGAUGUUCCAACCAUUCUCUUUAAAUUUAUUAUGUCUUGCCUUCUUUUCCCUAAUACUGCUUUUUGUUCUGUGCAGCUGGAAGUCCUUCCCCUCCUCCUACCAAGUUGAAAAAACUUAAAAAGAGGAGUGAGGAGGAGUAUGUCGCCGCGGAAGAGACGGCAGCAAUUCCCACCACUACCUCCGGGACGGAUGAAGAGCUGCGAGAGGCUUUUGAGGAGGUGGAGCAGGAAAAAGAAUUGGAAGAGCUGGAAGAAACGCCUCAGGAAAAAACGGCAGUGGCGGAAGGAGAGGUAAGUUUUAUUUCUGUGAUUCGCAUCAGUUCCCUUCUCGCCCUGUUUCUUCCGUUCUGACCCUUAUUUUGUAGGAGAAGAUCCCUGCUGAGGUGAUUGCAGAGAGCAUUGCCUUGGCGCAGAAGCAACAAGGGGGUCCAAGGGCUGAGCGGACUAGCUCAGAACUAGCCCUAUUUGAGGAUGCUGAGGCAGAGCAUUCUACUGCCGUUCCAGCGGCUGAGGAUCAGGCGGAACGGUCUGCAUCAGAGCCUGUGGAUCAGGCAGAGCUGUCUGUUGUGGUUCCGGAGGCUGAAGUGGAAACAACCGCCGCUGCCCCUGUGGUUGUGGUAACUUUCUUUCUUUAUCUGUCCACACUCUCCUGCAUUUCUGCCUUGUUCUUUAUUUUUAACUGUUGUAGCCUUUUCAGGUAGAAGUGCCUAAAGCUGUUGGCGUCCUGGCAGCGGUUACCAGUCCCCAGAAGCCUCCCAUUGUUGCUGUAAGUUUUCAUAACUUUUGGGCCUUUAUUUUCCACUUUCUGCCUGGUCUUACCUUAUGCUUUCUUCUUGCAGAUGCCAAUUCAUUCCCUUCCAGGAUCAUCUGCCACGGCUUCUUUUGCUGAUCCAGAACUCGAAGAGUUUGAAGCCAUGGAUCUGGAUGCCCAAUUGGACAGAUUGGAGAAACUCAGCUCUCCUCCAGGCAAGGCAAAAUCUAGGGCAGUGGAGGAGGCCAUGGAGAGGUUGAAAAUCUGGCAGUCUAAUGAGCUGGAGUUUGAUCAAGACAAUGAAGCCUUAAAUCAGCUGAUGAAGGACCUGGACCUGCUUCACAGACAGAACAUGGCUCCAAAACCUAUCCUUGAGAUGGGCCUAAGCUUGGCCAGAGAUGUGCUCAAUCUGCAUGAUCGCUAUGAGGAUCUCAGGCCUACUUUCAAGACUUCUGAAUUCUGCAAGGCCACUCAUGAAGCCAACCUGGCUGAUUUUGCAAAGCAGAAAGCAGAACUGGAUCAGAUGGUGGCCGGAUAUAAGGAAGCCAGGGCCACUGCGGACAAGCUGGAGAAGCCGAUGGAAGAGCUCCAAAAACAACUGGCAGAAUGCAGGGAGGUGCAGAGCAGGCUUGGGGCUGGACUGAGUUCUAAAACUAAGGCCACUUUCCUUGUGCAAAGUAUGGUUGCAGCUUCCAGGACAGCCUUGGAGAUUGCAGAGGCUUCAAUUCACCAGGGGGUGCUGCUCCAGAAAGAGCUUUCUGUCAAGAAAGCGAACCUGCAGGAGACUCUUAGAAAACUAGGAUUUUAGCUUCUUCUUUCCUUUUAUUGUUCGAAUAAUUUGCCGCAAAGGUGGCUAUUUUUAUAUAAGCUUUCAAAGCAUUUUACUGCUUUUCAUUUAUUCUUGAUGCAAUAACUGGAUACGGCUUUGAAAGUAAAAAACAGAACAACUUUAAAGCAAAAAUAAAUCUAAACAAAAUUCUUUUCAAGAAACAAAAAGGUCAAACUUGUUCCUCUUCUAUCCCGGGAUCUGUUUAUACAGCCUGCGAAUCCCACGUGGUUGGAUAGAACUUCUUUAACCAUUUACCAUUGAUUGGGGCAAAAUGAACAACUCCAUCUCGGUCCUGCAACCUGUAUGCCCCCAUUCCGAGGAUUUGGUUAAUUAUAAAAGGGCCUUCCCAUGUAGGUGACCAUUUCCCAUAUCCAGCUAUGUGUGCUCCAAGGGGCAGAAUUGCCUUCCAGACUAUCUCUCCCUCUUCAAAACUCUUGUUUUUGACUCUUUUGUUGUAGGCCCUUGAUACAGCCUGUUUUCCUGCUAAGAGUUUGUUGAGGGUGUCAAUUCUGCUUGCAUCCAAUUCUUCCAAUUCCAGCAACAUGGCUUGAGAGUAAUCCUCCCCAGUGAGACCAUGCUGGUGAGCAAUUCUAAGAGACUGGACCGCUAUCUCCAUGGGAAGAAUUGCAUCGUGGCCGUAGGUUAGAGCAUAGGGGGUCAUGCCAGUUGCUUCUCUCUUUGAAGUUCUGUAUGCCCACAAAGUUUCUGAUAACUUCUCAUGCCAUUACUUUGGAUUCUUCUCUAGCAUCUUUUUGAUGAUAUUGAUAAUCACCUUGUUACUUGAUUCCACCUGUCCAUUAGCUUGAGCAUAGUAAGGAGUAGAUUGAAGCAGUUUGAACUUGAACGUUUCUGCCAUAUCUAGCAUGUCCCUAGAUAUGAAAGAAGAACCCCUAUCGGUUGUGAUUGAUUCUGGAAUGCCAAACCUUUGUAUGAUCUGUUCUUCUAUAAAGGUGAUGAUCUCUUGAGAUGUUGUGGUUUUUACUGGCUUGGCCUCUACCCACUUGGUGAAGUAAUCUGUGGCAACGAUAAUGAAACAGUGCUGCUGGUUGCUGGCUGGAUAGAUUUUGCCAAUGAGAUCCAUUGCCCAUCCCCUGAAAGGCCAUGGUUUUACUACUGGAUUCAUGGGAACCGAAGGAGCCUGCUGGAUUGGGCCGUGCCUUUGACAGGCUUCACAUCCUUUGGAGUAGUUGAUGCAAUCCUUCAUCAUGGUUGGCCAGAAGUAGCCAUACCUUCUGAUUAACCAGCACAUCUUUCUUCCCCCUUGGUGAGCUCCACAGAUCCCCUCAUGGGUUUCUCCCAUGGCUUUCAUAUAUUCUGUCUUCCCGAGGCACCUUAAUAGUACCUCAUCCUUACUUUUUCGGACCAAAUCUUCAUUCCACAUGAGGUAGUUUGUAGCCAUGAUUCUGACUCUUUUCUUAGAGGGCAGAGUGGGAUAUCGUAAGUAAGUCAUGAUAGGCUCCCUCCAAUCAUCUUCAGUGAUCAAGGCAGAAUUGACUUCUAUCUCCAUUCCUCUCGUCAAAACAGAUGGUAGACUUUUCCUUCCUAUCUUGAUGAUCCUUUGGACGCAGUCUUCGGGCAUUUGUAUGCCUGAUGCCACCUGAGCCAGUUCAUUGGCUGCAAAGUUUUCCUCCCUUGGGAUGUUCUCCCAAGUAGCUUCUCUAAAUUCUGUUAGCAGAUUUCUAGCUGCUACUAGAUAUACAGCCAGAGAAGGAUUCAGACACUUAUAUUCUCCAGCAAUCUGUUUUAGGACAAGCAUGGAAUCUCCCAAGAUCUCCACGGACUGGACUCAUAAUUCUACCAACAUCUCGAGCCCUAUAAUCAAAGCCUCAUACUCGGCCAUGUUGUUGGUGCAUUGGAAAUCUAGCUGGAAGGAAUAGCAAUGUCUGACCCCUAAUGGUUCUUCCAGAACAAUCCCUGCUCCUGAAGCCUUGUCUGUCUUUGAUCCAUCAAAAUAUAACUUCCAAGGUGUGAGAUGAAUCGAGUAGAUUGGAUUGUUAAGGCAAACAUGAGCUCUAGUUAGCAGAUCUGCAUUUGCUAUGUCCAAAGAAUCCAUGUUUUCAAUUUCCUCUCCCGAGUGAUCUACCAAGAAGUCUGCCACAGCUUGCCCUUUGACAGCUUUCUGGGGGACAUACCUGAAGGUGAAUUCUGUCAAAGCCAAAGUCCAUUUCCCAAUUCUGCCCCUCAGCAUUGGUCUUGUUAGCAUGUAUUUGAUUAAGUCUGUUUUGGCAAUGAUGUAGAUAGUAUGUGGCAGCAUGUAGUGCCUGAGCUUUACAGCAGUGAAAUAUAAGGCCAGGCAAAGCCUUUCUAUUGCGGAAUACCUUCUUUCCACUUCUGUCAAUGUUCUGCUUAGAUAGUAGGCUGCCUGUUCUUUUCCUUCUUUGUUAUCUUGAACUAUUAGACUUCCAAUGGAUACUUCUGAUGCAGAUACAUAAAGCUUGAGGGGUCUGCCCCUUUUUGGUGGGGACAGAACUGGUGGAUUUGAGAGGUAAUGCUUUAUUUCCUGGAAAGCCUGUUGGUGCUGUUCUUCCCAUUUGAAUGUCUGUUCCUGCUUCAGUCUUAACAGGGAAGAAAAAGGUUGGAUUUUUCCUGCAGAAUUGGAUAUGAAUCUCCUUAGAAAAUUGAUUUUUCCUAAGAGACUUUGAAGUUCCUUCUUGUUCUGAGGUGGUAGAGCUUCUAUGAUGGAUGUUGCUUUAUUUCUGUCAACCUCUAUACCUCUCUGGUGGACCAAGAAUCCUAAGAAAUUCCCUGCUUGGACUCCAAAAACACAUUUUUUGGGGUUCAUUUUCAGUUUGUGCUGCCUCAUUCUUAGGAAUGCCCUUCUCAGGCUUGCUACGUGAUUUCCUUCCUCAGGGGAUUUAAUCACCACGUCAUCUAUGUAUACUUCCAAGGAAUGUCCUAUCAUAUCAUGAAAAAUAGAAUUCAUUGCCUUUGGUAGGUGGCUCCCGCAUUUCUCAAACCGAAAGGCAUUACAGUAUACUCGAAAGCACCUAUAUGUCCUGGACACAUAAAGGCUGUCUUGUGGAUGUCCUGUUCUGCCAUCAUGAUCUGGUUAUAACCUGCAUUGCCGUCCAUGAAAGAUAGCAUCUGGUUAUGAGUGGCUCCAUCCACUAGCAUGUCUGCCAUUGGCAUAGGAUAUUCGUCUUUAGGAGAUGCCUCAUUCAGAUUUCUGUACAAUAUUUGCUAACCAAUCGGAAUAGACGGCUGGCCUGAUGAAUCCUGCCUUGAGCAGCCUUUCUAUCUCUUCUUUGACCUUUAGUUCUGUGUCCAUAGACAUUCUUCUUCUGGCCUGUUUGACUGGAAGGUAGCCAUCUUUAAUUGGCAGCUUGUGCUCCACUCACUGCCUGUCCAAUCCUGGCAUUUCGUGGUAAUGCCAGGCAAAACAAUCUCUGAACUCCUGUAAAAGUGCCAUGAGUUCAGUCUUGAGUGGUUCCUUCAAAAGUGUGCUGAUGAAAGUAGGCCUUGGAUCUUCUUCUGUUCCUAAGUUUAUCUCCUGUAGAGGAUCCUCUACUUCUGGCAGGGAGUCAUCCAGUGCUGCUGGUGCAAAAUCUAAUACUUCCUCCUGUAAAAUUUCCUCCUCUUGCUCUUUUGUGCUUUCAUGGGUGAAUUCUGCCAUAUUGAUGGCUGGAUUCUGUAUGAAAAGCCUCCUUUCUCCCCAGUAUAUCAACAAUCUUUUUGUGAUGGAUCGGAUUGUUGCAGCUCGAUCCUUGUCUAGUUGAUUCGGACUAAACAUCAGAGUUCUGGAAGUUCAGCACAAAAAGGUCUAUUCCAGUCCUCUAGAGAACUGGCUAAACCUUCUUCAAUGAGUCUUUGGGCCGUGACACCAUGUGGACGGCCGUUCUGAUUGACUCCAAGGAAAGUGAAAGGACCGAGGUCAUCAUGAUAAUACCUUGUUUCAAAGCACAUGGCAGAGGGCAGGAAUGGCCGUGGAUCAGCCUCUAUAAUCUCCAUGCAGCCUUCUUCAUUCCAUAGUGCUAACUGCGGGUGGAGGGUGGAAGGAAUACAAAGGCUCUGGUGAAUCCAAUCCCUGCCAAGUAGUGCAUUGUAGGUGGUGGAAGUAGUGUCUAUAACAAAGAAUGCUAUUUUCAACUCUUUGCUUCCGAUUAUGACAUCCACAUCUAAGAUGCCAUGUAUUUUGGUGAUGCAACCAGAAGUUGGUGACGGUCAAUCGUGUUGGAAUCAGAUCUUUCUCUGUCCUGCCCAGCUUGGUCAGCAUUCUGUGGGGUAAUAGAUUAAUGGCUGCACCUCCAUUUACCAUGAUCUUGGAAAUAGGAAUACCCCCAAGAUUUGCCGUUAUAAACAAAGGUCUGAGGUGAAACAAGGUUGCUCUGUAGCUGGUUUAUUGGCUGUUCUGCCUGUCUUGGGGUUUUCUGCUUGUGGUUCUGGUGGCUCCUCUGCUUCUGCCAAUCUACAUUCAAAGCUUUCCUGAGAGAAAACAUCCCCUUCCAGAGUGCUUUCUUGUCCUUCGGCUGCCCUGAAUUUACUUGGUAGGAUGAAUACCAUGUUAAUUCCCAGAUCACCCUGUAGGAGGUCUUCUAAUUCUGCGCCAAAAGCUUCUGUUUCUGGGUCCAAUUCUACACCAAAUUCCAUUAAUUCUUCCCCGUAUUCUUCCGUCCAGUCAUCCUGUUCUGCUACUUCGAGGGGCUCUUUCUGAUCAUCUGCGGAAGGUUCAUAGUCCAAUUGCUCUUCUUCAUAUUCCUCAGUGUAGUCGUCUUCUCCUUGUAACGGGGUAGACCCAGAUUUCUCUGGUGUCUGCGUGGUGUCAGGACGGCUGCUGGACGACGAGGCCACAUGGAUAGGAGACCUGGCUGGGGGUUCUGUUUUCAGCAAUUCCCUUGACUGGCAAGCUUUCUGUUCUGUCUGGGGAAGUGUUUCAGGAUUUUUUCCUUUCCUAGCAGAACUGGGUUGUGAACGUACCUGCGUAUUAUCUUGGCUCUUAAGAUAUGUGCAGUAUUGCCUCUGGAUUCUCCUUUUCUGGGUUCUGGUUAGCUCCAGAGUCGGUCUACCGCUUCUUCCUACGGAAUACCAUCUCCCUUCUAUGAUCGUUGCCAAGGAUCUUUCGUUUCUGGGCAUCUUGACUGGUAUUUCCUUUCUGGGUUGCUCCAUCCUCCUCUCGCUGUAUUGUGUAGGCCUAAGACAGCUCUUCUGCCUUGUUUUGUCUCGGGAUGAGGUUCCAAUUCUGUCAAAGACACUAGGUGUGGGCUGAUUUUGUCUGUCUAGAACCACCUCUAGCUCUGUUUCACAUUUGCACCUACUGCAGAGCACUACCCCAGCCGAGAUGGUCGCUCUUGGUAUUUGACUGGUCUCCCUUAUGAUUCUUCUGCCUCUGCUGCAACCAGCAUCUGUGAUUGGCUCGGUUUUCCUCUGUUCUGGCCAAUUUAAGUUGACCAUAUUGACUUGUGGUUGAGGAAAAGGAUCCGUUGUGACGGAUGGUGGUUUUUCUGCCAGUUUCAACCUUCCUGCCGUUAUCCCUUCUUGUAUUACGUCCCUGAAAACAACACAACUAUUGGUAGAAUGGUUCCAAGAGUUGUGCCACCUGCAGUACUGUCUGCCCUUGAGUUCUUCCGGCUUCGGUAUUCUGUGAGGCGUCUCUAUUGCCUUCUACAGUAGCAUUUCGUGGAACAAGGCAUCAACCUUGGUUAAGUCAAAAGAGUAAACCUUGUUUUACGUUGGUUUGUUUGGAACGAAUCCUCCUGUGAAUGGUGGUGGCUUUUGGUCUUUAGGUGGCUUUGUGAGGGCUUUGCAACUAAUGGGAUGUUUUAGUUUUGCCAUUUCUGCCACUGAAACCUCUUUCUCUUCUGAUUCUUCUGCAUCUUCUUGUGAUUCCACCUCGAUCAGGUGGACUGAAGAAGAAGGGGUUUUAUAGUAUGUACCUUUGGAGGAGUUCCUCCUUUGCUGUUCCUCCCUGAGUAACUCCUCAUAUUUGGAUGCCUUAUCAGCCAGUUCUGCCAGAUCUCCGAACAAUAUCCCGUCGAACCUUUUCCUGAGAGAGAUUUUAAGGGCAACUUGGGCCAUCUGGAUGAAGUGUCUUUCUUCCAUCGGGAUUCGGCACUUCAUUUUGAGCUUUCUGAACCUGGUUAUGAAAUCUUGGGCCGGUUCAUCUUCACUUUGCUUGAGGGCAGCUAGAUCACUGAUGGUGACUUCUGGCUGAAUCCUGUAAUAGUAGUCAUGGAAGACAUUUUCCAUCUGUUCCCAGGUUUGAACAGAGUUAGCUGGCAGGCUGGUGUACCAGGUAAAAGCUUGCCCAAAAAGAGAGUUGCCGAAAAGCCUUAAUUUCAGCAGAGGGUUGCUUUCUAUAGCUAUGCAUUGGACGGAGAACCUGCCUAUAUGUUCAACUGAGGAAGAAUGGGGGUCUUCCCCAUUGAACAAAGUGAAGUUUGGCACUUUGAAACCUGGAGACAACAGUAUUUGAUCGAUAUAGGCUGGGUAUGGCUUUCUGUAAGUAGGCCUUUCCCCUAUUCUAGCCUCGGGUUCCAUGAUUUCUCUGAUCAUUCUUUGCAACGCUCCUAUGUCAUUCAAAGCAUUGACUGGGGGAAGAUUUUGUCCCUGUUCUGGCUGAACGUAAUCAAACCUGGGCUCUGCUCUGUGUGGUCUGGGUGGAACUUCCUCCCUGUGUUCUUCCUGCUCUUCGACUUCUGGAUGAUUCCUCCAGUUUGCCCCCGGUCUAUUCCUGUCAUGAUUAGCAAAAAGGUUGUUCCCUCCUCGGCCUCUCCUCCUUCUUGCAAGUGGAGGGAAUGGAUUAGGGUCCAUCCUUCUGGGUCUAUAUGGCAAUACUGCCGGUGGUUCAGGCAGAAGCGCCAAAGGUUGAUCAUGUGGGAGCACAUGAAGUGGAAUGGGCUGAGGUUCUGGCUGGUUCUGAGCCAGUGCCAGGUUAUCUGGUUGAGCUGGGGCUUCAUGUUUUUGAUUAGGAAGGGCUCCUUCCCUCGGACCAGCCUGAAUUUCUCCGUGGUCUGGCACUCCAGCCAUCUGUGCAACUAGGAAAUUUUCCUGGUAUGGCCAUAUUAGUCCUGGCGGAGGGCCAUAAGGGAGAUCCAACUGCUGGAUUACAGGAUCUGGGUUUGGGUUUCUGGCCAUGGCGGAUUCUCGGUCCUUCCGGAACUGUCUGUUUACCUGCCAUUACAUCAUGGCUGUCAUGUUAUUGAGAGUGUCCUGGCUCCUUCGUACUGUGAUCUCUUGUCGGAGUACUGACUCCUGUAUUUGAUUCAUCCUUUUGGAGCCAGUCCUGGAACGUCUACUUCCUGUACUGCCGUGGGCAGAUUGCCUAGCAUCGCUUUUUUCUGAUUCGAGGCCUUCCCUGAGAACCAUCUUGUUUUUCUCCAUAUCUGGUGUGGGUUCUGACUAGAUCUUCCGGUAUUUGUGAAUCUGUGAAUGAUUCUGUCAGAGUAUAUAUACUGAGAAGUCCCACUGGGUGUGCCAAAUUAUUCACCCGUUUUCGUGUUUUACUCCUGAGGUGGAAGGGCGAAGUUCCCCACUAGCUUGGAGACCACUUGUUGGUCGACAAGUCAGCUUUCUUUGGUGUGUGUGAGCGUGCCACUGCUAGCAAUGUAAAUUCUAGCAGACUUAUUUUUUAGAGUGGAUAACUUGCGCCUCAAGUUACUGACUUCUAAAACAAAUGAUUGUGAAUUUGGGUGAGGAAUAUCUCCCAAGUAAGUUCUUUUCUUGCCUCAGACUGGUGAGGACUUUCACAAUUUAUCUCAGUAUCAAAUGGUUGUUCUGGCCAGAAUAGAUAAUAAUAAAGUAGACUGUUUCAGGCAGAACUGCCUUUUACAAAAUUAAGAAGGGAGAAAUCAACUCUAGAAAGGCAAAAAGAUGGCUGGAAUCCCAUUUCUGCCUGGGUAGAAACUUCUGAUCCGGGCUGGACUGGGUAUGUCUAUGCUGGACGGUGCUGUCAACAACUUUAGCUUGCUCGGCUUUAGUUGUAAAUCGAUACCAAAGUUCAAUUUUGGCAGAGCUUCAAUCUACUUCAAGCCUUGGGAGACUUUUGAGUGGGCAGAACUGCAGCUUCUUCAGUUUGAAGGGACAGAAGUGGCUAUUCUCGAGGAUUUAGCAAGCUGGAACUAUGCUAUAAAAUUUGUUGAGGUUUUCAUAUUUGUGAAAACUCAAACUAUGUUUGUCUUGGCUUUUGCUGAACCAAAUUUGUAACGAGAGGGAUCUUGUUUUCAGAAGACUUAUUUUCUAAGUCUGAACUUUGGAAUUCUGAUCUAAAGCUGUUUUCUUGUUUGUUUUUUUUUUAUUGACUGAUGAAUUGAGUGUCCUUUGUUUCUUUGCCUUCUUUCGCUUUUAUAAGAGAUCCUCCUAAGGAGGUCAUUUUUAAUCCUAAACAAUGGGCGGCAAAAAGAUCUCUUAUAAUGUAAAGUAAGAAGGGUUUCUUAUCAAUCAAGGCAGAUAGGUUCUGAGCAGUCACCUCCUAAAAACAGUCCCUUCCCUGGUUUCCUGGGUGGCAGCUUUCUAAUUCAACCAACGCCACCGUCUGUGUGGGCUUUUUAUGGCGGUUUUGGCUCUUUUCUUUUGUAUUUUCUGAGUGGUUCCCUGUUUCCCGUUCUAAUUUAGAAAGCGUGAUCCGUGAAUUCCUUGGGAGAUGGUGUAUUGAUUUGGAGCAAAAUCUUGAACACAGAUGGGUUUUUGAUCUUCAAUUGGCAGUGUUUCAGAGACGUCCCUCUCACAUUUUUAAACUUUAGUUGGAAUUGCUGACUUUUCCAAAGUUGAGGCAAUCACGUGGGUGUGUCUUUGAUCCCUUGGUUUUGAAUCUUUCAAAAAUUACGGGCUGAUCUUUGAAGCCCAUUUCGAAAGUUUCCACAUCUGGGCUUUCUUUGGGCUGAGGCUUUAUUUCCAACAUUCUUGGUGUGAACUGGACUAAACAGUUAGUCGGACCAGACCGUCUACACAUAUGAACUGGACUCACAAGCCUAUGUUUUUUGAGCUCCCAUAUUGGUCGAAACUCAAAUUGAGGCACAAUCUAGAUGUGAUGCAUGUUGAGAAAAAUGUAUUUAACACAUUGGUGGGCACGAUUCUAGAUAUCGAGGGCAAGACAAAGGACACAAUCAAAGCCCGUCUUGAUUUGGAAAGAAUGGGCAUACAAAGGGGUUUAUGGAUGAACAGGGACAGUGAUAAAGCUAGAAGGGAUCUUGCAUUCUUUUCUAUGAAACCGAAUGAUAAAAAAGAGUUUCUAAAGUUUGUAUCGUCUGUAAAGUUUCCUGAUGGGUAUGCUUCUAAUAUCGCACAUUGCGUGAAUGUUGACGAGGGUAAAUUUACUGGACUGAAGAGCCAUGACUGCCAUGUGUUUAUGCAACGCCUACUUCCUGUGGGUAUUCGACAUCUAUUGCCGGAAGAUGUUGUGAAGCCAAUCAUGUUGUUGUCCAGAUUUUUUUCCCAACUGACGGCAAAAACAUUGCGAAAGACAGACAUAUUUCAGUUGCGCCAUGACAUUGUCCAAGUCCUAUGCAAGUUUGAGAUGAUAUUUCCUCCAGCUUUCUUCACAAGUAUGAUGCACGUGAUGGUUCACUUGCCAGAAGAGGCAUUGCUUGCUAGUCCUGUCAACUAUCGCUGGAUGUAUCCAAUAGAAAGGUAUAUAAUCUUUAUCGUUUGUGUAUGCAUCAUUAUCACAGACUUGCUAAUUUGUAUCAUAUCGUUUUAUUUUGACAGGCUUCUCGGAGAGCUGAAAAAAAGUGUACGCAACAGGGCGAAGCCCGAAGGAUCAAUUAUAGAGGCUUGGGUUCAAUAUGAGUCGCUUACUUUCUGUGGAAUGUAUUUAAAAGAUGUGGAGACGGCUUUCAAUCGUCCUCAACGCAAUAACGACGAAGGUAUGAGAAAGGAAAAACUUUCUGUUUUUGCCCAAAGUGCACGACCCUUUGGAGAUCCUGGACGAGGAGAGUCGUUUUCUAGAAAUGACAUGGAGGUAGCGCAUUGGUUCGUACUGAACAAUUGUGAUGAGAUAAUGGCAUACUUAGAUAAGCAUGAAGAGAUGAUGAAGCGAGAACAUCCAUCACAUUUAGUUGCCCAGAAACACCGUGAAUUGUUUCCACAAUGGUUUUUGGAUUCUGUAAGUUAUAAGUGUUUUGUAUUUGACAAAUAUAAAUUGUAGUAUUUAAUUUUGUCAGACUAACAUGUGAAUGGUUUUGUAUUAUAUUAGGUGAAUAAGUUGAAAUCAUCGAAUUCCCCCACUUACAGUGAUGAGUUAUAUAACUUGGCGUUCGGCCCAAUUCGCGCUGAAUUGUUUCGGGUUGUUAUAUUAAUGGCGUCAAAUUUUUGGGAGCCGCACGAGAUGACAAGUUGUGUAUGCAAAACAGCGGUGUCCAUGUCCCAGGUGGAGGCGAAAGUACGAACAUUGAUUUCUAUGGCAAACUCACAACUGUCAUUCAAUUGCUUUACAAAGAUCGAUACUAAGUGAUCAUGUUUAAGUGUCGAUGGUUUGAUAGCAACCCAAAUAGGCCGGGAAGUGUUAAAAUCAACCAUGGCUUACUAUCUGUGAACAUUAACAGAACUUGGUAUGAUGACGACCCUUACAUUUUGGCAAACAUGGCAACACAAAUUGUGUAUCUAGAUGACCCUAAAGCCGGGAGCAGUUGGAAAGUUGUUCAGAAGAUGGAUCAUAGGAACUUGUAUGCUAUACCAGAACUAGACCCAACUGACAAUGACGUCAACAAUGUGGCUGACCAACGUUUAGAAUCUUCAAUGGAAAAUGAUGCGGAAACACUUCGAGAUACACAUGUUAUACAAGAACCGUUUCAAAUACAAGGAGUGUCUUCAAUCGAAAUACCGAUUCAGUCAAUUACAAUUGACCUCGGGGAUCUUCCAAGAUUCGAUGUUGCAGUGAGCCCGAGCAACGAAGAUGAUGUAGUUAUAGAGGAGGAGGAGGAGGAUUGGGAGACUGAAAGUGAUGAUAGCGAAGAUAACGAAAGUUAUUAUAGUUCAGAUGAUGAAUAAUUAAAUUUUUUAUAUUUUUAUUAUGCUAGUGUACAGACUUUGUGUAAAACAAAAGUUUGAAUAUAUGUAGUUGUGAUAUCCAAACCUUAUAUAUGUGGACAACUGAAACAUUAUUAAAAUAAAUUUAGUUAUAAAACAUCGGUAAAUCAAUAUAUCCAAACCCUUUUAAUAUUCAUUUAAAAUUUUUUUUUUUGACAAAAACGUUUACAAAAUGAAAAUGAUAAAAUAUUUGUUAUAAAACAUUGAUAAAUAAAUAUAUCCAAACCAUUUUCAUACAAAGUUUGAAAAUUAUUGACAACAAACAUUUUUCAAAAAUGAAAAUCCUUGCGCGACGAAGUACACCUCGUCACGCAAAGUUUGCGCGACCCAGUAAACAGUCGUUGUGUAAAGUUAAAACAUUGCGAGACAAAUUAUCAUCCGUCACGCGAUAGAAUUUUGCGCGACGAAUAUUUACUCUCGUCGCGCAAAUGUAUAUUCUUUUAUAAUAUAUUUUAUAUACACAUAUAUAUUCGAAAUUGACGAUCGAGUUAGUUCAUUGUAUUCAUAUAGGGUCAUGGAGUGUAGCUGUAAAAAAUCAUCAAAAUCGGAGUUAAAAUAACUGUUAAAUCAUGACUUUUCAUUUAUAACCGUUCAAAAAUUUUGUCCCGAUACUUGAUCUCUGAAUGUUUUUUUUUUCCGAUUUUUGGGGCCUAAGAUCUCGAAGUAUAAACAAACACGUUUGACGGCUGGAUUAUUGAAACUACUUUCGUAGAAUGCGUAUGCCAUCAAAACUAUAUAUUCACCAACAAUGAAUAGUUUACUUAUACUUUCAUUAAAUAUAACAUAAGAUUAUGUGGUAUCACCCUAGUGUAAACAUCUUAAAUUGAAGAUCAAAUUCAGUAAUUGUAUUCAUAUAGGGUCAAGAAAAGUAGCUAUAAAAAAUCAUCAAAAUCGGAGUUAAAAUAACCGUUAAAUCAUGACUUUUCAUUUAGAUUCGUCGAAAAGUUUUGUACUGUUACUUGAUCUCUUAACGUUUUUUUUGUCAGAUUUUCGGCGUAUACGAUCUCGAAAUAUAAAAAAACAAGUUUGCCGGUUAGAUCAUUAAAACUAGUUUCGGGUUUAGGAUUUCUGCAGUUUAGGGUUUAGGGUUUGCGCGACGAAGCCAUUUCGUUGGUCGCACAAAGCCUGCAAAGAACAGUCUUGCGCUACGAAACUAGGAUUCUUUGUCACGCAAUCUCAACCAGCCCUUUCACCCUCUUCCUCCUUGGACACUUAGCCAAAAAAAGUUGCGAGUUUACAGAAAGCGGCUUUGCGCGACGCUGCCGGUAUUCGUCGCGCAAUAUGUAUGCCAAUAAAACCUAAAUCCCAAAUUUUGGCGAAUUACAACUUUGCGCGACGAAUAUGGGAAGCUUCGCGCAAAGUUUUCAAUCUUUCCCGCUAAACCCUAAGUCCCAAAAUUUUGGCGGAUUGACAACAUUGCGCCACGAAAGAAGGUACUGUGCGUCGCACAAAGUUUUCAAUCUCUCCCGCUAAACCCUAAGUCCCAAAAUUUUGGCGGAUUGACAAUAUUGCGCGACGAAAGAAGGUACUGUGCAUCGCGCAAAGUUUUCAAUCUCUCCCACUAAACCCUAAGUCCCAAAAUUUUGGCGGAUUGACAACAUUGCUCGACGAAAUAUGGUACUGUGCGUCGCGCAAAGUUUUCAAUCUCUACCCAAUAUUUUGCCGGAUUGACAACAUUGUGCGACGAAAGACGAUACUGUGUGUCGCGCAAAAACUACCCUGAUACCAAAUUUUGGGAUUAACAAUAUUGCACGACAGAAGUUAUACUUAUGUCGUCGCGCAAGUGUCAAUUAAAAUAUUUUGCGUGACGCUUUUGUUUGUUCGUUGCGCAAAAUCGAAUAAAAUUGCAGAAACGACGCGAUAGCCUCCUUCUUCCCCAGAUUUGUUUUUCUACCCUAACUCUCUCUCUCUCUCUCCGCCUUCAGCUCAGCCCCCUACCCCAGUGGAUUUUGGACGACGGCGCCACAACAGUGGUACCCCGGAGGUUUCCCGCCGUCACCGUCGAGCCAGCCGCCCUAAUUCCUCGAUUUUCACCGAAUCUGCGCCGCCGUCGUUCUCUCUCCUUCGGCGACCAAAUCCGACACCUGAGGUAUGGUUUCUGUCCUAUUUUUGAUGCUUUAACUGAUGGUUGGGUAGGAUUUGUGUAAUUGUUGCAAUAGGGCAGUGGAUUUGAAACCCUAAAUUUCGACCGAUUUUUGAAUUCCAAUUCCGGCCACUUCUGGCCAUUUUUCAGGGUAGGUCCGAGAACAAAAGUGGCUCCAAUUGAUGUUUUGAACCUAGGGUAGGAACCUUGGCCCUUAGUUUUAAGAAAUUUUCGACGAUUGGUAUCGCUUUGGACACCCACGCUCUGCCAGCGCUUGUGGUGGCGCGUGGGGUACUGUAGCAGUCUUGCAUUGGGUCCCAGUGCAAUCCCAUAUUUGUCACGAGCGCGUAGGUGUUUUCGGAUUGGAAUUUGGUUACCGUUUGAGUCUCGAACGGAUUUUGCCUAUUGUGCGAUUUCCGGGUUUGUUAUGUUCGGACCGUUGGAUCGAACUCAAACUCACGUAUGGUGUACCUUGUAUUUCUUGGAUCGUCUAGGAUUCGACGGAUCGUGGAUCGGAGUCCCGAAUACUCCGAACUCGCAAACCCUAGGUCAAGAAUCUUAAUAAAAUUGUAUGUGCUUUCAAAUAUUCGUAUGUUUUAUUAAUUUGUAUGUGUAUUAAUGAAAUUGUGUAGAUGUCAGACCUGAUUAGACGUCGUAGGGCGGUGACGACUACGCAGAGUUCUGAGCCCCCGGCUCAACUGACAUCUGCUGCCACUGCGCCAGCACUGAUGGACCACUUGGCAGUUGGUCCCGCGGGGUCCCAGGCUCCUGCUUCAUCAGCUUCAUUAGUGGCACAACCUGUUAGCGCCAGGAAGCGUCAUCGGCCUGCCAGCACCACCGACACCACAUCCACUGAUGCGUCGGGGUCACAGCCAGGUAUAGAUUUCCUUAAACUCCAGUUAUUUAUAUUUUUGUUUUUGUUUUUAUUUUUGUUUUUGUUUUUGUUUUUGUUUUUAUUUGUGUGUGUAUUUUAUAGUUAAAUUUGUUAUUUAUUUAACAUUAAUGUCAUCUUUCUUUGCAGCCAAGAAGAACACCCGAGGGCCGUGUCGGUAGUUGAAGACGGCGAAGGUCACUCGGGUGACCAACAGUCGUAUCAACAUCGGAUACGACAAGCGACAUCGGGCUGCACCGACGGCGGAGUUGCAUAGCUCCUUGGCCCACGACAUUGGUGAUGUCAUUCCGAGCCAUUGCCCGAUGAAAUGGAAGUCUUGGAAGGUGAUGCCUGACGAGACCAAGAUGGAGGUUCGCGGCCAGUUGUCAGUAUGUAGGCCUUUUAAUUCUUUUUCUUUCAAAUUUUAUAUUUCUAUUAUUUAAAUGUAUUUAAUUAAUUUAUUGCAGACGAACUACAACUUGGAGGACCUGGACGACGAGUCGUUGGCGUACAUCAACAGACUCUUCUCUGAGAGGUACAAAUAGUGGAAGAGCGACUUGCACCACUAUUUUGAGGCGUUUGAUGAUCCAGAAGUCUCUCUUCAGGAGGGUUGCCCGAAGGAGCUUGAGGGGCGGGAGGAUAGUUGGGCGUGGCUCUGCUCUCAUUUUCAGGCGCCCGCUUUUGUGGUAAUUUGUAAUAUGAAUUUCAAAUUUAUUAUAUUUUUCUUACUAAUGUUUUUUUAAUGUUUUAUAUUUAAUUUCAAUUUCAACUAAUACGUUUUAUUUUUUGUAUAACAGAAUAAAGCCAAAGUCAAUAAGGGCAAUAGGAAGAAGAAGACUCUUCUCCAUCAUUCGGGUUCCAGGCCCUUCUCCUAUAGGAUGGAUGCAUGGCGGCAGGUAAUCAUAAAAAAAAUUUUAUUUAAUUUUUAAUAUUUAAUUAUUCUUAAUUUAUUUUUUUGUACUAAUAUUUUUCUUCUCUUGUUCAAUUUAGGGGGGUCCAAAUUCCCAGAGAUCGACGUCUUUGGCGACGUUUAUGUUCGACCUGGGAAUGAGUUGGGCGAGUCCCUUCAUGUAAGUAUUAUUUAAUUUUAAUUAUUAUGUUACGCAUUCAAGUUUAAAGGUUAUUAUAUGAAUGUUUUAAUUUAUAUUUUAUGUUAUGCUAAACAGAUGACGAUGGUGGAGAGGAGCCAGUUGGUUCUUCAAGAGUCCGCCUCCCAACUUCCUUCCGAUACUCCGAUCGAGUCUGUGGAUCCUCCACAGGAUGCUGGGUUUCAGAUCUUGACGGAGACAUUGGAUCAGACUCUAGGGAGGAGACCGGGGAUAUAUUGUCGAGGGAUGGAGAAUGCCAGGCGGAGGGAAGCCAGACCCCGUUCAUUAGCGCAGUCAAGCAGUCAGGUCACUGCUUUGACAGCACAGGUGGCCACUCUUCAGAGUCAGAUGUCGGACAUUCUGCAGUCCCUCGCACAGUUCGGCAUUCCAGUCCCGCAUUUUGAUGCGCCGACCUCUGAGCCCGUCCAUCCUGAGCAUCCCCACCAGACGACGGCCCUUGUAGACCCCCAGACCUCUGAACCGCAUGUGCCAGACGACAAUGUAGAUUUUGGAACAUUAUGAUUAGUUUUUUUAUUUUCAUAAUUAUUUUUUAAAUAUUUCUCUUGCAGCAUACAUUUAUUUUAUAUAAUAAAUAUGUUCUUUACAAUUCUUUUUUUUAUUGGAAUUUCAUUUUAUUACCCAAAAAAAAAAAACCAAAUUUAUUUUUUUAUAAAAUAAAAUAAAAAGUAAUAUUAAAAUUAAAUAAUAAUUAUAUAUAUUAAUUUUGCGCGACGAAAUCUUUCUCGUCGCGCAAAUUUAUAUAUUACGAAAUAAAAAUGUUUCAUUUUUUUAAAUACAUAUAAUUUAUUCUUGCGCGACGAAUAUUUUCGUCUCUCAAAAAGGAUUUGCGCGACAACAGUUUUUCGUCGCGCAAAAUGUGUUGACACGAAUUGCACGACGAAGAUAUCUUUGUGCCGCAAAUAUCUACGACACGUAUUGCGCGAUGAAAAUGUUCGUCGCGCAAAAAACGUAUGCGCGACAACAAUGUUUCGUCGCGCAAUACGUGUAGACAUGAAUUGCGCGACGAAGAACUCUUGGUGCCGCAAAUGUGUACGAGACGUAUUGUGCGACGAAUAUUAUUCGCCGCGCAUCGUUGUGGCGACGAACCCGCUUUCGUCGCGCAUAAGUUUGUGCGACGAACUAUUGCAUCGUCUCUGAACCUUUUGUGCAACGAAGGGUAACCGUCGCACAAAUUUGCGCGACGAGUGAUACAAUCAGUCGCGCAAAGUCUUUCUUCACCAUCUUUGCACCACAGAUUACGCGCGACGAAUUUUCUGUCGUGCUUGAGUUUGUGCGACCAAAUUUAACUCUGCGCGACGAAAUUGGCUUCGUCGCGCAAAUCGUAAAAUGUAGUAGUGGAAGUUAUCAACAUCUAUAGGAACCCCAAUGAAAAGGCUGUUAACUAAUAAUGAAGUAAACCCCUCAAUGUUUCCGCGUAUCAGAUAUCUCUCAGAAUAUGCGAUUCCAUACUCAAUAAGCAACUCCACAUCCCCUGAGGUUUUCACCAAACCACCCAUUAAGGAAACAUACUGACUCAUGUGUAAUUAUCAUUACUCAUCGGGUAAUGCAAUUGUUCAAAGGCAAGGACAUUUCUCAUUAUUUCUGUAGUGAACCCCAAUGGAAAUGGUGGGAUCUUCAGAACCCCAUUGGUGCUACUGAAUUGUAUGUCAAAUAUGUUUUCACCUUGUCGCGCCUCAAACUUGACUCCAGCGUGCUGUAAUUCUGUCAAGCUGGGUAUGGAUGAUGGGAGUUCCCCUCCAGCUUUUGAUUCCAACGGUUGAUAGAGUUUAAAUAUUUUCCUGUAAAGAUCAACAAUAUGUGCCACUGAUCUAAAAGUCUCCAAAUUGUCUUCCAUUUUGUCAACAGGCAAUAGAUGUUCGAAGAAACUGAAAGAAAGACUAAUUAUUGAAAGCCCCUCAGUAAUGCAGUUAUUGUCAGCAUCAGCAGGGAGUGUAAUUUUCUGUGGGUCGAAAAGAUCCUCGAGAAUGAAGAAUGGCAACUGAUUUUCAAGCAACCACAUAUCUGUCCAUACAUCUUGCAACAUACCUGGUUUGUCAAAUAUGCGGUCAUUUUCAUCCCAAAAUUUGAAGUAGUCCUUCAAUAAGAGCUCAAUAACGAAGGCGGCAUCCACUAGAAUGAUUGUUACAAAUUCAUCACUGCUAAACUUGAUGGGUUCUCCAUAACAACGUCUCAAUCUUGCUUCGUGGUCCUUUAUUUUCUUAAUAUAAUCCUCCAAACUCACAUUGGUCCGACCUAUAAAAUCUUGCAGGUAUCUCUGUUUGUGCUCUUCCUAUACGACAUUCAAGCCUUCCUUUCCAUGGUGAAGUGGGCCUAUAGAGACCACCUGAGGUGUGCAGAGCUUUUCAUUCACACUUCGUAGUCGUUGAGGAACUCUGUAGAUACAGCACUUGGAGGAUGGGGGAGACAAGCUAUUGAACCCUUUUCUCAUCGAAUUUGCUAAUGAAAUGUAUGGGUUUUCUAUGUCAUUUUGAGCAGAUUGAUGGCUUCCUGCCAUUUUCCAGCUCCUGACUAUAUGUGGUGUUCCGAUUGUAACAGAUUACAAUAAUGAUGAGUAUGGAUAACUGAAUUACUGAUAAAACAAUCAAGAAACAUUUCGUUAUUUUCCAUUCCCAAUAACGAAAUCAAAAUGUUCAAGGAAAUAUAAUCAGGAUAUUGCAAUUAUAUAGCCAUUCAUAAGCUGCCUGGCAUGGAAUAAGAGGUGGAAACCAAAUCUACUUAUUGGCCAAAGUUCGAAUUCACUAUAUAUAGAUAUAUAUUUUGCCAAAAUCUAAAACUGACCAACCUUAGAUACAAAAACACGGUACAGCCCGGUUAAAGUAAUUCCAAGUGCGAAGAAAGAAAGGAAUUGAGCGUUUGUACCUCUACAGCUAGCCAAAUUUUCUAUUGAUUCUUUAAAUUUUAGAGAGCAAUUACUCUUAAUUUGGUAGGUGUAGGACUGUGCAACUUCAAGCUUUAAUGAAAGAAGCCAAGUUUAUUCUAAGGGGACAAGUCAGAGACAACGAAAUUUUGCUCAGCUUCAUUUUCAAAUUUGCUGCUUAAGAAGGAAAUUUAAUAUGUUUGUUUCACAAAUUGUAUUGUCAUCAAUGAAACUCGUGCACACCCAACGAAAUUUGCAUGGCUUAUUUUCAAAGGAGUACUGCUAUUUCCAUCCUCUGUCCUAUUUUUCCACUCACCUUAUCUUCAAAAUUUUAAAGACAAAAAUAAACCCCUUUGUAAAAUGCUUAAAAAGAAAUUUAAUAUGUUUGUUUCAAAAAUUGAUAUUGUCAUCAAUGGUUAAAGAAUUGCUGGUGACAACAUAUACUUCUUUUCUACUGUAUUAAUUUCUUUCUUUAUUUUUUCUUCAGUAUAGUUCUGCCUUUCUUUUACAUGUUUAUGCGCAUAUUUGACACGUUCAAGUAUACUUAUAUAACAAAUGCAAUGAGUUUGUAGUCACAAAAAUCAAGGAUUGAAAACAAAAAGUAAUAUUAUGUGCAAGAGAAACUUACCUGCAGAAACUGAAGAACUCCUCUAGUUUCUUCUCUGUCGCUAUGUACUCCCGCGUUCAAGUUAUUAUUCUUACAAUGUACAUACACUAUUAUAUAAUGGCGAGAAGGCUCUGAUUAACCUCCUUUUUGCUUCAUUGGAUGGGGCAAGAAUGGAAUUGUCACCGUGGGUGUGGAGGUGAUCUACCAUUUGAGCAAGAAAUUCCCACAUAUUCUUUAACUAUUUUUCAAGCAUGCAUAUUCCUCCCUAUCAAUCUUUGGUCUCUUCUUUUACUAUUUUUCAAGCAUGCAUACUUUGAUUUUAAAUCAUCUUUUCCGCACUAAUUUGCUUCAAUCAAGAAACAGUUAAUAUAUUUUGUAUCAUCAUUAGAGAACACUUGAAACUGCAUAAGUUAAUUUUGAAGAUGAUGGCAGAACCAAAAUGUGUAUAGCUUAUAACUAUAAUUUCUUGAUUACAACAAGAGGUUUCAAGUUUUCAACAACACAAAUAUGAAUCUCCCAAGCAAAGAUAAACAAUAAAGCAAGCAUACGGAUUGUCAAAUUGCCUUCAAUCACUCUAAAAUACUUCAUACCGUCCGACACUGGCUUCAAUUACUCUACAAUACUUCAAUUCAUAUAUUGUCCUAUUUUCACAUGUACAUCCUGCUUUUACUUAAGGGUUAAUUGUUGAUUUACCCCUUGAACUUGUACUCUACUUUCAAUUUGCACCCUCAACUUUUUUUUUUGAAAAUUAGGUGCAUGAACUAAUUUUUAUUGCCAAUUCCCCCUACCAACAUGUCAUCUAAUAGUCUGUCAAAUCAUUAAAAAAUAUAAUAUUUUUGGAAAAAAUUAAAGAAAAAAAAAUUCCUAAGGACCCACAGACCCAGAACCCACCCUCCGUUGCCCCCGCUUGCUGUUUUCUUCUCCUCCCAGUCCCCCAUGACCACCACCCUCCACUGCCACACCAAUCCCCUACCCAACAGACCCCUCACCCCUUCUUUUUUUUCACCCCCGAACCCAGCAUGAGUUAUUGGUUAAUACCAUUUUCUUAAUUGCCAAAUAAAAAAAAAAAACAGAGUUAACCCUCUGUUAAGCUAGCUGACUAGUGGGGCGAAAUGGAGGAAAAUCAAUAUGGAGACAGCGGAUCCGGUCCCGUGUAAGUGUAUCUGAUGGAAUAAAAGAAUGAUAUUAUUGGUGGUGGGUACGGUUAUGUGGAAGUAAUAAUGGGUAAGAGAAGAAACUUGUUCUCUUGUGAUAAUCAAAAGACAGAAAGUAGUGGGAAAAGACAGAAAGUAGUGGGACACUAUUUUAGAUAUGAUAAUGUUCCUUCCUUGAUUGAUGCAAAUGAAGAGAAAAGGGUGGCUUUAUAUAAUAGCCACUACCGACCUAACACAUUAAAAACACAACUAACACCAAACAUAGUUAAUUCAACUAACUUCUACCACACCAUUAAUUUAACACACAACUACUAACAAACUGCCAACUAUUUCAAAGUUACCAGCCGACUAUUAAUGAAGUCUAGAUUACUUUAACAUCCUCCCUUAAGCUAGACUUCAUUUACGCCAAUUAAUUUUCUCAUCUUGAUGAGCGGCUCUUUCUUCAACGGUUUGGUGAACAAAUCUGCCAGCUGAUCUUGGGACUUGCAAUACAGAACCUCAACUUCUUUAUCUUUGAUUAGCUCUCUGAUGAAAUGGAACUUGAUCUUGAUGUAACACCCCGACCCCAAAUUUUCCCAAAUUUUACCCUUAUUUAAUUAUUUAAUUAUUUAAGGGUAUUUUAGUCAUAUUUUUAACCGGAGAGAGUUUGGGACCGUGACUAGUAUUUUUGGAUAGGUCGAGCUGAGACGAGUUCAUAGACACGUAGUGGGCUCGAAUCGGAGUUGUAACGAGAGAGAUAUGGUCAAAAGAAGCCCAGUGGCACAAUCGUAAAUAUUUCGAAAUGGGAUUUUUUAUAAAAACUCAAAUUUUUCUCUCUCUCUCUCUCUCUCUCUCUCUCUCUCUCUCUCUCUCUCGCGACUCCUCUCUCUCUCUCCCGUCGGCCUCUCCUCUCUCUCUCUUCGUAACUCCGGCCACCGGCCGCGGCUGCGGACGGGGCCGGUGUCAAAAGAACCGGCUCGACCUCGGCAUCACGACCCAGCCCAUCCCCGCCAUCGGCCGCCGCUCCAGCCGCCGGAAAAUGGCGAUUUUCGCCCAGAUGUCGCCGGAACUUCAACGCCGUCGAUCUCCCUCCUCCGGCCACCAAUUCCGUCGACCCAGGUAUGGAUUUUGAACCUCUCGAGCUGCUCUAGCUGAUGGUUGGGUAGGAUUAGAUCGAUUCUUAGCGUAGAUCACUCGAUUUUCGAAUUGAAAAUCGGCCGAAACUUCGGCCGCCGUGAUCGGCCAUUUCCGGCCACUUUUUGGGGUAGGUCCAAGAACAAAAGUGGCUCCAAAUAGGGUGUUAUACCUAGGGUAGGAGUUUGGAGCCGUGGUUUUGAGAUUUUCCGGCGGAGCGUUAUCGCUUUGGGCACCCACGCGCUGCUGGCGCGUGCGGCGGAGCGUGGGCACUGUAUAAAAAGUAGCGAUGUAUUCCGAUGAGAUCCUUAGGUUGUCACGAGUGCGUAGGAUUUUGCGGAUCUCAAUUCGGACGUCGUUUGACUAUCGAACGAAUAAUCGCAUAGUGUGCGUUAUCCGGGUUCGAUAGGUUGGGACCGUUGGAUGGUCCCAAAUUUAAUAUAUGUUAAUCUAGGUAUUUCUAGGAUCGUGUAGGAAUUCACGGAUCGUGAAUCGGAACUCCGGAUGUUCCGAAUAAUAAUUUUAAGUUUAUAUUUUAUAUUAACCAUCAGAUCGUGCGAUCGUGAGCAAUCCGACCGUCCGAUCUGAACCAAACUUGCAGGACAAGUGUCCUACACCUGGUAGAACCCAUAGGGACUUCCGGAUCGGAAAUUGGAGGUCGUGGGUUCUGCAGGUCCGUUUGACCAGGGUUAGAGUAGUUUGACUCUUGGUUGACCGUGAGUCUCCCGGAGUAAUCUCACCCUUCCAGGGGGAAUUAUCGGGAGCUAGACUAUUGUGGAGGGUUACACAAUAUUAGAAUUAUUUAUAUAAAUUAUGUGGUUGUACAAGGGUACAACAGAGUCUAGAAUGUCAGUUUGGAGUGCUAUACGCACUACUCUAGGUACCUCCUCGGACUUUGGAAUUUCUACAAGUACCACCAAGUGAAAGUUAGGUCCCACGUGGCGUAGGUUAUCCGGCGUGUCGACAGACCCCAUACGUGGCGUUGGUUGUACCGGCGUAUGGGGAGAUUUGUGAUAUGAUAUUGAGGUCCCGCGUGGCGUAGGUUAUCCGGCGUUGGGACAGGCCCCAUACGUGGCGUUGGUUGUACCGGCGUAUGGGGAGAUAUUAUGAUAGUAUGGCAUGGUCGCACGUGGCGUAGGUUAUCCGGCGUGUCGACAGACCCCAUACGUGGCGUUGGUUGUACCGGCGUAUGGGGAGAUUUGUGAUAUGAUAUUGAGGUCCUGCGUGGCGUAGGUUAUCCUGCGUUGGGAUAGGCCCCAUACGUGGCGUUAGUUGUACCGGCGUAUGGGGAGAUAUUAUGAUAGUAUGGCAUGGUCGCACGUGGCGUAGGUUAUCCGGCGUGUUGACAGGCCCCAUACGUGGCGUUGGUUGUACCAGCGUAUGGGGAGAAUAUGUGAAAUACAGAGAAAUGAAAUAAGGUAUUGCCCAAGUGUGGAAUUGGGUUUUAGGGAAGAACUACUUAUGGCUUGAUCCCUCAAGGAGGGUACGUAGGCAGCCUAAGGUUAUUAGGUGCAGCCGCAGACUAAAUAUUAGUCAUAAAUUGUAAUUGAACUGUUUGGUAGUCGUUUGAGGAAGUAUUGAAAGGCCGAAGGCCAUUUGUGUGAAUUGCAUGAAAUUAUAUUGUGCAUGCUGCCAGUUGGGAAUAUUAAAUGCGUUUUUAUGCAGGUAUAAAUUUUGGGAAUGUCCAAUUUACAGGGGAGACUCUGCCAAAAUUUCGGCAGGAAGUCUCGGUUUUUAGUAAGUGGGCCUGGCAUCGGGGUGAUGUCAGGAAUUCCAAAGGGUUCGUCUCGGGUUUUGAGAAAAUUCGGGGCGGGUCCUUUCACUUGAUAUGCUUACUCUUGCUGUGAAACAUUGGAUUUUUGGAAAGACAAAUAGCUGAUUUGUUGUUGCAGAACAGCUUUGUAGGUCCUUCUUGAACUUGACCCAUCUCUUCUAAAAUACUUUUCAGCCACCUAGCUUGACAACCUGCUGAUGCAAGAGCAACAUACUCAGAUUCUGUAGUUGAAAGUGCCACUAUAGAUUGCUUUUUGGAGGACCAUGAAAUCGCACUUGAGCCAAUGCUAAAGACAUAACCAGAUGUGCUUUUGCAAGUAUCAACAUCUCCACCCAAGUCACUGUCACUGUAGCCAGUCAAAUUUAGAUUCUGAAUAGGAUAAUAAUGCAAACCAUAAUUGAUAGUUCCAACCACAUAUCUUAGGAUUCUCUUUCCAAGCUCCCAAUGAACAUCUUUUGGUGACUCCACUAAACGGCUGAGGAAGCUUACUGCAUAUGUAAGAUCUGGCCUUGUUGUAGUUAAAUACAAGAGGCCACCCACUAGACUUCGAAACAAAGUUUGAUUUACCAUUGUGCUUCCAUCAUUCUUACCUAUCUUAACACCAACCUCCAUUGGAGUAGCAAUUGACUUUGCAUUUUCCAACCUGAACCUUUUCAACAAUUCCUUUGCGUAUUUCUUUUGAGAAAUAUAGAUACCAUUCUCAUUUUGUUUGACUUCAAUUCCAAGAAAGAAAUGAAGCAAACCAAGGUCUGUCAUUUCAAAUCUUUGUGACAUAAUCAUCUUGAAAUUAUCACACAUUUGAGCAUUACUUCCAGUAAAUAUUAAGUCAUCCACAUAUAAGCAGACAAUCAAAAUCUCACCUUGAGAGUUCUUCUUGGUGUAAAGAGUAUGCUCAUAUGGGCAUUUGUGAAACCCAUACUCUUGGAAGAAUGCAUCAAUCCGACUGUACCAAGCUCUUGGAGCUUGUUUCAAACCAUAUAAAGCCUUCUUCAAUCUACACACUUUUGUUUCUUCAUUUCCCUGCACAUAACCUGGAGGUUGAGCAACAUACACUUCUUCUUCCAAAAAACCUUGCAAGAAUGCUGGUUUAACUUCCAUUUGAAAGACUUUCCAACAAUUUUGGGCAGCAAGAGCUAACACCAUUCGGAUGGUGUCAAAGCGUGCAACUGGAGCAAAAACUUCAUUGUAAUCAAUUCCAUAAUUUUGCUUGUAGCCUUUAGCUACCAAGCGAGCUUUGUAUUUCUCAACUUCUCCUUGAGCAUUCAGCUUGGUCUUAUACACCCAUUUUACUCCUAUAGGCUUCUUUCCUUGAGGAAGAUCAACCAGCUCCCAUGUGUCAUUUUUCUUAAUGGAAUCAAUUUCUUGAUCCAUAGCCUUCACCCAAUUUUCAUCCUUUGAAGCCUCUUCAAACAUAAUUGGGUCUGCAUCUACAAAUAGAGCAAAAUUUGUGCCACCAUUAGUGAUCAAAACAUAAUCACUAGAUGGGUACCUUGUGGAUGGUUGAUGAGCUCUUGUUGAUCUCCUUUGUCCUCUGCAAAUUUCUUCUUCCUCACUGCUAUCACUAGAAGAAGUUGAUGAUGACCCUUGUGAUGAAGAUUCCUAUGAUGAUAGAGUUGUUGGUGGAGUUAAAUCUGGAUUUUCAAGGCCAAUGUCCAACAGUAUUGGACUUUGAUUUUCAGCUUCACUCCAAUUCCAUGCUUCUUCUUCAUUGAACUUGACAUCACGACUAACAAUAAUCUUGUUAGUCAAUGGAUUAAACAACUUAUAUGCCUUGGCCUUUUCACUAUACCCAACAAGAAUGCACUUUUCUGAUUUGUCAUCCAAUUUUCUCCUUGUUUUAUCAGGAAUAUGAGAAUAAGCAAUGCUGCCAAAUAUCCUUAAGUGACUAAUACAUGGCUUGAGGCCACUCUAAGCUUCUUGAGGAGUCUUGCCUUCCACACUAUUGGACGAUGCACGGUUCAAGAGAUAUACAGCACAUGCCACUGCUUCUGCCCAAAAACGAUUAGGCAUUGCUUUUGCCUUCAACAUGCUUCUUGCCAAUUCCAUAACGGUCCUAUUUUUUCUCUCGGCCACACCAUUUUGCUGUGGGGUGUACCGAGCUGUGAACUGAUGCUUAAUCCCAUUUUCUUUUAGAAAAUUUUCGAACACAUUGGAUGAGAAUUCUCCACCUUGAUCAGACCGCAAGGUUUUCAAUGCAAAUCCACUUUGCUUCUCAGCCAAAGCUUUGAAAACUUUAAAGUAAUCAAACACCUCUGAUUUAUAUUUGAGAAAAUAGACCCAUGUCUUUCUGCUAUAAUCAUCAAUGAAUGUAAGAAAGUAGCGGUUACCUCCUGUUGAUGUUGUGUUCAUGGGCCCGCAUACAUCUGAGUGCACCAGCUCAAGAGGAUGGGAUGCUCUCCAAGAAUUUCCUGUAAGAAACGAAUUUCUCUGAUGUUUUCCCAGCACACAUGCUUCACAAACUUGUGUUUGAUGCUGUAUCGUUGGUAGGCCUCGUACCAUAUGUUGUUUCCCCAUCAAUGAUAGUGUAUUGAAACUCAAAUGCCCAUAGCGUAGAAGCCACAACCAUGAGGAAUCCUUGAUAAGUGCACUUAAGCAAGCAAAAGAUUCAUACUUUAUGUUCAGAGAAAACAUAUUGUCUCCUGACAUCUGCACCUUUGUAAUUAGAGAGUUGUACUUGUCUCUAAUUACACACUGGUCUUCCCUGAACUGAAUAUUAUGGCCUUUAUGAAGAAGUUGCCCCACACUAAGGAGAUUGUAAUUUAAAUCUGGAACAUAUAACACAUCAGAGAUUCUUUUUUGUUCUCCAGACUUGGAUAGAAAAAGAAUAUCUCCACAUCCUUUGGCCACUAGCUUUCCACCAUCACCAAUCCUUACUUCUGAGUUGUUGGUAUGCUUGAAAUUGACAAAGGCACUUUUGUUGCCUGUCAUGUGAUUACUACAUCCGCUAUCAAGAUACCAUUUUUCUGCACACACGUUUCCUUCCCUGGCAGCUGCAUAUGCAAGUAGAACCACAUUAUCAUUUUCCCUUUCAGAAGCUUUUUCAUGCACAAAGCUUGAUUCGGCUCCUCCAUUUGUUUUGUUUUUGCAUGUUGACUUGAUGUGCCCAUAUUGCUUGCAAUUGUAGCACUGAAUAUUAGAAAGAGAGGAACCUUGUUCUCUUCCUCUUCCUCUUGAAUAACCACCAUAAUCUCCUCUUCCUCUUGGAUAACCAUAAUCUCCUCUUCUUCUUGAAUAACCAUAAUCUCGUGCAGAGCCUUCAUCAUUAGUUUUUUUUAGGUCAUUUGCAUAGCCACGUCCUUGAUUAUUUCUUCCUCGUCCACGAGUAAAGCCGCCUCUUCCUCUUCUAGAACUUCCUCUGAAUGAGACUUGAGAUUGAAAAGCUUGCUCAACAGGGCCAGAGUCAAACUGCUUCAGUCGUAACUCAUGGGAUUGAAGAGAACCCAUUAAACUGUCAAGAGACAAAGUAGACAGAUCUUUGGAUUCUUCAAUUGCCACCACAAUAUAUUCAAACUUUCGGGGACAUACUUCGAAGAAUUUUUUCAGCAACUCUCUGAUCUUCAAUUUUUUCUCCAUUAAUUCUCAGUUGGUUGACUAGAGAAAUGACACGAUUGAAAUAGUCUUCAACAGAUUCUGACUCCUUCAUACGUAACAUAUCAAACUCACCUCUUAGAGUUUGCAGUCUUGCCAUCUUCACUUUAUCUUCUCCUUUAUAUGAUGCAAAGAGAGUGUCCCACGCCUGUUUUGAUGUAAUGCAUGAUGAGAUUCUUUCAAAGAUAGCUUCAUCCACUGCUUGAAAGAUAAAGAAUAAAGCUUUUUUGUCCUUCUUACGUGUCUCCUUCAGCUCUGUGAGUUGUUGUUGAGUGAGGACUGCUUGAUCAUUUGGCUCCACAAAGCCAUUUUCAACCACCUCCCACAAAUCUUGAGCAGCAUACAACACCUUCAUUUGGAUGCUCCAUUGACUAUAAUUCUUCCCUGUAAACUUUGGAAGCUGGGGCUGUAACAAGUUGUUGUUUGAAGCCAUAUGAUUCUGAGUUUCCAGCUCUGAUACCACUUUGAUGGAAUAAAAGAAUGAUAUUAUUGGUGGUGGGUACGGUUAUGUGGAAGUAAUAAUGGGUAAGAGAAGAAACUUGUUCUCUUGUGAUAAUCAAAAGACAGAAAGUAGUGGGACACUAUUUUAGAUAUGAUAAUGUUCCUUCCUUGAUUGAUGCAAAUGAAGAGAAAAGGGUGGCUUUAUAUAAUAGCCACUACCGACCUAACACAUUAAAAACACAACUAACACCAAACAUAGUUAAUUCAACUAACUUCUACCACACCAUUAAUUUAACACACAACUACUAACAAACUGCCAACUAUUUCAAAGUUACCAGCUGACUAUUAAUGAAGUCUAGAUUACUUUAACAGUAUCGAAUCUAGCUUUAAUAUGUAUUGGGUCCUCUGGACAAGAAUUCUAUCCUUUUCGUCCUAACUAAUAUGUAGGGGAAAAACAAUACAUCAAUUAUCCUUUUCGUCCUAACUAAUAUGUAGGGGAAAAACAAUACAUCAAUUAUGAAUUUUUUUUAUCUGGGUUCGAAAUUAAAUAUGAAUGGAGUUUUGGAGGCUUAAAAGUUAUAAGCUCAAGAAAGGAAGGAAACUAUAUGUACAUUUGGGUCGGAGGCAAAGGUCCAGUCAUCUACCGUCCAGGAUAUACAGUAUCAAAAAAGGCUUAAGAAUUGUAAUAAGGUGACAUACGCCCACAUACGGCCAACGCUAGCAUAUUUCGUAAGUGUAUUAUAUGUCUUCUAAGUAUAUCAUAGUUAUGUGUCAAUUUUAGAUCCAAUUGCACACCCAAAAUACAGAAACAAAAUCAUUGAGAAUACACUUUUUUUCACUUAUAUUUUGAAUAUGCAUUGCCUGUAUUUCAUGUGUAUGAUAUAGGGGCUUCACUUAUAGUUUUUGCACAAAACCUCCCUUGAUGAAGGAUGUCUUAGAUUAAUGACAUCAAUGAUUUGUUACAUUUGGAGUACCCAACAUAACAGCUCUCUGAUUAACAAUAAAGUUAUAAAAUUUCAACAGUUUCAUACCUAACAAGCAUAGAGAAACAAAUAAAACAACCACAUUGCUUCGAUCACUGUACAUGCACACAGCUCACUUUCACUAACUACAGAGGCUAUAUUUUCUACAUAUACACUAACUUUUUCUUUCUCCAGCUCUCUUACACCACCAGGCUGGUGACAAACCCAGCUCGCGUCAUGUGGAGGACCAAAAGGAAAUGACAAGGAGAAAACGGCUAAGGAGAGACUUACUCUCAACACUUAGAAGGCAGAGCAGAGAUAACAGAGCACACUGCUUGUAUAAAAGUGAGUAUGAGGAGAAAAAUAGCGGUAGCAAUUGAAAUAGUUGCCCAAGGUGUGUUGCAAUAGUUUUGUCUCAAGUUUGCCUGCCAUUUGUGCCAAGACGUUCUGCAGUACUUGUUGAGGUCUGCACAAAGAAUAGCAAAAUAGAAGUCAUUAGAGUCCACAAUGACCCCAUCUGCAAGGUUGUUGAUCAGAGUAGACCCUCCACUACUGUCACCGAGCAUAUUUUCGACGAUUCCUUGCUUAACAACCAACUCCACAUCCGUUGCGGUGUUCACAAAGCGAUCCACGAUGACAACAUAAUUGUUUAUGUAAUUCUCCAUGCAAUGGCAUUGUUCAAAGGCAAGGAGGUUUCUGAUUGUAAGCUCUGUCUCAUCACUUAUUGCUAAUUUUGGAAUUUCUAGAAUCCCAUUAGCGAAUUGUAUGUCGAAUAAGUUUUUGGGUGAUCCCACCUUAAACUUGACUCCUGCUCUGUGUAACUCUGUGAUGCUGGAUGUGUUUAAGAGUUUCAAGUCGCCCCUUAGCAGGUGGUUUCAAUGGUAGAGGUAGAUACAAAUUUCUACAAAAAUCUACAAAGUGUUCUACUUUAGAAGUACAUAAUUUCUCCAUAUUGCCAUCCGUUCCCUCUAUGUGCAUUAGAGUUUUGAAGAAAUUGUGGCAAAGGUUAAGCAUCGAAAGCCUCUCAAUAUUGUUAUUGUUAGAAGAGACUUUGAUUUUUUCGGGGUCAAAAAGUUCCUCAAGAAUGAAGAAUGGCAGCUGAUUUUCAAACAACCGCAUGUCAGGCCAUACGUCUGGCAACAGCCAUGGUUUGUUAAAUAUGCGGUCAAUUUCAUCCUGCAAUUCAUCGAAACGAUACCUCAACAAGACCUCAAUGAUGAAGGCGGCAUCCACUAGAAUGAUUCUCACAAAUUCAUCACUGCUAACCUGAAUGGUUUCUGCAUAACAACUGCGCAGUUUUGCUUCUUGGUCUUUUACUUUCUGUACAUAAUCGGCUAGGCUUACCCUGGUCCGACGUAUAUAAUCUUGUAAGUACCUCUUUUUGUGAUCUUCCAUGGCUUUUAGGCCUUCCUCGCCAUGAUGAAGUGGGCCUAUAGAGACUACCUGAGGUGUGUAGGCCUUUUCACUCACACGCCGUAGUCGUUCAGGAACUCUAUAAAUGCAACACAAGGAGGAGAGGGAAGACAAGCCAUCCAACUCCUCACUCAUUGAAGUUACUAAUGGAAUGCAAGGGUUUUCAAUAUCAUGUGGAGCUUGAUCGCUUCCUUCCAUUUUCCGCUGAUGUGUUUGUUGUUGUCAAUCAUAAUGGAUGAUAAUGAAAUGAUAGUCACUGACACAACAAUAAACAAAUUUUUCAAGAUGGCUGAGAAAAUUAAUACAAACAUUGCAAUUAUAAGACCAAACACACAAAGACUUUUGAUCCUUGUAACUCUUACAUACCACACUAGUGCCUUAAGAAUUCGAUUUGAAUGCACCAAAUUCAUUCAAAACUCUUCUGGUCAACUCUGUUUCUUGUAAUUAUUCUUGGAAGAUUCUAAUACAUUUUUGAUUGAAAAAUUCCUACUAAUCAUGUGAAUCAGUACCAAAGUUUAUUUCAAAUUAACAUACAAACCCCACUUUUUUUUUCCUACAUAUAUACUUCUUUAUUUCCCCUCAACUUAUUGGAGCUUCUAAUAAAGCAAAUUCUUUCUGUGAUGAUAUCAGAUAGUAGAUUAUGCUUCCAGUCAAAACAUAGACAAACCAAAAUCCCAUUAGAAGAGAAGAAAAUAAUAUACGACAUUCACAUAACCUUCUGCUCAAUUCCAAUUUCCAACUACAAUGAAACAUAAGACACUUAAAAGCUUCAAGAAAUUGGAUGUGCAAGCAAACAUAGCGAAAUUAUGAAAGACAGAGAAAGGUGUUGGGCAUUGAAAACAUACCUGAUACGUAUUGAAACACAAUUUUUUUUUGCCUUUGGUAGAUGGAGUAGCUAGAAAAGCUCAAUGCACUUGCUCUUCUGCUACAUUUCAAUAUAAGAACAUUGUUUGGAAGUCCGGUCAAUUCCUCAAAGCUUCCUUGCCUUUGUUUUGACAUGCCGAUGCCCGUCUUGGGGAAGUUUGAAUAAUCCAUUGCAGGCCCCAUGAUAGGAUUUUUAGUACUUGUGCAAACAGUGUUAAAAAUCACAUAAAAUACUUGCAAGAAUACAAGGCUAUUGUAGUAUAGAUGCUCAUGCAAGGUCGUUUUCCUCAAGGACUAAUUAGCAAUUUAUGUAAAAACAAAUUCCAAUUACUACUUAAAAUAAAAAGUCAAGAAAGAUGAUUAUAAAUUUGGUGGAUUCUAAAAAACAAAUAUUAAACAAAAACAAAUACGAUUGAAAGAAAGAGUUUUGAAUAUCAAUUUAUAAAAACACUAGGGUUUCACCAUCACCUAGCAAUCCUAUGAACUUUUACCAAUUACUUAUGAUUUGCACAUGCCACUUUGAAGGUUAGGUUUUCCUAAUGUAUAUUCUACUUGGAACCUCCAACACAGAACGUAUAUCCAACAUGCAACCCGUCCGGACGUUCGGAUCAAAUCUGAACAUGAAAGACUCAUUAAGUUUUGUGAAAACCCUUUGAAAAACCAUGCAACCCUUAAGACGUGGUGUUCAUCUUAAGUGAAAUUACAAUUAUUAAUCACAAGAAGCUAGCAUAAAUUUCAGGGAACCUUCCGACCAAAAUUGCAUCCAAUUACUUUUCUAAAGAUCCUAAUGGUGAUCAGGCAUUAAGACAAUUAGAUAGUUUAAAAUAGUGAUUAACAAUUCAAAAUACGCAUGCACUCAUCAUAAGCAAUUAAAUAAAAAUCACAUAUUCAUGCUAAGGUUCAAGGCUUCACCCUAGCAAAAGAAAUUUAGUUACGCAUACUCAUAAUUGAAAUCCAAGAAAAUAUCAUUAAGAAGAAAAGAACGAAAACACCUGAAAGUUGUGAAAACCCAAAACCCUAGCAAUUGCUCUCUACAAUGCAAAGUUCAAAAAUAAUUAAGAAGUCCUAAAUUCCUUGUGAGAAAGAGCUUAAAUAUCCCUUAAAACCUAGCUGCCAAUGUACAGCUUUUCUAUCCCUACAAGGAAACUAAUUAAAGUAAAAUAAUACUAGGAAAUAAAGUCCAAAUUGGAAUAGGAGAAUUUGCCCAAAAUCAGCCCAGCCACGUUUUGGCCCCAAAUCUCCUCCAAAUCUGGCCCAAGAUAGCUUUUUUUAAAGACACUACUACAAAAAGUGAAAAAGACGACCAGAAAACAACGACGGUCUAAGUGAAAACCGUCGUGGUUUUUAAAAAGACGACGGUUCUAAAAACACCGUCGUGUAAUACCACCUUAGACAACUAAAAAAUGGAGAUUCAAAUGGCUGUUCAAAAACAACGACGUACCUAAUUAAACAACCGACGUCUAUUUGAAACAGAUUUCCGCAGUGUAAAAUCAAAGCAAACAAAGAACGGCAGAAGUUAUGAAUAGACCGACGUAGAAAGUAAAGACGACGAUUUCAAUAAAAGCCGCCGUUUUUACUCAUAAAAUAACACGACGAGGUUUUCGUAUAAGACGCCGUAUAAUUACAAACAAAUCCACGGCUUUAAAAUACAAAAUAAUCUUAACAGAUGACACAGAUUUGCAAUCAGAGAGACAAUUUUUUGGAAGUUGAUCAACGUCGUUGAAAAUUUGCAAUCAGAGAGACAAUUUUCAACGACGGUUAUAUUAUACCUAACGACGUUUAAAAACAAAUCAACGUCGCUCAACAAAUAUAUUACGUCGUCUUAGUCUUACUUAAGACGACGAAAAACGACGACAGUAGUAAAAAAACAGUCGUUGUUUUUAUAUUCUUAUUUUAUUUAAAUCUGUCGUGUUAGUUAAAAACGACGGCAUAACAAAAAACCGUCGUUUUGUUUCAAACUGAAUUAAUUUAAAAUUUCUUCAGGAAAGCAAAAUCUAUUUAUAAUUUCCUCGGGUUAGUAAUAUUGUGUCGUGUUAGUUUACAAAUUCUAGAACAUUAAUUUCCCUCAUUUUAAAUUUUCUCGGGAAAGAAAAAUCUAUUUAUCACGCUUUGUAAUUGAAAACUAAAACUGAAAGAAUUCUGGAAAAAAAACUCUAUUUAUAAUUUAAAAAUAAAAUGCACGUCGGUUGUAGUACACUUAACGACGUUUAACAAAAUAAUCUACGUCGGUAAUUAUAAAUCUACCGCCAUCUUACCCUAAUAUAGACGACGAGAAAAGACGACGGUAGAACAGAAAACCGCCGUUGUUUCAGUUUCUUUAACAGUUUGGUCCUUUAUCUUUCUGCAGGACUUGUAUAGUUCAAAGCAUUGACAAUGUCUUCAUCAUAUCUCCCAGCAACUACUGAUUCGAUUGCUCAUGCUUUAGAGGCCAUCUGAAGCCAUUUCUAUUCUUUAUCGCAUUCUUGAAACCCAUCUUCUUCUUCUGAAGCUCUACGGAUAAAGGAANNNNNNNNNNNNNNNNNNNNNNNNNNNNNNNNNNNNNNNNNNNNNNNNNNNNNNNNNNNNNNNNNNNNNNNNNNNNNNNNNNNNNNNNNNNNNNNNNNNNNNNNNNNNNNNNNNNNNNNNNNNNNNNNNNNNNNNNNNNNNNNNNNNNNNNNNNNNNNNUUUUUUUUGGGGUUGGUUUUUUAUAGUAACCAGUUAUAACAGUAGUGGUUGUGCAAUGUUUGGUUCCCUUAAGCUUCGAUCCAACCGUGUAGCCAGCUUUAGGUCAAUGUCUCCCAAACCACUCGGGUUUUAGGGCACUAGGUGUAGAACACCCCUAAGGACUUAUUAACUCAAGCUGAAAAGGCUACGAAACCAACUAACCACCCUGCCUCAUGCCAAAACUCUACCUUUUGUCUCGAAAAUCACUGCUGAUUAGGCAGGACUGGCCCGGUUACUAGCAAAGCUUCGGGUGAGGCAAUUAUUACUUUAUAACACAUACUAACUUUAUUUAAAUUGAACAGAAAUUAAAACACACUUGGACAAAAAGUAAGUAUUCCAAUCUCACUCCCCAAAAACCAUAUUGGUGUGAUGUGCAAAUUUCAAAGUAUAAUUCAUGAAUUAGUGUCUAAGCAACAAUAAAUAGAAAAGACUCUACUGUGGGAUUGAUUUUCACUAUGUCCAUUUAUUCUAACGUUUAAAAUAAUCUAUGGAUAUUGACUGAAAAACGAAAAUUUUAAACAAGACUUAAAAAAAACUAAAAAUCUAAAAUUUACUUUCCCACCCCCUAACUUAAAUCACACAUUGUCCUCAAGGUGUGGUAAAUAAUCAAAAGAAACAAGAGCAGAAACAAAACGACUAAAUCCUAGAAAAUGAAAAUCAAAAAUAAAGAAAAUACUCUAAGAAAAGAAACUAGGAAGGAAAAAUAGAAGAAUAAUAAAAUAAAAUAAAAUAAGAAAGAAAAGGAGAAAAACAACAAUAGAAAAGAAAUAGGAAAGAAAAUACCCAAAAAUGAGACACCUUGGGGAUUCAAAGGCAGGACCAGGCGGAGUGUUGCGAAAAAGCGCUGACCAACUCAACCACGUCCACACUGGCAUCAAAUAGGAGCGACAGCUACAAUAUAACCUGCUGUAGCUGCUGCAUCUGUCAUUUGAAAAAUAUUGGAUUCCCUUCUCCUACCCCGAGCUCAGAGCCGAAAGGCUCUCUUCUGUCCAUUCCCAUUUUGCAGAAGAAAAAAGAAUAUUGCUGGAUAAACCAAAGCCUCCGCUGUGUCCAGAGAAUCAGAAAAGGUCUCUGAUUUCUCUCUUCUCAAGGCCAUCCAUCUCCGCCUUCACUCUUCUUCAUUCUCUCCAACACUCACGAUCCUUUCCUCUCUUUCAACCCAAUUACACCAGCGUUUUCAUCUGCGUGAGGAGGCCACAUUUGCAGCAAACACAACCAGUGAGGUUGAAUUAUCUGAUGCACCUGAAUUUUUGGAUGGUUUUGGAGUCCCUAGAUUCCUCAAAUUCAGAUCUGUCUCCAUCCAUGUCACCAGAUGCUAACUUGUUCCAAGAUGAAAACAAGCUGAAGCCGAACAAGAGUCUAUUCUCCACCAGUAAGGACCCCAGAUCUGUGCAUCCCGUAGGUAAACUUUCGAACCCCAGAACUGGUUUUUUUUUUUUUUUUUUUCCGUUUUUUUUUUGUUUUGAAAAUAAAAGAAGUAAAGAGUUUAGAAAAAUUGGGUUGCCUCCCAAUAAGCGCGCUAUUUUAAGUCUGUAGCUAGACUUUGCAGAAGCCUGGUGGUCAAAUCACUGGUUCCUUCAGAGUCAAAGACUCGGCUGCAAUGUCAAAGGGUGUCUCCACGUAGGGUUUUAGCCUAUGACCAUUCACCUUGAACGUGUUGCCUUUAUCUUCAUUAGUGAUUUGAACUGCUCCAUGAGGAAAAACUUGAGUCACUAGGUAGGGUCCAGUCCAGCGAGAUUUUAAUUUCCCUGGAAACAACUUGAGCCUUGAACUAAAUAACAGAACCUUUUGCCCUGGCUGAAAUUCCUUCCGUAAAAUUUGACUGUCAUGAAAUGCCUUAGUUCUUUCCUUGUAGAUGCGAGAACUAUCAUAAGCACCUUGACGAAUUUCCUCUAGCUCAUUUAACUGCAAUUUCCGCUUUUCCCCAGCUGAGUCAUAUGCAAAAUUUAACUCUUUAAUGGCCCAGUAAGCUUUAUGCUCCAGCUCCAUAGGUAGAUGACAGGCUUUCCCAUAAACAAGUCGGAAUGGUGACAUCCCAAUAGGAGUUUUAUAAGCUGUCCUGUAUGCCCACAAAGCAUCAUUUAGUUUGAAACUCCAAUCCUUGCGUGUAGAGCUCACUGUUUUCUCCAAAAUACGCUUUAUUUCUCUGUUUGAAACUUCAACUUGACCAGAUGUCUGUGGGUGGUAUGGUGUAGCCACGCGAUGAUUAAUCCCGUAUUUUGCCAGUAGGUUAGCAAAUGGUUUAUUAAUAAAAUGCUUCCCCCCAUCACUAAGAAUAACACGCGGUAUUCCAAAACGUGGAAAUAUAACCCCCUGGAGGAACUUCAGGACCACUGAUCCUUGAUUAGUUGGUGCUGCAAUGGCCUCGACCCAUUUUGAAACAUAUUCCACAGCCACUAAAAUAUAUUGGUGCCCAUUAGAAGAUGGGAAUGGCCCCAUGAAAUCAAUACCCCAAACAUCAAAUAGUUCAACAAUUAGGAUACUUUGUUGGGGCAUUUCAUUCCUUCUGGAUUGAUUGCCGACCCUUUGACACCGAUCACAUGCCUUGCACCAAUUCUGUGAAUCUCUAAAAAGUGUUGGCCAAAAUAACCCACUCUGUAGGAUUUUCUCUGCUGUCCUUUUCUGCGCAAAAUGUCCUCCUCAAGCAUAGUGAUGAGCAAACUUUAAAACACUUUCUUGUUCAGCCUCCGGAAUACACCUGCGAAUAAUCUGGUCUGCACAAUACUUGUAUAAGUACGGUUCAUCCCAGAAAUAGUGCUUUACAUCAGAUAAAAACUUCUUUUUCUGCUGGUAGGAAAAAUCUGGAUGCACCACACCCUUAGCCAAAUAAUUGACAAUAUCUGCAAACCAAGGUGUGUCAAUUUUGACAGCAAAUAGCUGUUCAUCUGGGAAACUUUCACUCAAUGGUAGAGAAUCUGCCUCUGUAGCUGCUGGAAUAAUUAAUCUAGAUAAAUGAUCAGCCACAACAUUCUCACUGCCCUUCUUGUCUUUAAUCUCUAAGUCAAAUUCUUGAAGUAAGAGAACCCAACGAAUCAAUCUAGGCUUUGCAUCCUUCUUAGACAACAAGUAUUUUAGUGCAGCAUGAUCUGUAUAGACAAUUAUUUUAGCCCCAACCAAAUAAGACCGAAAUUUCUCUAGUGCGAACACAACUGCCAACAAUUCCUUCUCUGUAGUUGCAUAGUUAAGCUGUGCAUCAUUUAGAGUACGACUUGCAUAAUAGAUGACAUGGGGAAGCUUAUCUUUUCGCUGCCCUAAAACUGCCCCGACAGCAUAAUCUGACGCAUCACACAUUAGUUCAAAUGGUAAAUCCCAAUUUGGUGCAGCAAUGAUGGGUGCCGAAGUUAGGAGUGCUUUCAACUUGUUGAAUGCUUCUAAACAGGCCUUAUCAAAAUUAAAUGGUGCAUCCUUAGCCAAUAAAGUGCACAAAGGUCGACUAAUCUUGGAGAAAUCCUUGAUGAACCGACGAUAAAAACCUGCGUGUCCUAAGAAGGACCUCACACCUUUUACUGAUGUAGGAGGUGGCAGCUUUGCAAUAACUUCAAUCUUUGCCUUGUCAACCUCGAUGCCUUUGCUAGAAAUUGAAUGACCCAAGACAAUUCCCUGUUCAACCAUGAAAUGCCACUUUUCCCAGUUUAGCACUAAAUUUGUCGCUUGACAUCUCUGAAGAACUAAUGAUAAAUUCUGUAAGCAUUGAUCAUAUGAAUCCCCAAAAACAGAAAAAUCAUCCAUAAAAACUUCCACAAUAUUUUCGACCAAGCCAGAAAAAAUACUCAUCAUACAACGUUGAAACGUAGCAGGUGCAUCGCAUAAUCCGAAUGGCAUCCUCCGAUAAGCGUAAGUACCAAAUGGACAAGUGAAAGUAGUCUUCUCUUGAUCCUCUGGUGCUAUUGGAAUCUGAUUAUACCCAGAAUACCCAUCAAGAAAACAGUAAAAAGCCCGCCCAACCAACCUUUCUAACAUCUGGUCAAUAAAAGGCAAUGGAAAAUGGUCUUUUCUCGUCCCUGUGUUAAGCUUCCGAUAAUCUACACACAUUCUCCAACCCGUAGUCAAUCGUGUAGGAACUAACUCAUUAUUAUCAUUUUUCACCACUGUAAUACCGGUCCGUUUAGGCACAACUUGAGUCGGGCUAACCCAUUUACUGUCAGAAAUAGGAUAAAUCAUACCUGCAUCAAGUAAUUUCAUAACCUCUGUUCUAACCACCUCUUUCAUAAUUGGGUUAAGGCGGCGUUGAGCAUCAACUGUUAGCUUUACGUCGUCUUCCAUUAAUAUUCUGUGCAUACAUAGUGCUGGGCUGAUUCCCUUGAUAUCCGCAAUUGUCCAUCCCAAUGCAUCUUGAUAUUUUCUCAAUACACGAAGCAAUUUAUCCUCCUCUGUCGGUGUUAAAUCUGCUGCAAUUAUAACUGGCAACGUCUCUGCAGCUCCUAAAUAUGCAUAUUUAAGAUGUUGUGGUAAAGGCUUCAGCUCCAAUUUUGGCGGCUGCUGUCUGGAUGGUUUAAGGGGCUGUUUGGGCUCCCCUAAACUCUCAUACACAUUCCUAAAUUUUGGCAACACUGUGGGCAGACUGUUCAAUGCGUGUAUGUACUCAUGAACACCUUCAUCUUCAAAAUCUGUCUCAAAUGCCCCCUGUAAAACAUGCAACAACUGAUCUGUUUUUGAAUUAGCAUAAAAUCUGUCCUGCACCAUACUGUCUACCAUGUCAAUACGCAUACAAUCUAGCUGUUCAGCAGGACGUUUUGUUGCCGCAAACAAAUUAAACACCACAGAUUGGUCCUGAACCCGUAAAGUCAAUGUUCCAGCUUCCACAUCAAUUAAGGUCCUAGCUGUUGCCAUAAACGGCCUCCCCAAAAUAAUAGGUGUUUGAAGGUCUUCAUCCAUGUCUAAAACCACAAAAUCUGCCGGUAGAUAAAGAUUAUCAACCUUAAUAAUUAGAUCUUCAAUAACACCUCUUGGAUAAGUGAUUGAACGGUCAGCUAGUUGAAGUAUAAUUGAUAUAGGCUUUAAAUCUCCUUGCCCCAAUCGCUGAAAAACAGAAAAAGGCAUCAAAUUAAUACUUGCACCCAAAUCAAUUAAAGCACUCUUAAAAUUAGAAUUUCCAAUAGUGCAAGAAAUAUUAAAACUCCCUGGAUCUUUUUUCUUAGGUGGUAGUUUGUGUAGCAAAACUGCAUUGCACUGUUCUGUCAAAAUAACUUUUUCCAAAUCUGAAAGCUUCUUUUUGCUGCUGCAAACUUCCUUCAAAAAUUUGGCAUAUGAUGGAAUUUUCUUGAUUGCAUCCAGUAAGGGAAUGUUGAUUUGAACCUUGGAUAAUGUCUGCAUAAAGUCCUUGAGUUGCUGAUCUUUUACUUUUGGCUUCAAACGUUCUGGAUAUGGAAUUGGGGCCUCAUAAACACGCUCAGGUACUUGUUUUGGAACAGUUUCUAGAUCUGCCAUAUUAUGUUUUUCUACAGGUUUGGCAGGUUCUGCUGCUGCAAAAUUUUCUGUAUGAUCCUCCACUGCAUGCUGCUCCUUUUCAAUGUUAUUUUCACGAUUGUCAUAGCUUUUUCCACAUCGUAAAGUCCGAACAACUUUGCAAUCUUCACGUCCAUUUGGAUUAGGAAUUGUUUGACUAGGAAAUUUGCCCUUUUAUCUGUCUGAAAUCUGUGUAGCUAGUUGUCCAAAUUGUUGCUCCAAACUUUUAAUAGAUGCUUCAACAUUUUGAAAUCUUUGAUUGUUGCCCUCGAUGAAUGAUUGAGUUGUUGCUGCCAGUUUAGCAAGUUGAUCUUCCAUAGAUGGUUUGGAGGGAACAAAAGGUUUUUGUGCAUGCUGGAAUGGUUUGGCAUUAGUCUGAUUGUCACCCCAUUUGAAAUUAGGGUGAUCCCUCCAUCCAGGAUUGUAAUGAGUUGCAUAUGCAUCAUUCCUAGGCCUUUGAUAGCUGUUCAUCAUAUUGACAUGUUGUUCAACAAGCUCUGGGUAAGAGUCUCUAUGUGGGCAGCCCAUUAUGUCAUGUGUAGCCAUACUGCAUAUAGUGCAAACUGUUGAUGUAGGUGGCUGCUGUGUAGAACUUGCUAUAUGUUGUAGAAGCAUAUCAAACUUUGCAUCAAUUUUCUUAUCCAUUUUUUCCAUUUGUGCAGACAUGUUGGGAGAACCUACUGAUAACUCAAAAAUGCCCCUUUUCUGUGAAUGUUCUGCUGCCCAUUGCUGAGAUUCUGUAGCCAUCAUAUCAAACAGUUCAAAUGCCUCUCUUGCAGAUUUAUUUGAUAAUGAUCCUCCAGCUGAUGCAUUCACAUGGCUCUUAGAUGUAGGAUUAAGCCCAUCAAAGAAAAUAUUCAUUUGUGUAUCUGAAUCAAUUUUAACAUGUGGACACUUUAUGUACAUCUUUGUAUAUCUCUCCCACGCUUCAUGAAACUCUUCAUUAGGCUUCUGUGUGAAUGUCAAAAUCUCCCUCUUGUAAUUCAAUGUCUUGGAUGCUGGAUAAUAUUUGUUCAGGAAUUUUGUGUGUAACUGCUGCCAAGUAGUAAUGCUAUUAGCUGGUAGAGUGAAUAACCAAGUUUCUGCCUUGUCCUUCAAAGUGAAAGGGAAAAGACGUAACUUAAUAGCCUCAGCAGAAAAACCCCUAAUCAAAAUAUUCUUGCAACCCACAAUAAAUUUUGCAAUAUGUAUGUUUGCAUCUUCAUUAGGCAAUCCCCGAAAAGUAGGUAGAAUUUCAAGCAUAUGGUGCCUGAUCUCGAACGAAUCACCCUCUUCUUGUUCAGGAUACACAAUGCAAUUGGGAACAUCAGUGGCACGGGCUUCCAAUGACUCCCUGAGUGGUCUACCUGCCGCAGGUAAUUCUAACGCCAUGUUACUCUCGUUUGCAAACAGAUCCUGCAGAAAAGUGCCCUGCAGUGAACAGUCCCAAGCCCAAGUAACUUCUCUCCGCUGUCUAUGCAGUGUGCGCUCUGGUUCUGGAUCAAAUUGUACAAUCUGUGUAGUUCCUGAUCUGGUCUGGACCAUGCAGUCUGCAAAAUCUGCAACAGAAACAAAAUUGUUCAAUUUCAAUUUUUUUUUUUGGACGAAAAUUAAAAAUAAAAUAAAAUGAAAUAAAUCAGAAAAAGGUUAAACAAAAAUUGUCUAAAAUAGUCCCCAGCAACGGCGCCAAUUUCUUGAUAGGAUUUUUAGUACUUGUGCAAACAGUGUUAAAAAUCACAUAAAAUACUUGCAAGAAUACAAGGCUAUUGUAGUAUAGAUGCUCAUGCAAGGUCGUUUUCCUCAAGGACUAAUUAGCAAUUUAUGUAAAAACAAAUUUCAAUUACUACUUAAAAUAAAAAGUCAAGAAAGAUGAUUAUAAAUUUGGUGGAUUCUAAAAAACAAAUAUUAAACAAAAACAAAUACGAUUGAAAGAAAGAGUUUUGAAUAUCAAUUUAUAAAACCACUAGGGUUUCACCAUCACCUAGCAAUCCUAUGAACUUUUACCAAUUACUUAUGAUUUGCACAUGCCACUUUGAAGGUUAGGUUUUCCUAUUGUAUAUUCUACUUGGAACCUCCAACACAGAACGUAUAUCCAACAUGCAACCCGUCCGGACGUUCGGAUCAAAUCUGAACAUGAAAGACUCAUUAAGUUUUGUGAAAACCCUUUGAAAAACCAUGCAACCCUUAAGACGUGGUGUUCAUCUUAAGUGAAAUUACAAUUAUUAAUCACAAGAAGCUAGCAUAAAUUUCAGGGAACCUUCCGACCAAAAUUGCAUCCAAUUACUUUUCUAAAGAUCCUAAUGGUGAUCAGGCAUUAAGACAAUUAGAUAGUUUAAAAUAGUGAUUAACAAUUCAAAAUACGCAUGCACUCAUCAUAAGCAAUUAAAUAAAAAUCACAUAUUCAUGCUAAGGUUCAAGGCUUCACCCUAGCAAAAGAAAUUUAGUUACGCAUACUCAUAAUUGAAAUCCAAGAAAAUAUCAUUAAGAAGAAAAGAACGAAAACACCUGAAAGUUGUGAAAACCCAAAACCCUAGCAAUUGCUCUCUACAAUGCAAAGUUCAAAAAUAAUUAAGAAGUCCUAAAUUCCUUGUGAGAAAGAGCUUAAAUAUCCCUUAAAACCUAGCUGCCAAUGUACAGCUUUUCUAUCCCUACAAGGAAACUAAUUAAAGUAAAAUAAUACUAGGAAAUAAAGUCCAAAUUGGAAUAGGAGAAUUUGCCCAAAAUCAGCCCAGCCACGUUUUGGCCCCAAAUCUCCUCCAAAUCUGGCCCAAGAUAGCUUUUUUUAAAGACACUACUACAAAAAGUGAAAAAGACGACCAGAAAACAACGACGGUCUAAGUGAAAACCGUCGUGGUUUUUAAAAAGACGACGGUUCUAAAAACACCGUCGUGUAAUACCACCUUAGACAACUAAAAAAUGGAGAUUCAAAUGGCUGUUCAAAAACAACGACGUACCUAAUUAAACAACCGACGUCUAUUUGAAACAGAUUUCCGCAGUGUAAAAUCAAAGCAAACAAAGAACGGCAGAAGUUAUGAAUAGACCGACGUAGAAAGUAAAGACGACGAUUUCAAUAAAAGCCGCCGUUUUUACUCAUAAAAUAACACGACGAGGUUUUCGUAUAAGACGCCGUAUAAUUACAAACAAAUCCACGGCUUUAAAAUACAAAAAUAAUCUUAACAGAUGACACAGAUUUGCAAUCAGAAGAGACAAUUUUUGAAGUUGAUCAACGUCGUUGAAAAUUGCAAUCAGAAGAGACAUUUUCAACGACGGNNNNNNNNNNNNNNNNNNNNNNNNNNNNNNNNNNNNNNNNNNNNNNNNNNNNNNNNNNNNNNNNNNNNNNNNNNNNNNNNNNNNNNNNNNNNNNNNNNNNGGAAGUUGAUCAACGUCGUUGAAAAUUUGCAAUCAGAGAGACAAUUUUCAACGACGGUUAUAUUAUACCUAACGACGUUUAAAAACAAAUCAACGUCGCUCAACAAAUAUAUUACGUCGUCUUAGUCUUACUUAAGACGACGAAAAACGACGACAGUAGUAAAAAAACAGUCGUUGUUUUUAUAUUCUUAUUUUAUUUAAAUCUGUCGUGUUAGUUAAAAACGACGGCAUAACAAAAAACCGUCGUUUUGUUUCAAACUGAAUUAAUUUAAAAUUUCUUCAGGAAAGCAAAAUCUAUUUAUAAUUUCCUCGGGUUAGUAAUAUUGUGUCGUGUUAGUUUACAAAUUCUAGAACAUUAAUUUCCCUCAUUUUAAAUUUUCUCGGGAAAGAAAAAUCUAUUUAUCACGCUUUGUAAUUGAAAACUAAAACUGAAAGAAUUCUGGAAAAAAAACUCUAUUUAUAAUUUAAAAAUAAAAUGCACGUCGGUUGUAGUACACUUAACGACGUUUAACAAAAUAAUCUACGUCGGUAAUUAUAAAUCUACCGCCAUCUUACCCUAAUAUAGACGACGAGAAAAGACGACGGUAGAACAGAAAACCGCCGUUGUUUCAGUUUCUUUAACAGUUUGGUCCUUUAUCUUUCUGCAGGACUUGUAUAGUUCAAAGCAUUGACAAUGUCUUCAUCAUAUCUCCCAGCAACUACUGAUUCGAUUGCUCAUGCUUUAGAGGCCAUCUGAAGCCAUUUCUAUUCUUUAUCGCAUUCUUGAAACCCAUCUUCUUCUUCUGAAGCUCUACGGAUAAAGGAAGAGGCUAUCACAAAUCUGACGGAUCUUCUUAGUCAAAAAAAUCAAGCAGAGGAUCAGGCACAUCUGAUCUUCAGAUUUCCCUGAGAAGCGAACUUUCCUUCGACAGCGAGUGGAGGCCAGGCUUGCAUCUCUUUUGAUGGAAAGCAAGGAGUAUUCAGAAGCACUAAGUGUCCUAUCAGGCUUGAUCAAGGAAGUGAGAAGGCUAGUUGACAAGCUUCUUCUUGUCAACUAGCCUAAAUGUAAGCUCAAUUUCUCUUUGAGAAAGACCUCCAAAUUAUUGUCUUUGAGAUGUGAGAGACAGUGUCUCUGAGAGAGGAAGAACUUGGAACCCUAAAUGUAAACCGCGAAAAUGAAUGAAAGCGACAAAUUUAUAGAAUAAAUUUUUAAAACCAACGGCGGUACUUACCAAGAAACCGCCGUUUCAAUUGUAAAAUCAACGUCGGUAUUACUGACGUAUAUUACAGAACUCCACGUCGGUACAUUAAUAAUCACGACGUCUUAAAUAAUCUACCAUGACGCGAGUUAUUACUUAUGUACUUUAAUUUUUGAGUUUACUACGACGGUACCUACAACACUACUGUCGUAUUUAUUUACCACGUCCGAAGUUAAAUUUACCGACGUAUUUUGUACUUUAUACGUCGUAGUUAUAUGUAACCGCCGUAUUAUUUUUUUGAAAUGGUUUUAUAUGUAAGCAACUUUUCGUCUACUUGACUUACACAUUAGUUGUUUUUAUAUUCUUAUUUUAUUUAAAUCUGUCAUCCAAAAAAGAAACUUUACAUAUUGCAGAAUAUUAAUUUCCUUCGUUUUAAAUUUCCUCCGGAAAAAAAACUCUAUUUAUAACGCACUGUAAUUGAAAAAUAAACUGAAAGGUCACGGGAAAAAAAAUUCUAUUCAUAAUUUAAAAAUUAAAAUCCACGUCGGUUAUAUUAAACCUAACGACGUUAAAUGAAAUGAUUCCACGUCGAACGAAAAAUAUUUCGUCGUGUUAGUUAAAAACGACGUAGUUAAAUGUAACCGCCGUAUUAUUUUUUUGAAAUGGUUUUAUAUGUAAGCAACUUUUGGACUUACACAUGCACUGUUUCCAAACCCGAUUAAAAAUUUCAAUCUCCAGAGAAACCUUUUCGUCUUUUUUCCUUGUCAGAGCAUUAUCAGAGUUUCUCAUCGUCUUCCUCUCGUCUUCUUCGUCGUCCUUGAACUUAAACAUCGAUCAUCUUCCUCUUGCUUUCAUUGCACGCAAAAGGUAAGCUUUCAUUUUCACUAUUUUGGUUACUGUUUUGCAUGCUCAUACGUUUUUUGUUUGAAAAAUCUUUUUACCUUUUUUCUGGCCAAAAUCAUUUUACUUCUUUCCAAGUUUGAUAAAAUAUACAGACAAAAAGGGAAAGUUUCCAACUUUGAAGACAACUACCUCAACUAAAUGAGACGACGGUAGACCACGACGGUUCGUCAGUUGUUCUAGCGUCGUCUGAAAAUUGACAAAGUUGUUUUUAAAAUAAUAGUCUUUUUUUAUAUGCUUGUUUAAUUGCAGGUUUGAUUUCUCUGAACAAUGGUUUUUGUUUUUCCCUUAUUUGAUAAAAUAUAAAGAAAAAGAAACUAGGGUUGGUAUCUAAUAUAGACGACAAAAUAUCUUAUUGUUUUACGUCGUGUGAAUGUUAAUACCACGACGGUGUAUUACUAUUAACGUCGUAUGAACAUAAAUACCACGACGUUAUAUAAAUAAUAGUUUACCACGACGGUGUAUUACUAUUGACGUCGUGUGAACAUAUAUACCACGACGUUAUAUAAAUAAUGGUUUUAAACAUUUAUUACGUCUGAGAUUAUUUCAUUGCGUCGUCUAAAAUCAUAUCAUACGUCGUAUUUUUUUAAUACCGUCGUUUGUGUUCUUAAUGUUUUCCUGAAAUAUUUUCACUUGCAGUUUUGUCUGUUAAAAUGGUUUCUCAACAACAAACUAAGGAUUCUGGCUCCAAGAAGCUUGGAAUGGUAGCUCCUCAAGACAAGUCUUCGAAGGAGAUGAAGUCUUCGAAGAAGAUGAAGUUUGCUUCAUCAUCUGCUGAGACAGAACCAACCAGCCAGACAACAAUCUCUGAUGAUUCAAAGACUGGUCGAGGCAUGAGCACAAUGCCUCGUGUUGUGAAGAGAAAGCUUCAGAAACUGAGGCCAAUUGUUGAGUACAAUAAAAGGGGGAAAGGUGUUGGCCAAGCACAUAUUGAGAUGCAGUCGUAUAUUGGUGUGUUGGCACGCUCCAGGAUCCCACUUGUGGACAAGAAAUGGUCCCAAAUCCCCAAGGAUAUAAAGGAGCAGAUUUGGGAAGCAGUUGACAUGGCUUUUGUCGUAGGCCAAGGGGGCAAGACCUCUGUUUUAGCUUCUGCUUCCAAGAAAUGGAAGGAUUUCAAGUCUACACUAACGAGGCAUUAUAUCCUUCCAUACACCAAUGACAGGGAGAAAUUAAGCCAACCCCCUGAAACAUAUAAAUUCAUAGAGAAAGCACAAUGGGAUGCCUUUGUAGCUUCAAGGCUAUCCAAAGAUUUUGAGUCUGUGCAUUCUCAACAUGCACAGAUUAGGGAGAAACUCGAGUACAAUCAUCGAUUGUCUCGAAAAGGAUAUGCUGGAUUGGAGGAUCAAUUGGAGGAAACCAUGCCUGGGGUAGAAAUUGAUCGAUCUACCUUAUGGAAGAGAGCUAGACAGGACAAACAUGGUAACAUCCCUGAUCCAAAGGUGGCAGAGAAAGCAAAAUUAAUUGUAAGCCUACUAUCACUCUGUUUUAAAUUUUUAUUAAACUGUGAAUUAUUCUUAUUACGUCGUAUGUUAUAUUUUUCGUCGUGUGAAUGAUAUUACCACGUCGAAAAGUUUUUAAAAACGUCGUUAAAGGUCUAAAUAGGAAUCACUACUAAUUUUCUGUAAUUAUAGCAUAAGACGUCGGUGGUUCAUUUUCGCGUCGUUUGAAUGAUAUUACCACGUCGAAACUUUUUUAAAAACGUCAUUAACGGUCUAAAUAGGAAUCACUACUCUGUUUUCUUUAAUUAUAGCAUAAGACGUCGGUUGUUUAUUCAUUUCGUCGUUUUAAAUAAAUAACCACGUCGGUAUAACUACCGUCGUGAUAAGUUAUAAUAACGUCGGUUUAUACGUUAUUGCGUCGUGUGAAAUUAUAUAAUACGUCGUUUGUACAUAAAUAACCGUCGUGUGUUUUUUUGUUUAUCUUUGUUUUAGGAUGAAUUGCAGAAACAAGUCUCGGAAGGCAAAGUCAGAGUAGAUGGCAGCAAUGAUGUGCUGACCAUGGCUUUGGGCCCCGAGCAUCCAGGCAGAGUGAGGGGAGUUGGUGCUGGUGUUUCCCCAAGGCAAUAUUUCAAUUUGCCCAAACCACAGAGGGUGAGCUUUGACGACCAUUUGAAGGACAGUUUAAGAGUUCUCCUUCAAGAAGAGACUAAAAAGAUGGAGGCUAAGGCAAGGGAAGAGGCCUUAAGAAUGGAGGCUAGGACAAAACAAUUGGUAGAGGCUGAGAGGGAGCAUUUCCUGAGUCAGCUUUCCCAAUUAAUUCCCAAUUUUGAUCCAAGCAUGCUUAAACCAAGAAUUAGCCAAAGCCCCAAAAAUCCAAUGUCUGACAAAGCUAGCUGCUCUGGAGGUGAUGUGAGAUCCCUACAUUUGGAGGAUGAUACUGCCAAAAUGGGGAAACAUCAGCCAGAUGAAGAGAAGGAAGAAGAAAAAAGAGAUGAAGAGAAGGAAGAAGAAAAGGAGAAAGAAGAUGAAGAAAAGCAUGACGACAAGGUAUGUUCACAUAACUUUGCCUUUUUUAUUUGUUUUUCAAAAUUUCAGACGUCGAUAUUUUUAUUUAAUCCGUCGUUUGUUUAAAACUUAGACGGCGGACUUUUUUUAAGACGUAAUAAAAUAUUUAAACGACGGUUUUUGCACCGUCGUUUAAAUGGUUUCAGACGACGCUUUAUUCAUAAAAUCGUCGUCUUUAUUGAAUUACCACGACAGUUUUUUCACCGUCGUUUAAAUACUUUUAAGACGACGUUUUAUUCCUUAAACCGUCGUCUUUGUUGAAUUACCACGUCAUUUUUUUUAUUUCUUUAAACAGGUUAUUGAAGUUGGUGCUUAUUCAAAUAUGGAGGCGCCAUCUUCUUUAAAAACCCUUUGUCGUUUUGUGGAAACGACACUCCUGCCUGAGGAUAAGACACUCCAAUUUACAAUUGAUAAGGAGGUGUUUGGUGGUGAGCGCGAUACCUUCCUCCUGCCUGAAGAUAUUACACAAUUUGCAGGCAUGGAAGAAAUUGGAGCUACUGUAUUGGCUGUAUAUAUGAGGUUUGUACUUCUAAAAUAAUACCUCGUUGGUUUAUAUAUUGCGUCGUCUUAACUAACUAACCACGUCGUCUUAACUAACUACCGUCGUGAUAAAUAUAUUAUAACGUCCUCAUCUAUUUCAGUACGUCGUGUGAAAUAUUAUAAUACGUCGUUUUUUUAUACAUAACCGUCGUGUUUGUUUGUGCUGACUUGUUUAUAUUAUUUUAUGUAUUUAGGUACUUACACGAUGUUUUGAAACAAGCCAAUAUGUGCAGCAUGGUUGGCUUUAUCGACCCUGCUACAGUUAGUGCCAACUCUGGCACAAUAACUGAAAGAUCACGACUGGUAGCAGCUCGACUUCAGAAGACAGACGGUGAACAGAUUUUCAUGAUGCCUUACAAUCCAGGGUUAGUCUCCUUAGGAUUUUGUUUUUAUGAUUUUCAAUAAAUGACAGCUUAUAAACUAACCACGUCGGUGUUUUAUUUUAUUUAGUCGUUUGAAACUACUAACCACGUCGGUAUUUAUUUAUCGUCGUGAUAAAUAUAUAAUGUCGUCGUUAUCUACUUUAUUUCGUCGUGUGAAAUACUAUAAUACGUCGUUUUUGUAAAUAACCGUCGUUUUUAUAUUCAUUUUGUGCAGCCGUCAUUGGAUCUUGCUGAUUGUAAGAGCAAAGAAGGAGACCGUCUAUUUUCUGGAUCCUCUGCCAGGUCAUCGUGUGGUCGACGAAGAGGCGAAAAACAUCGUGAACAGUGCUUUAAAAAUAUAUAAUACCCACAUAGCCCGAGCACGACGUAAAAAUGUAAUUUGGAAAACUCUCUCAGGCACACCAAAGCAACCCAGCAAUGUCGAAUGCGGGUACUAUGUGAUGCGCUUCAUGAGGGACAUCAUCAUGGAUCCUUCCUUGGGGUUUGAGAAUAAGGUAAGAAGAAAUUACCUUCAUACAUUUCACGUCGUUUUUUGUAUUAUCAACGACGGUCAUGUAAAAUUAACGUCGUUGAAUGGAUAUACUACGUCGGUUAUGAAAAAUAUCGUCGUCUGUGAUUGAAUUUCUUUUUAUUUAUAAACCCUAAUAGUCAUUGUUUAUGCAGUAUGCCAAGGGAAACCAGGAAGCUUCAUACCCCCAAGAAGCCAUUGAUGAAGUCCGGAAUGAAUGGGCAGAGUUUGUUUUCCAAAUUAUUAAACAGGGCAAUUAUUGAACACUUGAUAUUUAUGUAUAAUGUACAAAUUUUCUCUAUAAUAUGUAAUGUAAAAAUUUGUUGAGGUUUUCUUAAAUUAAAAAAAAAACAAACAUACAAAUUGCUUAACCGACGUGUAAUACUUUUCCAACGACCUAAUAAAGUCAAAAACCGUCGUAUUUUGUUGUUUCGUGUUUUAAACAAAUACGACGUAAAAAUAUAGUUAGACGACGUUCUUUGAACAAUUGAGUCGUUUAUGGUUUACAACAUCUUCAAUUUCUUAAGGGUUCAGGGUAUCAUCGACGACGUUUAUGUAACGACAGCGGUUAAGUCGUGGAAUAUAUAUUUUACGUCGUAUAGUUAAAUAGCCGCCAUGGUUUCUCAUUUUAACGACGUCAUUUUAACGACUUAGUAGUCUAUUACAAUUUACAACGUCUACAAUUUAUUAACACCGACGUGGUUUGUUGUUGUGGUAAGAAUAUUUUAUUAUUUUUAUAUCAAAAUAUUCAAAAUAAAUUUAAAAUAAAUCAGAAAAUUGAAAAGUCAUCUCCUAUGAAGUCAUUGAUAUAUUUUCUUCCACAUAAACCUUGAAAAAAUUCAUUUUGAAUAACAAAAAUUUAAAAUGACCAUCCAAAACAAAAUUGUUUUGAUGAGUCAUAAAAUCACUUCUAGUUUUAUGGUUUAGGGUUUAGAGUCUAGGGUUUAGAGAUUAGGGUUGUUAUUUGUUGGGGUUUAUUUUUAAAGUAUAAUUUUUGGGUAGUCUAGGGUAUAUGUUAGGCUUUAAAACCAUAAAACCUUUUAUAAACUUAAUUUUUUAAAUUGUAUAAUUUAGUUUUAUGGGUUUAGGGUAUUAAUUUUUAACGACGGUGGUUGCGUCGUGGAAUACAUAUUUUACGUCGUACAGAAAAACAUACGACAUGGUUUACGCUUUAAACGACGUCAUUUUAAUAUGUAAGUCGGUUUAUAUAAUUUACAACGUCUUUAAUUUCUUAACACCGACGUGGUUUUUCAGUCGUCGUUAUAUAAAAAAUUCAAAAUAAAUUUAAAAUUAAUCCGAAAAAUGAAGCUUCAAAAUGAACGGCCUUACGUUCUUAAUCCGAAAAAUGAAGUUUCCGUCGUGGAAUAUUAAAUUUACGUCGGUACUUGUAGAACUUUCGCCUUGGUUUUUCUUUCGACGUUUUAAAACGCGCGAGCUCUAAAAAUUUUCGCGUGACCUAAAUUUUUUUAGAUUUGGCUCUUAUUCUUAUACUUCGAACCCUGAAACCUAAAAUUUUCAGAUUUCGCUCUCUCACUUCUGCUCUAAUUAAAAGUUGCACUCUCCAGGCUUCGUCGAAUCUGUGAGCUCGUCCAACCUGUAAGUACAAACCCUAUCUUCCCCUUGUAAAUUCAUUGAAUGAUAUUAGGUUGUUUUGUUAAAGGGUUUUAUGUGUAUGCUUUGCGAUCUGUUAAUAAUGUGCUUAUAGGUAUGGGUUCAUAGAUUUUCUGUUUAAUGGGUUCAUGGAUUACAUUAUCUGUUAUGUUGAAUUGGGAAUGGAUUUAAUUUUGUCGUAUCUUUUAAUCACCCUAUGUUAUGUUGAAUUGGGAAUGGAUUUAUUGUUUUCAUGCUUGGUUUCAUGUAUAUGUUGGUUUCUUGCUUGGUUUCAUAUAUAUGUUGUGUUCUUAAUGGGUUUUGUGUUCUUGAAAAUAAACUGAGACACGACAAAUUUUAAGGCAUACGACGACGAUUACACGACGGUUUUUUUAAACUACCGUCGUUGUAUUACUUAUACAAGACGGUUUUUUCAUAAACCGUCGUUUGUAUUACUUAUAAUAGACGACGUCUGUUGAAAAUCCGUCGUCUAUAUAUGCCAAAUACGUCUGUUUUUGUUUAAAACCCGUCAUCUCUGUUGUGUAUUACUUGCGAUUAGAUCAUUGUAUAAUCUGCUAUAGUGAUGGUCAUUGCCUGUAUUUUCACUUUAUUAUAGAUAAUAGGUUAUAGUGUCGGAGAUGGAUAAGUCAUGGAUGCACUCGGAUAGAAGAUCGAAGGCAUAUGAAUUUGGGGUGGAAGCAUUUUUGAACUUUGCUUGAGAAGUACUUUCCCCCUUCAUUCUUUGAUAUCAUGGUUCAUCUAGUAGUACAUCUUGUCAGAGAAGUUCGUCUAUGUGGGCCAGUAUAUUUUAGGUGGAUGUAUCCGUUUGAAAGAUAUAUGAAAGUGCUGAAGGGGUAUGUUCAGAAUCGUACUCGUCCCGAAGGUUGCAUUGCUGAGCGGUAUAUAGCUUAAGAAGCGGUAGAGUUUUGUACUCAGCAUUUAUCUGAUGUUAGUACAGUUGGAGUGCCUUCAAGCCAAAAGAUGGGACUUUCAAAGCCAUUAUCAGGUUGCACAGUGAGCGUAGUUGAUCAGGACCUGUUGAAUCAAGCACAUCUAUAUGUCUUGGAGAAUACGGAGGAAGUCCUACCUUAUAUCGAGUACGUAUGAGCUUUAUUCUUUAAGUUUCCAUUUUAAAUUAUUUCUUAUGUUUAUCUUCUAUAUUUGGGACCGUAAUGCUUGAAUUUUUCGUGUCAUGUAGGCAACAUAUGAUCCACAUCAAGAUUGCUUAUCCAAAAUUUAGAAAGAGAACAAAGUGGCUGCAGGAUAAGCACAAUAGCACUUUCAUUCAAUGGCUACGCUUCAAGGUAUAUGUUGUUGAAUAACAUAUUUCUCUUUUAAUUUUCUUCUUAUUUAUAUGUUAGAUUGAAUUAAGAUAUGAUUAAUUUGCAGGUUCAAAGUGAACUUGAGGAAGACAAUCAUGGCGUAUCAGAAAAUUUAAGGUGGCUAGCAGCUGGUCCAAACAUGUCAGUGCCAUUAUAUAGGAGCUAUCUUAUUAAAGGUAUUAAAUUCAAUAUCAAGGCACAAGAUGAUGUGCGGACAACUCAAAAUAGUGGAGUUUAUUUACUUGCACAUACCAUGCAAGUUGCUAGUGCCAAGGAUAAAAACCCAAUUCUCUCAAACAUGGGUUUCUAUGGUGUCAUUCAAGAAAUUUGGGACCUUGACUACCAAAAGUUUACAAUCCCAGUCUUUAGGUGUGAUUGGAUAGAUAGUUCUGGUCUUGUAGUCGACGAACUUGGAUUUACCCUUGUAGAUUUGAGUAAAAUUGGACAUAGGAAUGACCAAUUUGUUUUGGCUUCUCAAGUCAAACAAAUAUUUUUUGUUGACGACCCGAUGCAUCGUGGUUGGUCGGUAGUGUUAUCAAUGCCUAAUAGAGAAUAUAAUGAUGUUAUUGGUGAUGAAGUCUUAGGUGAUGUGAUAAUUGAGUGUGAGCCAUUUACUAGAGGGAUGCCAAAUGUUGACACAUUUGAUGAACUGGUGGGUGAGUUAGGCGGUCAAAAUAUUCGAGAUGGGUGUGAAGAUAUAUGGAUUGAAUGAUGCUUAUGUAAUUGGCAGUGUAUGACAUUAAUUUUGUAAUAUAUUGUAAUGUGAUUUCUUCACUUUCUACGUUCAAAUAAAACACGACGUUAUUGUGAACCAGUUAUUCAGCAUAUUUACCGACGUCUUAAAGCAACGUAACAAUGAAGAACCACGACGCUAUUGUGAAGCAAUUAUUCAGGAUAUCACGUCGGGGAAGGAUUAAGAACCGCCAUGUAAUUCAAAAUAACACGACUCCAAUCCCAUAAUACCGACGUCUAAAAAACGAGAUAUAUAAUCUGAACGUUAAAAAAUACGACGUCAUCAUACAUUUUCCACAUCGCAAGUUCUUUUAUAAACGAAGAGGAACGAAAUGAAUUCCGACGGAAAUUCAUUAUAACCGCCGUCUAAUAACAAUUAAACGACGUUAUUUGUAAUACGGCUCUCAUCAUAAUCAACGCCGUCUAUAUGUUCUGUAAUACGGCUCUCAUUUAUUUGGAACCGACGUUGUUUAGAAGUUCAACGUCGUCUAUAUUAUUAAGUGCGUCGUGAGUAAUGAUGAUAGAUAUAAAUACAACGUCGACUAUAUAAAUGCCACUGACGUUGUUUCGCAUUUCAACGUCAACUGUAUAAAUACAUACGUCGUAAAUAAUGACACUGACAACUAUUUCCACGUCAUCUUUUUUAGAAAAAUCGAAGUGGAAAAUUUAUUUCACGACGGUUGUUUGUAAAUAAGAGACGUAGUAUAUUUCAAUAACGUCGUCUUCUCAUGUAUUUAAAGACGUCAUAUUUUUUCUUGUCGUGUAAAUUAUAUUUAACGGCGUAGUAUUUUAGUUGUCGUCGUUGUAUGUAUAUCUUGCGGCCUUGUUCUUUUAACAUGUGUCAUAUUUUUCCUUUUUAACGACGGUGAUUUGUUUGAGUUGGUCGUCUAUUCUCAUCCUCGACUAUUUUCUAGAACUUUAGCAGACUAAACACGUCUGUUUUUAUUGUUUUCCGACGUUGUUUUAUUUAACAACGUCUAAUAUUUAUCGUCGUUGUUUGUUUCUGAAAAUAUGACGUAUAAAUUUUGUAAUACGACUCUCAUAUAUUUGUAACCGACGUUGUUUCGUUUUUCAACGUCUACUCUAUAAAUACAUACGUCGUAAAUAAUGACACUGACAACUAUUUUCACGUCAUCUUUUAUCGAAAAAUCGAAGUGGAAAAUUAAUUUUACGACGGCUGUUUUUAUAUAUGCGACGUAGUAGGUAUCAAUAACGUCGUCUUCUAAUGUAUUUAAAGACGUCAAAUUUUUUAUUGUCGUGAAAAUGAUAUUUAACGGCGUCGUAUUUUUAUUUUCGUCGUUGUAUGUCUAUCUUGCGGCCUUGUUCUCUUAAUAUGUGUCAUAUUUUUCCUUUUUAACGACGGUUUUUUUAGAGAGUUGGUCGUCUAUUCUCAUCCUCGACUGCUUUUUUAGAUCUUUUUGCAGUACAAAGACGUCGUUUUGUAUUUGUUGAUGACGUUGUAUAUUUUAACAACGACGGUGAUUUUGCGUCGUGGUUUAUGAGGGAAAAGAUGACGGUGGAUUCCACGACCAUUGAAAAACCGAAUACACGACGGUGAUUUACCGUCGUCUUUUUGCUUUUUUGUAGUAGUGAGAUAAAAAUGUUCUGAACACUUCUCUAGAAGGCCACGAACCCAUCCGAGGUCAUCUUGGGCUCCAAAAACACAAUAAAAGCCCAACACGUCACUAUUCCAGCACCGCGCACUGCUCAUUUAUUUUAUUGCCAGAAAAUAACCGCUUGGAAGAAAAAUCUGAAAUUUUGAUACGAUCAAGCUAAGUGACUCAAGAACGUCCUCCAACUGGAAUUACUCCAAAAUUCCUCAAUUUGAUUAUGUUUUGCUCCAGAGAGAGUCGAAAGUCCUAUAUUGGAAAUAUAAUUCAAAGUAUCAAAAUUCUUCCAAAAUAUUAACCAAAAUAUACUAAGAAUGAGGUUAAAUAUAUAAUAUAAAAUAUGUCCAUCACCCCACAACAACUAAAGAACCAACAUUUUGUAGAAGGUUUUGUCUAUACCUUUGACUGUAAGUAAAUCUCUUGUAUCUGCUCCUGUGGUUCGGUGAAGUUUCUUUGUGUCCUUUCUGCGGAGUCUCCCAUGCUUGUUCCAUGAAAAUGUUCUAGGAGAAAAUACGGUUGUUUCUUACUAGAUUCAAAUGAUUAAGAAAAAUAAAAACGCAAGAAAAAAGGUAUUUUCUUGAUGGACUUGGUGAUGAAAAAUAUCACUCUCUUUAUAUGUCGUCUUCCUUGGACUUUGAGACCUUGGGUUUCGAUUCUUCUUGAGGAUUGCAUAGGGUUUCUAGGCCCAAGAAUACUUUGAGUUAGUUUUUGCGUUUUGGGCUUUGAGACUUUGAGACUAUAAUGAGUGGAAAGUUAUAAGGGGUAAGUUAUAAGGGGGUCACUUUAUAGCCAUCAGAUUAAUCCAAGGGCUGGGGAGAAUUGAGAUAAAGUUUCACAAUUGGGUAGGUGAGGAACCCAAACCCGAAUUGAAUAUCCAGCACGUCCAAAAAGAAGAAGAAGAGGGAAACACGUCCGAAAAAGAAGAAGAAGAGGCAAGUUCGAAGUUUGAACAGAAAGAACUCAUCUCUCUAAAACACAGAGGUCUGAGAUACCCAAUGAAGGCAACGGCUAACGACAGUUGAAGGCAACAAUUCGCCACUCCGUUCUCCAGACCCCGAAAAAGUAUUUAUUUGGAGUAGAAGGGGCAAAGGUGUGGAUUCCAAAUCAGUGAAGGGGCGAAGCAGUGGAAGGGGAAGGGGAGAAGCUGUAUUCGUUGGAAGUGUAGGUUCCAUUUGUGGAGCAAAGAAAUAGAAAGACCCCACACAGACACCUUGCAAUAACCAGCAUUUGGUGAGUAAUUUAUGGAAUUUGAGUUUAGGGUUAGAGUAAUGGUUUUCCCCAAUUUGUACCAUAAAUUUUGUUGGAUUUGGCAUCUCUUCGUUGUGCUUCAGUUGCAUGUUAAUUUUUGCUUAGGUAUAUGUUAAAAAAGGAAUGAAAAUUAAGUCAAUAACAAGUGAAUAACAUGUCAAUAAUGAUAUGAAUAAGAUAAUGGUGUUGAAUUGGAGGAGGCCCUCAAAACCUUCCACAUUUGAAGCAGUGCAUAGUGCAGAUUAAGAAGAGGCGCUAGAAUAUAUAUAUAUAUUUUAUGAAGUAAAUAUGAUUUCCUUUGUUACUAAAUUUGCCUGAGAAACAUUUGAACAGAUAAUAAUAAACUCAUGAAUAGAACUGCAAAGCAUUUGAUGAGCAAUGUAAGGAAUUUAAGUUUAGGGUUAGAGUAAUGGCAUCUCUUAUUUGUGCUUCAAUUGCAUGUUAAUUUUUGCUUGGGUAUAUGUUAAAAAAUGAAUGAAAAUAAAGUCAAUCACAUGUCAAUAACAUCUCAAUAACAUGUCAAUAACAUGUCAGUAAUGAUAUGAAUAAGAUAAUUGUGUUAAAUUGGAGGAGGCGCUCAAAACCUUCACAUUUGAAGCAGUGCAGAGUGAAGAGUACCUCUCUGGCACUAGAAUUUAUAUAUUUUGUGAAAUAAAUAUUAUUUCAUUUGUUACUAAAUUUGCCUAUGAGAAAUGAGAACAGAUAAUAAUAAACUCAUGAAUAAAAGUGCAAAGCAUUUGAAAUGAAGGUUGAUCUAUGACGAUUGUGGGUGACUGAAGAAAAAGGUAGAAAGAAAGAAGGAUGUGGCAAUUGCUUAGCAAGCAGAUAGCAGAGUACAUGCUUUGCUUUGCUUCCUUCCACUAUAUUUCUUAUUUAUUUAUUUUGGGUUGUGUAUGAGAUGACAAUAAUUGUCAUGUGUGUGAAGUGCAGAACUUGCCUACAUUGCACUCACACGAGUAUGGAUGCAUAAAUAAAACACGUGAAAUUGUUUGUAAUUCACAUAAUCAUUGCAUUAACAGGUAUUUGCACAAAAAUUGUCAUAUUGCUUUGAUGAUGUUAAAGGCUGUGAUGAGUAAUCCCUAUGCUCAUGUACUUUGUAAAAGUUGUAAUGUGCCUGGUUGACUAGUUGUGAUUGUGCAAAUACGUGGUAGUAUAUAUGUUCACGUUAUUUCACAUUGUAUUUGAGGAAAUGGGAUCCAACGUGGAGCUGGUAUGGCCAGAGGCAGAGGUAUAUUCGUCACGGGUGAACAACUGCUCACAUGCAAAUUCAUCUCUAGCUGCAAUUCGAGCGAAGUUGAGUGCGGAACAAUUAGAACAAUUCAAGACAUCAUGCUUUGGCCAUCUUCUGAAUAUAGAUAAGAUUCAGUUUAGCGGGCAGAUUGUGCAUGGGGUUGUGUUGCGUAGAGUAGCGGGGCAGGGUGUGAAAGACUUGGAUGGACUGAGUUUCUUAUUAGGGUGUGACGUUGCUCAGUUCACUCGUCAGGAUUUCUGUUUGAUCACAGGGCUUCGUUUUGGGGAAGUGCCUGAAGUUUCCAGUGGAGAGAGUGAUGAAAUCAGACUUCAGAAAAGAUAUUUUAUAGACGAAGGAAUUACAUGCAAUGCUUUAGAAGAAGCAUUUGUGAGGUGCACAGAGGAAGAUGACAUCUACAAGCAAGCUCUUGUUUACUUUGCUGAGUUAGUGGUUUUGGGAAGGGACAAACAUUUGAACAUCAAUCUAAAUUACCUGACCCUUGUAGAGGACUUGGAUGCGUUCAACAGGUAUCCGUGGGGUUCGGUGUCCUUUGACAAAACCCAAGACAGUCUAUUUUCUGCACCAACAAAGUAUGUGAAAAGCUUGGAAAAUGAAGAGGGAAGAGGGAAGGGGAAAAGUAAGGUAACGGGAACAAGCCGGAGAAAUGAGAAGGGCAAGAAGGAUAAGCAUGGUGAAGCGCAAAUGAGUGGCUGGAGUUUUAAAGGUUUCACGUAUGCUUUCCAGGUACAUGGUAAUAAUGUUCAUGUCAGUUAUGUUUUGUUUUUCUUUAAAACAUAAAUAAUGACUUUUGUCCUGUGAAUUGUGUAGAUUUGGGUAUAUGAAUUAAUUCCUAGAAUGGCGGACCUGAAUUACUGCAAGGUUGUUGAUCCGACCGUUGUCCCGCGUAUUUUGCGAUGGAGAACUACUACGUCUGUUCCAGAGAUGAGAAAGUUGAACAAUUAUUUUUUCCAGAGCAAAGAGGUUUGGUUUGCAGCCCUUGGAACUAUUGAUAAGAUUGAAUGAAAUUAUGAAGUAGAAUGAUUUGAUAUGACUCUUGUCUGUAUUCUGAAACAGUCAGUUCAGUUGCGGGCGCUAUGUCCGAGUGAAGAGGAAAUGAGACAGCCAUAUUGGAGUUGGCCACAGGAUCGCCCUGCUGUUGUCUCAGCAGAGUCAAUUCCUUCUUCAUGUGGUGAUCUUGAUGAGUUGAACAAGGUGGUAAGUUGGUUGAGGUCCGAGUUGUUUCAAGUAAAGCGGGAAAAAGACGUCCUUCACUUAAAGGUCAUACGGAUGGAAAAACUGUUGGACCAAUGUUUAGGUCCUCAGUUUGAGCAGGAAGUAAGGAGGGACCUAGCUUUACUGAAACAGAGGACGAAUCGUUGUGUCAUCUCACAUCUAUUUAAGGGAUAUGGGGAAAUGGAUGACAUUCAAUGGGAUGAAGGGCCAAGUAACAGAAAUGAGGGAGAGGAAAAGGAAGAUGAAGGGAUUGAAGGGGGUGAAGGGCCAAAUAAUAGAAAUGAGGGAGCACAUAAGGAAAAGGAGGGGAUUGACGGAGAGGAAAAGGAAGAGGAGGGGAUUGAAGGGGGUGAAGUGCAAGGAAAACCAAGUGAGGUAGAGGAAGGGCAAAGGAAAAGAAGUGAAGGAGAGCAAGUGCAAGUAAAAAGUAGCAAAGGAGAGGAAGCCCAGAGACAGAGCAGUGAGGGAGAGGAAGUGAAAAGAAAAAGCAGUAAGGGAGAGAAACUGCAAAGGAAAAAAAGGGAGGGCAAGGAAGUGAAAACACAAACAAGUGAGGAAAAGGAAGUGCAAAGAAACCAAUGUGAGAAAGAAGAUAAUGAAGUUAUGUUGCUUGGGGGUGACAUUGGCGAGAGCACGGAGGGGACACUGCUUGAGUUUACUGUCGGGGACAUUGAUUUGGAUGAACCUACAGCUGUGCUAUCUCAGUUGAACGUGUGGUUGAAUGAUAAAGGUAAAGCUCUGGCACAAGGGGUCCAAUUACGGAAAAGGAAGAGGAUCAUUCCUUUGUGGAAGAUCAUUGAAGGCAGUGAAUUGGUUCCAAAAAUUGGGGCACAGACAACCGGACUGAAGAUGUUAGACCCAAUGAAGGCGAUUUCGCAUGAUGAUCUGGUGAAAUUGCUGAAACUUUGUUGGGAAUGGCGCCAGGACCCAAAGUAAGUCCCUUGCAAUUAUAAGAUACAAGCAUGACUGUAUAUAAUUUUUUAUAUACAGUGUUCUAAAACUGUUUUAUAUUCAUAGUUUGGUGAUGCAAUUUGGCAACGUGGAAGCUGAGAUUGAAUUCUUCGCUUCCCUCGUGAAAGCUGAUGGUUGGCUGAAAGGAGAUGUAAGUGUAAUUGAUUAUGCAUUUGUUUUAAUGUACAUACAUUAUGAGAUUGACAAGAAAAACAUGUUGCAGCACAUUGAUUUGGGGUUGUAUCUCAUCCGGAAGCGACAACAACAGUUGGAGACAGAUUCGGUAGAAGUAGCGGACUGGACAACGACCGAUGUUUUUUUUAUGGUAUGUCAUCGGCCUUGACCAAGUGCCGUUAAUAAUUACACAUUUUCCAUACACACACUAGUGGAGGUGUUUAACCAUUGAUUGUUUUGUAUUUCACAGAAUCACAUUCGUACUUGCUUUGCGGAUAAUAAAAGAAAAAAACAGCAGCUUGGGUGGAAAAUCAGGAAAAGUUUACUAACCGUUGUAAAUGGGAAGGUUCCUCCGUGUGGGUUGGAUUGGCAGACCGUCUAUAAGGUGUAUACCCCAUUUAUGUUGACGAAGUACAAGCAUUGGGUGGCUGUAAUGAUUGAUCUGGUAUUGUGUGAAAUCAAAGUGUACGAUUCAAAGGUUUCACUAAUUCCAGAUGACAUCGUAAAGGAAGAACUCGGCCCGCUAUCAAUUACGCUUCCAAAUCUUCUCAACACCAUCGACUUUUAUGAAAAAGGUGUUUAUGCAAACAAUUGCAGCCAAGAUUAGUGGUGUCCGUGGCCAAUAGAGCGUGUGGAUGUUCCACAACAGUCUAAUGAGUAAGCACAACUUGCAAUUUAAUUUUAUUACUUUCAAUUGUCAAUUACGUUAGAAUGUCAUUAGUUGAAUUGAUCGAGUUCUUGUUUUGCUUCAGAGGCGAUUGUGGCAUGUUUGUGUUAAAGUACAUUGAGCUUUUCAGCGCUGAGCUUCCGUUAGCUACUUGCACCUCGCACAACAUGCCUUUUUUUCGGUUGAAAUUGGCUGCGGAGAUAACAAGGGGAGAUGCUUACUUCCCAUGAUAUUGGUUGAAGAUGACAAAUGGUACAUGAGAAGGUUUUGGGAAUGUCCAUUCUCAAACUAAUGUAAAUACACAAUAGAGAAGUACGGGUCCUUAUCGAAUUCUACCGCUAACUCCUUCAUGACAUUUACAUGUUUGUUAACCAAACUGCAUUGAAUUGGAAUUUUAAGACUGCAUAUGUGAAUUGGGAUUUGAAGAUGGCUUUUUAAGUGUAUUACAUCAUUGCAAAGUGAUAUGUCAUUGUUGAUGCAAGCCACCAUUAAUCGCAAUGUGUUGCAUCAUAAUAGGUGUCUAAACAUGCGAAAGGUUUUCCGCAGCUCAGUAGCAUAAAAGUAGAAACAAAGACAAUAUACACAAAAUGAACAACAAUUCACAAAUGCACCGACAAGCAAUACACACACAACAGACAAACAAUAUACACAAACUUGGCCUGCCAUAUACAGAGAAUAGACAUGCAAUAUACACACAGUAGACAUGCAAUAUACACACAAUAGACAUGCAAUAUACACACAAUACUCCCUUAACACACACAAUAGACAUGCCCUUGCCCACAAUAAUGAUGCAAUAUACUUCAGUCCCCAAGUACACCAACCAUAGGGAAGUCGUAUUGAAUAGGAUAUUAAACUUAACAGUUGUUCUUCCUACUAAAAGAAAGAAUAAGGUUCGUUUCCCCCCUUCAUUCUUACUUGAGUGAUACUUGUGGCCCCAAUAAACAUCCAAUUUUGGGGCAAUGAUAUUCCAUAUACAUGCAGCAAACUAUCAAUAAACCUUCAAUAAACCUUCAAUAAACAUUCAAUAUCGUUUCUAUAACAUGCGAAAUACAUGCAGUUACCAAAUAUUACAAAAUGGGUUUAGGGUCUCAUUGGUGGUGCGUGCAACAUGUCUUGUGCGGGAGAACUUUCACAAUCUUUUAAACCGUGCAGUUAAAUGAUCAUUAAAAGAACAAAUAAAAUGACAAUUGAUACAACUAAUAAAACUAAUACCAAGUCCUUAAUGGACUUCAGCAUGUUCAGCACUCUAGCAUCAUACGUGUCAUCUUGAUGUUCUGCUUCAGCGGAGGUUACAUCAACCCAUUCGAAUCCAUUGCAACUGGUGGCUCCCUAAUUGCAGGCAUCAUAUAUGGAAUAUAAUUCUGUCAGAGUUAGACAUAGGUUUUUUUUCACCCACAUACAUAUUCUUUAAAUUAAAACUUACAUAGGAGGUUAGACACUUCCAGAAUGGCUUCCCUCGAUUUUUGUCAGAUUUUGAAACCCGAAGCACCAUUGUAGCUCCACAAUACUGACACCUCUUUGUUUGAGCGGGAGAUGAAGAUGAAGACAUGUUUAAUCUUCUCAGUUGUACCUCUUCUCACUCAGAUCUUCUCACUGAAACCUCUUCGGACUCAUACCUUCUCACUCAUAGUUGUCAUUCAUACCACUUCACUCAUAACCCUAAACUUGUCACUCAGCUCUCUCUCAUCUCUGCCCAAAUCGAGUUAUAUUUCUUUUUUUUGGGAUCAUUUGGUGGGUUGGUCACGAUGUCGACACCUGUACCGUCAGCAUUGUGACAUCUUUUAGCCCGAAAAGCAAUAUAAACUACUUCACUACCAAAUAUAUUUUCUGAAUAAUGACGGGACACUGCUUCAAUUUUAUUAAUUUAUUUAUAUUUCAUUAAGGCAACUAGUUGGAUAAGAAUCCGUCAUUAUUGGUUCCAUUUUAAUAACAUUACUAGGGGUAAUUGGGUGUGGGAAAAUGAAAAAGUAUAUGAUGGGACCUUCUGUCACUAGUCAGUAAUCCAUCACAUUUGUAUCAAUGAAUUUGAUAGUGGGAUAAACCCAAAAAUGGCUAUGCAAAUAGCCAUUUAAUUAACUUUUUGACUGUCUGACUCUGUAUGCACCGUUAUGACGUUUUCCCUUCUUUUGUCUUAAGUUUUAAUUCACUGGGGUUCAGUUUCUUUCAAAAGGGUCAACUUGGAAAAACCCCAACUGGAAACACCUUUUCAAAACACUAUAAACAGAGGCUAAAACAAAACGUGUACCCCAAAUAUUAUCAUUUAUCCCCUCUGCCACUCCUCAAAUCGUUCCAUUCCAAAAACUUUUCAAUGAAUUCGAAACACUUCACUACAGUCGGAGGAAAGAGAAGGAAGCAUGUCCAUUUCGAUAUGCCCGAAGCCUUCAUCCCGGAGUCCGCUUGGUUUCAAGUCAUGUUAUACGUGGCAACCGAAUCAUCGGAAGAUCUCUUCCGUAUGGCAUCUGUGUGACGAUUGUUCCGAACUUUGGCAAACAGUUCACAAGUGUGGAACACCAUUUCAAUGGCAAAGUACCCAGACCAUCCUAUAUGGUACCGUGCCAGACCUGCGGUCCAGCAUUUCUUGCAACAAUGCAGGGCUUGCGAUAACCCUGAGUCCAUAUUUAGAGAAGCAUUCGAAGGUUUUUUCAGGCACGGUAAGGUGGAAGCGUUGUAUGGGAUGCGCAUUGCAGCCACGGCAGGCCAUAUGGAAGCGGCAUAUGUAGUUGGACUACUUGGUAUGUCCGGAAUUGGUCAGUCAAAAGAGGAUGCAUUACAAUUCUUGUGUUCUUUGAAUCAACGUAACAACAUUGAUAUGAAAGGAACCAGGGAUGCUUUGACAGGAAGAUUUCACGGAGCAUUUGUUGCAAGACAUAUCGUAGAUAUGUUUGACUAUGGGAAGAUUAAGUUCAAUCGGUGCAGCGCUUGUAACAACAAUGAAUGGUAUUUUGUUAUUCCAGGCUGGCCUAGUGAAGACAAGAUAAAUCCUGCGUUGUGGACUUGUUGCAAUCGAUGCAAAUGGCACCGUGAGAGUAUUUUUUGGUGCAAACUGAUGCGUGAGUAUGUUGUGCGAGGGAAUCACGUAUUUUUGCAUUAGUUUUAGUACGAAUUUACGGUUUUGAUGCAUUGUGGACUUGCUUCUCUUCACUUCUAGGUUGGCUGGCUACGUUAUACCUAUCUCAGUUUAAAUGUUGUUCAAAUGUUGGUAUUUUGUCAUAAACCGUUUUAUAUAUAAAUGUAUAAUAUUUAUUAUAUAGCGGAAUUAUUACUUACAUCAUAGACGGCUAGGAAUGACAUUUUACUGACACAGAUAUUUUGCUCACCGACCCCAAUCUUCAUAUUUGAUAAACGAAAAGUUAUGCAUGGAGUAAAUAGGUGUCUUUUCACCAGUGCUUGGGAAUGACAUUUUCCCACUUAGCAUAUCCGAAAGGAUUUGGUUACACGUUUCUUAACCUAGGGGGUUGAACAGUGAAUGACGUAGACUAUUUUUUGUGUGUGGAAGGAGUACAAUGGAUGACUUGUAUAUUUCCAUAUUAUGUUUCAAAACAUCCCUUCAACCUAAAAAAUAAAAAAAUUAACAAAUUGAAGAACAGAGAAACCGAUGAGCACUACAAAUGGCCUAUUCGCACGGAAAAUAAAAUUGUUUUCAACAAGUUGGACUAAAUAUAAUUAACAAAUGGACAGCCUAAAAAGUAAUAUCAUAAUAAUUAUAAUAAUUGUGGAUAAAUAAUAAUAAAAUACUAAUGUAACAUAACCAUUAAACAGGGAAUGCAGUAGGAAGAUGAAAUCGCAAUAAGUUCGUAGAAAUUUUGGGAUCGUUUUUCUAAUUUUUGUGUAUUUAGUUAUGAAUUUUCCAAGAAAAAAGGUAAUAAAAUAAUAAUUUAGGGUAAAAUGGGAGGAUGUGGCCAUGUUCGGUAACGUACACUUGUGCAAGUAGUCAAAAGUGACGGGCUGAGAUCGCGCCAGGUGUCAUAUUCUUGUUAAUUUUGGAUUCUUUUGUUAAAAAAUCUUUGAAACUAGGUAAUAAAUAGUAGGAAAAUCGUAAAAAUGGCCCAAAAAUUACUCCGGCCUCCUUUUGACGUCCUAAAACUAGGAGAACCUAUAAAUCAUUCGUCUCGCAAUGAAAUAAUCCAAAUUGUGUUACAUAACUCACUUUCCUCUUAACCCUAAGUAUUGAUGUUUGUUAACUUCAACUUGAAUAACCUACUUCAACAAGCAUCUCCCGUUAAUAUUGGGAAUUAAUUUUACAAAUGCGUAACAAUGAAUCGGAGAAUUCAGCAACGGAGAUGGAGUGUCAAUGAGUUCGUAGCAAUUUUCGGAUAAUUUUUUUAUUUUGUGUGUAAUUAGUUCUGAUUUUUGUAAGGAAAAGUAAUAAAAUAAUAAUUUAGGGUAAAAUGGGAGGGUGUGGCCAUGUUGACUGACGUACACUUGUGCAAGUAGUCAUCAGUGACGGGCUGAGAUCGCGCCAGGUGUCCUUUUGCUAUUAUUUUGGCUUUUUUAGUGCAACAAUCUGUGGACAUAGGUAAUAAAUUCUACGAAAAUCCAAAAAAUGCCCGGAAAAUGAGAAAAUGAAAAUUAUUUGUACAUAACUCACUUUCCUCUUAACCCAAAUUCACGUUAACACGUAUAUUUCGGAUAAUAUUCGAAAUAUAAUUUCUAAUAAUACAAUAUUUAGUUUCACUAUAUACAAUAAUAUGUUUUUUUUAUAAUAAUGUACAUAAAUAAUAAUUGCACAUGCUUUGAAGCCAUCAUUGCAACUACGCCUAGAGCUUUGAAGACGUCAGUUCGUAUUCAAUAAGUUGUCCACAUGCAACUGCACCUAGAGUUUUCAACACGUCAGAGGUAUUCAAUAAGUUGUCCACAUGCAACUGCACCUAGAGUUAUUAACACGUCACAGGUAUUCAAUAAGUUGUCCAUAUGACGCCGCAUUGGGAAUCAGUAAUAUAUUUUCAAUCAUGUCAAAUCACAUAAAUAAUGCCAUACUUUUUCUCAAUAACCUCACACAAGUGAAGCAAUUUUAAAACCCUUAGUGAAUAUUUAUCCUAGUCUAUAUGAGUGAUUAUAUAAUCAGUUGCAUAAUAUUUUUUUCACAGUAUAUGUUAACUUUGAGAGGGAUUCCACAAACAUAAAAUAUAAAGAAAGCAAGAAAUAGUAGGAAAUGAACCAGUACAAAAAACAAUAUAUAAAGUGUACAUAAUAAUUCCAUAACCUUGUCACAAACGCACUCACAAAAGCUUUUCCAUAAACCUUGUCCUAACAUAUAAUAAAUAAAGGCAACAUUGCAUAUGAUGCAACCAUGUCCAAAUCUGAUAAGUGAUCAAAAACAAAUGGACAUGGCAGCAACAUAUGAUUGAAGUAGAUGGGCUCUUUGCAUCUUCUGUUUUCGUAAUUAAAGACAUCAAAAUAUUAAGGUUUAAAUCUUCCAUAGUAGUUAGCAUCAAAAUAGCUUUGAAGCAGAGUGUAACGAAAAUUCCAAUUCCACUUAUUUGCCUCUGCUCAAACACGAGAACCAAAAUGGUUACUUCCCUUGCUGAGUAUAUUUGGUGACGUCGGAAACGGUAAUAGAUGACCAAUCAAACCCGGGUACGACGAGUUUUGCAUAGGAUCGGAAGUAGUCGAAUCCAGCUUGCAUCACACGCUUCUUUGACUCCACUACAUUAGAUGAGUUCUUGUAUUUUUGAACAGCUACACUCUGAAGUCGUUUGUGUCUACGCUUCAUGCGCUGCAACUUCGCCCUAUCCAGAUUGGCCUGCCUUUUGUCAUCUUCAAUUUGGCCUUCCACAAAUUCCAAACGUGCCCUUGCCCUUUGGAUUUCAUCACCAAGUUGAAGAUGCCUCUCCUUCCAAAAAGCAACAACUCUUUCAGACUCAAAACUUCCAACAAAAUGGUCAUUCUGUCUAGCAAUGUGACAUUGCUUGUCUGGUGACUCACUUGCGUGUCGAAGCCGGUCUUUGUUUGGAGGGGUGUUUAUUAUACUCACAUCAAACUUGGUUGUGCUUAUGCUCAUUCUUUGGGGGGAAUGAGUUUGUUUGCUUGAGAGAGUAUCGGUAGAUGGAGACAGAUUCGGUGGAGGAGUGAGUUUUGUGUGGAAGGAGAUUUUAUAUGAAAGGGGUGAUAGUAAUACCAAGAAAAGGGUUCCCGCCAAAAAAUAUUUGGUUGACAAAGUAGAAAUUAUUUUUUUAGUCUGAUACAAUCUAAGUUUAAUCCUAACUAGUUUGGUUGAGUUAACUAAGUAGAUGUCACUUCCAUUGACUUUCUUUCAACAACUAUCAGUGGUGUAAGGAGAGUGUGAGGUUGACAUGCUUGAAAAGCAAAAGCUGACACCUAUUUUUAAAAAAUUCCCGCCAAAAAGUACAUAUGUUGACUACACACAAGCUUUGGUAUGUUGGUCUAUAAACCUAUGUUCCCUUUCUCAAACGAAAUUGCAUAUGCAAUCCUCAUCCUCCCAAAACAAAGAGGAUUAUUCAAGCAUGUCAACCUCUUCAGGCGCCAACAACACAAUCGAACAUGACAAAUUGGAGUCACAGGUUCUAUUUCCACAUUGUACUCGCCGACCCCUUCCUUUUUCAACAUCAUUUGGGAGUGAGGGGGACUCCGAUGAUCCAUUAGAGGCAAUACAUGCAGUCAGUGGCAAGCUGGAUUAUAAUUCCAGACUGAUCAAUUCAUGGCACGAGAAAUGUGUUGAAGACGAGGCAAUUUUGGCUGAUCUUAACAUUAGGGUGAGCAAAGCGUUAUCCCAAAAGAACAAGUACUUGAAGCUGAGUCAUAGCAGGAAGCUGAAAGCUGAGGAGUUGGAUACAGUAAUGAAUGAUGAAAUGAAAGGUUGUUUGAUGAACCAUAUGCGAUGCGAACAGCACCAUACUGAACUGGAGUUGGCAUUCAACGAAGGAUUCGACAAAUUCCGAGCAUUUGCGGCAACUACUCAUACAAGUUAUGAUUGGAACUAUGUGUCCCCUGAUGCUGUGAGAGAGAUACUAGACGAUGGGGGUGACAUGAAUGAGCAUAAGCACGUCAAAGCUGCUCGGAAGAAGCCGACCGAUACGACUAAGUGAUUGCGGCUACCGCUGUUCAGUUAGUUGAGGGUGACCGUGGUAUUGCACAUAUACUCCCUUAAUGUCAUUAUCUAACUUAAAAUAACACAAAUAUCAGUUUCAUUUGCUUGAUAUAUAAUUAUUGGGACUAUGUAUUGCAAGUCAUCAUGUGUUAUAAUGUCUAACAUUAUAUUUUGCAAAUAUGGAAAUAUUAUUCAAGAAGCAGUCAAUAUCACAGAAAGCCGGGAAUCAGUAAAUGCUCCUUAUCAUGUCCAUUUACAUUAAAGAGCUGGAGUACUAAUGUGUUCAAAAAAAACUGACACGUGAGUCAUAAGUAACAUAACAUGUGCUAUACAUUGUUUACUGAAUGGUUUAUGGUUUAUUUGUAUAUAAUAAAAUUUCAAAUAUUGCUGAAGAUUUAUUUCGUGUAUAUCACUAGGGAUAUGAGUGGCCAUAAGCAUGUGAGACCUGCUAAGAAGAAGCUGACGAGUACGACCCAGUGAUUGGCUACCGUUGUUCAGUUGGUUGGGGAGAUCGUGGUAUUGCUAUGAGGAAGCACACAAUAUGUUUUGCAAUCAAAUGUUCUUUUGUGUGUGGAAUUAUGAGUAUUUAUGUAAGUUAGUGUACCCUUUAAUAUUUUUCACCUAAGUAUCGAAAUGCAGUUUUUGAAUGUUAUGUUUUUUUUUACCCGCUGCUUUCUAUUUGCUCUGUUCCAACAAAGUGCUUCAAGUAUCCUUCACUUACAAAAGUGUACAAAAUCGUGCCCCUAAUAACCAGUCGGAAAAAGUGGCUACUGCUGGAAAUGAUUACUGGUAAUGGAAACAACAGCUGGCUGCUGUAAUUGCUGCAUUACCGUGAGGAUUUGAAAAAUGAAUCUCUGUUAAAACAAAUUUCACCCUAAACUGCCCAUUUUACAUGGUAAAAGUCAUUGCUUCUUCAAAUCUUUUGCAGCUACACGAUGCGUGGUCAGAAUCUUUGACAUAUACGACUUCUGCCACUCUUGUUUCCCAAUUUUUUCUUUCGCUCACGUUGAACACAACUUUACAAGCAUCCUCUGUUUUGAGCUCUAGGAAACAUGCUGUACUUUGUAUUAGUUCUUGCUCAAACUUUUGAAACAUUGUCCUUGUGUACAAGGUAGCCAUUUGUUUGUUCAUUGGCAUCGGUAGAAGACAUUGAGCCACUUCAAAUGCAUCUGCGUGAUCAGCAACUAACUCUUUUUCACGUUGAUGAGAAAGUGCCCUCUCAAAUCGUAUUAUGAAAUCCAUCAACGAAUUUCUCCUUGAUAUGUAUUGCUUGAAAAAACCAUGAGAACCUUCCGCUCUUUGGCUGCUUGACAUUCCAGCGGCAAAAAAUUGUCGUGCGUAGGCUGGAACCCAAGAUUCCCUUAAAUCAAACAUUGAACUUAGCCAUGGAUGGUCAGUCAAACCAGCCUUUGUAACCACAAUAUUCCAUUUUGCAUCAAACUCAUCCUUAUUGUCAGUAUCCCAUAUGGCUUUCUGAAAUUCAGGCCAAUACUCCUUAUAAGCGUCACGUGGUAACUUAACAGAGAACUUUGAUGUGAUGUGCUAUAUGCAAAGUCGAUGAAAUGUACUCGGGAAGGCUAUUGAAAUCGCUAUGGCCAUUGCCGCAUCUUGAUCUGUAAUGAUCGUUUUAGGUUCCCCACCUGGCAUGGCUUUCUUAAACUCCUCAAACAUCCAAACAAACGACUCAGUCGUUUCCUUGCUCAAAAAUGUGCAUGCUAACACAAUUGUCUGACCAUGGUUAUUAACUCCCAACAUUGGUGCAAAUGUCAAGUCGUAUCGAUUCGUGUUGAAUGUGGUAUCAAAUACAACAACAUCUCCAUAAAACCCAUACGCCCGUCUAGAAGUUGCAUCUGCCCAAAAACAUCGACUAAACCUAUCAUGCCCAUCUCCCUCAAUCUUGAAAUAAAAAGCCUCAUUUUUUUUCUGUUCAGCCAUAAAAUACUCGGUCACUAGUUCAACAUCGUGGUUCCUCAGCUUCCCAAUCACACUACAUUCAAGAUUGUAGAUAUCUUUUUUGAUAAAACCGAUUUUAUCCAUUCCUCCGGAUUGCACCUCGAAAAUACUUACCUUCUGAUGAAUGGGAAUAUUAACUGAACCCAACUGUUUUGUGAGUACUUUUGUAGAAUCUGAAAUAUGACGGUGUGAUCUCAAUAAAUGCAUUCUUUCUAAGGGUGUCAUCUUAUGAUUGUGUCCCUCUGCAAAAAGAGAAAUGUUAUACUUGUUGCUCCCAUUUGUCUUCACAACCACAAUCUUUGCUUUGCAAUUGCAUCUACUUAUUCCCCGUUGUCUUUUUCUCUCCCGAGUUUCAUCCUUCCUGUAUGCACCUUGUUUGCAACAUACAAAUUCUUUCCUCAAAAUCUCUUUCUUAUUUUUCCCCCAAAAGCUAGAAUGAAGUCGAAUACCAAAGCCAGCCAAGAAUGCAUAUCUAUUAUAGAAAUUGUAAACGAGGUCAAGCGAGUCAAACUUCAUCCCAACUGCUGGUGUUUCCUCAUUUCUUACUUCAGGAAUAUAAACCCUCCCAUUAGCUGUUGCACAUUCAUCACUCUCUGAGCCCCCAGACAUUUUAUCUACGUAUAUUAUUGAUCCACUUCUAUAUUACUGCAUAGCAAUUAUUCAUUCAUUAAUCAGUCAUUACUGCAUCACAACAUAUCAAUGCAUUCCACUUACACAAAACAUUGCCCAAAUUGACACAAAAUACGCAUAGCCUAACUUCCGAUUACACAAAACACAAGCAAAAUUUCAUAAAAGUUACGUCAUCUCUUGUGAAAUAAUCUGGUCAAAAUAACAUUAGAACCAACAUGUUCAACUAAGAACACAAAUGUAAUUCAAACCACCAAUUACAGAACUUCACCCAAUAUCCUCUCCAACUGCUUACUCCUAAUGUCAUUAAGCCUAAGUUUAGGUUCUUUUACCUACAUUUCAUAAUUUUUCACCCCGACCAACAACAAUGAACUAAGUAUAUUGAAUAUUCACAAGGAAAUGACACAUUAUUGAUGCCACAAAUGACGAAUUUCCCACCCUCACAAAAAAUAAACCUAACCCAAUAAAAUCAAUCCAGCAAGUGAACUUACCUCUCAAAAUCAAUCGAGAGCUCUGAAGUCAGUCAGCUUGAAAGAAUGUGGUGGACAUUAGAGAAGACUCUUUGGUAUUUGAGACUCCAUCUCUAUCAAAAUCGAGGAACAACUGCUGCUGCGGCUUCUAGCUACAAAAACAGAUAUGCUACUUUGCUUUCAUCUAGAAUCUUGUCAGCUGAAUGAAAAAGAGAAGGGGUUUUCACUUGAGCCAUAGAAUCAAAACAGGGCAACAGCUAGGUAAGAGCCAUUCUUCGUAAUACCCAGGAUACCAUAGAUCGCAGGCCUCCCAACGAGCUAAUGACAGUGGAGUGACUAUAAGGUUUGGGAGAUUUGGAUCCUUCUAAUUGUGGGUUUGCUUUACAUUCAAAAAGAAAGGAUUGUGUUCUUCAGUUUUUCACAGAGAGGGAAAGAGGGGAACAACUGAAGUUGGGUUUCUAACGGGUUAGAUUUCAACCCGAUUCUACAUGCACCCUCUUUUAAAAACUCACCGUUGGAUGAAAUCCAACGGCUCUUACAUACCCCUCAAAAACACCCCUUAUAACUUCCCACUCACUAUAGAAGCUCCCCCAACUAAAUCCCAAAAGGGAAACAGAUUUGAACAACAUACAAAUUUGAAGGACACACAAAUAUGAAUCUCAGCACCGGUGAGAAAUUAAUUUUAGUUGAGGUUGGUAGGUAGGCAUUGGAAGUUUUUAUUGUUUUUGCUCCAAGUCCCUCCUCCACUCACUAAUACAGAUUACUCGCAAAUGAACUAAAGUCUGCAGGGAUAUAUGGACUCCCCUGUCCAUACGAAUGUUGGAAGAAAUGUGUGUUAAAUUUUAGAGAGACGGGUCUGUGACCCACCACUAGCAACGUUGAUAUUGUCUCCAACUUAACUACAUGUUUAGUAGAUGUGGGGUUUUAUACAAAAAGUAUUGAUGUUAUUGGGAAUGGAACCACUUAUUAUAAGUUAAAAUUUAUUUAGUCAAGUUUCCUAUGUGGGACUUUCUAUUCUUCAACAAGCCCCUUCAUGUGGGACCACCACAUAGUGGGCCACACGUAGAGCCAAGUCCACAUCGGAGUCAAUCAUUCAAGCCCAAUACCUAAACACCACGUAUUGUGUGAGGGGUAGGGGUAAACAUUCAAGCCCAACAUAUGAACACUGUAACAUCCCAACUCCAAAUUUAAUCCCUUAUUUAAAUUAUUUAAGUGAAAUUACAAAUUUACCCUUGGGGUAGGGAUAUUUUGGUCAUUUUCUUACCCGAAAAGAGUUUGGGGCAGUGACUAGUAUUUUUUGGUAGAUCGUACUGAGAUGAGUCUGUAGACAUGUAGUGGGCUCGAUUCGGAGUUGAAACGAAGAAGUUACGAGCAAAACAUCACCAAUGGCAAAACCGUAAAUAUUUCAAAAUGAAUUUUUAAUAAAAAAAACCUGAAAAACCCUCUCUCUCUCUCUCUCUCUCUCUCUCUCUCUCUCUCUCUCCUGCGCACAGCCCCUUUCCCCCCUUCGUUUUUUCUUUCCGUGGCUUCCAAGAGCCACCAUCGCCACCACGAAUCACCACCGGCCAUGAGGCCGGACUCGUUCGAACUGCCGCCGCAUCCUCUUCCUGUUCCGGUCGCUCCCAGUCGCUGCCAUCCGCUGUGCUGGCCGGAAAUCGAAGAAAACCAGCCGAUUUUUGUCAAACUUUCGGCCGCUCGUUCUCCCACUUCCGGCCACCAUUUUGGCCAUCCAGGUAUAGAUUUUGAACCUCUCGAGCUGUUCUUGCUGCCUGUUGUGUUAGAUUUGGGAGAUUUCCGCGUUUUGAAGGUCGAUUAAACGAUGGAAGUUUGGCUGGUUUUUGGCCUCCGAUUCCGGCCACUUUCGGUCACUUUUUGGGGUAGGUCCAAGAACAAAAGUGGUUCCAAAUAGGGUGUUAUACCUAGGGUAGGAGUCUUGAGCCGUGGUUUUGAGAUUUCUCGGUGAUGCGUAAUCGCUUUGGACACCCAUACGCUACCGGCGCGUGUGGUGGCGCGUGGGCACUGUAGAAAUGGGGUAUUGUGUCCCGAUGCGAUCCCCUUGUUGUCACGAGUGUGUAGUGUGCUCGGAUUCCAAUUUGGUUGACAUUCGAACCCCGAACGAAUUUCUCCUAUUGCACGUUAUCCGCGUUUGAUAGGUUUGAACCGUUGGAUAGUCUUGAAUUUAAUAUAUUUAAUCUAAGCAUUUCUAGGAUCGUGUAGGAAUUCACGGAUCAUGAAUCGGAACCCCGGAUGUUCCGAUUUAAUAAUUUAAAGUUUAUGUUUAUAUUAACUGUCAGAUCGUGCAAUCGUGAGCGAUCCGACCUUCCGAUCCGGACCAAACGUGCAGGACGUAUAUCCUAAACCUUGUGGAACCUAUAGGAACUUUCGAAUCAGAAUUUAGAGGUCGUGGGCCUAGUGGCCCCGUUUGACCAAGUGUGGAUAGUUUGACCCUUGGUUGACCUUGAGUCUUCCAAGGUAGUUUUCCUUCCUAGAAGGAUUAUAAUGACCCUAAUGACAGGUCUUGAGCGUUGUUGAGCCAUGUUGACUAGGUUAAGAUUUUUAGAGUGUUUAUUAUUGUCGUAGGAAACUCUUGGACAUUAUUUUAAUAAUUGGAAUUAUAAAAGUGAGUUUUGGGUUCGGCUAUGACUUUAGUGAAUGGACUUUAUUUUUAAAUGAAUAGCAUGGCUUUGUGAUGGAAUUUUUAGGCAUGUGAAUUUAAUGGUUUAUUGAAAUUCAUUUUUAUAAUUAAUAGUUAAUUUAGCAGUUUUGGUAAAGUAUUAGUGAUGUGUGGGGUACUUGGGAUUUUGUUGAGGUUUAUACAAUAUUAGAGAUUAACUUAUAUAUUUAAAUAUAGGUAUGAAUGUAUGAAAAGAGUUUAGAAUGUCAGUUUGAAGUACUAUACGCACUACCCUAGGUACCUCAUCGGAUUUUGAUUACACUAUAAGUACCACCCUGUGAUUGUCAGGUCACCCAUGGCGUAGGAUUUUCCGGCGGAAUGACAGACCCCAUACGUGACGUUGGAAUUUCCGGCGUAUGGGGAGAUGAUAUUAUGAUUGUUAAGUCACACGUGGCAUAGGUUAUCCGGAGUGCUGACAGACCCCAUAUGUGGCGUUGGAAUUUCCGGCAUAUGAGGAGAUUAUGUGAUUGUUAAGUCCCACGUGGCGUAGGUUAUCCGGCGGGAUGAUAGACCCCAUACGUGGGGUUGGAAUUUUCGGUGUAUGGGGAGAUGAUAUAAUGGUUAGGUCACAUGUGGCGUAGGAUUUUCCGGCUUGAUGACAGACCCCAUACGUGGCAUUGGAAUUUCUGGCAUAUGGGAGAUUAUGUGGUUAUUAGAGAGAUGAAUUAAGAUUAUUAUACUGAGUUGGGAACGAAUGAUGUUUGAAAAAGAUUUUGUUUGGGAUUUCUGCAAUUGAUUGCAUGUUGAUGGACUUGGAAAUUUUGUAUGAAAGAACUACGUGUGGCUUGAUCCCUUAGUAAGGGUACAUAUGCAGCUUAGGGUAGUGCCUAGGUGCAGCCGUGUGCUAAACUUUACUCAUGUUGUGUGAUGGAGAUUCGUUCGGACCUUGUUGUUAGUCCUGAAUUUUAGGUGAAAAUGAGAUGCAGUCUUGUUAGGAGGUUUAAAUUUUCUACGUUUAAUAUUUGGGAAUUUAGAUGAUGGAAAUCGCAUUUGGCGUUCAUAAAUGUGUUUGAGUUUAUAUUUGCAUUGUUUAGAGUUAGUUGGUGGUUUCGUUUCGAAUUAUUUGAAGGCCGAAGGCUGAUUAUGUGAUUUAUAUGAAAUUAUCUUGUGCAUACUGCCAGUUGUGAAUAUCAAAUGUGUUUUAUGCACGUUGAAAUUUUUAGGAUUGUUCAACUUACAGGGGAGACUGCCGAAAUUUCGGCAUAAAAUCUCGUGCCCUUAUUCCUUAUUGGGAAAAAUGAUUUAGUUUUAGAAGUGGGUUCGACAUCGGGGUGAUGUCGGGAAUUUUCACAGGAUUCAUCUCGGGUUUCGGGAAAUUCGGGUCGGGUCCUGUCAAACACCACGUAUUAGGUAAGGGUAAAGGCUCAAUUCAGGCCCAGUCAAUCAACCCAUUAUGAUAUCAUGUUAAAUUUCAGAUAGACGGGCCUGUGGCCCACCACUAGUAACAUUGAUAUUGUCCCCAACUUAACUACAUGUUUAGUAGGUGUGGAGUUCUAUACAAAAGAUCUCGAUGUUUUUAGGAGUGAAACCACUUAUUAUAAGUUGUAAUUUAUUUAGUCAAGUUUCCAGUCAACCUGACUUUGAUACCAUGUUAAGAUUUUAAAGGGACGAACUCUUGGCCCACCAUUAGCAAUAUCGACAUUGUCCCCAACUUAACCACCUGUUUAACAAGUGUGGGGUUUUAUCCUAAAGAACUCGAUCUUAUUAAGAGUGGAGCCAUUUAUUAUAUGAAACUUUCUAUUUUGUUAACUCUGUGUAUUCUUCAUCAAUGUGAACACCCCUAAACCAAUCAUACCUGAUACGGAUUGAAACACAAGUUUGUUUUUUGCCUUUGGUAGAUGAGUAGCUAGAAAAGCUCAAUGCACUUGCUCUUCUUCUGCUACAUUUCAAUAUAAGAACAAGGUUUGGAAGCCAGGUCAACUCCUCAUAGUUUCCUUGCCUUUGCUUUGACAUGUCUAUGCACUUCUUGGGGAAGUUUGAAUAAUCAAUUGCAGGCCCCACGACAACUAAGGAACCAACAUUUUGUAGAAGGUUUUGUCUACACCUUUUGACUAUAAGUAAAAUCUUUUGUAUCUGCUCUUAUGUUUCGGUGAAGUUUCUAUGUGUCCUUUGUUGAACGAAAAAAUGAGGUUGUUUCUUACUAGAUUCAAAUACUUAAAAGAAAAAAAGAAAUUAUUGUUUCUUAAUUGAUUUUAUGGUGAACAAUAUCAAACUCUCCUCUUAUACGUCUUCUUCGUUGGACUUGGGGUUGUUUUCCUUAUAUGUCCCUUAUAUAUAUAGGGCCUUUGGUUGAGCCCACAAAUACCUUCAGUUAGUUUUUGGGUUUAGGGGCCUACAGAACCUGCACUAAACAAUAAAAGAAAAUACCUAAUUAGUUUAGUACGAAUUCUAUAAUGAAGGCUUUAUUAGGUAAGAUUUUAUUUCUUAAUCGUUAGAUCAAAUUUGACAGGACCCGUUCCUGAAUUUCUCGGAAAUCAGAGCGAACCCCGUCCUUGUUUCGACAUCACCCCGAUGCAGGGUCCACUUACUAAAAACCGAGACUUUCUACCAAAAUUUUGAUAGAAUCUCCCUUGUAAAUUGAGCAAACCCAACAAAAAUUUCAGCCUGCAACAUACAUAAAAAUAAUCCCAACCAGCAGCAUGCUUACAACAUACAACAAAACGUACUAAAUGGCCUCCGGCCUCACAAGUAAAAUUUAACAUGGGUAAUCUACUGAUGUAAACGAUUCGGCCUUCGAACACUGCUUGCAACCUUCCUGAAGCGACUACUGGCUAAGGGGCGCAAAACAGAAAACAUGUGAGUGGACAAAAACAAGAUUCAAUUAAAACAACAUAGUAACCCCACCGUGUAAAAAUAAUGCUCAAGACAUGUAGGUUUACAAUUCAUAAUUAAAUAUUCAAAAACAAAUUUCAUUUAAAAUUCUUUAAAACCACAAAUCACUCCAUCCAUAAAACCUCAUGCCCACAAUUUUACUGCUCCUACCAACCCACUGUAUAGACUCUAAUUUCUUCACAAUCACAACUAUAUAUAAAUAUAUAAAUUGUAUCAUACAACAUACUCCUCACACUACUUAGGUACAGGGGAAACAAUCCAACCGGAGGAUCGUUUAACUAGCCCGCAGGAUUUUCAGGUGCUAUCCUGAGUCUAGGAAUGAGUGGUCCAACCAGGGGACGAAACUCUAUAGCUCACACACCGGAACAUCCAACGCCACGUGUAGCUCCAAUACUAAGUCCUACAGGCACAGACUGGAUCACCACACACCGGAACAUCCAAUGCCAUAUGUGAUAAUCCCAAGCAAUAUACAGAGUCUUCCCAUACGUCGGAACAUCCAACGCCGCGUAUGGAAAGUGUUCACACGCCGGAACAUCCAACGCCACGUGUGGGAAGCCUAUUAACUGGGGAAAGUACUUACAUAGUGUAAUCAUACAAUUUCUCUCAACAACUCCUCAUACUCAAGUUCUUCCACAAACUCACCUCAACAAUCCCAAGUACCCCACCUAUAGACAAUAUAUAUAUAACUUCCCCAAAAUCUAUACAAAACAUACUCUCGAUAUCCAAAUAUGCCAAACUCACAAUAUAUUGCCAAAGUGCAAUACAAACAUCAAAAUCAACACAUGAAUAUAAUAUAUAUUCAAUAUACCAUUUAAAACAUUAUGCGUAAAUCUUUCAUCAAUAAAACCAUGCGUAUGAUUGAAAACAAAGUCCACUCACAAGUAUUCCUACGCUGCUUGACCACGAGAGAGUCCUGCCUGCUGAGUACGUGCAGUAGGAGCACCUAUUUUGAGAUACAAACCUUUAAUUAAUAUAAAAUUACUUCAAAACGGAAAACACAAAUUAAAUACUUAAAUCCCCAAGUUCCCAGUACAUGUACGUUGAACGAGGUAUCCUAAGGUCUAGUUACAAGUUUGGGAAUCGCUCACGAUUGGACGGUUAUCGCUAACCCACAAAUUUUGAAUUAUUGAAUCGGAACAUUCGGGGCUCCGAUUCACGAUCCGUGAAGUCCUACGUGAUCCUAGGAAUACCUAAAACAACAUAUUUUAAUUGGAAAACGCACAAUAUGCGAAAAUCCGUUCGAUAGUCAAACGAUGUCCGAAUUGAGAUUCGCAAAAUGCUACGCACUCGUGACAACCUGAGGAUCUCAUCAGGACAAAGUGCAACUUCACCACCCUCACCCACGCGCCGGCAGCGCGUGGGUGUGUAGAGUAAAUUCCGGCGAUGGAAAAACUCCACACCUACUUGAGGUCAGGAUCUCAUCACUCAACUACAGGGAGGUUCAAUUAGGACGGCAACUGGCCGGAAUUUCACUUUGAAAUCCAGCCAAAACUUAGGUUUUCUAAUCGGUUCCUAGACAACAAAUCGAUCUAAACCUAUGCAACAGUCAGCUAGACUAAGGAAAAAGAGGAAGAAACCUCACAUUUUUCACUGGAAUCGGAAGGGAGAGGCGACGGGGCGACGUCGGGAAGACUCGGGUUUGAACCAGUCGAUGCCGUUGACGAUUCUCGCAUUUUUCGGGGGGACUUUGGGUGGUUCGGGUUAGUGGCUUCACGACGAGUCGAACGGGACCGGUCUCGGGGGCUGGGGUGGUCGGGUGUGGUGGCGGUGUGGUGGUUUUCGUCUCGGUGAACAGUAACAGGGGAGGGUUUCGCACGCGCAGAGAGGGACUCGGGAGAGAGAGAGAGAGAGAGAGAGAGAGAGAGAGAGAGAGGAGAGAAAAGAAAAAUUAGAUUUUUACUCUCCUCUUUUCAAAAUAUUUACAAGUUUGCCACUAAUGAUGUUUUGAUCGCCAUUUUCUUGUUACAACUCCGAUUCAAGCCUACCGCAUGUCUAGGAAUUCAUCUCAGUACCACCUACCCAAAAUUACCAGUCAUGGUCCCAAACUCUUCCCGUAACAGAAAAUGACUAAAAUACCCCUACCCCAAGGGUAAAUUCAUAAUUUCACUUAAAUAAAUUAAAAAUAGGAAUCAAAUUUGGAGUCGGGGUGUUACAAAAUUGGUUAGUACGAUCCAACGGUUAAUAGAUAAAACUUUACAUAAAAGUCAUAUAUAAGGCCCUCACUAUAGAAUGACUCGUUAGUUUAGUCUCUUGUUACAUAUCAACUGUUAGAGAUAUUUUUUUAAUAAGGAUCUACCAUACCACAUAGUUGGAUAAGACAUUAUACACAACUUUUGUAAGAGCAUCUCCAGCGAGCCAGGCCAGCCCAAGCAGCAAGGGGCCUUAAGCCCGGUAAGCAGCUCCAGCGCUCAAGAUUCAGCCCAGGCAAGGUGUGGAACCCACAAGGAGAUCUGGCCCGUCACCUUGCCUUUGGGUUUCAGUCAGGCUGAUGUCAACGAAAGAAUUUCAAAAAAAUUUUGCCGUUGCAAUGCACGCGCCAACGAUAAAUUUUCUUUGGAUUUCUUGCGUUGAUCCACAGCUACCAAAAACCAACGGCUACAAGCCACGUGGCUUCUCCAAGAGCCUCUGAUCCAAAAAUCUUGUCAAAUCUAACGGCUGUCCAUUUUUUGGCUAAAAAAAUAUCAAAAAAUUAUGGAAACAUUUUCUAUAAAUACCUACAAAUAUUAUUCACUUCCCACACCAAACCUUCAUACAAAUUCAUAUCCUUUCAAUAUUUUUCACUUUCCACACAAGAUUUUCUACUACUAAAUUUCAUUUGUGUAAAAAUACAAGUGGCCUCUUCUAUCAAAGCCGGAGGCGCGUGGACAACCGUGGAAGAUAUUUUGUUGUGUGAGUGUUGGGUCAAAGUUGGUCAUUGCCCGAUCACCGGCAAUGAGAUGAAGUCCUCUCGUAGGAGUUUCUGACAUCGCAGCGAAAGUAAGAUGUGAUAUGAGAAUGUAAGGAAUUUGAUGAGAGGAAUGGGAUUUGAGGAGUUUGAUGUAGGAAUUGAUGUUGAAUUGGAUUUGGGAGGUAUGUAUAUAUGAUUUGAGAGUAUGUGUUUAGGGAUUUUGAUAGGAGGAUUUGAGGAAUUUAGAUUUGAGGGAUUUGGAUUUGGGGAAUUUAAAUAUGAGGAAUUGAUUUAGGGUUUGGGUUUGAAUAUGAGAAAUUUGAUAUGAGAGUUUAGAGACAACUGAUGAUUGAUUGCUCUAAUACCAUGCUAAAAUAUAAAUAUGGUUUGAAUACUUUAGGUUGAGUUUUAUUCUUUUCCAUAAGGAGGUAUAUAUAGCAGUUUACAUGAGUGUUUUACAAGGAAAUAGAUACAGUAAUCAAUUAGGAUAAUAUCUCCUAAUUAUACAAUAAUUUGUCAACUAUAUAGAAUAGGAAAGUAAAUUCCUUAAUUAAUCAAGAAAAUAAAUCUCAUUGAUUAAUUAAGAGACUAACGUCAACAUUUAUAAGCCAUGGAAGAGCAGAAAAAGAGGUACUUAGGAGAUUUUAUACGUCGGACUAAGGUAAGCUUAAAGGACUAUAUCAAAAAAAUAAGGGACCAAGAAGCAAGACUGAGAAGUUGUUAUGCAAACCCAUUAAGUUUAGCAGUGAUGAAUUUGUAAAAAUCAUUCUAGUGGAUGCUGCCUUCACUAUUGAGUUCUUAUUGAGGUUCUAUCUGAAAGGAUGUAGACAUGAAGGAGACCGCUUAUUAAACAAAUCAGCUCCCAUUCUUUAUUCUUGAGGAUCUUUAUCACACAUACAUAAUAACCGACUCUUUUAGGAAUUAUUACAGUACUCAUGAUCAUGAGAGGCUUUCAAUAAUUAAUAUUUCUAAGAAUUUCGUCACAGCUGGAAUAUUGAAUUUGGAGGGGAAGGGAGACAAAUGGAACAGAAUAUCAUCUUCUUCUAGUGUUGGAAAUUUUAUAUUAUUUAAUAAUAUUUAAUUUCUAUUGUGAAUGAAAAAUAAGUUUCUUUAAGAAACGUGUGUCUUAGGCCAGUUUUUCUAACUGGUCGGCUUCCUUAGAUUUGUGCCUAUUGCUUUUCAAAGUAUAAUGAUGCAAUGGUUGUAUCUCGUUCAGGCAAAUGGAAGGUAUAUAGCAAUUUAUAGAACAAUACAGUAAUCCAGAAGAAAUAUUAUGAAAUGAAAAGAAUAAAAAGUAAAAAAAGAGAAGGAAAGGAAUUCCCACCUGCAAUGUAUAUGUAUGAAAGGAAGGACCAAGUUUGUUUUAAAAUGGUAAGAACAAGUUGAUUUAUAAUUGGGUUCAGAUCAACUCAUGGAUUUCUUGCCUUUUCUAUUCUCCUUCCUUGGACAUGAACUGUUUAAUCUUGGCUCUUCCCCAUCAUGUUGGGCCUAUCUUCUUCUUGAGGAUUGUAUAGGCCCAGGAAAUGCUUCAAGAUAGUUUUUGUGUUUUGGGCAUUGGGACCUAACUUCACAAAAAGAAAACAGAUUUGGCCAAAAAACAAAUUUGAAGGACAUUGAAAUUGUACCUGUAGGAUAGGUUAAAACACUGUAAGGGAGGUAAAUAGUACGUUUACAUAGUUUAAGUGUAAUAAAGGAAUAAAAACAUGCCCAGAGGAUUGAUAAGUGAUAUCAAUUCUUGAAUAUAGAGAACGUAAAAUAAAGGAACACGUAUAAAAUUAUUUUAUGUGGUAAAACCCCAUCUCUAGGGAAAAUCCACGGGACUUCUUAGUCCAAAACAAAUCUAUUAUAGAACGAUGAUUACAAGAAGUACUCACACACUUAUCCUAGACACAUUCUAGAUAAUGUUUACUGACCUCUUCGUAACUCAACUUCUGUCACAGGAUGAUCUUUCGACACUUCUUAUGUUGAACGCAAUACUAGUCACGAUUUCUUUCAAGCUCAUUGGAGAAAAACCGCCACAACAGUCUCGGUGCCCUCAAUCUUAUGAGUCACUGAACAUGCAAAUGAAUACAAUAUGAAUGAUAAAAGUGUUUGAUAAAUCACCAAGUUAUGGAACACUUGAUGAUUUAUUUCAAGUAAAAAUUCAGCUUUCCAAAGUUUAUGAAUUGAAAAUAUGAUCGUUAAAGCUCUCUAAACAAAAAAAACGAAGGUCUUAUUUUAUAGACUUUUUCUUUACAAGAAAGAAAACACGUUGAAAACCAAAUCUCCAAUUUCAAGGCUUGACAGAAAAUCACAAAAGUAUCUUUCCUAUUCUAGAGAUUGGUCACAUGAAGUCCAACCAAUAGGAAAUGAGAUAUUUAAGAAAGGAAGAUUUUGAUCAAUAUCAAUAUCAAAUGAAUUCUUAUAUGCCUAGUCAACUAUUAAGGGUAUCUUAACUACUUGAUAUUAUGAUAUGAUUGAAACAUGAUUUCCACGUUAGAAAAUUAAGGGGAUUUUAAAACAUGAAAGUAAUAGGAGAAUCAAAUUGAUUUGGACCAAAAUUGCCUAAAAAGAAAACACUCCUAAAUAAACUUCAAUUCACUUUUAAAAACAGUAAAACUUGAUUGAAUCGUUCUUUAAAACAAUUCCCUAAUAUACAUGCAUGAUAGUGACAUCACUUACCUCUGAAUCAGAUGCCUUUUACGAGUCAAGCCACAAGUUUGUGUUUUGGGGAUUGCUGAGCUGCAUCAAUCCUGCCAAUGUCAAUUCUGCCCCUAGGCUCUCUCAAAGCACGUUUACAAUCUAUGCUAAUAUAUACUAGAGUUUAUGCUAGUAUCUAGAAAAUGCCAACACUAAUUUCGUAACACGUAGAAAUUGUUAGAGAUUGGAAGUUUUUUUCAUUUUUUUCUUCCAGACUCUCCACCACUCACUAAUACAGUUUACUCAUGUGAUGAAUUUACAAAACCUAUUUCUCUACUCUCACAAAGACUAUACUUAGGGGGGGUGUAUUCAAUUAGGAGUCUAGAGCGUUUAAAAAGAUUUUGUUUAAGUGCCAGCUUUCAUAGAACUUGAUGGAACUUUAUAAUUCGUAUAGAACUUGAUAGACUUUCAGAAGACUUCUGUAUAAUUUGUUAAUAAAACUUUCUUAAGCUUUCAUAGAACUUGAUAGGCUUUUAUUCCAGAAUUAUGUAGACAGUAUAUUUCAUUUUAUCCCCAUCCUUGUCAUUUAAAGAAAGAAACUUGAAUGUUUUCAAUCAAAUUUGUUUUUGUUACCAAAGCAAAAACAAAAAGUACUUGUUUGCGAAGGAAGAACAUAUGCACAGUUCAAAAUGAAAAGAAUAAGAAGCAAAGUACCUAUUGGACCAAUGAAUGCUGUGUCAACUAGAGAAGCAAUUGGAUCGGCUGUCAAAGCCAAUGCUACAGGCAAUGCAUCGAUGGUCCAAAUUGCAAUAAAAAAUAUUUUGUAUAAUGGUUCUUGCAGACAAAGACCACAUAAAUUCUGGACUGGUCCAGCUUGAAUAAUAAGGUUAGAUUAGCCGAUGGAUGAGAGUAAAAGCAAAGAAAGUUGAUGAAUUCAUCACCAAUUAUUUAAUAACUGUAACAUCCCACAUUGACCAACGGAGAGGGGGUGAUGUGCCUUAUAUGUACAUGCCCACUUCCAUCUAGCAUGAGUCCUUUUGAGAGCUCACUGGCUUCGGAGUCAUGGGAACUCUGAAGUUAAGCGAGUUGGGGCUAAAGCAAUCCCAGGAUGGGUGACCCACUGGGAAGUUGCUCAUGAGCUUUAGAAACAAAAAUCAUGAGGGCAUAAAGGGAGGCCCAAAUUGGAUAAUAUCGUGCUACGGCGGAGCCGAUCCCAGGAUGUGACAAUAACCAAUAGAGUAUUUAAACAUAAACAACAAUGUUUGAUAAACAAAACAAAUAGUCCAAAUAUUAUCCAAAAAACAAUUCUAAAACCAAUCAUUCCAAACAAACUAGUCAUUCCCAAAAACUCUCAAAAAACCCACUCAUUCCAAAUUAUAGGAUAUCCAAUUUGAGCGCUCCUCAGGAGACAUUUUCAAAAAUGCAUCCUUUUUUGUGUUACUAUGCAACAAAGAGAGCGCUUUAUAAUGAGCACGUUCAUCCAAAUUUGAGGUCUCCUUAAUGGCAUCCCACAUAUAACUCUGCUGCUCUCGCUCUUUUCCCCUUUUUGCCAAUAGGUUAUGGACCUCCCGGAAGUCGGUGACAAUUGAAUCAAUGCUAAGGCUAAUUCUUCCCAUAGCUUGUUGGGUGGUCACAUUUGAGAUGGCAUUCCCUUCCAAAUCUAUUCUAGUUCGUUUCCUCUAGUAACAAGCAUAAAUCCUAGUAACAAGCAUAAACCCUAAUCCCAACCUAUAACCUAAUAACAAGAAAAACACGAUGAAAAAAAAAUCAUGGAAAAAGAAAACCCAACGAGGUAUUGAUCAAAAAAAAAAAUAGGGAGCAUACCUUCACAGAUGGAGGAAGGAAGCUGUUUGUCUUCACAGAGAGAAAAGCUAGGGAAAGAGAAAAACGUCUGAUGAAAUACUUUGGGGGGAGGUUGGAUUUCUUUUGGUCUUUGAUAUUUAUAACUCUCCCCUUAAAACCUACAAAAAUUUAUCACUUAAUGAAAUCCUUCCAAAUAUAUGACCUUUCGAAUACACCUAGAUUUGAUUCAACUUUUUUAUAAUCCUAAUUGAAUACACCCAUAUUUGAGUGGACUUUUUAAAAGUUCAUAUAAGUCCGAAUUGAAUACACCCAGACUUGUAAAACCUCUUUUAAAGUUUGUAUAAAUCCAAAUUGAAUACACCCGGAUUUUUAAAAUAUUUUUUAAACGCUUUAUAAUCCUAAUUGGUACAUCCCCCUUAUUCUCAAAAGACUAUAUCACUUUACCUCUAUCUCUGUGAAAUGUAAAAAGUUGAAACUUUAAUGUCAAACCUCGACAAAAGAUGAACUUCCAUCAGUUGCGUUGAAUUUGGAUUUGUUGAACUAAAGUGGUUUUACUUUCUCUGUCAGUGUUUGAUGACUUAAUUUGGUAUUUACUUCUUUUUUUCCUUGGAAAUGUGUUCCACCAACGUGAGGAAGAAAAAUGUGCACAAAUUAAUAUAUUUAAUAAAAGCCCAAGAUUUCGGAAGCACAUAAUUUCUACAAAAAUCUAGAAAGUGUUCUACUUUACAAACUUCUUAUGUCUAUCAAUUUCUACUAAAAUUAAUUUCUCUGUGGUGCUCAGAUUCAUCAUAUGUGUGUCCUUAAUUUUAUUGGAAAUUAGAAGUUUCCAUAAUUUUUAUUUUUUGGGAAUUUUCUGAACCAAGAAAAAUCAAGUAAAAUUAAUAAAGCUUAAAUUGGAAAGGGAAAAUAUCUAGAGGACGCAUUGUAGGAUUUCUCAUGCCGAUAAUUGUACCCUCUAAAUAUAUAGGGACAUAUUUUUUUUGUUUUCAUGACAUGUGGUCCUAAAAUUAUUGUUCCUAGCGGGCUCUCCACCCCCUCUCAAAUUUACGUGGUCCAUUAUGAUUAACCAUAUAUUUUAUUGACCAUCCAGCUGUGAGGUUUUAUCCCAAAAACCUUAGGUACAUUUCUCAAUUAUGUCUGAUACAUCACAUCAUGCCACAAUUGUAUAUUCACAAUUAUGUCUGAUACAUCACAUCAUGCCACUUGCCUCAAAUGAAUUUAAGUGAGUGUGGCAGUGGGAAGUAAUUACUUCUAGGUGCCCCUCAUCAUUCGUCUAUAAAAUGGUGAAGCCAGUGGCUAUAAGAGCCAGCUCCAACUUUCUUUUAUUCGUCUAUAAAAUGGUGAAGCCAGUUGCCAAGUUAAUUUCAGUCCUAAUGGGGUUUCAUCUCCCACUCAUCUUUGCUAUUCUCAGUGUAAGCUCUGCAAUUUGAUUAACUUUUCCAUUCUCUCUCAUUGUACUCUAUAUAAACGAAAGUUUUGUGUUCCUAUAAUUCUCUUUGAUUUUAUUUAGUACGUACUUAAGUGUCGUCCACUAAUUAAUUACAGUUUGUGAGAUUUGAUUUUAAUUAGAGUUCGAAUUAAUGUUGCAGCUAGCAGUGGUUGCACUGGCAAACCAUGCUGCUCAACCAGCACCUCAACUUUACUGGAACUCCGUCCUGCCAAACACACAAAUGCCAAGAUCUAUCAGUGAACUUCUGCAUCCUGGUUUGUGUUGAGCUCUUUAGAAUCUUAGAUAUCUCUUCUACCUGCCAUUUUACUAAAAUAUGUUCGACCACAUAUUUAUCAGUUAACUACUGUCAUUACAUGAGUGACACUUAUUCACAAAUCGGCUGAUCACUUAUUUUCCAUUUUACAUGAGUGAUAUAUAAUUUGCAGACUCCACAAAUGAAGAAAAUAUCGUGAAUGCUGUUGGGAAUGGAAAGCGCAAACCUGAAAUUUUCCCAUUGAGAAAUAUAAAUUACGUUCAAAGCCAUUAUGGAGUGUUAAAUAGAAAUUACGUUCAAAGCCAUUAUAAAAAACGUCCUCCUCCACCUGAAAAUAUCCCAUUUGCAAAUCGAAAAAAGUACGCACUAGGUUCUCCUCCAUCUGACAAUCAACUACUCCAUUAUAAAGAGUUAGCUAUUUUCUUCUUCGAGAAGGACAUGCGCCCUGGCGCAACAAUGAAGUUCCAAUUCCCUAGAAAUUCAAACACGGCUACUUUCCUGCCACGCGAAAGUGCUCAAUCGAUCCCCUUCUCCUCUAACAAACUACCAGAAAUUUUCAACCAUUUUUCAGUGAAGCCAACAUCUGUGGAAGCCAAAACAAUUAAGCAAACAAUCGAAGAGUGUGAAGCUCCAGGCACUAAGGGAGAGGAAAAAUAUUGCGCCACAUCUUUAGAAUCAAUGGUUGAUUUUAGCACUUCGAAGCUUGGAACAAGAAACGUUGAAGCAGUCUCGACGGAGGUAUUGGAAAAAGGAGCCACCAUGUCCAUGCACAACUAUACAACAAUGCCGGGACUGAAGAAGUUGGCAGGUGACAAAGUCGUUGUGUGUCAUAAGGAGAACUAUCCCUAUGCUGUGUUUUUCUGCCAUGCAAUAAAACAAACAGCAGCUUAUGUUCUCUCCCUGAAAGGCGAUGAUGGGGAGAAGGUUAAAGCAGUAACCAUCUGCCAUCUAGACACAUCAGAAUGGAACCCAGAGCAUUUGUCCUUCCAAAUCCUCAACGUUAAGCCCGGAACCGUUCCCAUCUGCCAUUUCAUUUCCACUGAUGCUAUUGCCUGGGUUCCAAAACACAAAUUUGCAUGAUCAUCACUUAGCACUGUGGUGUAAGAUAUAUGAUGAGAUAAAGUUUUUGGUAUUAGUGGUCGGGUUGCCUGAAAAACACAGAUUACAGAAACUGCUUGAAAUUAACCCGAUCAUGUUUUCUCUUGUAAGACUUCAACUUGUACUCCUAAAGCAAGUUAUAUUUAUGAAGAGAUAUUAAUCUAUAUAUAUUUUAUGUAUAUAUAUAUAUAUAUAUAUAUGCUUUGGCUUUGUGGUUCUACCCAGUGUUUGAGUGUUGAAUUGUUACGUUGGAAUAGGCUGAUAAUGCGUGUAGUUAGAGAAGCCUUCAUUUAUAUCAAAGUCCUCAAACUAUCAAGAACUAAUGUAUCCAGAAACAUAUACCAAGACGCAAAACAACAUAUUUUCCAUGCUCUGUCUGUAACGCCAAAGCAAACUUCCUUUAUCACAUCAUUUAAAGGAUCAAAUUCCAGUACUAAUCUAAUCCAUCAUGUAAAGCAUACAAGUGCCUCCCUAAAUUUGUCCAUUGGAUAUAAAUGUUGAGAAAAUUAGAGUACACAACUCUAAUAUGAUAGUUGUACACAACUCUAAUAUCAUAAAGCAAACAAAAUUUCUAAGUUAGUUUGCUUUAUGAUAGUUGUUUUUUGAAGGGGUCCUUAGAUCCUAUCUCAAAAAGUUUGGCUUUUAUUAGGUUUAACUCUGGUUUUUAUCUCUACCCACUAACUUUUAUCUCUCAUUUUUAUUACCCAUUUUACCCUUUAAAAUAAAUAGGGCAAUAAACUAAAAAUUCUGAUUUAAUGCAUGUUUUACUCAUAAGAGAACUAAAAACUAAAAAUUCUAUACUCUAACACAAAAAAUGAAAACUAAAAACUAAAAUUGAAAUGGUUUCAAGCAAUUGCAUGUCAGGCGCUAUAUAUAAUGUAUUAGCCAUGGUUUGUUUAAUACGCGGUCAUUCGUCAUUUUCCCAUUCAAAAUAUUGAAAUUACGAACUACAUACCAUGAAAGAUAAGAAACUAAAAGCUUCAAGCAAAUAGAAAUGUGCUACAAACAUAGUAAUGAAGAUGUGGAAGCAUUAUCUCAGACGAAUGAUUCUGAAGUGGAAAAAACAAGAACAAAAAAGGAAGUGAGUUAAAUUUGCACCUGCUAUGUUCAAACGACAAAGUUGGUUUCCCUUUGGUCGAUUACAAGAGAAGCUCAAUGCAGCUUACUUGGUUCCUCUGGUAGAUGAAAAUAUAAUUUUUCUCCUAAUAAUAAGGGUAUAGUGCAAUCAAUGAUGGGCUGUAUAGAACAACUUUUUUGUUUUAUGUGUUUAUGUGAGACAUGUUUUGCCAGAUUGAAUUAAUGUCUUCUAGCCAUGUACCUUAUCUUUUUGCCGGGCCAUGAGUUGAAUGUAGAGGCAAAGUAUGGACUUGGGGUCAAGUUUGACUUGUAAAAUAAUUAGGAAUUGAAUGGCUCCUACGUUCAAUUAUUUUAAUUUUUUUUCCCGAGCCAUUCAAUUCCUAAUUAUUUAGAUUUUCGAUUUAGUGAGCAUCCACAAUCAUGCUCUCUAUUUUUAAGUUAAAUUUUAGUUAAAAACAUAUAAAAGUUAUUUAGGAGCUCUCUAUAAAAUUUAAACUUCAAUCGUUUUCUAUAGUUUAGGGAGUCAUAAAUGUCAUAACUCUUUUUUGAUUGGUCCAUCUCUAUUAAAAAAUAAAAUAAAAAAUAGUUAGCAUGAAAUAAAGGUUUGAAAUACUCAUUAAAUAAAGCAGCAUUAAAUUAUAGGGAGCCACUAAGAGUCCUUUCUCUCUCCUCAAGUUUAGGAGCUCCUAGAGGUCUCCCUAUUUUAAGAGGUGGAUAGGGAGUAUGGUUGGAAUUGUAUUUUUACAAUUCCUCCCUAAAAAUUUUCUAUGGAUAGGUGGUUUUAAGGAACCCAUUGUGGAUGCUCUGAUCUCAAAGAAAGAAAACCUCGAGUUUGCAAGCAAGUUUUCUACGUAUGUAUAUAUGAAAAACUGACAUUUAUGAAAAUAAUAAAUCCAUAUUUUUAUGUAAGCCAACUUUCUAAAUCCAUGUACUAUAUUUAUUAGGGAAAUAUUGGAGAAACUGAUUAUUUUGAAAAAUUAAAUGUGAAAAACUGAACAAAAAUUUGACAGGUUACAUAUUUCAACUCAUUCAGCAGCUUAGGUUGUGAAGACCUCAGAAGAGGCUAUGCAAUGAGCCUAGCUAGUGCACUGUUGAUCACUUCAGUGUUUACCGAUCUGUAAUUUUUCCAGAUUGGUUAUAUUUUCCUUUACAUAUUCUUAUAUUUUUCCCAGUUGGGGAGACUUAUAAAUAAACCCAAAAUGGGUACAAUAUCUAUACAGAAGGACAAAAUUAAAGUGUUUGGACAAUAAUCCCCUAUUCAUUUUGGGAUUGCCUAAGGAAUUCUUUUUCUGAUUUUCAAUGAUGCAAAGGACUGUUGUUUGAUGCUUGCCGUAUGGAGCUAAGAAAACUUGCUUUGAUAGUUUUGGACAGAUGCAAGCUACUGUUGUUGGUAGGGGUGGGCACGGUCCGGAUUGGUUCGGUUUUACUCUCAAACCACAGCUGAACCAAUAAGAAAAUAACGGUUCGGUUUGGUUCGGAUUAGCCUAAAAUCAUAAUGGAAACCGAACCAAUCCAAACCACUUGUAAUCGGUUUGGUUCGGAUUGGUUCGGCCGGUUUGUGCCUAACACAAAACCAUGCAUUUUUCAACCUGCUCUUACAUUAUAAUGCUAACAUUUUGCCAUUAUAUCAUUCCAUUCCAUUCCAUCAAAGGCUAAUACAACAUCAUUCCAUUUAUUCAAAGGUUGUCCAAUGUCUAGCAUGCAUCUAAGUUCACAAUUUCCAUCAAAACAAACAUAUACAUAAUUUGCAUUAACCAAGUAGCAUUACAUUUACUCAUUGCAUUCAUCACAAUUCAUAAGAGAUGAGAACGAAUCAAUUUUACUUUAACAUAUUAAACAAAUGCAUUCUUUGUAAUAGUUAAACAUUCUCACAUCAUGAAUAUCGGCAAGCUUAUAAAGCUGCUGCACCAACUUGCUAAUUGAUUCGUCUGUACCAGGAACAACAGUAGUAAUGCGAGAGAACCCCUCAACUUCUGCAUGGCCAACAGCUAAACUCUGGAAACGAGAAACCAGCUCAAUUAUAACAAAUGCCUAAAACUUCUACCUUAACAGAAGACAAAGGAGGAAAUAACAGCAGAAGGAAACCAAAUUUCUCAAUUUAAUAACUGAUAUUUCCAAAGGAUUCUUAAGUCUAAAAUUCGACCAAGACUUGAUUAACUAUUCCAAUGUCUAGCAUGCAUCUAAGUUUAUAACUUUGUUCCUUCUUUAACAAAAAGAACAAGGAGAAAAAGCUAAUAAUAAGGUAUCCUUCUUUAACAGGCAUCAAGCAUAUCACAUAAGCAACAUUUUAUAUACAUUAUUCUAUGAACAAAACUAAAUCAAAGCAAGGUAUGCUACAGUCUUUUUGUACAAUAAAAUAGAUUAACAUAUUUUAUAACCAUAAAAAUGAAAAAUUAGGCCUCAUAGAAAAUACCAUUUUAUUUUUCAACUCUCUAACUUUUUAUAUAACCAGUUAUUGGAGACAAUACAAAAAAUAAAGUAGUAGACAGAACUAGCAUAUUUUACAAACCCAGCUGAUGAUGACGAUCCACCACCAACAAUAUUCCCAUAAUCAAUCCUUGCAUAACCUGAUGGUCGAUGAUGGAACUUGGGUUUUGUAGAGAUGGAUUUCGCUGAGGACAAAUGGGUGGGUUUCGCCGAGUUCGAAUCAUGUUGGCUUGAGUUAGCGUCGAGGGAGAGGGAGAGGGAGAUGUAGCAGAGAGACAAAGAGAGAGGGAGAGGUAGCAGAGAGAGAUGGAGAAAUAAUGAGAGGGAGUUGCGGCUAGGGUUAAGAGACGAAGGAAGGGAGAUAGGAGAGAGGCUCUUCUGAGGGAGAGAGAAUGGUUAGAUAACUUAGAUGUGUCCGUGAGUUGUAGUUUUGGAGUCCAAUCAAGUGUUGCAGGGUACAUGGUACACUCUUAAAUAACCACUCAAACCUUGCCACAUGUAAACUAAAUUAAAUAAAUAAUAAAUUGAUUUAUAAUCGGUCCGGUUCGGUUUAGGACAGUUUUUAAAACUCUCAAACCACAGCUGAACCAAACCAAACCGGUUCGGUUCGAUUUUUCAAAAUGUUGACUUUUUCUUUGGUCAAAACCAAACCAAACCAAUCCAAUAUAAUCGGUUCGGCUGGAUUGACCUGAUCGGCCAGAUUGAUGCCCACCCCUAGUUGUUGGGAUGAUCUUUUCACGUGAAAUGAGGAUGACGAUACUUCUACACUACACAAUCCAACGAAUUCACAUUUCUAUUUCAGAUACAUGUAUAAACAGACAAGGCUUUAAAAUAUGGGAUGCUGCACUGUUGUUGCUGCUGCUGACACUGUUACUGUGUUGCUGCUACUGUUACUGCGCUGCUACUGGAAGAAGGACAAGGACUUCACAUGUUGCUUUCGUCCUUUGUGGAGGAGAGAGACCUAGGACUUGCAUGUCUUAGAUAUUUAAGAUAAGGGGCUUUCGUGCCAUUUUGAAAAUACUUUGGGUGUUUUUGAAAGCUGCUUGUUUCUUUUGGGUUUCUCACUAAAUUUCGCUAUUAGAAGGGAAAAUAAUAAUAAUAAAAAUACAGCUCUUAUUAGCAACAGGGUUACAAAUUCUUCUACAACACACCAACUGUUGUAAAAGUUUGAAGGUGGAGCCCACAGAGGAAGUUUCCUUGCAUCUUCCAGGAACUUUCCCUUCCCUGUAUUUAUCAAUUCAGGAAGUUUCCUUGCAUCUUCCAGGAACUUUCCCUUCCCUGUAUUUAUCAAUUGAGGAAGUUUCCUUGCAUCUUCCAGGAACUUUCCUUCCAUGUAUUUAUCAAUUCAGGAAGUUUCCUUGCAUCUUCCAGGAACCUUCCCUUCCCUGUAUUUUACCAAAACCUUAGCCUAUAAAUAGGCUUGCUCAUUCACUUGUAAUACACACCAAAAUGAAGAGAAGAAUGAGUGAGGAAAGAAAGAAAGGAAGAGAAGGAAGAAAGAGGGUGAGUAAGUAGAGAGAAAAAUAGAGUGGAGAGAAAUUAGUGAGCCACAUAUAUUGUAAACACUAAAGUUGUAGCCCUAUUAUUUUACAUAGUGGAAAAGUUACUACUGCUGCUCUCCGGGGACGUAGGCAUAGCCGAACCUCGUUAAAUACUGUGUCUCAUUUACUUUACGUGCAGCUCAAUAUUCAUACAUAUUCCAGGUUAUUUUUAUAACACGUUAUCAGCACGAGAAGCUCUCAGGUAUAAUUUUUGUGCUGCACUAUUAUCUAUACUACUAACCACUAACAAAAAUGGACCCUUGGUAAUACUAAACAUAUUAUCAGUGGGAGACCGUUACUAAUACUAACUUUUUCUUAUUUUAUUCGGUGGUGGUUUUAACCCCACAUUUAUUUACUGUAUGGUGUAGGUUUAUUACCCAUACAUGCACCUUUACUUUAUCGCAAAUUUAUUUUACCGCAUAUUUAUUUUAUUUACUGUAUGGUGUAGGUUUAUUACCCAUACAACAGUAUUUAUUUAAAAGGGUGGUGCGAGUUUAUCGUCCACGCCUUUGCUUUUAUUUAAAUGUAUGGAGCAGAAUUAGUGCCCAUACAAGCACAAUUUACUUUACCGCACAUUUAAUUUUAUUUAAAGUAUGGUGCGGGAUUAACGUCCAUACAGCAAGCAAUUUAAUUUAUGAAUUUAAUUUACCGCACAUUUACAUUUAUUUAAAAGGGUGGUGCGGGUUUAUCGUCCACGCCUUUACUUUUAUUUAAAUGUAUGGAGCAGAAUUAAUGCCCAUACAAGCACCUUAACUUUAUGAAUUUAAUUUACUGCACAUUUACAUUUAUUUAAAGUGUGGUGCGGGUUUAUCGUCCAUACCAGUAAUUUAUUUAUCAGCAAUUUAUUUUAUGGAUUAAUUGUUUAUUUAUCAGCAAUUUAUUUUAUGGAUUAAUUGUGCUGUAUGAUGAGUUUUUCCAGUAUGCAGAUCAGGACCAGAAGUUCCUUGAUCCUCAUCAUACAAUUACAUCAGGACUUGAAGAUCCUUGAUGAUGAUAUUAAAAUGAGAGCUGGCAGUCUCACCGGUACUGUAUUUGUAAACAUGUGAUUGGACUUAAAGGUCCUUGAUCCCUGACAUGUAAAUAAGGACCUAGAGUUCCUUAAUGAUGUAACAGUACCGUAUUGGUUCAUAGUGCCGUACACAUUGAUGAUAACUGUACUGGCAGAUGAAUAGAUACGUAUUCAUGACUUGAUGAAUAGUACUAUUCACAUGAAUAGUGACGUAUGCAUAAAUAUUAACCAUUUUGGGUAAACCGUCACUAUAUACAAAAGGGAACCUGCAGUUCCUUAAACUCAUGGAUGAGCAAUUAAAUGAGAUGCCAGAAGUUCCUCAAAAUAUGGACAAUUAUGUAAGGGCUUGAAGUCCCGAAAUAUGUACAGAAAAUUGUAAAAAUGUCCAUACCAUGAGAAUAUGUGGCUUUGGCCUGAAGUUCCAAAUUUAACAGUGUUGAGAACCUGAAGUUCCAACAAUUAAAUGGACAACCCUUGAGGUAUUAUUGCAAAUUGUGGUAUGCCACAUAUUUCUUUGGCAUAAGAAGAUGAUGAAUUUAAUAAAGUUCGAUUUUGUUAUAAUCGACACCUCAAGGAAGAAAUAUAUUUUGUGAAUUCCGGUUGUUAAGAAUACACCGCGAAAUGGAUAAUAUUAAUAUAAACCUCAAAUAAUGAAUUGAGACUCCCCACAUAUUUUGUUAUAUCUGGGCCGGAAGCCCAUGGAUCCAAAUAUAUGAGAGAUCCUAAACUUGAAGUUGUGGGUAUAUAGUAGUUAAUGCUCUUCACUACUAUAUUGCGAUAUUAUCAUGGCUUUUACUCAAUUCAUAUUUCAUGUCCAUUUGAAAAGGGCAAAUAAAUUCUGAGUUUGUGCCCAGGCCAUAAGUUCCGGGCUACCAUACGUUGAAAUAUGAAAUUUGGGAGAGUCGAUGUGGUUAUUUGAACCUAUAAGGCACAAGGUUCCAAAUCGUCAUUUUGAAAAGACGUAAAAACCAAAGGUGCAAGUUUAAGAAUGUGCGCAAUUAUUAUUACAGGAACAUACAACAGAUAGAUUUUUUCCACUUGCAAUGAAGGUGCAGGCCCUGUAAAAUCUAUAAAAUUACAUUAUGUUCUGGAAGCCUCUGAAGGAAGAGGACGGCGCCUCUUAAGCUUAGCCAUGAGCUUCUCAUGGUCUCCCAAAAUUCUUUCAUUGGAGACCUGCAGCAUGUCUAGCCUUCUCAGUGUAUCAACAGAGUACGAACUCACCAGUUUCAACAAGGAAUUAUUCUCUCCUUUAAGUUUCUCAACCUCCUGUUGAGACUCAUGAAGCAUUCUUUGGAGAGACGAAUUUUCAGUUGUUAAAUUCUCAACCUCGUUUGCUCUGGCACGCAAACGAUCAGCCAUGUUAGAAACAGAAACAGCACUCUGAAUGCUAAAAGCCAUUGAGUCAUCAAUAGCCUCUUCCUCUGAUCUCCCCGUCAACAACAUUUCAUCCAUUGGAGUAAUGAAAUUCCUAGCUACUAUGACAGCAGUAGCAUCAUUCAUCAUCACAGAAUCAUUAACUGUGAGAUGACGAUUUUUGGAUACAAAGGAUGGACGCCAAACUUGGGCGUCACUGGUAGUUGUGGGAGUAUCAUUUAAAUUGAAAUAAUUUGGGCAGGAAGAAGAGGAAGCCAUUUUUAAGAAGGUUUCGAAGAAAGCCUUAGGAAAACUAAAGUUUCAUAAAAUGAAGGAAGUUAAGUUGAAACGCAAUUGCUCCAAUCAAGUUUUGCAAAGGCAAUAUCUAUAGACGAAAAUAUGGCAAUAUCUUCAGGAUUCCAAUAUCUUCUCGAAUCCCCAUAUUAUCUUUUUCUUUCCCAGAGUCCAAAACUUCACGUGGCCUCUAAUAAUGCCUGUCGGCACUUUCGGCGUUUUUCAAAGUAUUAUUUUCAAAGCCGAUCUUGCUUUACGGAUUUCACGGAACUACUUUUUCAAAAGUAUCCCGAGAAUCUCGCAAUUUUCCUAUGGUUAAUUUGAAAUUCACCGGUUCUACCUAUUUAUUGUAUUUAUGUAUAAAUGUGUUACUAACGAAAUUUUCUUUGCAAAAGACAUCCAGUUUUCUCCAUACCUAGUGAUGCGAUAUCUACUUAUUUUUCUUAUCAGUGAGCACUUAAUAUGCCUGAGAAGCAAGACUAUCUCUGAUCAUACAUUCAGGAAGCAAGACUAUCCCUGAUCAUGUUUCCGCUACAUUAGGGAACUGUGAAGGUGACCUUAUGCUCCAAUCUCCUGAGGUCUUUCUAGACUAGGAGAAAUGAGAGCUUGUUGUUUGCUCCCACCAGCUUCCUUCCUUGAUUGCUUACCUUACCUUGCAAUCAAUAUCACAAUCUUUUUGCAUUUUUUCUCUUUUUAUAACUCUCUGUUCAUAAGAGAUUUUAUUUCUUUAGAAUGAACAUCUGAAGAAUGAAUCCAUGAAGUAAUCCUAACUAUGAGGGUUAUUUGUUUUGACAGAGGCAAAAGAGUUGUGAUUUUUGCUCUUGCAGGAUAUAACUAGAUCAUCAAGCGCUACAUUAUAUUUACUGGGCUGAUAUGAGCUUGAAUGAUACUUGAGAAAAGUUUCUCCCACCUAAGGAUGUAAGCAAUACUUGUGUUAUUUUAUGCUUAUAUACCUAUUUGAUAUUUUAUCUUGAAAGGUAACUAAAUGGGGAGAUAAGUCCGUUCCAAAAGAAUGACUUGUAUGUAUCCAUGAAUUAUUAAUGCAAAUUUUACAGAUUGCAAGUUGGAUACAUUGAUAAUACACUGCACAGAUUAAAGUCCCAUAAGAACAGAAUAUGGGUAUAGCAGUGAUCAAUAUGAUGCACGCCUAUUGCGUAGCAAAUGAUAUGGAUUGAAGUCCCGAAAGGACAAUCCUUUGACAUUUCAAUAUUGAUAUUAUGCACGCCUAAUGCGUAGCAAAUUAUAUGGGUUAAAGUCCCAUAAUAUGGGUUAAAGUCCCAUAAAUUAAUUGACAUGUAUGUAUUAAUCUGUGGCAUGCCUGCAGCAUGACAGAUAUAUGGGUUCUAAAUGUUCCAACUCCCUAAAUGGAGAUUAUCCACGCCCUACUAUAAAAUAACGCUCCAUUGGAGGUUAUAAUCCACAUUCUCACAUAAUAAAAGCCCCCUGCAGUGGCUUGGGUACCCAAAAGCAAAGAAAUGCUUAUAAUUGAUGCAUGCGCAUGCACAUGAGAAUGGUGGGAUCAUGAAUUGAUGAAUGACAAUUUUUGAUCAUGAAUUGAUGAAUGACAAUUUUUGGUUUUAGAGUAGCUACUCAAAUCAUCAAUGGGCUGUGUUGAUUGGAACCACGUUCAAUUAUUAAAUGUCGACAAUAUCAUUGGCCAAAAUGGAACGAGGUAAUUCCAUUAUAAAUGAGAAUGAACGUGAAAGAACAAACCCACAAUACGAACCCCAAAAUUUGUUAAUACUAAAAGUUAUACUUGGGUGUUCGGAAUAAAAGGAAAUAUAUCUACUUUGUAUGACACACUGUUUCUGGCAGAAACAAGGAAUGUUGGGUUUUCUCCAUAUUUACAGAUUCAAUUGUGCCCCCCUUAUUACACAAUUACGGAGACCAACAUAUUAUCUUUAAGGGUUAUUAAUGCACAGAGCAUAUCGCCAGAAGCGAUUUCCUAAAGAUGUAUAAAUAGCUGGGUAAAAGCUAUAUAAUGUGUCAUAAAGUUUAAUCCCUUUUAACCAAAAUCUGUUGAGAGGAUUGAUAUUGCAUAGAGCAAGUCCCUAAAGAACAUGUGCUUGAAGCACAAAAUUUGUACUCAAUAUUAAUAUGCAUAAAUUACCUCAGUGAGUACAUUGAUUAUAAUGUGAUUGCAACACAUUAAAGCUUCUGCAGAAUUCAUGAAAUAUUUGUCUCGAUCGAGCAUUAUGCCAACGAGAUUCUUGCUUAUACUAAGAAAGUAUUAAAGUAUUUUUAUGAGGAUUAUCCGUUGGACACUUUAAUGAUUUUCCGGAAGUAUAUUGGACCGGACAUCAUAUUUUCCAGAUAGGGCUCAACUCCAUCACCAUCAUUUUGGGAUGAUGUGAGGUAUAUUUGAUGCUAUCUAAGCAUAACACCAUAUAGGGGCAUAUUUUUUUAGUGAACUUAUAAAUAGCCCAAGUGUUCUAAGAUAUGCGGACUCAGGAAAUCUCUAUGGUCGCUUACUGGAAAAAGCUAGUCAUGAAGUUUUCAGGGGGAGAUAUUCAUCAGGGAGAGCAUGGUAUUAAUAAAGACCUUCAUACACUAUUGACUCACAGCAGCAGUGUCAACUAUGAUAUUCAGACAGAUGAUCAACAGUAUGGCUUAAAGAUAUUUUGCCAAGCAUCAGGGGGAGCGUGCUGUCAAUACAGACCCUUACCCACUGUACUCUUUUUCCUUCGUCCAGGUUUUUAUCCCACUGGGUUUUUCCUGGCAAGGUUUUAACGAGGCAGUGUCGCACGCGCGUCAAUAUACACAGAAUUUUAUGUUACACGUGAUUAUGUACUCUUUUUCCCUUCGACCAGUUUUUGUCCCACUGGGUUUUUACUGGCAAGGUUUUUAACGAGGCAUAUUCCAUAUCAUUUGUGGUCUCCAAGGGGGAGUGUUGUAAAAGUUUUAAGGUGGAGCCCACAGAGGAAGUUUCCUUGCAUCUUCCAGGAACUUUCCCUUCCCUGUAUUUAUCAAUUGAGGAAGUUUCCUUGCAUCUUCCAGGAACUUUCCUUCCGUGUAUUUAUCAAUUCAGGAAGUUUCCUUGCAUCUUCCAGGAACCUUCCCUUCCCUGUAUUUUACCAAAACCUUAGCCUAUAAAUAGGCUUGCUCAUUCACUUGUAAUACACACCAAAAUGAAGAGAAGAAUGAGUGAGGAAAGAAAGAAAGGAAGAGAAGGAAGAAAGAGGGUGAGUAAGUAGAGAGAAAAAUAGAGUGGAGAGAAAUUUCUCCAAGAGAGAAAAAUUAGUGAGCCACAUAUAUUGUAAACACUAAAGUUGUAGCCCUAUUAUUUUACAUAGUGGAAAAGUUACUACUGCUGCUCUCCGGGGACGUAGGCAUAGCCGAACCUCGUUAAAUACUGUGUCUCAUUUACUUUACGUGCAGCUCAAUAUUCAUACAUAUUCCAGGUUAUUUUUAUAACACCAACAUCAAUCUAGCCCUGAUCCACUCUUUUACAUACUUGAAAACAAAACAAAACACGAAAAACAAAAAACAACAGGGAGAAAAUGGCUCCGGAGAGACUUACUGCUAAUACUUGAUCAAUAACAGAGAUAAUAGAGCACACUGUUUGUAUGGCAGUGAGUAUCAGAAGAAUAAUAGCUGCCCAAGGUGUGUUGAAAUACUUUUGUCUCAAAUUUGCCUUCCAUAUGUUCGUGGUCUUCUCGCAAUACUCGUUUAGUUUGCCAGCAAGAUCACCAAAAUAGUAGUUUCCCUGGUUAAUCAUAAUGGAAACCUUACUGUUGUCACCUAGCGUGUUUACAACAAUUCCAUUGUCAACAAGCAACUCUACAUCCUUUGGGGUGUUUACAAAUUUAUCCAGGAUGAAAACAUAAUCGCUUAAUUAUUUAUUAACGCAAUGGCAUUGUUCAAAGGCAAUGAGAUUUCUAAGUGUAAGCUCUGUGUAAUCAUGUAUUUCAAUUUUUGGAAUUUCCAAGGUGUUUUUCAAGAACUGUAUAUCGAAUAAGUUCUUGCUUGAUUCAACGUUAAACUUAACUCCGGCCUGGUGUAGUUUUGUCAUGCCGGGUGUACUUUGGAGCCCUACAUUUUCUUUUAGGGUUGGAUCUGGCAGAUGUAAAGUUCUAAUAAAAUCAACAAAUUGUACAGGUUUUUUAGGAUCAGGAGGCAUAAAAGACUUACGGAAGGCUGGUGAGUUCUCCAAGUUUUCUAAACGCAGUGCCUGUUGGAAGAACCUGUAAGAGAGUUCAAUUAUUGAAGGCUCCCCAGUCUGGGCACCUGUAAGAUUGUAAAGAUCCUCGAGAAUGAAAAAUGGCAGCUGAUUUUCUAGCAUAAGCAUGUCAGGCAAUAUAUUUUGUAGCACCCAUGGUUUUUUAAAUAUCCAAGCAUUAUCAUCCGGCAAUUUUUCUUCCUGAAAUUUUUCUUCGGAUUUAUUCCUCAACAAUAGCUCAAUGACAAAGGCGGCAUCAACUAGAAUGAUAUUCACAAAAGCGGCAAUGUUAAACUUCUUAGUGUCUUCAUAAUAAUGACGGAGUUCAACUUCUCUCUCCUUUAGGUACCUGAGUUUGUGAUCUUCCAUGGCUUCUAAGUUUUUGCUGCCAUGGUGAAGUGGGCCUAUUGAGACUACUUGUGGUGUGUAGGCCUUUUGUUUUACGUUCCGUAGUCGCUCAGGCACCCUGUAGAUACUGCAGGCAGGGGACAGGGCACGGAAGUUUGUCAACUGAUUUUCCAUGGAAGUUGCUUGGUUUUCUAUGUCAAAAGAAGCUUCAUUGCUGCUUUCUUCCACUUUCUUCCUCCGCAUUAUGUGUUGUUCUGAUUGUAAGUGACGAGGAUGGUGAUGAUUCUAGACACCAUAAUCAACAAAUGUUUCAAUCAUAAUUGACAUUUCAAGAUGCUCCGACAAAAAAUUAGAAAACAUUCAUCACAAAAUGCGAACUCAUACAACAGAUGGGUUGAGAAGAUCCACACAUUGCAAUCAUACAAUCCAAUUGAACAGGGAUUACUCCCUAUUCUCCUCUCUCUCUAAAAAAGAUUUUCAUAUCGAUAACAUCUUAUUGCAAGGGACUUGUACAUCAAGUGGUGAAGAACAGAAAUUCAUAUUCUUUCAAUCAACAAAUUUCGAAGAAGUUUGUUUGUUUUAUUUUUGGGGGAAAAAAAUCUGAGCAUAUAUAGAUGCAUAUUAUACGUAGACCUAAGGUGAAAACAUACCAGAUUUUUACUCCAUUUUUCAUGAGGUUUAAGUUCUUGAUGUAUAUAUUUAUCUCAAGUGUAACAUCCCACAUUGAUCAACGGAGAGGGGGUGAUGUGCCUUAUAUGUACAUGCCAGCCUUCAUCUAGCACGAGGCUUUUUGGGAGCUUAUUGGCUUUGGAGUCAUAGGAACUCUGAAGUUAAGCGAGUUGGAGCUAGAGCAAUCCCAGGAUGGGUGACUCACUGGGAAGUUGCUUGUGAGUUCCCAGAAACAAAACCGUGAGGGCAGAGAGGAGGGCCCAAAGCGACCAAUAUCAUGCUACGGCGGAGCCGAUUCUGGGAUGUGAUAAUUUGGCAUCAGAGCUACUCUGCCGUGUGGUGUGAGUGUGCCGACGAGGACGCCGAACCCUUGAGGGGGGUGGAUUGUAACAUCCCACAUUGACCAACGAAGAAUGGGUGAUGUGCUUUAUAUGUAUAUGCUUGCCUAUAUCUAGCACGAGGCCUUUUGGCAGCUUACUGGCUUCCGAGUCAUAGGAACUCCGAAGUUAAGUGAGUUGGUGCUAGAGCAAUCCUAGAAUGGAUGACCUACUGGGAAGUUGCUCAUGAAUUCCCAGAAAAAAAAAGCUGUGAGGGCAGAUAGGGGGGCCCAAAACGGGCAAUAUCGUGCUACGGCAGAGCCGAUCUUGGGAUGUGACAUCAAGAAUUUAUAUCCUCCCUUUUCAGAUCUCAUGUUCCAGUCAAUACAUAACGAAACAUAAGAAACUAAAGUCUUGUUUAUACCCAUCCUCCCACCCACCCACGGCCAUCCACCCCUACCCCCUAUCUCCAUUAAAUCUACAAGUAGCUCAUCAAUUUCUCCACCAUCCCAAGUUCAAUAUACCACCCAACAACCAUCUUACCCAUCUUCUCAUUGAUCUUCCACCCAACAUCCAACACUAUCUUCAUAAACUCUUUAGCUUAAUCUCUCUGUUGCUUUUGUUUUUUGUUUUUUAGAAAUUAAAUUUUUUAGUUUAUUUUUUUGUUGGUACAAAUUCAAUGAUAAAGAACAUCGAACUCGUCGCAACAUCCUGUUCUAGAUCCAAGCUCUACCACCAUCACAACCCUCUCUUGACCUCCGACCAACCUUAACACCCAACUUCAAAUCUAGGUUGUUUGAAACCCAGCCCCCAACAACCCCCCCAAGUCAUCCCAUUGCAACUGACUUGUAGAUGAAGUAGUAAAGAACAAAAAGUCAUAUUCUUCCAAUCAAAACGUAUCAAGUCAAACAAAAUUUCUAGUUAGUUUGCUUUAUGAUAGUUGUUUUUUGAAGGGGUCCUUAGAUCCAAUCUCAAAAAGUUUGACUUUUAUUAUGUUUAACUCUAGUUUUUUGCAAUUUUUUUUUAUCUCUACCCACUAACUUUUAUCUCUCAUUUUUAUUACCCAUUUUACCCUUUAAAAUAAAUAUAGUAAUAAACUAAAAAUUCUGAUUUAAUGCAUGUUUUGCUCAUAAGAGAACUAAAACCUAAAAAUUCUAUACUCUUACACAAAAAAUAAAAAAUAAAAACUAAAAUUAAAAUGGUUAUCAAACAGACCCUUAUAUUACAAAAAACCUUAACUGACCACCUUAUAUGGCAACUGAUNNNNNNNNNNNNNNNNNNNNNNNNNNNNNNNNNNNNNNNNNNNNNNNNNNNNNNNNNNNNNNNNNNNNNNNNNNNNNNNNNNNNNNNNNNNNNNNNNNNNUAGCAUUCUAAAAAAAGUGGCCUCAUGGCAGCAUUCAUUAAUUGACAUGGCAUGACACAUCAGUUGCCACAUAAGGUGGUCAGUUAAGGUGGUCAAUGUUGUGUGUCCAAAUAGCAUUACUAAAAAAAAAUCAAAUAUUGAACUCAUCAUAAGAGAACACAGAAAAACCUCACUGCUUGCAACUCUUACACCACCACUACACGAACAGAACAACUGCUAAUUAAAAUGAGUCACAUGUCACAUGUCACAUGUGGUACUUAACUCUAAAAACUUAUUUAGAUUAUAUAUCCAUAUUUAUAUAUCCUACUCCUCGAUCAAAACAACCAUGAAACAUAAGUGACUUAAACCUCUAGGCAAAUGGACGGUAUAUAGCAAUUUAUAGAACAAUACAGUAAUCCAGAAGAAAUAUUAUGAAAUAAAAAAAAUAAAAAGUAAAAAAAGAGAAGGAAAGGAAUUCCCACCUGAUAUGUAUAUCUAUGAAAGGAAGGACCAAGUUUGUUUUGCCUUUGGUUAAUGACUAGAAAAGCUCACUUGUAUAUUGCUUUCUCCGGCCGUAGAUGCAAGAGAAAUUUUCUCUUAAUAAUAGCACAAUGAUCGGGUAAUCGUAAGAACAAGUUGAUUUAAAAUUCAGGUCAACUCAUAGAUUUCUUGCCUUUUCUAUUCUCCUUCCUUGGACACGAGCUGUUUAAUCUUGGAAUCUUCCCCCAUCAUGUUGGGCCAGUCUUCUUCUUGAGGAUUGUAUAGGCCCAGGAAAUGCUUGGAGGUAGUUUUUGUGUAUUGGGCCUUGAGACCCAACUUCACAAAAAGAAAACAGAUUUGACCAAAAAAACAAAUUUGAAGGACAUUGAAAUUGUACCUGUAUGAUAGGUUAAAACACUGUAAGGGAGGUAAAUAGUACGUUUACAGAGUUUAAGUGUAAUAAAGGAAUAAAAACAUGCCCAGAGCACUACUACAAUUUUUCCCUGUCCUGGCAACCCUUUGUGAUCGGUAAAAACACCAUUAUUGACGGAACUUCGUCAGUAAUUGCUUCUUGACGACUGCAGCGACGAAAAUGAGUAUAGUCAGUAAAAGUCCCGUCAGUGUUACUAUUACUGACCAACUUUUGCAACUUAUUCGUCAGUAGAGGUGUGUCUCUGACACAAGUCAUGAAGUGACUCUAAAUUAUUACUGACAAAACAAAUAGCCACUAUUAAACAAGCUUUUGUCAGGAUUAUUAUUUUAGGAUGGAGUACUAGUGGCAAAGAUUUGUCAAUAUUGUUUUCAACAAAAAAAAAAAUUCAGUCAAUUUGCUUCUGAGCUGAUGCGCCUUUAGAUAUCCUUUUCUGAAAUGUCUUUUGUUUUCUAAUAUAAUGGAUGUUUUUCUUUAAUAAAAAUUUAAUGGAUUCUGAAAAUGUAAUAACAAUUAUAAAUACUCAUAGAUUGAACCAUUCAACCCCCAUCCUUAUAAAUAUAAACUACCAAUGUCGAUUACAAUAGCCAAAUAUUACAAAGUCUGCCUACAUCAGUAGAGUUCAAAAACUUUAGGUGCCCUUACUAUACAAAAGUAUGCAAUUCCAAAUAUUCAACAAAUACACUACAAAAGCAUGCAUACCCCAAUAGGGUCCAAAAUACAACGUCAGCAACUAUAUAUACCAAAAAUGCAUAACACUAAGUAACUGCAUCUAUUCAAGUCCAUGAGUACCUUGAUCUGAUUCUAAAAAGUCUGUCUCACUUGGGUAUGCAUCCCCCCUCAGCAAUCCAGUUAACCCACCAAUAGGAGUAACUGACCUGGCUUGAUAAGGCAUUUGAUGGAACAUCUGCGGCGAGUAAUAUGACAUAUGGAAUGGGUUUGGCAGCUGCUGGUACAAUGGGUGAUGCGAAGCUGACGAGCACGAUAACAUCUGCCUCAUUUCCUCAAUCUCUUGCUGGUUAUGCUUCAGCAACUCUUGCGUCGCCUUCAAUUCAGAACGCCAAUGAUCCUGGUCAUGUUUGUACCUUUCUUGUAACUCUACAUACUGUGACUCAAGGUGAACAUAGUCGUGCCCUCGCAAUCUCUUGGAUGACCCUGCUUUCGUUUGAAUCCAAGGCACCUGAUGGGGUUUCACCCCAAGUCCUUCACCACGAACACUAUUAUUUGUCUCAGGACCCAUUGCCUCAACAUAAGCCCUUCUUCGUGUCUCUAAAUUAUCAGGACAUUCAUCUUCAACCAAUUCCUUCAACUUUUCCUGCAUUUCAGCCUAACAAAAACAAAAUAUAUAUCCUUCUCCAUCAAAUUGUGGUCAUCAUAGAACUAGCCCAAUAAACUCUACAAUGAUGAAUUGCAUUAUGUAAUAAAAAUUUAGGCCAAUUAGUCUUCUGGACCUCUACUGUUUUGUUUUUCAUAUGCUUAAACAAAUAAAAGAACAUAAAGAAUAGUGAACAAGAAAAAAAAACUACCUCCAAACAACUUUCCAUAUGCUUAAAAAAAAAAAAAAAAAAAAGUCAACCAAAACAAAAUAAGAGAAACAUCCUGGACUAUGGCUAACAAUUCCUCAUGAAAAUGAACUUAUAUAUAAUUAUUCCAAUAUAUAGUCCAUAUGCUUACAUAUUUCUGCUCAGCCACCAAGUUAACCCAUGAUCGAUCUUCGUCACGCCGUGUAUGCUUAUCUUGGAAAAACCAAAUAGGAUCGGGGUCUUCACCAUGUUUCUUAUUCUUAGCAUGCAAUCAAUAAAAUAAAAUAAGAUAAUCAAUUAGCUAACACGACCUCAUAUGCUCAAUAUUUGAAUAUAGUAAAGAGUAAACAUUCAAGUGCAUCAUCAAAACUGACAUAUUGUGCUUUGCUGCGAGCAUAAGACUUUGUUCUAGAUGUGUGAUUCAAUGUUUGUUUACUCCGAUUUUCAACAUUUCUUUUAGCUUGCUCCUUUUAUUAGCAAAAACAAAACAUACUUAAUCAUUGCACAGAUUAUAUAUACUGAGUGUUGUGUAAUAAUACGUACUGCAAUCUCAUCUUUUUCCCAAUGUUCAACCAACACCCUCCAUUGAUCUGGGUCUACACGAGAAUCCCCACAUUGCCACCGUCUUUUACUUCCUGUGAAAGGCUUAUAAUAAGCUUUCUUCAAAUCACUCUUGAAACUUCUCCACAAUUUUUCAAUAUUCUUCAUUGUUACAUCCUUGAAGACAUGAAUCAUAGGUUGUUGUUCAGGACGAAAUUCAAUGGUGCCCUGCAUCCACAAUAAGGUAGUCUUACAUCAAGUUGAAAUAUACCUAUUAAACUCAAUUUCAUGCAAUAAGUAUUCAAUAAUUUUAGGAAAACCAAACCCGUAGAGUGUCCCAGACAUCAAGUUUGCAAGAGUCUGGUACUUUUUCCCAUUUUAAAUACUUGAUCGGAAUUAGAUUGGCAUCCCGCGCCAAAAUACCCAUGUAUCUAGAAAAAUGGGGACUAUUGUCACUAAUAACUCUGCCAAAUGGAGAUAAAUCAACUGACUCUUUUUUGUUAUUUAGAAACCAGUUGCAUUUCCCUUGACCUCGACCUUGCUUCGCCUCCUUGCCUACAUGAAAAGUUAAUUUUAACUGAUCAAUACAACAAGAAAAUAAUAAGAAACUGUAAGGUAAUAAGUUUCUCACACAUUAUUCAAAUGAAAAAUUAGCAUAGCUAUUUGGAGAUGAUGUGAUCGUGAAACAUCCCAUAUUCAAUACAUUUGUAUAUGAUUAAAACAUACCAAUUUAUUAAAAGAAAAAGGAAAAGAAAACCAACAUACCAGUAGCACUUAUAGAACCAUCUCCCUCUAGACUAUCCCUAAAGUCAGCGUUGGGCCCUUCUUGUGAACUAUCUUGAGAACUGCUCAUCUAAAAAAUUUGAUAUGCAUAACAGUGAAGGGGUAACAAAUUAAUCAGACAUCAUUGGUAAAAGAAACUAUUACUUCAACAUUCUAAUACAAAACAAUCUACUAAAGAAAUUCUUGUACAAUAUUCUUAAAAUUACGUAGUCCAUUUAAGCUGACAGCUCAUCAAAAUACAUGAAAAAUUCAAUACUCCAUGUCAUCAUAAAGCUCAUCCUCGUUUUCAGUAGAGAGAUCGUCUGAAGACUGUUCAUCUUCUUCAUCCUCAUUUCCGGGCUCAUGCUCAUCUACCAUCUCAUCCAUAUCAACCCUAAUAUGAAAUUCCUCAUUGUCUAGCAGCUGAUCAUCAAGAUUCGGAAUGGCAUAAUUAUCAGUAGCACUUAAAAGGGUUAUCUAUAGUUGGAGCUAGAUCACUAUCUUCUAGCACAUCAAAAAAAUCUCUUGGUUGAGUUUGGGUUGGCACAUGCCAAUGACUGUCUUCUGGAUCUACAACAUAAAACACUUGUGUAGCUUGAGAAGCCAAUAUGAAAGUGUGUCUUUCGUUUGUCGCAACCGAUUGAAACUAACCAAAGGGAAACCAUACCCAUCAAACCUCAUCCCCCUAUCACUAGCAGUAUCAACCCAAUCACAGUUAAAUAAUGUAAUUUUCCGACCAUUAUCAUUCUGUUCUAUUUGACCCCCGUAAUUAAGUUCAUAAAUCUCUUUAAGAACACCAUAAUAAUCAACAUUGCCAAUUACUGGAUUGCGAUCUCUUGCGCUUGAGUAACUAGAUGUCUCUGCACAUUGAAAUACACCACUAUUCUGAUUCUUCUUUUUAUCGUCUACUGAUUUAAUCCGGAACCUACACCCAUGAAUUAUGUGAUUCUUAUACUUGUUCACAAAUCUACUAGGACCAAUUGAUAGCCAACGCAAGUCCUCAGAUAUUGACAGAUCAUGGGCUGUGUACAAUUUAGUAACCUAUAAUUUAAAACAACAACUAAAGUAAAUAACUUUAAUUAAAAAUAUGGUGCAGCAACAUAAAAUGAAUCAUAUUACAACUAAACAUACUUACAUGAUCCUUGAACCAAGUUGGAAAUAUCUUAUUUCUCAUCCCCUCAAUUUCCUGUAUGGUCUUCCGUCGAUUACUUUGUCUCAAUUCUUGGAAGCAUUUUCUGUUUUACAAUAUAAUAUAAUGACUUGUUAGUUAUUAAUUCAUAAUUGAGGAUUGAAAAAAAAAAAUAUCAACAACUUGCUUGUUUUUAUUCAUAAAUAUCUUACUCUAAAAAAGGGGAAACUUCAUCGCAAUUGAACAAGACCACUCUGCGACAUUGGUCCCAAACAUCUUUGUCAAGAUAUAUUUGUUCAGCUGAACCCUUAGAAUGACAUGAAGAGUCAAAAACUUUUAGCUCCCCAAUGACACCACGACCAAUACCAUCAGCAUUUCGACCCUUUCGAUUCCUUCGAGUCUCAACGUUGCUAAGAUACAUGGUACACAUAGCUAAUCCCUCGUCGACAAGAUAUCCUUGUUCCAUACUUCCUUCAGGAUAACUCUUAUUCUGAACAUAUUUCUUUAAUGUUUGUAGGUAUCUAAAGAUAUGGCAAAAUUGAACAUGUUAAUUUACAAUUAAAAUGGAAAACUAGAAAUAAUAAAUAAGAUUUGAACUAAUUACCUUUCAAUGGGAUACAUCCACCGGUAUGGGGCAGGCCCUGCGAUUGCAGCCUCAUCUGCCAAAUGCAUGAUUAAGUGUACCAUCACAACAAAGAAGGAAGGAGGGAAUAUCUUUUCCAUCUGGCAUAAUGUCACUGCAAUCCGAGGUUUUAAAGCCAUGUAUGACGCUUCAUAUUCCUUCUUACUACAUAACCGUCUAAAAAUUGCACUUAGCUCAAGCAAAACAAUGGUAACAGCUUUUGGUAAUACUCGUCGUAUUGCAAGGGGCAGCAGCUGUUGCAUUAUAAUAUGAUAGUCAUGACUUUUCAAUCCGUGUAUUUUUCUCUCAUUCACAUUAACACAUCUAGACAGAUUUGCAGAAUACCCAUCAGGAACUCUCACAUUUGCCAAGACUUCGCAAAACAUUGUUUUUUCCCUUUUCCUCAUGUCAAAAAGUGCUGGAUCAAAAACUUCCUUACCUUUCCCAUUUAUAUAAGGGUGCUGUUUUCUCCUUAUAUUCAAAAUUUGAAGGUCCUUACGAGCUUUUAUUCCAUCCUUUGUCUUCCCAGGAAUAUUUAACAGUGUACCUAAAAUGUUUUCACAAACAUUCUUUUCAAUAUGCAUUAGAUCAAGGUUAUGCCGUAUCAAAAGAUAUUGCCAAUAUGGUAACUCAAAGAAUAUGCUUUUCUUCUUCCACUGAACUUUGUUACUAUUUAUAUUCGUUGUGGGAUAGGUAUUUGUAUUCCUAAUGGGACAAGAACAUUUUUUGGGUUUUCCUUGCCCAACAAAAACAGCUGACUUCUUUUUGGGUUUUCGAAAUGUGAAUGUCAAACUUGACAAUUUUUCUAAACACUGUGAACCUGUCAAGGGAAUAGGUGGAAGAGCAUGUUCUUCCUUACCGUUAAAGGCUGCUUUAUCUCUUCGAAACCUAUGUUGUAUAGGUAGAAAUCUCCGAUGACCCAUAUAACACAUCUUACUACUAUUUGCCAAAUGCAUUGAGACUGUAUCAUCCAUGCAAUGCGGACACGCUUUCUUCCCCUUCGUGCUCCAUCCUGAAAGAAUUGCAUAUGCGGGAAAGUCAUUAAUCGUCCAUAACAAUGCAGCCUUCAUUGUAAAAGUUUGGUUGGCAAACACAUCAAACGUCUUAAUACCAACCUCCCACAACUCUUUCAACUCAUCGAUUAAAGGCUUCAAAUACACGUCAAUAUUAUUGCCAGGCCCAUCAGGACCAGGAAUUAUUAACGAUAACAAUAAAUUUGGUUGCUUCAUACACAUCCAUGGAGGCAAAUUAUAAACUGACAGUACAACAGGCCAUGUACUAUGGGGUUUGUUCAUAUUUGAAAAGGGAUUAAACCCAUCACUUGCAAGCCCCAAUCGCACGUUGCGUAUCUCCGAAGAAAAUUCAGGGUAUAAGGAAUCUAAAUGCUUCCAUGCACGAGAAUCUGAUGGGUGCCUCAUGAAUCCAUCUUUAGGACAUUCGGUUGCAUGCCAUCUCAUAUCUUCAGCGGUAUGCUUCGACAUAAACAAUCUUUGCAACCUUGGUUUUAAUGGAAAAUACCGAAGAACCUUGGUUGGAACCUUAGCUGAUGUGUUCUUACUCAAAGAACCUCCCACAAUAUUGACUUUGUACCUUGAGGCACCACAAAGUGCACACUCAGUCAAGUCUGAUGUAUCUUUCCAAAACAGCAUACAAUCAUUGGGGCAAACAUCAAUCCUCUUGACUGUAAGUCCCAACUCCCUAAUGAUUUUUUUAGCAUCAUAAUUAUUUUUUGGUAAACAAUUCCCCUCUGGCAACAAUUGUUUAACCAAUUGUAACAGCAUUGUAAAGACAUUAUCGCUUCCCUAAACAUUUAAUCUGGAACAGUCUUACAACAGAAUACAAUUUCUUAUAUUUACACCUAGGGUACAACUCCAUAUCUGCUUCUUCAAGUAACUUAUAAAAUAUUUCAGCCUCAGGUGUUUGGCCAUCAAAGAUAGGUGGCUCUGUCGAAGUCCCAACAGUUUCUCCAAUUAUUGGUUGCACAAAGGCUUCAUUGAGAAAAUCAUGAAUGUCAUCUAUACAAACUUCUUCAUUAUGAACUGAUUCUAUAUCCUCUUGGAAUGGUAAAUUUGUCAUGGGCUCCCCAUGAUGCCUCCAAGGGCCAUUCAUAUAUGUGGGAUCCAUUCCUUUUUCUAUAAGAUGAAGCUGGAUGAUGUUUCUUUCAUAGUGAUAACGGUUACAACAUUUUUUGCAAGGACAUAUGACCCUCUCUCCAAAACCCACUUUGGCAAAGACGUCAUCUAAAAACAUUCUCAUUCCGUCUGCGUAUUCCUUACAAUUUCUCCUUAAAUGUACCCAACUUUUAUCCAUAGUUCACCUAUAUUGAGUGCAAGGCACCAAAUACAAUUAUUCAGCACAGAUCAUCCCUCAUACUUAUUGUCUAUAAAUUCCUAUCAGGUGGGUCAAUUUAUUAUCCAUUAGAUGACCCUCAUGACCAUCUACAUCAAUUCACAAGAAAAACCAAAUUAAAAUAACAAAAACCUGAGUCUAAAGAAUAUAUUAACUAAGAAAUUGCACAUUCAUUCAACUGAAGAAAAGAACUAUAACACCAAACAACUAGACCCACUUAAUAGCUAAAGAAACUCACGUCAUAACAACAAAGUAUACAUAUUAAACAACAUAUCAACUCAUAGAUAAAAGCCCGAUAAUCUCAAUACUAUGAACAAUCUUAUUCAAAAAUAAUAAGAUAACAGCAACAUAAUAGAAAAAAGUAAAGGGAAACACACCUGGAUUCUAAGUUUCCAACAACAAUUCAACACUCCUGCAGUAGAUUAAUACAUACAUACCCACAUAUCAAACUUCACCAACAAAUAAUAAAAAAUUAAAACAAGAGCUUUGAAAAAUCAAAGGAUUCGUGUCACAUCCCGGAAUCGGCUCCGCCGUAGCACGAUAUUGUCCGCUUUGGGCCCCCCUCUCUGCCCGCACGGUUUUGUUUCUAGGAGCUCACGAGCAACUUCCCAGUAGGUCACCCAUCCUGGGAUUGCUCUAGCCCCCAACUCGCUUAACUUCGGAGUUCCUACGACUCCGAAGCCAGUGAGCUCCCAAAAGGCCUCGUGCUAGAUGGAUGCGGGCAUGCACAUAUAAGGCACAUCACCCCCUCUCCGUUGGUUGAUGUGGAAUCUUACAAUCCACCCCCCUUAAGGACCCGACGUCCUCGUCGGCACACUCGCACCACACGGCAGAGUGGCUCUGAUACCAAAUUGUCACAUCCCGGAAUCGGCUCCGCCGUAGCACGAUAUUGUCCGUUUUGGGCCCCCCUCUCUGCCCGCACGGUUUUGUUUCUAGGAGCUCACGAGCAACUUCCCAGUAGGUCACCCAUCCUGGGAUUGCUCUAGCCCCCAACUCGCUUAACUUCGGAGUUCCUACGACUCCGAAGCCAGUGAGCUCACCCCCUCUCCAUUGGUUGAUGUGGGAUCUUACAAUUCGUUUAUAUCUUGGAAUAAAAUCAGUAUUCUAAUUUUUAUAUCUAAUUGGAAGGAUUCAUGGGUCAUUACCUACACUAAAAUACUUGAAAAAAUAAAAUAAACAAACAAAAUAAGAACAAAAAUUUCACCAGAACAGAGGCACAAAAAUCUCACCAAAACAGAGGGCCUCUUUAAUGAAGGACAACCAAGUCAGCCCCAAUUGAAAAGAGCAAAGAACCCCCAGAUUUAAUCUCUCUCUCAAUCUGAAUCAGCAACCCCAAUUGAGAAAAGCAAGGAAAACCCCCCAAAUUUAAUCUCUCUCUCUCAAUCUGAAUUAGCAACCCCAAUUGAGAAGAGCAAGGAAAACCCCCCAAAUUUAAUCUCUAUCUCUCUCAAUCUGAAUGAGCAGACACGAAAAUCACUACCACACAUGACUCCAACUCCAUUAGCUAUGAGGAAGAAUACAAUUCAUUCUUCAAUGAAAAGAAGAGGGAAGAGAUGGCCGGUUUGGAGGAAGUAGAAAAGCUCAAGUAAACAAUUGAAGUUUUUUAUAUAUCAAUAGGAAAAUUUUGAAGUUAAAAAUUAUAUUUAAGAAUAGUAUUGGCAAUCGAACUCGUCAGAAAAAAAGUUGGCUUCCUGGUGUCUGAAAAUUUAGGCGCUUAUGUUUUCACUUCCCGCGUUAAAAGAGACUGGCGCAGUGUCUCGUCAGUAAAGGUAGUAAUGACAAAAGACUUUGUCAGUAUUAUUUACUAGUGAAAAAUCACUUUAUUUUGCUAGUAUUUGGUCUCAGUACUGACUAAGCUGCUCUUUCAUCAGUAUUAGUCCGUCAGUAUAAGCUAAAAUUGUAGUAGUGAGAGGAUUGAUAAGUGAUAUUAAUUCUUGAAUAUACAGAAUGUAAAAUAAAGGAACACGUAAAAAAUUAUUUUAUGUGGUAAAACUCCAUCUCUGGGGAAAAUCCACGGGACUUCUUAGUCCAAAACAAAUCCAUUAUAGAAUGAUGAUUACAAGAAGUACUCACACACUUAUCCUAGACACAUUCUAGAUAAUGUUUACUGACCUCUUCGUAACUCAACUUCUGUCUCGAGAUGAUCUUUCAACACUCCUUAUGUUGAACGCAAUAUUGGUCACGAUUUCUUCAAGCUCGUCAGAGUUCUUCCAACUCUCCUAAUAUUGAAUCCGAUACUAGUCACGAUUGAUUCAAGCUCAUCGUAGAAAAACCGUCACAAUGGUCUUGGUGCCCUCAACCGUAUGAGUCAUUAAACAUGCAAAUGAAUACAUAUAUGAAUGAUAAAAGUGUUUGAUAAAUCACUGAGUUAUGGAACACUUGAUGAUUUAUCUCAAAUAAAAACUCAGCUUUAAUGCUUUCUAAACAAAGAAGACGAAGGUCUUACUUUAUAGACUUUUUCUUUACAAGAAAGAAAAUAAGUUGGAAACCAAAUCUCCAAUUUCCAAGGCAAAAUCACAAAAGUAUCUUUCCUAUUCUAGAGAUUGGUCACAUGUAGUCCAACCAAUAGGAAAUGAGAUAUUUAAGAAAGGAAGAUUUUGAUCAAUAUCAAUAUCAAAUGAAUUCUUAUACGCCUAGUCAACUAUUAAGGGUAUCUUGACUCCUUGAUAUUUUGAUAUGAUUGAAACAUGAUUUCCAAGUUAGAAAAUUAAGGGGUUGUUAAAACAUGAAAGUAAUAGGAGAAACAAAUUUAUUUGAACCAAAAUUGCCCAAAAAGAAAACACUCCUAAAUAAACUUCAAUUCACUUUAGUAAAACAUGAUUGAAUCGUUCGUUAAAACAAUUCCCUAAUAUACAUGCAUGAUAAUGACAUCACUUACCCCUGAAUCAAAUUUGUUAAUGUAUGCAUUUUGAGUUUUUUUUUCUUUUGGCUUCCCUUGACAAUUUUGUAAUAGGAAAAUCAUUGUAGUUUCUCAAGCUCUAAGUUUAGAUUAAGAAUUACUUCUCUAGGUGUUCUUAUCUGCCUACAUUCUGAUGGAAAACAAUGCGUUUGACAAAGGUAAAUUCUGCAUUACACUACAUUGCAUUCACUAAAUUUCUUAAGAUUAUGACUAGUCAUCUUUCUUUCGUAUGACUAGUCAUCUUGCAUUCGUAUGACUAGUCAUCUUUCCUUCGUAUGACUAGUCAUCCUUUGUUUCAAUUAGGAUUUCCAGCUCACUGUUUCCAGCUGGGGCUUAAGCAUUUUUUUGUCCUUUUCUACGAAUUUCUCAGCUUCCAUGUGUCUAUUCUGACCUAGGAAUUUUUGGUAAAAGCCAUAGAAUUCCUCAUUUGGCAGCCGUCACUUUUGGGGACAAGUUGUGGAAAGUUUCAUAGCAAACUUUCGCUUCUUCUUCCUCAAGAGUAACCUUCAUAUUUUUCAUCUUUGAGUUCUCUAAAUUGUUUCUUUUUGAAAACUGCAUUUGAAAUAUGAAAACUUCAUCUUGCUAGAUCAAACACUCUAUCAUAUACAUCUAGGUCAGAUUCAAGAUUGAUUUCUUCAAGAGUAUGGUUUCUUGAAGAAAUUGGUCAUUUUCUCCAUGAAUCCAAAUUUCAUUUCUGUCUGAGUUAGAGCUUGCAAGCUGGUGCCAUGGGAUGAAUGAGCUGAAGAAGGAGCUGCCAUUGCCAUGAAGAACUGAGCUUCAAGCUUUGCUAAGUUGGAGAAGAAGAUUGCACAAAGGAGAUAUAGCAUCUUCCUAAAUAGACCUAGGAAUUUCUUGAGCUUGCUAGUGUUCUUUGUAAGAAUCUUUUUGCUUAGUGGAUUGCCUGGUCGGUUGAUGACCCCCAGUUUUUCCCAAUGGUGGGUUUCUGGGUGAACAAUAUCUGGUUUCCAUCUCUGUAGAUUUUUUGGGUUUGUGUUCUUGAUAGUUGACUAGUCAUCUGAAUUUGUGUGGUUGACUAGUCAUCUUUUUCUGCUGUUUGGUGUUUUCUUGAUUAUGUUGUCUUCACACACUUUUACCAUAGUUGUUGCUAGCACAAGGGAUGCCUAGAUUGAUGGGUCCUUCUGAGUGCCUAGGUUGUCACUAGUAAUUCUCUAGGCCUGCAGGUACAUCUUGGUAUGCUUUGUGUAUGUUAUUGUUUGGUUUAAUUCAUAUCUAACAGUUGACUAGUCAUAAGAGUAUUUGGUCAAGGUCUAGAGUGUGUGAAGUUUGUUGCGUUCUUGAUUGAAUAUCUUUUAAAUUUACCCUUCGUCACCUAAUUACCAAUUUGCAGACUCCACAAAUGAAGAAAAGAGCACAAAUAUCGUGAAUGCUAUUGGGAAUGGAAAGGGCAAACCUGUUCAAAAAGGGUAUGGAGGGGGCGUUAGACUUUACGUUCAAAAAGGGUAUGGAAAACGUCCUCCUCCAUCUGACAGUCAACUACUCCAUUAUAAAGACAUAGCUAUUUUCUUCUUCGAGAAAGACAUGCGCCCUGGCUCAACAAU